rnacentral:lncRNA from 1 species
ACGAUGAUCUGGUUCAGAAACCGCCCCCCAAACGCUUAUUACAUCGGAGCAAUCAGAAGCACGUGAGGCGGCCUAGUUCUCCAUGCGGAUGAUGCAGCGGAUGCCCUCGCCCUUCGCCAUGAGGUCGAACGCCUUGUUGAUCUCCGAGAACGGCACGCUGUGUGUGAUGAACUUCUCCACCUCCAGCUCCUGACCACAAUCGCAAGUUGUUCGAGCAUGAGCAUCAAGUUUUCAAGGGCUUAACACUUCUAGAUGAUUUAGAAAUAGGGCGUGGCAAUGAACAGAUCUCAAGAGGUCGCAAGCAUAGACCCAAGCUACAGCAGUUAGCGAUUCCUGUUUACCUUUCUCAUGUACAUCUCCACGACAUUGGGCAGGUCGGUGCGCGGCUUGAAGUUUCCGAAGAAGGUGCCCUUGAGAGUCCUCUCGUUCAGGAAGUUCAUCGGGUGGGUCUUGAAUUCGGCGUCCUUGUGCGGCACACCCACCAGCACAGCAACACCCCAGCCCUGCAUAUGGAUCACAGAAUUCAAGUUUCCAUCUAGAGAAAAGAGGCGAUGCAAAAUGAUCAUCCUUGUGGAUGACUGAGGUCUUAAGAAGUCGUACAUCAUGGACACAUUCAAAUGCUUGUAUCAUAGCAUUGACGUUGCCCGUGCACUCAACACUGCGGUCAACUCCACCAUUUGUCAUCUCAGCGAGCACCUAAAGCAUCAUCAGAGUUGUAUGUUAUGAUCAUUGAUCAUUAAGCACAAUGAACAACUAUUUUCCUCAUGUGAAGAAACAAACCUCCUGAACUGGCUUGCUGUGAUCUUUCGGGUUCACAAAUUCCGUGCAGCCAAAUUUUCUAGCUGAAUAUGGACAACAUAUAAAACAUUAGAAACUACUCAAAACAACAAGUUGAACUCAUGAGUAGCAAAGUCAGGAGUAUUUACCUUCUUCAAAUCUGCUGGCGUUCAAGUCAAUACCAAUGAUCCUAGAUGCACCUGCAAUCCUUGCACCUUCUGCAGCCUAAAUCGUACCAAAUGUGAAGGGCAAAUAGAAGCAAGUCAGGUGCAAAUACGGAUUGCAAUUUCAGAACAAUCAAGGGAGGAAUUAGGACACUUACAGCAAGGCCAACAGCUCCUAGCCCAAAUAUCGCCACUGUCGAACCCUUUGGUGGUUUUGCAACAUUAAUGGAUGCACCAAGACCUACAAAAAGAAUGGCAACUCAGCAUCAUCUCAAGAUAAGACGUAGCCAUAACAAAGCAUAUAGUACAGCAAUACAAGUCAACUUACCAGUGGAAAUACCACAGCUAAGAACACAGACUUUAUCAAGGGGGGCCUCAGGGUUGAUCUUGGCAACACAACCAACAUGCAUGACAGUAUACUCACUGAAGGUGGAAGUCCCUACGAAAUGGUAAAUCGGCUUCCCGUCAAUAGAGAAGCGUGACUUGCCAUCCCCGAUCAUGACACCUCUGUCGGUGUUGAUCCUGAGCAGAUCACACAUGUUGCUCUCCGCAGACUUGCAAUGUGGGCAUUCCUUACACUCCCCAGUGAACACAGGAAGGACAUGGUCACCAGGGGCAAGCUCAGUCACACCCUCUCCAACACUCUCCACUAUGCUGUGAACAUAAAUAAGUUCAAGGGACGUGCAACACAUAAAUUUGUUCAGAGAAAUCUAUACAAAAGGACUUCAUGUCCGAGCACCUCAUCAGAUAAAUAAAGAGAUGGAUAUAGCAAGUCAACUAGAGCAACAUGGAACAAACUCCUGAUGCAUCUUCACAUGAGAAAUAAGUUCAGUGGGCGUGCAACACAUAAAUUUGUCCAGAAUAUCUAUACAAAAGGACUUCAUGUCCGAGCACCUCAGAUAAAUAAAGAGAUGGAUAUAGCAAGUCAACUAAAGCAACAUGGAACAAACUCCUGAUGUAUCUUCACAUGAGAAAUAAGUUUAGGGGACGUGCAGCAGAUAAAUUUGACCAGAAUAUCUAUAUAAAAGGACUUCAUGUCGGAGCACAUCAGAUGAAUAACGAGAUGGAUAUAGCAAGUCAACUAAAGCAACAUGGAACAAUCUCCUGAGGUAUCUUCACUUGAGAAAGACAUGUCAAUCGGAAGUCCUAGUACCAAUUUAUGAUAUUGACCUCUGGUGUUCCAUACUUACUCUACCAAGAUCCAACGACAGUGACGCCAUUACAAUACAGACAACAAAAGUAUUCUGCAACGGUCUACACAGACAACACACAGUUCUUAUGAUUGCUUCACAUGUUUUCAGUUCUGUGAUGGACCUAUCCUUUCUCAACAAACAAUUAGCACAAUCGAAAUAUAGAAAUCCUGAGGAGAACAUAAACUAAAUGUAUUAACGGCACGGUAAGCAUGUUCUUUUUAAUCAGAAGAGGGGGUUCCCUCCGAAUUCAUUAUCGAAAUCACCAAAGCAAAAGCAUCCAGCAAGUCCGAAAUGUCACCUUAACUCAACCUACCACUGCUAAACAGGUGCAAGAAGUUCAGAAAAUACAAACGAGACUCCACACUGACGGGAACUAGUAACAGCAAACAAAACAUAGACGCUGAAGGGAGACAAAACAAAACAUAACAGCAGAGAGACAUGACAUAGACGCUGAAGGAAGACCAAACAAGACAUAAGAUCACAAGCGCAUGGUAAACAUGUGUAGACAGGGUAAUGAUUCAUCAAGGAAGGUAGUUGGGACUUGAGAAACAUACCCUCCAGCUUCAUGACCGAAGAUCCGAGGGAACAUGGGGGUCUGCCCCUAAGCAUCGGAAGUCACGGAGGCGCAAGUCAGACACGAAAUUGAUGCGCGGCAUAAUUUAUUGACCGGAAGCGAGCGUGACGCCGUUGGCGCAUGCGUACCUUGGCCUCCCAGAAGUAGACGUCGGUGUGGCAGAGGGAGGUGAAGAGGAUCUUGACGCGCACCUCCAUGGCCUGCGGCGGCGCCACCUCCACCUCCUCCAUGGACAGCGGCUUCCCCGCCUCCCAUGCCACCGCGGCUGCAACCGCGAACGGAUCCAAGGAAAGGGCGUCAGAAUGCAGUCACAGAUGAUGAUGAUACCAUGAGGGGAAGGAAAUCCUCCCCUAAAAUCACGCAAAACCUAGCUAACCCUCACGAAAUUUGUCCCGAAAAAGAACGCAUGAAGAAAUAAGCAGGACAAUAAGCAAGGAAUCGAAAGCACAAGCAAGCGCCUUCCGGUGAGGCCUGGGGAAUGCCGGGAGGGAGGAGAGGAGGGGAGAGGACAAGGCGCGGACCUUUGCACUUGAUCACCUUCCCGGCCGUCGCCAUCUCGCUCGCCUGGGAAAUUCUCUGAGCCCGGAAUCGAAAUCGAGAACUGAUCUCUCACUUCACAGGAUCAAAUCCGUGGGGAACCGAGUGUGGGGAGGCCGGGGGUAUAUAUGGGGCCGGGCUGGGACCUGGGAGGGAGGGAGGGAGGGUGCGGUUUCGCCACGUCUGGCUCUGGUUGGCUACCUGCCCCCCGGUUCUGUUCUGUUAUUCUUGGGGAGCAAACCAGGGGCGGGCGGCGUGGCGCCGAAACCGGGGCUCCUGCUUCCACCUGGAAGCUGUAAUGCGGCCGCGGUUUGUCUCGCUUCCUCCUCGGUGCGGGGCGGGGCGUCGGGGCCCAUGGCGUGGGAUCGUGGGCGUCGGGUGCGCCGGGCGGUCGCGUUGCACGCAUGGACCCGCACAGGUGCGUGCUGACAGUGUGCGGGAAAAUUGUUCCGGGGUUUCCAGAGGCCGCGCGCAUGUGCAAGAAGCGAUGAGCAAACCUUUGAUCGCUUUUGUCCGAGAAAGUUCACUCGCAAUUUCUUUGAUUCGCGGGAUUUUUAGAGCAUCUACCGCCGGACUUAUUCGGCCCCUCAAACGCUGUGACCCGUCCGUCCGUUGACACUGACCGGUCACUGUUUAAAAAAAUACAAUCCAUAUCUGGAUACCUCAAGAUUCAGUUUGAGGGCUGCACUCGGUCAUCGUGGGACGCGUUUCUUUGGAAAUCUGAUGCACCGGGCAAAUGCAAGCUUUUUGCGUGGUUGGUGCUGCUUGGACGCUGCAACACGGCCGACGUCCUUGCGAGGAAAGGUUGGCCUCACAAUCCGUCUUGCUCUCUAUGCAAUGGGCCAAUGGAGGAUGUAGUGCACCUGCUAGCUUCAUGUCCCGUCUCCAUCCGAAUUUGGCACGAUGUCAUUGCUCGCUGCAACCUUUAUUCGGGCCUCGCUCCCGACUCCACCAUACCUUCCCUGGUGUUCAAUGGCAUCAUUUCUGCAUCAGCAAAGAAGCCAUGGAGCGCACUCGUACAGCUGGUUUGGUGGUCAAUAUGAAACGACCGCAACGCAAGGAUAUUUAGAAACCAACCAUCGCCGCAGACGACUGUGGUGGAACGGAUGAUUGAAGAGGCAGCAGUCUGGAACAGGGCGGGACGGGGCAAGGCCAUCUCCCUCCUCAACAGACCAAGAGAACCAGACUAGAAAAUCUUAAUACAGAAAACGGAGAUGGCAUGUCCAACUAGUGGAGGACUGCACAUGUAAAACUGUUGUAAAUUAACUNNNNNNNNNNNNNNNNNNNNNNNNNNNNNNNNNNNNNNNNNNNNNNNNNNNNNNNNNNNNNNNNNNNNNNNNNNNNNNNNNNNNNNNNNNNNNNNNNNNNNNNNNNNNNNNNNNNNNNNNNNNNNNNNNNNNNNNNNNNNNNNNNNNNNNNNNNNNNNNNNNNNNNNNNNNNNNNNNNNNNNNNNNNNNNNNNNNNNNNNNNNNNNNNNNNNNNNNNNNNNNNNNNNNNNNNNNNNNNNNNNNNNNNNNNNNNNNNNNNNNNNNNNNNNNNAUACUAUUCUAUCGAACUACCAAAAUUUGGCAUAUCUGGCUAUGAUGGAGUUCAUCCAUCCGACGCCUUGCCGUCCUUCUCGUGAAAGUACCAGUCAAAGACACAGUACGGAUCGAGUCAGAUCUGCUCGUCACCGUCGCUGUCCUCCUCCUCCUCCUAAAAUAAAAAGGCUAGAAAGUCUACUACAGUACAGUCAAAAUCAGCGCUGAGUUUGCCUAGCCCCGCCAUGACACGGACCGCCCGAUUCUGCUCUCGGGCGAGGGAGCGUGUCUUUCUUCGCUACCGUUUCUUCACAAUGUGGGCAUGCAUGGCUUCCCCCUCUGCGGCCGCCCGCGCCGUCGCCAUUUCCGCCGUGAUACAGGCCUCGACGGCCCUUAUCCUCUCCUUCCCACGGCGGGAAGCCAGUUUUCGGUGGGACUCGUACUCUGCUCGACCGAUGAUGGGAAAGGACAGGUGUUUCGGCCGGGACCGCGAGGGUCCAGCACCAGAGGACCCGAGCACCCGGUGAGCCGACGCUAUGGCGUCGCGGCGGGCGGAUCCGUCCGUCGACCGGGCGCUGUCCUCCCGGAAGUGGCGGAGUGCAAUGCGGACUAUCAUUGCCUCCUCCCAUCCACACGGGAAGACACCUCAAUCGACGGAUCCGGACUGGUCGAAGUCUGAUCUAUUGCCUGUCAUGGUGGAGAAGGCCGGAUACCGCGGGAGGUGAGCUCGGGUGGCGGAUGAGAGUGGAGGGGGGUGGAGUGAAGUGGCUAGGGUUUGCUUCGGCGAGAGGAUGGGGUCGAAUAUAAAUGGGGUCGGGUGGGCCAGCAUGGGAUGGGUCCAACGUGACGAGCGUGCCCAGGUGCCCUCAUAUCCGCCCCUUAUUUGGGCUCGGUAAUGCUACAUCUACAUAAUAAAACCUAAGGGAAACGUGGGUUAUAGUGAUUGGAGAAGGGGGAGGAAGGGGCCCCACCCCCUGAAAAUAGGGGGGGAGAGAAUUGUUUUAGGCAGUUUACGUAAAAACUUACAUAGCUUACCGUAGAUGGAGCAUUUAUUUGGGCUGGAUAUGGGGCGCCAGUCAGCCUAUGCGUUUGAGACUCGUUUGAGGCGUCCGUCUGGGUCGACAAAACGUGACCAAUCAGUGACGGGGCAGUCCGUGCGGACAUAUGAGACGGGUUUGAGAGGUCCGACUGUAGAUGCUCUUAUAACGCAAUAAUAGGAAAAAACAAAAGGAUUGUAGUGACAUGUCGUGUUCAAUCAUAGUAUAAGGUUAAGAUUAAACUAUUCCCUUUAUAAAAAAUAUAUAAAAACAUUUAGAUCAUCAAAGUAGUUAAAAAGGCUUUUGUCCCAUUUUAUAUAAUAAAAUAGUACAUAAACUUGAAGCAGUGAUUGAUGUAAAAGAAAAUUGAGUGGAUGAUUUUUUUUCCUUCAAAAUAGUCUAGGGGAUACAUCCUCAAAAAUUCCGAUGAAGUUUCUUUGAAUCAAGAGCCCAAGCCACUUUCCAAAUACCCUUCUACUCUUAUCCAAAAAGGACGGUCCUAAAGGGGGAGUAUUCGGCUGCUCUUCUCGAAUUCUAACCAUGUAGAAUGACUUGUCCUAGUUAAUUCGCAGUAUUUCAAGCACACAAGAAUAGAAAAGGUAAGCAUUCGCGCCCCUUUCUCUUGGUGGCUAGGACAAAGUCUUUAUUCCAAAGUCCAUGGACGAACCCAUGAAUUCACUUUCCCUAUGCCAGCCGCUCAGACGGCUAGUGGCAGAGUGGGAAUCCUGAUGCUUUCGCUCCGGCUAAUAGUUUAUGUUAGAUAGUCCUCGCAAAUGCGGCACUUCCUUUUUGAGAUUGUCUUUUGGGCUCUUGUCCUCCUCGAGCUGGGCAUAAUCGACGGAGCUCCGACAUAGAUUUUGUCGUCACCUUGGGACUGCCAUGUUAGGGUUUCUUAUUGUGUGUGUGCGAUGGCAAGCUUUGGUGUCAGUUGCUUCAGAUCUAUUCAAGUUUCAACGAUGAUGACUACGACUUCAAGACGCUGUCCGGGCACGUCCACGAACACUUGCCAUUUGUCUUCAGUCUCCUAUAGUGGAGCAUCGACAUCUCGUUCUGACAGCAAUAGUGAUCGUUUAGUGGUCUAGAGACCUCGAUGAAUUUUUGUUACGUUUGUGGUGCUUUGUACUUCUGUUGAAUUUUGAUAAUAGACUUGAAUCUUUUUGCCAAAAAGAAAAAAAAGAAAAAUGUACGUAAUCAGUAGGAUUGUUUGUACAAAACUGAUGAUUGAAGAAAAAUAGAGAAUUAGAUGUUUGAAUCGCCAGAAUGUAAUAGAUGUGGGAAUCCAAAAAAAGUCAAAUUAAGGCUAAAACUUAUGCAAAUGUAAAAGUAAGUUAAUACUACUCCCUCUAUCCCGUGAAGAGUGUACAUUUGACUUUAAAAUUUGUCCAUAAAAUAGUGUAUUCUAUCUUUUCAAUGCACUUUAAAGUAGAAAAAAAAUACUUCUCUCUCAUCACACGGUAAUCAAGACCAAUGAAAUUCUACACAUGGUCUCCUUAAUUUCUACAUGCACUUAGGCUGGUCAUAGUGGGGAAUAUCAUAUACUAGUAUCAUGCAUAUGAUACUAGUGUAUGAUACUACAUCCAUAGUGCAUAGUAUUAUAGAUUAGCAUCAUAUAUGAUCUCAUUUAUUGCCAUGCAUGACACAUAGUAGCAUCAUAUUUAUUAUGUUACGGUAUCUACCUAUAUUAUUAUAAUCUUUUUUAAUUGCCUGUCGCAUAAGCAUGUUUGCGAGUCCCAAGUGCAUGAUACUAUUUAUGUUACCCCACCAUGGCCAGCCUUAACUCAUCGAGGGUUGGGUGAUUAAAAAGGAGAGAGAGGGUGGCUUGCACUUUUUCAAUGCAUUUUCUGCUUCACUUCAUAAUUUGUCCUAAAAUUUCUAUAUGUACAUUUUCAUCGGACGAAGGGAGUAUGCUAGCUAUAGCCUUUCCUUGGCUUCGUGCAUGGAAAUGUCAAAAAUAGCUUGGAGUGGAUUUAAAAUACCCUUGUUUUUCCUAUGAAACUCAAACCAAAGAAAUGUUUCUACAUUGUGGUUUCUGGGAAUUUUGUAGGAAUUGUAACAGAGGUUUCUGUACAAAAAAUUCUUUUAGAGCUAUUUGGUUUGCGGGGUAGAAUCCUAUUGCUAUACAUGAUUUAUUCAUAUCUUCCAUGUUCGAGUAAAAUGCAUAGAACCAUCACUUUCGGGUCAUAACUCUCAGAAAAACCACCACUUUACAAAACGUGACACUUUUCACCGUAUCGAAGAAUUGACAGUGGCAAAAACACUAAACUGUUUUUUGAGCGCGUUUUGACGUGUUCGAUCACUCGCGAGCCGACAACGGUGACGGCGCAGCGCUGGUUGACCCGUUCCCUUAAAGGAAACAGUGGCCGCUCACUCUCAUUCACUUGCUCACCCUCGCUCACUCGCACUCGCCCUCACUCUCGUUCCCCUCUGCUCUGCCCCGCCGCUCAACCUCGCCGCCGCCGCCGCCGCAAUGGCCUCUUGGAGAGAUCUGGAAAAUAGCAACGAGGAGGAGGAGCAGACUUACACCGUCAUGGAUGUGGAUGUGUGGGUAUGUACACACACUACUAGGGAAAACCUUAUACACAGAACUUUAGCAGUAGCGUGGGUCAAAAACACACGCUAGUGCUAAAUAGCAGCAGCGCGCUUGCUCAAACCGCGCUACAGAUAAAGUUCUAGCAGUAGCGCGCCUCCACCCAAACAUGUUACUACUAAAAUUCCCAUGGCUUAUCCCACAGGCUACACAUAGUAGUAGCGAUCUACAGAGAACAGCGCUACCGCUAAUUUCUUUGUAGCAGCGCGAUUUGCUCUAAACUCGCUACUGCUAAAGGAUCUAAAAUUAAAUGGACAGCAGAUAGAAAGGUAAUUGAAAAUGAAAAAAAUAGAAUAAGGUGAAAGAAGAAAAAUAAAAUGUGAAGAAAAAUAAAUGAAAAGGGAAAAAAAGAGAGAAAUGAAUAGCAGUAGCGUGUAUCACAGAACGCGCUGUAGCUAAUGUAGCAUCAGCGCGCUUUCCCUAACGCGCUACUGCUACUUCUGACUUAACCGUGGGCUCGUCCUUCCCCGUAGCCCCUUCCCCAAAUUCAACUCCUCCGCUCUCAUCGCCGUUGUCGCCCGUCGGCCGCCGCGCGCUCUCCGCACACCCUCUACGCCGCCCCUGACCCCGGAUUCAACGCCGCCCCCGCCCCGACCUCAACGCCGCCCCGGAUGCCGCCCCCGCCCCCGACCUCGACGCCGCCCUCUGCCACGCGCCCGAGCCCCGACCCCAAUCUCGACGCUGCCUGCCCCUCCCUCGUCGCGGUCACCCGAGGUGAGCACGCCUGCUCCUCCCUAUCCCCUACCUCUGCCUAGGGUUUCUUCAUAUUUUAGUUGCAUCAAAUUAGUUAGGGUUCAUGCAAGGGUGGAAACGAAUCGGAUGCAUAUGCGGCUCAAAUUAGUUAGGGUUCAUGUAAGGGUGGAAACGAAUCAAAUUUCUAAGAUGAAUCAUAAAACGAGUAAAACAAUUAUUUAUAGUUCCUAGGUACUAAUUAGUUAGUAAGAACUAGGUACUAAUUAGGUACUAGUUUAUUUUUAUUUAUAGUAAUUUUAUUCUUAGUAAGAACUAGUUGAAUUAAUAGAACUAGUUAGUAAGAACUUGUUGUAUAUCUUGUGUUGCUCAAAUAGGAUAUGUGCUUGCCCAAGUGGUCGGCCAUGUUUGCAGGUUACACCUCCGAGUGGCCUAUGUUUUGCCGGAGUGUUGAUUCAUUUCCGUUUCGGCAAAUUUCAGGCGCUCGAUAUGUCCUAUUUUAGCAAAGGUCAUGCUGGAUUUUUUUGUGAAUUUUGGCAUGACUUGUGCCAGAAUAUGUAGGAAAUAUCGAGUGCCCCGGAUUUGUGUGUUGAGUAUGCUGGUAGUUGUCUUCGAUCGAUUUUUAAUUAAUGUUUCAACUAUGAACAUAGGAAAUGUCUGACGGCGAAAAGGAUUUCGGUACUUGCAAAUACUGCGAAGACGAGCGCGGCCUCGGGAGCGCUUCUCCUAUUAUAAGAGUUUGUCCAGGCUUGUCCUUUGCUAUAAAAAGGAUUGGGCCACCUUGCUGCACUUUAUUUACUUUUGUUACUUGUUGCUCGUUACGAUUUAUUUUAUAACAAAACUAUCUGUUACCACUUAUUUCAGUACUUGCAGAGAAUACCUUGCUGAAAACCGCUUAUCAUUUCCUUCUGCUCCUCAUUGGGUUCGACACUCUUACUUAUCGAAAGGACUACGAUAGAUCCCCUAUACUUGUGGGUCAUCAAGACUCUUUUCUGGCGCCGUUGCCGGGGAGUGAAGCGCCUUUGGUAGGUGGAAUUUGGUAAGGAAAAAUUUAUAUAGUGUGAUGAAAUUUUCUGUCACUUGUUACUAUGGAAAGUAAUUCUCUGAGGGGCUUGUUCGGGGUAUCUUCACCCCGUCCAGUAGAGCAAAGAGUUGCCCCUCAACCUACUCAACCUACGGAACCUAUUGAAAAUGAAACUCCUUUUGAGAUUCCUUCAGGUAUGAUGGAAAAACCGCUAGCUAACACUUUUACAGGAGAUGGAACAAGGCAUCCUGAUGAACAUCUACGCUAUGUGGAUGACGUUUGUGGACUAUUUAAGCUUGCAGGUAUACCCGAUGAUGUUGUUAAGAAGAAGGCCUUCCCUUUAUCUUUGAAGGGAGACGCAUUGACAUGGUACAUGCUAUGUGAUGAUAUGAGAUCAUGGAACUAUAAAAGAUUGAAAUUGCAAUUUCAUCAAAAGUAUUACCCUAUGCAUCUUGUUCACCGUGAUCGAAAUUAUAUAUAUAAUUUUUGGCCUCGCGAAGGAGAAAGCAUCGCUCAAGCUUGGGGGAGGCUUAAAUCAAUGUUAUAUUCAUGCCCCAAUCAUGAGCUAUCAAGAGAAGUAAUUAUGCAAAGUUUUUAUGCUCGGCUUUCUGAUAACAAUCGCACCAUGCUCGAUACUUCUUGUGCUGGCUCUUUUAUGAUGAAGACUAUUGAAUUUAAAUGGAAUUUAUUGGAUAGAAUUAAAUGCAACUCUAAAGAUUGGGACCUCACCGAAGGUAAGGAGUCAGGUAUGACACCUAAGUUUGAUUGUGUUAAAUCUUUUAUGGAUACCGAUAUUUUUCGUAAGUUUAGCACUAAAUAUGGACUUGACUCUGAGAUAGUAGCUUCUUUCUGUGAAUCCUUUGCUACUUAUGUUGAUCUCCCUAAGGAGAAGUGGUUUAAAUAUCAUCCUCCCAUAGAAGUAAAAGUAGCUGCACCUAUUAAAGCCAAAGAAAAGAUUGUCACUUAUAAUGAUCCUAUUGUUCCCACUUCUUAUGUUGAGAAACCGCCUUUCCCUGUUAGAAUGAAGGAUCAUUCUAAAGCUUCAACUGUUGUUCACAAAAACAAUAUUAGAACUUAUACACCUCCUAAGCAAGUCAAAGUAGAACCCAAUAUUGCUAUUGUUAAAGAUCUCUUGUCUGAUAAUAUCGAUGGGCAUGUUAUUCAAUUUCAGGGUGAAACUGCUAGAGUUGCUAAACCUUGUGAUAGAGAUAAACAUAUACCUGUGGUAGGAGUGCCUGUUAUUUCUGUUAAAAUAGGAGAUCAUUGUUAUCAUGGCUUAUGCGAUAUGGGUGCUAGUGCUAGUGUGAUACCCAUUGACUUAUACAGAGAAAUUAUGCAUGAUAUUGCACCUGCUGAGUUAGAAGAUAUUGAUGUUACAAUUAAACUUGCCAAUAGAGAUACUAUAUCUGCAAUGGGAAUUAUUAGAGAUGUUGAAGUCUUGUGUGGAAAAACCAAAUAUCACGCUAAUUUUCUUGUUCUUGGUUCUCCACAAGAUAGCUUUUGUCCCAUUAUAUUUGGUAGACCCUUCUUGAAUACUGUUAAUGCUAGGAUAGACUGCAAAAAGAAUGUUGUUACUAUUGGCUUGAAUGAUAUGGUUCAUGAGUUUAAUUUCUCUAAAUUUAGUAAACAACAUCGUGAGGAAGAAUCGCCAAGUAAGGAUGAAAUUAUUGGUCUUGCUUCUAUUGUCGUACCUCCUAGUGAUCCUUUAGAACAAUAUUUGCUAGACCAUGAAAAUGAUAUGUUCAUGAAUGAAAGAAGGGAAAUACAUGAAGUAUUCUUUAAACAGGAACCUAUUCUGCAACACAAUUUGCCUGUUGAAAUUCUAGGGGAUCCUCCUCCACCCAAGGGUGAUCCCGUGUUUGAGCUUAAACCGUUGCCUGAUAAUCUUAAAUAUGCUUAUCUUGAUGAAAAUAAAAUAUAUCCUGUUAUUAUUAGUGCUAACCUUUCAGAGCAUGAAGAAGAAAGAUUAUUGAAAACUCUGAAGAAGCACCAUGCAACUAUUGGAUAUACUCUUGAUGAUCUUAAGGGCAUUAGUCCCACGCUUUGUCAACAUAAAAUAAAUUUGGAAGCGGAUGCCAAACCAGUUUGUGAUCCUCAACGACGUCUGAAUCCUAAAAUGAAAGAAGUGGUAAGAAAAGAAAUACUCAAGCUUCUGGAGGCAGGUAUAAUUUAUCCCGUUGCUGAUAGUCAGUGGGUAAGUCCUGUCCAUUGUGUCCCUAAGAAGGGAGGUAUUACUAUUGUCCCUAAUGAUAAAGAUGAAUUGAUCCCGCAAAGAAUUAUCACAGGUUAUAGGAUGGUAAUUGAUUUCCGCAAAUUAAAUAAAGCUACUAAGAAAGAUCAUUACCCCUUACCUUUUAUUGAUCAAAUGCUAGAAAGAUUAUGCAAACAUACACAUUAUUGCUUUCUAGAUGGUUAUUCUGGUUUCUCUCAAAUACCCGUGUCAGCUAAAGAUCAAUCAAAGACUACUUUUACAUGCCCUUUUGGUACUUUUGCUUAUAGACGUAUACCUUUUGGUUUAUGUAAUGCACCUGCUACCUUUCAAAGAUGCAUGAUGGCUAUAUUCUCUGACUUUUGUGAAAAAAUUUGUGAGGUUUUCAUGGACGAUUUUUCCGUCUAUGGUUCCUCUUUUGAUGAUUGCUUGAGCAAUCUUGAUCGAGUUUUGCAGAGAUGUGAAGAAACUAAUCUUGUCUUGAAUUGGGAAAAGUGCCACUUUAUAGUUAAUGAAGAUAUUGUCUUGGGGCACAAAGUUUCUGAAAGAGGUAUUGAAGUUGAUAAAGCCAAGGUUGAUGCUAUUGAAAAGAUGCCAUGUCCCAAGGACAUCAAAGGUAUAAGAAGUUUCCUUGGUCACGCUGGAUUUUAUAGGAUGUUCAUUAAGGACUUCUCAAAAAUUUCUCGGCCUUUGACUAAUUUAUUACAAAAAGAUGUACCAUUUUUCUUUGAUGAUUGUGUAGAAGCAUUUGAAAUACUUAAGAAAGCGUUAGUCUCUACACCUGUUGUUCAGCCACCUGAUUGGAAUUUGCCCUUUGAAAUUAUGUGUGAUGCUAGUGAUUAUGCUGUAGGUGCUGUUAUAGGGCAAAGAGUUGAUAAGAAAUUAAAUGUUAUCCAUUAUGCUAGUAAGACUCUAGACAAUGCUCAAAGAAACUAUGCUACUACCGAAAAUGAACUUUUAGCAGUUGUAUUUGCUUGUGAUAAAUUCAGACCCUAUAUUGUUGAUUCUAAAGUAACUAUUCACACUGAUCAUGCUGCUAUUAAAUAUCUUAUGGAAAAGAAGGAUGCAAAACCUAGACUCAUUAGAUGGGUUCUCUUGCUAUAAGAAUUGGAUUUGCAUAUUGUUGAUAGAAAGGGAGCUGAGAACCCCGUUGCAGACAACUUAUCUAGGUUAGAGAAUGUUCUUGAUGACCCACUACCUAUUGAUGAUAGCUUCCCUGAUGAGCAAUUAAAUGUCAUAAGCACUUCUCGUAGCACUCCAUGGUAUGCUGAUUAUGCUAAUUAUAUUGUCGCAAAAUUUAUACCACCUAGCUUCACAUAGCAACAAAAGAAAAAGUUUUUCUAUGACUUGCGACACUACUUUUGGGAUGACCCACAUCUUUAUAAAGAAGGAGUAGAUGGUGUCAUUAGACGUUGUGUACCUGAGCAUGAACAGGAACAGAUCCUACAGAAGUGUCACUCCGAAGCUUAUGGAGGACACCACGCCGGAGAUAGAACUGCACAUAAGGUAUUGCAAUCAGGAUUUUAUUGGCCUACUCUCUUCAAGGAUGCCCGUAAGUUUGUUUUGUCUUGCGAUGAAUGUCAAAGAAUUGGUAAUAUUAGUAGACGUCAAGAAAUGCCUAUGAAUCAUUCACUUGUUAUUGAACCAUUUGAUGUUUGGGGCUUUGAUUAUAUGGGACCUUUUCCUGCCUCUAAUGGAUAACACAUAUUUUAGUUGCUGUUGAUUACGUUACUAAGUGGGUAGAAGCUAUUCCAACUAGUAGUGUUGAUCAUAACACUUCUAUUAAAAUGCUUAAGGAAGUUAUUUUUCCGAGGUUUGGAGUCCCUUGAUAUUUAAUGACUGAUGGUGGUUUUCACUUUAUUCAUGGUGCUUUCCGUAAAAUGCUUGUUAAAUAUGACGUUAAUCAUAGGAUUGCAUCUCCUUAUCACCCACAGUCUAGUGGUCAAGUAGAAUUGAGCAAUAGAGAGCUCAAAUUAAUUUUGCAAAAGACUGUUAAUAGGUCUAGAAAGAAUUGGUCCAAGAAACUUGAUGAUGCAUUAUGGGCCUAUAGAACUGCAUAUAAAAAUCCUAUGGGUAUGUCUCCGUACAAAAUGGUCAAUGGAAAAGCUUGUCACUUACCUCUCGAACUAGAACAUAAGGCAUAUUGGGCUAUUAAAGAGCUCAACUAUGAUUUCAAACUUGCCGGUGAGAAGAGGUUAUUUGAUAUUAGCUCACUUGAUGAAUGGAGAACCCAAGCUUAUGAAAAUGCCAAGUUUUUUAAAGAAAAAGUUAAAAGAUGGCACGACAAAAGAAUACAAAAGCGUGAGUUUAAUGUAGGUGAUUAUGUAUUGCUAUACAACUCUUGUUUAAGAUUUUUUGCAGGAAAACUUCUCUCCAAAUGGGAAGGUCCCUAUGUUAUCGAGGAGGUCUAUCAUUCCGGUGCCAUAAAAAUCAACAACUUCGAAGGCACAAAUCCGAAGGUGGUAAACGGUCAAAGGAUCAAACACUAUAUCUCAGGUAAUCCUAUAAAUGUUGAAACCAAUAUUAUUGAAACCGUAACCCCGGAGGAAUACAUAAGGGACACUUUCGAGCCCGCUUCAGACUCCGAAAAGGAAUAGGUAUGUGGUACGGUAAGUAAACCGACUCCAAAACAAUUUUUAAGGCAAUAUUUCUCUGUUUUGGAAUAUUUAGAAAAAUAGAAAAAUAAUUGGCAGUCCGGGAAGGACACAAGGCCUCCACGAGGGUGGAGGGCGCGCCCUACCCCCUGGGCGCGCCCCCCUACCUCGUGAGCACCUCGAGUGCCCUUCGGACUCCGUUUUCUUGUACGAUACAUAUUUUGGUAGGUAAAAAUUCAUUAUAUAUUCUCCCGAAGGUUUUGACUCUCGUAUCACGCAAAUCUCCUCUGUUUUCAUUUCGAGUUGUUCCUGCUGCAGAUUUGAACAAGAUGUCGUCCCAAGAUUCGGAGGGAGAGAGCUACAUAGCUGAUUAUAUUGGAAAUCCAAAAGUAUAUGGGGAUGUGGAACACUAUGGCUGGACCACAGAGGAAGAAGAAGACUAUGAUCCAGAGAGGAAGGAGGAGACAAGCUCUGAUGAAGAGGAUGACCCACUGCCUCAACCUGGUGAUAUGCAUGUGGAGUUCAAGAAGUCAAGCCUCCCUAAGGUCCAAUCUAUCCCACCAUGUUUUUUUCCAGGACAGCAAGGCAACACUAUGCAAGAAGAUAAUGAAACUUGAGCUCGAGAAUGAGGAUCUGAGGGAGGAAAAUUUUAGCCUCAGGCGUAAGCUAGAGAAGAAAAGUGCAACAACUUCACCUCCAUCACCUCCGAAGAAAUAAUCACAUGGGUAUGGGCACUCCCCUUGGCAACUGCCAAGCUUGGGGGAGGUGCCCUGGUAUCGUAUCACUAUCACAACUCCUAACUUUACCGUUUUUCUUAGUUUGACCUUUUUAGUAGUAUCUUGAUUUAGUAGAAUAAAGUCUUGGCUUGAUCUAGUUUUGAGUUUUGCUUUACGAUCCCUCUAUGUAAUCGAGUUCGUGAGCUAUCUAUAUAAUAAAUAUUAGUGUUGAGUCAAGGGCUUGAUUAUUUUGCCAUGAUCUUGGGUGAAUAGAAAGAAGAAAAGAAUAAAAAGAAUCAAAGAGUCCAUAUUGAUCUUGUUGAAAGUAAUGACUUCAUACUUUUUGCUUUGUGAAAAGAUCAUCACUUGAACAUAAGUAAUCAUAUGAAAAAAUCUCUACAUGUUGCUGUUAUGGAAAUAAUCAUGAUGCCUUCAUGUCCGUAUUUUAUUUUUAUCGACGCCUCUACCUCUAAACAUGAGGACAUAUUUAUUGUUAUCGGCUUUUCGCUUGAGGACAAGCGAGGUCUAAGCUUGGGGGAGUUGAUACGUCCAUUUUGCAUCAUGCUUUUAUAUCAAUAUUUAUUGCAUUAUGGGUUGUUAUUUCACGUUAUGUCACAAUACUUAUGGCUAUUCUCUCUUAUUUUACAAGGUUUACAUGAAGAGGGAGAAUGCCGACAGCUAGAAUUCUGGGCUGGAAAAGGAGCAAAUAUUGGAGACCUAUUCCGCGCAACUCCAAAAGUCCUGAAACUCCACGGAAUAUCUUAAAAUAAAUAAAGAAAAAUCGUCGCCAAAGAUGAAGGCCAGGGGGCCCACACCCUGCUCACGAGGGUGGGGGCGCGCCCCCUACCUCGUGGGCCCCCUGGUGGCUCUCCGAUGCCCAUCUUCUCCUAUAUGAAGUAUUUCGAUGAGAAAAAAACGAGAGGCAACCUUUCGGGACGAGACUCCGCCGCCACGAGGCGGAAUCUUGGCGGAACCAAUCUAGGGCUCCAGCAGAGCUAUUUUGCCGGGAACACUUCCCUCCGGGAGGGGGAAAUCAUCACCAUCGUCAUCACCAACGCUCCUCUCAUCGGGAGAGGGCAAUCUCCAUCAACAUCUUCACCAGCACCAUCUCAUCUCCAAACCCUAGUUCAUCUCUUGUAUCCAAUUCUUGUCUCCAAGUCUGGGAUUGGUGCUAGUAGGUUUCUAGUAGCGUUGACUACUCCUUGUAGUUGAUGCUAGUUGGUUUAUUUGGUGGAAGAUCAUAUGUUCAGAUCCUUUAUGCACAUUAUUACCCCUCUGAUUAUGAACAUGAAUAUACUUUGUGAGUAGUUACGUUUGUUCCUGAGGACAAGGGAGGAGUCUUGCUAUUAGUAGUCAUGUGAAUUUGGUAUUCGUUCGAUAUUUUGAUAAGAUGUAUGUUGUCUAGCCUCUAGUGGUGUUAUGUGAAUGUCGACUAAAUAACACUUCACCAUUAUUUGGGCCUAGAGGAAGGCAUUUGGAAGUAAUAAGUAGAUGAUGGGUUGCUAGAGUGACAGAAGCUUAAACCCUAGUUUAUGCGUUGCUUCGUAAGGGGCUGAUUUGGGUCCAUAUGUUUCAUGCUAUGGUUAGGUUUACCUUAAUACUUUUGUUAUAGUUGCGUAUGCUUGCAAUAGAGGUUAAUCAUAAGUGGGAUGCUUGUUCAAGUAAGAACAUCACCCAAGCACCGGUCCACCCACAUAUCAAAUUAUCAAAGUACCGAACGCGAAUCAUAUGAGCGUGAUGAAAACUAGCUUGACGAUAUUCCCAUGUGUCCUCGGGUGCGCUUUUCCUAUUAUAAGAGUUUGUCCAGGCUUGUCCUUGCUAUAAAAAGGAUUGGGCCACCUUGCUGCACUUUAUUUACUUUUGUUACUUGUUGCUCGUUACGAUUUAUUUUAUAACAAAACUAUCUCUUACCACUUAUUUCAGUACUUGCAGAGAAUACCUUGCUGAAAACCGCUUAUCAUUUCCUUCUGCUCCUCGUUGGGUUCGACACUCUUACUUAUCGAAAGGACUACGAUAGAUCCCCUAUACUUGUGGGUCAUCAGGUACUUGUUCUCGGUCGUCACUUCAUUCAACACAUGAUAAUCAACAACCAUCCUUAACGAUCCAUCCUUCUUCUCCACUAGUAGUACUGGGGCUCCCCAUGGUAAUGAACUUAGUCGAAUUUAACCUUUAUCCAGUAACUCCUUAAUCUGAUUCUUAAUUUCCUCCAAAUCCUUUGCGGGCAUCCGAUAUGGUCUCUUAGAUAUUGGCCCUAUGCCCGGCAAAAUCUCAAUCAAAAACUCAAUGUCUCUAUCCGGUGGCAUGCGUGGCAACUCAUCCGGAAAUACGUCGGGGUAAUCCUUCACCACUGGUACUUCCUCCUAUACAACUCCUAAUAAGGGAUUAACUUGAGCCCUCUUUAGCACAUACCGGGAUACAUACUUGAUCCUUCUUCCUUCUGGGGUGGUGAGCAUAAUUGACUUACUAGCGCAAUCGAUGUUUCUUCCAUACAUCGAUAACCUAUCCAUACCCAAAAUCACAUCCAAUCCUUGCGACUCCAGAAUUAUCAGAUCCGAGGGGAAAACAUGCCUACCUAUGGUCAAUGGCAUAUGAAAACAUCCUUGGCUUGCCAUAUGCUCCGCUCCCAGCGAGCUUACUAACAUAGGUGUCCUAAGAACUUUGGUGGGCAACUUAUACUUAUCCACGAAUCCCCUUGAUAUGUAUGAAUGCGAUGCACUAGUAUCAAAAAGAAUGAUUGCAGUAUAUGACUUAACCAAAAACUUACCUAUAACUGCAUCUGGCUGCUCUUCAACCUCCUCCAUGCUAACGUGGUUCACUUGUCCCCUGUUGAAAGGGUUGGGAUUCUUCCCAGAGCUUCCAUUGCCAUUUCCAUUCUUUGAUUCAGAACACUCGGUGAUAUAAUGUCCGUUCUUCCCGCACUUGAAACAAGUCAUGUGACUUAGAUCCUUCUUGGCGGGCGUUGCUCGGUUGGAACGGUUCUGGCCAUUGCUUCCUCCAUUCCCAUUACCAUUGUUGGGGCCAUGAUGGUUAGGCGAACUUCCUCCAUUGGCAUUAUGGCCUCCAUGGUUAUGGUGAAUGUGUCCUCUCGAGUUCGGGGUAAAACGAGGCCUCUGCUGAGCUCCUGAAUUGUACUUCCCUUGUCCAUACUUCCUCUUGCGGCUAUCUAUCUGCUUCUGCUUCCCUUCAAUCAUAAGUGCUCUAUCCACCAACUCCUGGUAGUUGUUGAAGGUUGCCACCAUCAAUUGCAUGAUCAACUCAUCAUUUAGUCCUUCUAAAAACUUCUCCUGCUUAGCAACAUCAGUAGCUACGACAUCAGGGGCAUAGCGUGCUAACUUGCUAAACUCAUCCACAUACUGGCCCACUGUGCAUCCUCCUUGGUGCAAGUUGCGAAAAUCGCUCUUGUUCAUGUUCAUAGCUCCUGCUGAAACAUGGGCAGUGCGGAAAGCCUGCUGAAAUUGAUCCCAUCUAACAGUGUCAAUGGGGUAAGUGGCUGUGAAAUUCUCUCACCAUGAUGUUACGGGUCCAUCAAGCUGAUGUACGGCAAAACGCACUCGCUCCGCAUUUGUGCAUCCUGCAGUGGUCAGCUCCCUUCCAAUCUUGCGGAGCAAAUCAUCUGCAACAAUCGGCUCGGUGCUACUAGAUAACACCGGCGGAUUCAGCCUUAGGAAACGGGCUAAGUGAUCAACAGGCGGUGGUGGUGGUGGGUUGUUGUUGUUGUUGUUGACUUGGUUCUGAUUUUGAACUAGUAGCUACAUCAAGGUAUUCUGCUGCUGGAUCAACUGAGUGAGCUCCGGUAGGAAAGCAAAUCCAUUGUCAUAUCUCAGAGGCAUCUAAUGGGUUUAGAAAAGGUGAGAAAACAGAAUAGAAUGAGGUCUAAUGGGAAAACACUACACGUAUGCACAUGAGUCAAACACAAUCAAUAUCACUUGAAUCAAUUCAAACAAGGGCAUACAAUCGGUCUAACUAUCGUUACAAAAGUGCUCGGACUAUACUAUAUACAUGGGGAAAUAGUACUACUGAUAUGGUGGUCGACUAGAAGUUUUGAUCGGUGGAAGACCCCAUGAUAUGUGCUCCAGCUUCAUCAACAUAGUCAUCAUCACUAUCGUCAGGAUCAGAAUUGGUGUCGUCGAUGAUGAUGUAGUCCUCCGAACGAAUGUCCUUGGAAUGGUCGUCAUCUCCUCCUGGCGCGGGAUCUCCCAUGAAUACUCCUAGCUCCCUUGUCAGGUCGUCAUUCUUCUCCACUAGUAUCGUAAUUUCCUCCUCAUAUCCAUUGUGUGUAGACUUGAGUUCCUCCUCUAGCUCCGUAAUCCUGGUGAUUGCCUUCUUCCGAUCUAUCAUGCCUGCGCACAUCUGGUUCUCCUGGCGACGAAUGUGUUGGUUUAACUCCUGGAUGAAAGCUGCAAUGGACCUGUCCCUCCUGGUGCUGAUCAUCUCCCAUUGCUCAUCUCGGCGCCCACAUAUUUGGUAGAUAGUAUCCUUAAGAUCCUUGUGAUAAACUUCUCCAAUGCGUCCCAUGGCGAUGUGGGCUGCCAUGCUCUUUCCUAGACUCCAGGUUGGUGCAUCAAAGGAAAACUCUAUGGGCUCAGUGACUGGCAUGAACGACCUUCCUGGAACUUGAACUCGAAUCAUCCAACACUCCUCUUCUGGUAAAGUGGCGAUGUAGGUCCCGCUGAAGCUUGGUAUUCCGAUGUUCAGGUACCUAGUGACUUCCUUCAAGUGUCGCCCAAAAGGUGUAUCUUCAUCCGGUUGUGUGAACUUGUUCCUUGAGUCCGCCAUCCUAUAGAGUAGAAAAGGGAGAGGAGUCAGAAAUUAGUAGAGAAGAGUGACCUAUGGUUUUAGCUUAGUGGUCGUGUCCUACAGUCAGCGUGUGCGCUGAUACCAUCUUGUAGCGACCAGACCUCAAACAGUCUAGUCUCUGUGCAUCAGUGUCAUCCCUGGAUUAGUAAUGCUGACACGCACAGUACUUGAGGAUUUAUAACAGAGUUUUAAUCACACAAUUAUUACAUCGAAUGUCUCAAAAGAGAACUUAUUACAAUAAUGCGGCUUAAGGCCAUCUAAAUAAGAUAAUAGUGGAAGGCUUGGAAGAUAAAGUGAGUCCAUCAACUCCAACGGCAUAGCUGAGUGAAUGACAAUGACCUAUGGCACCUUACUCGUCGUCUGAAAGUCUGCAACAUGAUAUGUUGCAGCUCGAAAUGGGUCAGCACAUGGAAUAUGCUGGCAAUGUAACACAAAGAGUAAUGAACAGAAUAAAUGCUAUCACUACAUGCAUAUAUGGAUGGUGGAAAGCUCUAUGGUUAAAGUUUUUGCAUAAAGCCAAUUUUCCCUACAUCAAAGGAAUAAAUUUAUUUAACUAUCAUGGUGGUUGUUAAACAUUGAGAAGGUUCCUCCAACUCAAUCCCAAUUAACCAAUAUCAACUUAACCCAAACAAAUUAAUUUAGAGUGAUGAGAUCAACAUGAUAAUCGAAGAACCAGAUACUCAAGACGUCCAUAACCGGGGACACGGCGAACCAUGAUUAGUUUGUACACUCUACACAGGUUUGCGCACUUUUCCCCACAAGACUCGAUCUCCUAUGUUAGAUUUCUCGCACUACAUGGUGUUUGAGAAACGAAUGGCCGAAACACAUUCUUUCAAAAACAUUAACUCUUUACUCUGGAUGGACAGUUACACCUACUUUCCCCUACAUCUGCUAGCCCACCACUGAAAGAGGUCAUGCAACCUACUCAACUAUGCUAGAGCCCAUAAUAGCUUGUGACUACACACGGAAGUUUCUAGCAUGAAAUAUCUUAUGAUCCCUUUGAGCCUAGGUGGCGAACCGUAGGAUGGUCACACGGGUACUCUGAGAUAUCCUAGGACAACACUGGCUUCUCCAGGUGCCCGCAACCAAUCCACCAAGAUGUGUAUUUAAGUAGCCACCUUAAAUUAACCAUUAAUUAACAAUACUCACAUCUUUCAUGGAUACACUCACCCAAUCCACGUCUACGAGCAUAGCAUAACAAUUCUGAGCAUAACAUAGAAGUAACUCCCAAAGGUUUGAUAAUAAAAGGGCAAUAGGUUCUACCUCAUCAUCUACUUCCCAAACCCACAUGUUAAUUAGAUCCUAACUGUAGGUAUCAAAACCGGUGGAUCUCGGGUAGGGGGUCCCGAACUGUGCGUCUAGGCGGAUGGUAACAGGAGACAAAGGGACAUGAUGUUUUUACCCAGGUUCGGGCCCUCUCGAUGGAGGUAAAAACCUACUCCUGCUUGAUUAAUAUUGAUGAUAUGGGUAGUGAAAGUGCAACUAUCCCUAGGUGGUUUUGGUAAUUCGUAACAACAUAUAGCCCAUUGAGCUAAUGCUAUUCCAAGACAUAUGUUUCAGGAAAGCUCAAUGAAUGGCAUGGCAUGGAUGAUGAAAGUGGAUCCCUCAAAAUAUCAAGGACAAAGGAUUGGCUCAAGCUCAAAAGCUCAAGACUCUUCAUUUUAUAUUUCAGUGAUCCACGAUCACAUUGAGUCUAUAGGAAAAGCCAAUACUAUCAAGGAGGGAUGAGGUGUUGCUUAAUGAGCCUCUUGCUUCAUUUGCUCAGUGUUAUGCUCCAAAACCCUCAACUACUUUCUCACAUCCACAAAUGACCUAAACCUAAAGCCAAAAUCGGUCACACCGAUUCUUUCUAUCCGGCACUACCGAGUUCAGAUGUCAUAGCCACUGCCACAAACCCUAGGCAAAUCGGUCUCACCAAUAGGGAUCUCGGUCUCACCGAGAUGGGAUUGUAAUCUCUCUGUUUCCCUUCGUAACGUUUUGGUCUAACCAAAGUGAGCGAUCGGUCCCAUCGAGAUUGCAAUGUAAACUCUCGGUUUCCCUUUUGUAACAUUUCGGUCUCACCGAAAAGAGAAAAUCGGUCCCAUCGAGUUUACCUGACCAGCUCUCUGGUUAGCUAAUUACCAAAAUCAGUCCUACCGAGUUUGUGUAAUCGGUCUCAUCGAGAUUACGUUAUGCCCUAACCCUAAUCAUAUCGGUCCUACCGAGUUGCAUUUCUCUCCCACCGAAAAUCCUAACGGUAACUAGGUUUACUAAAUCGGUUUGACCGAGUUUGUUGAUUCGGUCCCACCGAGAUUGGUAAAUUGUGUGUAACGGUUAGAUUUUGUGUGGAGGCUAUAUAUACCCCUCCACCUCCUCUUCCACUAGUAGAAAAGGGGGCAUUGGUCCAGGCUGGGUCAGCCCAUUAGUCUCGGUUCAAUCCAGAACCGGGACCAAUGGGGGCAUUGGACCCGGUUCGUGAGCCCCGGGGGCCGGCCGGGCCACGUGGGCCAUUGGUCCCGGUUCGUCUGGACCUUUUGGUCCCGGUUGGUGGGACGAACCGAGACCAAUGGUCCUCGCUCCUGACCCACCACUAUUGGUCCCGGUUGGAGGCAUGAACUAGGACCAAAGGCCGCCCAUUAGUCCCGGUUCAUACCACCAACCGGGACUAAAGGGUUGGUCCUCGUUGCGGCCAGAGUUUAGUCCCACCUCACCAACCGAAGGGGGCUCACACCGGUUUAUAAGCCCCUCCCUCUCUGCCUUGUUGAGCUCCUCUCAAAAUGAAAAUAGAUGCCCUUAUACAGGAAAUUUGAUCUAAAUUCAUACUGAAUUUCUCUGAAGUUAGUAGAAAUUUAUUAUGAAUUUAGGUUGAAUUUUCUCUAUAAGCGCAUCUAUGCUCAUUUUUUAGUAAAGUUAAUCACAACUAUUUUUUCUUCUAUUUAUUUCUGAGUAGUUUUUAUAUAGUUUUUUUCUUUUCUGCUAUAUUUAUUUUUUCUAUUUAUUUCUGNNNNNNNNNNNNNNNNNNNNNNNNNNNNNNNNNNNNNNNNNNNNNNNNNNNNNNNNNNNNNNNNNNNNNNNNNNNNNNNNNNNNNNNNNNNNNNNNNNNNNNNNNNNNNNNNNNNNNNNNNNNNNNNNNNNNNNNNNNNNNNNNNNNNNNNNNNNNNNNNNNNNNNNNNNNNNNNNNNNNNNNNNNNNNNNNNNNNNNNNNNNNNNNNNNNNNNNNNNNNNNNNNNNNNNNNNNNNNNNNNNNNNNNNNNNNNNNNNNNNNNNNNNNNNNNNNNNNNNNNNNNNNNCUGAGUUGUAAUAAGUCAUUAAAAAUAAAAAAGAUUUUAGUAAAGUUAAUCACAACUAUUUUUUCUUCUAUUUAUUUUUGAGUAGUUUUUUAUAUAUUUUUUCUUUUCUGCUAUAUUUUUUCUUUUCUAUUUAUUUCUGUGUGGUAAUAAGUCAUUAAAAAUAAGCAUAUAUGCUCAUUUUUUUAGUAAAGUUAAUCACAACUAUUUUUUCUUCUAUUUAUUUCUGAGUAGUUUUUUAUAUAGUUUUUUUUCUUUUCUGCUAUAUUUAUUUUUUUCUAUUUUUUUCUGUGUGCUAAUAAGUCAUUAAAAAUAAAAAAGAGGCACAAUGCUAGUUAAUUCGCUUCAAGCCUUUCGGAAUAGUGUAAACUGCACUGCACAAAGCUCCGUGCAGUCUACCCUAUUCCUCAAGGCUUGAAGCGAACCAACGUGCAGGUGAGCAUUGAGCCUCUUCUUCAUCGUCUUUGCACUCAGGGCUUAUAAACAGCCGCGAGUGCCUCUCACUUGGCGAGGUGGGACUAAAAAAACAGUUGCAGAAAAAAUUAACUAAAAAAUAGCCGCAGAAAAUAAAUAAGUAAUUAGACGGGUCCAUUGGUACCGGUUGGUGGCUCCAACCGGGACCAAUGCCCCUCUUUAGUCCCGGGUGGUGGCACCAACCGGGACCAAUUCCCCCCCUUUAGUCUCGGGUGGUGGCACCAACCGGGACCAAAGCCCUCUGCUUCCCGCCCUUUGGGCUGCUGAAAAGAGGCCUUUGGUCCCGGUUGGUGCUACCAACUGGGACUAAAGGGGCCAUUAGUCCCGGUUGGAGCCACCAACCGGGACCAAAGACUUUGCUAUAUAAGGAAAAUUUCAGAACCGCAUCCCCACUUUGAUCUCUCCUCCUCCUCGAUCUCCCAACGCCAUGCGCCGUCGCCUGCCGCCACCUCGCCGUCGCCGCCCCGCCCCGACGCCGUCGCCGCCCUGCCCCGACGCCGNNNNNNNNNNNNNNNNNNNNNNNNNNNNNNNNNNNNNNNNNNNNNNNNNNNNNNNNNNNNNNNNNNNNNNNNNNNNNNNNNNNNNNNNNNNNNNNNNNNNNNNNNNNNNNNNNNNNNNNNNNNNNNNNNNNNNNNNNNNNNNNNNNNNNNNNNNNNNNNNNNNNNNNNNNNNNNNNNNNNNNNNNNNNNNNNNNNNNNNNNNNNNNNNNNNNNNNNNNNNNNNNNNNNNNNNNNNNNNNNNNNNNNNNNNNNNNNNNNNNNNNNNNNNNNNNNNNNNNNNNNNNNNNNNNNNNNNNNNNNNNNNNNNNNNNNNNNNNNNNNNNNNNNNNNNNNNNNNNNNNNNNNNNNNNNNNNNNNNNNNNNNNNNNNNNNNNNNNNNNNNNNNNNNNNNNNNNNNNNNNNNNNNNNNNNNNNNNNNNNNNNNNNNNNNNNNNNNNNNNNNNNNNNNNNNNNNNNNNNNNNNNNNNNNNNNNNNNNNNNNNNNNNNNNNNNNNNNNNNNNNNNNNNNNNNNNNNNNNNNNNNNNNNNNNNNNNNNNNNNNNNNNNNNNNNNNNNNNNNNNNNNNNNNNNNNNNNNNNNNNNNNNNNNNNNNNNNNNNNNNNNNNNNNNNNNNNNNNNNNNNNNNNNNNNNNNNNNNNNNNNNNNNNNNNNNNNNNNNNNNNNNNNNNNNNNNNNNNNNNNNNNNNNNNNNNNNNNNNNNNNNNNNNNNNNNNNNNNNNNNNNNNNNNNNNNNNNNNNNNNNNNNNNNNNNNNNNNNNNNNNNNNNNNNNNNNNNNNNNNNNNNNNNNNUUAAUUAAUAAAACUACCUUAUUUAACUAUAUAUAGAAGUAGUUUGUAGUAAGUGCUACUUUAUUUAUUUAUAGUAAGUGCUACUUUAUUUAUUUAUAGUAAGUGCUACUUUAUUUAUUUAUAGUAAGUGCUUAGUAGUUGAACUAGAGAGUUGAUUUAAUUAAUAAAACUACUUUAUUUAACUAUAUAUAGAAGUACGUAGUUCCCGCAUAGACGUCGGCGAUGCCUAUCCCGCAUCCUCGUCGUCGUCGACUCGGCGGUGGAGGCCUGCUUGAUCAGGGCCAUGUUCGGGACUGGGCUCCGCCGGGCUGGUAUUGGGAGGUGCUACCUUCUGGGGGACGUAGGUUGGUGAGGAGGUAGCCCGUUGUUGACCCGAUCCUUGUUUGGUGGCCGUCGCGUGGGCCAGUGACGGUGCCGAGGUUUCUGGACACCGCGGAGGUGGUACGUCAUCGUGUCAGCGAGGAGGACGAGCACGUCCGUUGCUACAUGGUUGCGUUGGAGGGCAGGUUCGACAAUACCUGGCAGGUUCUUCAGGGAUCUCACUGGAGCUAUGGUCCUGUGAUCGUUCCUUAUCUUUGGGUGUCCACCGCCCGCGACGAUACCCGUCGGGCGCUACGGUUCUAGCUGUAUUAAUUAGCGAUGCUAUAUGUAUGAUAGUAUUCGAGGAGUAUUCGACGAUGUACGGACAUAAGAGAUGAUGUACUUUUGGUUAUAAUUGAAUGCAUGCUAAUUUGAAUACUACUUUAUUUUACGAUUUGGUUUUGCUUAUUGAAUGCUCAUAUUGGAAAAGUACUCCUACUUUGAAUGCUAAAAUUGAAGAGCACUCUAUGCAGAAAUCUAGGAGCCCCUCCAUCAUCCACGCCGUCGUGGGGGUAGCUUCCCCUUCAUUCCUGUGUGCUAGACAAUUUGUUGUAAUAAUGCACUCGGGAAUGAAAGGAGGAGCUACGUACCAUCACCGAUAGUCAACCUGUGAUUAAUAAUAAUCUAAUUUAGGUUUUUUAGUACAUAUAUUUAAUAUUUGAAUUAUGAACUUAGGCCGGAAAUGUCGUACUCGGACGAUGAAAACCGCUUGGGGGAGUGCGACUGGUGCCACGACGACCGAGGUAUGUGCGACAGGUUCAUUGAGCUGGACGAAGAUCGGCGCUUCAGCAUUAAGCUCGAGGAGACCUUCGAUGUUCAUACGGUAUGCAACGACGACAAUAGUUUUUUUUUGUAAUUAAGCACGACUUCAACUAUUUUAACGUGUAAUUUUCAUCUUUUCCAAUUCGACUAGCUUAUCCCAUGCUUUGCAAGACGCCAUGUCUUGGAGAGGAUGGGUUUUGAAGACCAUGAAAGUAUGGAAACCAAAAAAAUUAUCCUAAGUACCCAUCAUGGUGUGGAUUUUCAAGUAAAGUUGUACAAUGCUCAGAGUGUAACCCAUUUUGGUUGCAAAAACUGGGAAGCACUUUGCAAGAUAUAUGGUUUUGAUGAGAGUAUGCUUGUCACCAUGGAUCUUGGUGAUCCUACAAUCGCGCAAGAGAGACCUUCGAUUUUCGUCCUUGUGGAUACACCUCCAAUUCUUCCCCCAUGUGAGCUUAACAUAGUUAUUAAGUAAUUUAUAUUGUUUAUUUCAAAAUAGUUGACAACUUAUUUCCAUUGACAACUUAUUUUCAUUCUUCAAAGAAUGUGCGGAAGAUGGUAGACAAAACCUACUACACCGAAGGCUCCAAAUUAACUUAUCAGGAGAAAAAUCAUCUGGUUGCAUUUUGUACUGAUCUUGAGAAUUACAAUAUCUACAAUCAAACUCCUCAACAUUAUGGUCAAUACGUGCCACUAGUGCACGUGUUGAACUACGAUAACUACCAUGGAGAUACCCUGGUAAGAUUUUUUACUAUUACGACAUCCGUGCAUCUUUUUGCACACUUCUAAAACUAGUACAUCAUUGCUAACUACGAAGUUAUUACUAUGUUUUUCAACAGAUAAUCCCAAAUGAUUGUGUGCCUCAUCUGAUGUAUACGCACGGUAGCCUUCAUGUUUUGAACAUACAAUCAGGUCUUCCUACGAAUCUGAACUCUCCAUACCGGGUUUCUAAAAGAAGUGGAGACAUGACAAUCAAAGAAUGGAAAAAAUGUAUGGAGAGUCGUAAGGAGCUUCUUGGAAGCAAAAAUCAGCAAAGGGCAAGAAUUGGAGAUAGGAUGAUCGCCAUUCUUCAUAAUGGAGAGUCAGGGUCUAUAUUGUUUUAUACUAUUUUACCUUAAGGGUGUUUAGGUCAUGUCCUACCUGAUACUGAUGAUCAUGUGCUAAGAACAAUUAUGUAGGGUUGGGUUCGAUGACUAUGAGGAUGAUGAUCGUAUGACUUAUUAUUAAUAACGAGUAGAAGUUGUAUGAUGAUGCAUGAUUAGUAGGACUUGUUAUUAUAUAUGAUGAUGUAUGAUGUGAGCAUGCAUGAGUUAUUAUAUCAGCGGGUGAAAUGAACAUAUAUAGCAGCAGCGUUGGUAAACCAAGGACGAAGAUAUAAGAGAGGACACUUCUCUCUAUUAGCUAGCUAAUAACAACCUAAAAAUAACCCCCAAAACCCCUAAAGCAGCCACUUUUCUAAAAAAAACAUGGACUUUUGGUCCCGGUUGGUGCCACCAACCGGGACCAAAGGCCCCCUAACUGGGCUCGACGCACAGGGCCACGUGGAGGCACAUUGGUCCCGGUUCGUGUUUGAACUGGGACUAAUGGGUGGAGGUAUUAGUAACGACCCAUUAGUCCCGGUUCAUGAACCGGGACUAAAGGCCCUUACGAACCGGGACUAUUAGGUGUUUUUCUACUAGUGUUCAUUCGUGGAGAGAGCCAUCAGAACAAACCUACACUUCCAACUUACCAGUUCUGAGAGAGAACCACCUACUCAUGUGUUGAGGCCAAGAUAUUCCAUUCCUACCAUAUGAAUCUUGAUCUCUAGCCUUCCCCAAGUUGCUUUCCACUCAAAUCUUCUUUCCACCAGAUCCAAAUCUUAUGAGAGAGAGAGUUGAGUGUUGGGGAGACUAUCAUUUGAAGCACAAGAGCAAGGAGUUCAUCAUCAACGCACCAUUUGUUACUUCUUGGAGAGUGGUUUCUCCUAGAUUGGCUAGGUGUCACUUGGGAGCCUCCGACAAAGAUUGUGGAGUUGAACCAAGGAGUUUGUAAGGGCAAGGAGAUCGCCUACUUCGUGAAGAUCUAUCGCUACUGAGGCAAGUCCUUCGUGGGCGACGACCAUGGUGGGAUAGACAAGGUUGCUUCUUCGUGGACCCUUCAUGGGUGGAGCCCUCCGUGGACUCGUGCAACCGUUACCCUUCGUGGGUUGAAGUCUCCAUCAACGUGGAUGUACGAUAGCACCACCUAUCGGAACCACGCCAAAAACAUCCGUGACUCCAACUGCGUUUGAAUCCUCCAAACCCUUCCCUUUACUUUCUUGCAAGUUGCAUGCUUUAAUUUCCGCUGCCUAUAUACUCUUUGCAUGCUUGCUUGAUUUGUGUGAUGAUUGCUUGACUUGUCCAAAGUUGCUAAAAUCUGUCAAACUCUAAAAUUGGGAAAAGGUUAAGUUUUUAAUUGGUCAAGUAGUCUAAUCACCCCCCUCUAGACAUACUUCAAGGUCCUACAAGUGGUAUCAGAGCCUUGAUCUCCAUUUGCUUUGAUUUCCAUAGCUUUUGGUGGUCAUAGCCUUGGUUUCACAACCUAGGAGAGUAUGGCGUCUAGCGAGGGAAAUUAUCACCGUAGAGGUCCUUACUUUGAUGGAACUAAUUUUGCUAGUUGGAAGCAUAAGAUGAAAAUGCAUAUUGUCGGACAUAACCCCGCCGUUUGGGCUAUUAUUUGUAUUGGCUUGCAAGGUGAAUUCUUUGAUGGGAGAGAGACGAACCGUGAAGCUAAUGCGGAAGAAUUGAAGAUGCUGCAAUACAACGCUCAAGCUUGUGAUAUCAUCUUCAAUGGAUUGUGCCCCGAAGAGUUCAACAAAAUCAGCCGUCUUGAGAAUGCAAUGGAAAUUUGGGACACAUUGAUUGAUAUGCAUGAAGGUACCGACUCCGUCAAGGAAUCCAAGUUGGAUGUGCUCCAAAGUCAGCUUGACAAGUUCAAAAUGAAGGAUGGUGAAGGUGUCGCUGAAAUGUACUCUAGGCUUGCUCUUAUCACAAAUGAGGCUGCUGGCUUAGGGAGUGAAGAGAUGACCGACAGAUUCAUCAUCAAGAAGAUCCUAAGAGCAUUGGAUGGAAAAUAUGGUACCGUGUGCACAUUGAUCCAAAUGAUGCCCAAUUACAAGAAUCUCAAGCCAACGGAGGUCAUUGGUAGAAUUGUUGCUCAUGAGAUGUCACUCAAGGAUAAGGAGGAACUUCACAACAAGUCAAGUGGUGCUUACAAAGCCUCAUGUGAAGCCCCCACAUCAUCAAGUGAGAAACAAACCUUCAAUGAAGAAUUGAGCUUAAUGGUGAAGAAUUUCAACAAAUUAUACAAGAGUAGAAGCAAAGAAAGAAGCUCUAAGUCAAGGUCCUACAAUGACAAAAGAUCUUCUAGUCGAGAGCGCAACUGCUACAAUUGUGGGAGACCUGGACACUGUUCCAAUGAGUGUAUGGCACCCUACAAAAGAAGAGAAGAUUCUCCAAAAAGAAGAAGUAGAAGAGAAGAAUCACCACCAAGAGAGAGAAGGAGUAGAGAUGAUCGUUAUGAACGAAGACCCUCACGGAGAAGCAAAGAUUCGGAAAGGAAGGACAAGUCAUCAAAGAGCUACACAAAACGAAGACAUCAAGCUCAUGUUGGUGAAUGGGGUAUCCGGCUCUGAAUCUGAACAUCACUCCGAGAGAAGCUAUCACUCCGACUCUGAACAUACUCAAGAUGAAGGUGUUGCCGGUCUAGCACUUGUGUCAACCAACUCCUACGACAUAUUUGACUCACCAAAUGAAGGAAUUGGAAGAUGCUUCAUGGCCAAAGGUCCAAAGGUAACACAUCCCGAGUAUGUUGAUUUCAAUAGUGAUCAAGAUGACUUGCUAGGUGAUGAUGAUUUACUUAUUGACAACUCUAGUGAUGAAUACUAUGAUGAAACAUCAAUUAAUCAUGCUAAACAAGAUAAAACGAAUGACAAUGAUAAGGAGAAGAUUGAGCUUCUAACUAAAGAACUAAACACUCUUAAGUUAGCUCAUGAAACUAUCUUCGAAAAUCAUCGAGAACUUUUAAGGGCUCAUGAGAAUUUACGCUUUGAAAAGCUCAAUCUUGAGCAAGAACAUGAGUUCUUAAAGGCAAUCAAUGAUGAUCUUCACAAGAAAAGUUCUUCUUAUAUUGCCAAGCGUUUACUCUUAUCUACUUACAUGCCUCAAGUCAAGUAUAGUAACAAGAACAAGAAAGAUUCUUCCUCUAAUAGUAACAAUAACCAUGCUAAAUCCAAUAUUGUUGCUUCUAGUAGUUCUCUUGACUCCACUAAUGAUUCUCUUAGCCAAGUUACACUUGAGCAAGAAAAUAGCUUAUUGAAGGGAAUUAUAGAGAAAGGUGUAUACAAGAGCCUUGCCGGGAGUAAGCAAUUCAAGGAAAUUGUACGCAAGCAAGGAAGGCACCGGAAGAAUCAAGGUGUUGGUUUUGAACAAAAGUUCAAUGCCAAUGGAGUUGAGUGGGAAGAAGAUCAAUACCCCAAGACGAAGUUUGUUCCUCAACAAGAGAAGUAUGAUCCUACUUCUUUCAAGGGAACACAAGCUCAAGAUGAUCUUCCACCACAAGACCAUAAAGGCAAGGACAAGCUUCAAGAGGAGAUUGAUGCAUUUGAAGAAGCACCUAAGGCCUUGGUCAAGUGGGUUCCCAAGACUACGUCAAGUUCUACUUCAUCAAGUACAACUACAACUCCAAGGAUUCCCAUCAAGAUGAUGUGGAUCCCGAAGAAGAAGAACUAGAGAGUUCUUGAGGGUGACUCCGCCAACAUUCUUCACUCAUAUCUUUAUGGCAAGAACAAGUGCAAUCAACCUCCACAUCUUGCACUAGUUCAAGGAGUCACAAAUCCUCAUGUUGGUAAGGCAAGGGACAAGGUAACCAAAUGAUUUCAUGGACAUAAUCUUGUGUGUGCAUCACUCUAUGUCUAUGGAUACUCUUGUUUUGUUCCUUGUGGGACUAACCCGUGUAGGUAUUGAAAGUGCAACUCACUCCAAAGGAUUGCUCCAUAAGACAUACAUCAACAUUGAGCAUCCACAUCUUCAACACCUACAUGAAGUCAUCAUCGACAAAACCCAAGGUUAGUUCAUCCCUCUAAGGGGGGAUCUCACAUCUAGGGGGAGCUUAACUCUAAGAAUUGAGUCAAAGCAACUCUAAUGAUGUGAACACAUCAAUGCAUUAUGUAAAAGUGGUAACCCCACUUGAGCUUAAACGAUGAGUAUCACCUAUUAUCAAAUGUUCUCAUUUGACUCCUAAGUCAAUAUACUCAUAUAUAGAUGACCUAGUCAUCGCCAAUUGUUUGAUAGAUGCUAGAAUUGGUUGUGCAUGCUUUGCCACAUAUUUCAUUUGUCACUUUAUUGUGUGAGCAUGCUGGUUGCAUAUUUUACUCAUUCGUGGACAUCCACUUGUUGUUUUGAUUGAUUGGUUUCCUUUUUCUUUGGCCAAGUGGAUGGACAAGAAUGCCUAAGAACCUUCUCUAGAUAUCUAUGCUUUUCUCGUCUCAAACUCUAUUCAUGCUACAUCACAAAAUUUGAUCAAGUCAGAUUCAAACCACUCUGUGUGAGGAGCACUCGGAGUCCCUGAUUCGUCAUAGACUUAAACUUCCAAAACUUCUUUGUGAUUCUCGGUCUGACUGAUUCCCCCAUUUCGGUCCCACCGAGAUCACUAAGUCGAUCUAGGUUUUCAAUCUUGGUGCAACCGAUUAGAACUUUUCGGUCACACCGAGUUGAUCAACUCGGUCACACCGACAGUGUCGGGCUAUAUAUAGACACGGGCAAAAAUUUGGAAAUUCCUCCAAACCCCUUCGCCCGCGCGUAGCUCGCUCUGCCUACUAGGUCUACGGAUCGUCGACUUCGUCGCCAGCCGCCUCCUGUCGCUGGUCUCCGCCGUCGUCAACGGAUUUCUUCUCCGCCGUUGCCGCCGUAGCGAGUUCACCGCCGAACUAGGGUAUGAACUCGAUCACAGUGCUUUCCUCAUCUGAUUCUCAGCACAUUGUGUUCGUAAUGCACCUUGCCACGAUUGAAACACUCCUAUCCAGCCAAUGAGAUCCUUAGAAUAGAUGUGAUUCGAAAAUUUAGGGUUAGGUUUCCGCCGAAACCAUCUCGGACCCACCGAGUUGAAAAACUCGGUCCCACUGAUCUGGCUAACGCCAUUGCACUAGUAAGUCUCGGUCUGACCGAGAACUACAAAUCGGUGUGACCGAUUUUAGAACUUUGUGAAACCCUAGCAGUCUCGGUGCCACCGAACUGUGACUCGGUCUGACCGAGAUCACUAGUUUAGGUUCCAAAACUGCUUCGGUAUCACCGAGUUUGAAAAUCGGUAGAUCCGAAAUGCUUUCUGUAGAAACUAAAACUAAGUUUUUAAAUCAUUUUUUUUGCAAAAAUCUCUGCAUUUUGUGAUGCUCAUCCACUCUGUCUCAACUAUAACUAUUCACAGGGUCAGCAGUCAGUGAUUUGCAGCAUGUCAGACCAUAGUGAUAGUCAGAACAGAGAAGAAGAGCAGAUUCACAUGAGUGAGGGCACUAGUCCCUCAAGUACUUCAGAUGAAGGGAGCAGAAGCACUCCAAGCAAUUUGCCCAGAGCAGCCACAAGAGCUAGAAGGAAGAGAACCUCAGACUCAGAGGAUGAGGACUAUGUGGCAGCAGAAGAUGAGGCUACUUCCAAGAAGGUAGUGCUCAAGAAGGUGCUCAGUUCAACUGCAGUAAAGCCAGGCAUGAAAAUCAAAAGGCCAGUAGGAAGAUAGCCAAUCUCUAAAGCCAGAGCAUCAACUCACGUACCUGAGAUGCCUGAAGAGCCAGCUGUAGAAGGAAAGAAAAGGAAGGAAAGGGUCAAGAAGACCAUGGCCAGAGAUGUUGGUCAACCUUCCAUGAUGGAAGAGGAAGAAGAGGUUGCUGCACCAGCACCAAAGGCACAGAAGCUUAUGGGUGAUGCAAUAAAGUCAAGGGCUACAACAUCAAAGCCCAAAGAAGCACCCAAAGCUGCCCCCAAGCCCAAGAUUGCACCAAAGAGAAAUACCAGGAGUAUACCAGCAUCUAAAAAGAACAAGGCCCCAAUGCCUGAGGUUGCUGCUGAGGAAGAUGAAGAAGGGCAUGUCCUAAGAAAGCUCAAACCCAAGAUUCCAGACCACAAUGAUGCUCAUCCUGUGGCUGAGAACAUGAAGAUCAGGAAAGACUCAGGGUUGAGGCUAUGGAGAUUGUCUGAUCCAUAUGCCACCAGGAGAAGGACUACUGUAGAUUACAGGUUCCACACCAAGGAGCAGCAGGACUUCUAUGAGACAAUCUUGUUGGACAAGAAGCCUAUAGUGUGUGAUAUGAGAUGGGUCGACUGGACCUACAUAAAGGAAAAUGAAGAACACUAUCCUGGAGUGCAAGAUAGUUUCAUUGCUUGUGGAGUUGCAGAUUUUGUUGGGCAGAAGCUCACCAACUGGAAUGAUGAACUCAUUAUGCAAUUCUACUCCACAGCACACUUCUAUCCAGAUGGCAGGAUAGUUUGGAUGUCUGAAGGAACAAGAUAUCAGUCAACCAUAGAGGAAUGGGCAAAUCUGAGCAAUGCCCCAAAGGAGAGUGAAGAUGAUUUUGAUAUAUAUGCCAAGAAGAAGAUGGGACACAAUUGUAUGUCACAUAUGUACAAAGAGAUCCCAGACAAAGCCCUUGAGACUUUCUCAUUUGGGUCAGUCCAUUUUCUUCUGUCAGGGCUGCCUACGAUCAACUGGAUCUUAAGGCACACUCUUUUGCCCAAAUCAGGUGACCACAACAUGAUAAGAGGGCAUGCAAUUAACAUGCUUCACAUUUUUGAUGUGCCCCAAAAAUUCAAGGUCAUGAGCCUUAUGGUAGAAACCAUUAUGAGGACUACAACAUAUCAGAAGAGAAGUUGUGGAUAUGCCCCACAGGUUCAGGAGUUGAUAAACUCAAAGAUGGGCACAGGAAAGUAUCAGUUGGAUAAGGAACAUUUUCCUCUCUAUCCAGACUUUGAGGACAAUCAAGUUGUCAUGAAUGAGAAUGAUCCAUCAUCAGUGCAAGCUCAAGAGAAGAAGGAGAAAGCAAGGAAAGAGAAGGCUGCCAAGAUGCCAACUCAAGAGGAGGCAUCUGAGUAUUUCUUGAAGAACAAACAGGAGCAGCUUGGUUACUUGAUAGAUCAACACUGAGGAUUGAGAAGGGGUUGGCCACCCUAACUCAAAACCAGGAGAGCCUGGAAAGGAUCAUGGAACAAAAAUUCUAUGAUCUUGAUGUCAAAGUAACUGAGAUUCAGUCAGUUGUGGAGCAGCUGCAGGAUGACAUACAGGAGAGGAAGGGAAAGACAACCACAGAUGCAUUUGCCAGAGUGCCUAGAGCUCAGAGGUCAGCUAUAGUGCCUGUGUCAGACACAAGAGGUACCUCAUCUGCACUAGCUACAACUCCUACAGCUCCAGGGCAACCAGCUCCAGCACCAACUCCUCCAGCUCCCUCUACAUCAACUGAAGCCUUCAUUCUUGGAGUUAUCCGGACUCCACCACCAACUGAAGACCAAGCCUGAGAGACGAUCUAGCACUAUGCAUUUUCUAUGAACUUUUUGGUAACUUGUUGCCAAAGGGGGAGAAAAAUGUAUAGAUCAUAGGCUUCAAGAGAGAGAUUUGCUAUUUUUUGUUCUCUCUUGUCUUUCUUGGUAACUUGUUUGCUUUUGAUUGCUUGAGAUACUAUGCAUUACCUGUGAGACAUUGAUGAUCAUGUGUUUGAUCAUAAGCUACACUAAUGCUUGAUUAUAUGUUAUUAUCUUACCUAUCCUUAUAUGAUCAUUCACUUUGCUUGGUGAUGAGUGCAUGUAUUCAAUCUUUAUUAUUUUGAGCGCUCCACCAAGAUGUAUGUGACAUGGAAGAGUAAACCACGAGCCUAUUUCCUUGUGCAUUUGCAGUCCAAAGCAAAUCUUAUACUAUGCACAAAUUUAGGGGGAGCUCUUGCUUAUCACAUACUUCUCAAAGCGACGAUGUUUUUCAAUCUUAUUAUCAUAUGUCGAAGCUUUGAUCUAUAUGUUGUCAUCAAUUACCAAAAAGGGGGAGAUUGAAAGUGCAACUAUCCCUAGGUGGUUUUGGUAAUUCAUAACAACAUAUAGCUCAUUCAGCUCAUGCUAUUCCAAGACAUAUAUUUCAGGAAAGCUCAAUGAAUGGCAUAGCAUGGAUGAUGAAAGUGGAUCCCUCAAAAUAUCAAGGACAAAGGAUUGGCUCAAGCUCAAAAGCUCAAGACUCUUCAUUUUAUAUUUCAGUGAUCCAAGAUCACAUUGAGUAUAUAGGAAAAGCCAAUACUAUCAAGGAGGGAUGAGGUGUUGCUUAAUGAGCCUCUUGCUUCAUUUGCUUAGUGAUAUGCUCCAAAACCCUCAACUACUUUCUCACAUCCACAUAUGACCUAAACCUAAAGCCAAAAUCGGUCACACCGAUUCUUUCUAUACGGCGCCACCGAGUUCAGAUGUCAUAGCCACUGCCACAAACCCUAGGCAAAUCGGUCUCACCGAUAGGGAUCUCGGUCUCACCGAGAUGGGAUUGUAAUAUCUCUGUUUCCCUUCGUAACGUUUCGGUCUAACCGAAGUGAGCAAUCGGUCCCACCGAGAUUGCAAUGUAAACUCUCUGUUUCCCUUUUGUAACAUUUUGGUCUCACCAAAAAGAGCAAAUCGGUCCCACCAAGUUUACCUGACCAACUCUCUGGUUAGCUAAUUACCAAAAUCGGUCCUACCGAGUUUGUGUAAUCGGUCUCACCGAGAUUACGUUAUGCCCUAACCCUAAUCAUAUCGGUCCUACCGAGUUGCAUUUCGGUCCCACCGAAAAUCCUAACGGUCACUAGGUUUACUAAAUCGGUCUGACCAAGUUUGUUGAUUCGGUCCCACCGAGAUUGGUAAAUUGUGUGUAACGAUUAGAUUUUGUGUGGAGGCUAUAUAUACCCCUCCACCUCCUCUUCAUUCAUGGAGAGAGCCAUCAGAACAAACCUACACUUCCAACUUACCAGUUCUGAGAGAGAACCACCUACUCAUGUGUUGAGGCUAAUAUAUUCCAUUCCUACCAUAUGAAUCGUGAUCUCUAGCCUUCCCCAAGUUGCUUUCCACUCAAAUCUUCUUUCCACCAGAUCCAAAUCUUAUGAGAGAGAGUUGAGUGUUGGGGAGACUAUCAUUUGAAGCACAAGAGCAAGGAGUUCAUCGUCAACGCACCAUUUGUUACUUCUUGGAGAGUGGUGUCUCCUAGAUUGGCUAGGUGUCACUUGGGAGCCUCCGACAAAGAUUGUGGAGUUGAACCAAGGAGUUUGUAAGGGCAAGGAGAUCGCCUACUUCAUGAAGAUCUACCGCUAGUGAGGCAAGUCCUUCGUGGGCGACGGCCAUGGUGGGAUAGACAAGGUUGCUUCUUCGUGGACCCUUCGUGGGUGGAGCCCUCCGUGGACUCGCGCAACCGUUACCCUUCGUGGGUUGAAGUUUCCAUCAACGUGGAUGUACGAUAGCACCACCUAUCGAAACCACGCCAAGAACAUCCGUGUCUCCAACUAUGUUUGAAUCCUCCAAACCCUUCCCUUUACUUUCUUGCAAGUUGCAUGCUUUAAUUUCCGCUGCCUAUAUACUCUUUGCAUGCUUGCUUGAUUUGUGUGAUGAUUGCUUGACUUGUCCAAAGUUGCUAAAAUCUGUCAAACUCUAAAAUUGGGAAAAGGUUAAGUUUUUAAUUGGUCAAGUAGUCUAAUCACCCCCCCUCUAGACAUACUUCAAGGUCCUACAGGUAGUACAAGAGUUGAUCUACCACGAGAUCAGAGAGGCUAAACCCUAGAAGCUAGCCUAUGGUAUGAUUGUUGUUCGUCCUACGGACUAAAACUCCCCGGUUUAUAUAGACACCGGAGAGGGCUAGGGUUACACAAAGUCGGUUACAAUGGGAGGAGAUCUACAUAUCGUAUCGCCAAGCUUGCCUUCCACGCUAAGGAAAGUCUUAUCCGGACACGGGACGAAGUCUUCAAUCUUGUAUCUUCAUAAUCUAGGAGUCCGGCCAAAGGUCAUAGUCCGGCCAUCUGGACACCCCCUAAUCUGGACGUCCUUCACCUGAUGAGCCAGAUAAGGUUGUUAGCUCAUUUCGGACUGACCAUGAUCGAAGUCAUGGCUACAUGCAUUACGCGGGGGGUCUAGCCACUUCAGUACAGAGGCCACCCCAUGUGGGAUUUCAACGGGGAGGACGACGCCACCUGGUGCCUCCGCAAGGGGCCGGAUUCGGCUGCCACUCUAACGAAGAUCUUAUCCGCUUUGUACAAGGGAGAAGAGGAGGAAUUCCUCCAUGUCAACCCACGGGGCGGAUUCUCUAUGUACAAUCCUCCAAGCUGGGUAAGCGAACACUUUUACUUGUCUGUCCGUUUUGAAAUUCCCAUAGUUAAGUACUUAGUCUAGCAAUGUUAACGCAGGAGCUACGCCAGACUGUAAAGGAGAUAAACAGUCCUCCCCCUCAACCCGAGGACCCGAAAUGAUCCCUGGACCCGGACCUCCAAGAGGACCCGGACUUAUGCGUGGAGCUGAUUGAUGGGGUGUUUCAUCAAAUGAGUAAGGACAACACCUUAGUGGCCAUUACGGCCGAUUAUCCCGGUCUACUUCCCGCCCCACAAGUAAUCGAAACCGAAGUCUUAGUACUUUCAAGAGGAUCCAUCCGUGCUUAUUUUUUAUCGUCGUAUACCAAUGGUGUUUUUUGUAGGGGAAAUCCUUGAGGUGGAGGGCCAAGCCCACGGUGGCUAGCCAGCAAGGGCCAUCAAGGCCCAGCGGGCUGAAAAGAAGUGCGGAUCCGAUCAAGACGUCGACGCAACGGUACGGCGUCCGACUUUAAUGCCCAGGGUGCAUGCCUUCAAGGCAUACUAACGCUCAUGUUCUCUUCACGAAGAAGAGCGCACGCCAGACUAUAUCCACCGGUCAGGCUUCAAGGCUGGGUCCGGGAGCGGAGGUGAACAUGGGGCGCGCACCGGACACUCCUCCGACAGAGGACAUGGACGGGCUAUCUGCCACCAAUUCAGAGGUGGAGAGUGCCAUGAACCACAUGCAUCGUCAGACUGUUCUUCGCGACGCAUGUUUUUCCCAAGAGGCGUUGGACGCCUUUAAUACGGGAGAUGCGUACCUCCGUGCCUCUCAAAGUGGUCUAGCCAGAGCCAUAGAGCAGUAUGUAAAAGACAUACGGGUGAGUAAAUCUGAUGGUUAUAUAUGUCAGUAGCCCCCGAGACUUGAAACAGUUGAAAUAACUGAUUUAAGGAUCAUUUGAUAUGCAGGAUCUUACAAAAAAGAAUACACAACUGUCCCAGGAGCUGGAAGAGUGCAAAGCCCAACUUAAGGCCGCACUAACCGCCACAGAAAAUGCCAAGGGGACCCCCUCAGGUAAUAUAUGCUUCGAAAGAUAAGCGUGUUGUGAAGUGCGACACGUGUGCAAUUCUGACAAUAACAACACAGAUGGGGCCGGAGUGGAUCCGGACAAGCAACAACUCUUACGCCAGUUAAAGGCCGGCGAGAGCGUGCUUACGUGGGUGAGGCAAGAGAAGAACAAGCUUCAAGAUGCCAAUACCCAGCUGGGCGAGGAACUAAAGGAUGUUCGUGCUCAGCUGUCAGAUUCCGUGAAGGAGAAUCGGCGACUUCGACGCGACAUUUUUAGUAAGUGCUUGAGCGAAUCUUCGAAAAGGAGUUCGGCGAGGAAGUCGAUUGACAGAGUUAUGUCUGUAGGUAUGCUGACAGGUUGGCCUGCGGAGGAAAUGCCCGGUUCUACGGGUGACCUUCUUCCCGAGCUAUCGCAACUGCACGAACGAGUUCGGCAAGCGAUGCGAGGUGUCGUCCAGUCCUUGUGGCCAUCCCUCUCCAUGCCCGAAGGCCUUGGAGAGCUUGAAGAGAAGCUAAAGGGAGCGCGGCAGCACUUCCAAUUAUGGAAGAUUUCGGCCUGCCGUCAAGGCGCGAGGGAGGCCUAGGCCAUGGUGAAGAUGCGGUACACGAAGGCUGACCCAAACCACACGGCCGAGGUCGGACCUGUGGGGCCCGACGGGAAGGAGAUCCCUGUCAGUUUAGUGUACGACCAGGUAGAGCUGGCUGCCAAGUAUUCCCAACAGGACUGUAAAUUGGACAGCCUGUUGGAUGGUAUUGAAGAAGAAUAUACCUAGUCAAGUUGACUAUGUAAUUUAAAAUGACAUGUAAAAUGCCUUCUAGCCGGAUUGUAGAUCAUUUGUCAUUGCGGACCUUUUCGCUUCAACCUCUGGACCCGAUAGUCCGAAGUGUGUCCGAAUACCCUCUCAGUUAUGUAAGAACCGGGGCAUGCGUGGAGACCAGCCGUAGGGGUCAUAAGUGCUUUAGCAGACAAGUGCCUAACUAGUUAUGUUAUAUUACAUGGUUAGUAAGAAAUAUCUUCCAGGGAGAAUAGUUCCGUUAGGGGUUCCUUUCCCUGGGAGGCAUGCCCUAAAGUGCAUGUCCGGACUGCGAAAAAAAGCAAAAAAGCAUCUGGGGGUAGAUAAAUAAACAAGUGAAAAAUCAUCUUUUAGUUCACCGACCGAAUAUUCCCUUAAGAACGCUAGCUUUCGGCUUCACCCAGUCUGAGGUACACAUCCGGCUGAUCCGGCAGUAACAAUCGCAGAGGUGCUCCCUUUACCACCUAGCCGAACAAUCGGGAACGUAGGGGUAAGCACAGGAGCCAGGCAACCCAGCUUGGCCAAAACUUAAGUCAUAUCGAUGCAUAUAAUGGUGAAUAAAAGGUUCAUGCAGAAGUGUCACACAUGUGUUGAGCAUGAUGCCCGUGUAUAUAAGCUUCUGAUAAAGAAGCCCCCAGGUAUAGUGAGCGCGGGUGGCGCGUCAAUUAUGUGCGAACAAUGCGCAAGCGAGCCCUUAAAGGCUUGUAAUAAAAAGGGAGGGAGAAGGAGAGAAAUAUAAGGCAGCUAAUUUGUAAAAAAAAGGGACAGAGGAAGGAGACGAACACAGAGUCCGGCGCUAGGCGUAGAAUCUUCGUAGGCGUGCUGCGUUCCAUGGGUUCGGCUCGAGUCGGUUAUCCGAUGCGUUUCGCAGAUGGUACGCUCCACCAGUCAGGACUUGGUCGAUUAUGAAGGGACCCUCCCAUUUGGGAUUGAGUUUGUCCUUUUUCUUGUCCGACAGGCGUAGAACUAGUUCGCCAACAUUGUAAGUUUUGGCCUGUACUUCUCUGCUUUGAUAUCUUCGAGCCUGCUGUUGAUAGAAUGCGGAACGGGCUUUUGCCACAUCACGCUCCUCCUCCAAUGUGUCUAAGCUGUCCUGUCGAUCGAGCUCGGCUUCUCUUUCUUCGUACAUGCGCACGCGAGGUGAGUCAUGAAUUAUGUCGCAGGGCAGGACUGCCUCUGCGCCGUAUACCAUAAAAAUGGUGUGAAUCCGGUAGUGCGAUUCGGCGUGGUCCGCAGCCCCCAGAGUACGGAGUCGAGCUCCUCUACCCAGUGCGUGUUAGAUUCCUUGAGGGAUCGCACUAAUCUGGGUUUGAUGCCGCUCAUGAUUAGACCAUUGGCUCGCUCGACUUGACCGUUAGUUUGUGGGUGAUAGACUGAAGCGUAAUCGAGCUUAAUGCCCAUGUUUAUGCACCAGAGUUUAACCUCAUUGACCAUAAAGUUUGUGCCAUUGUCAGUAAUGAUGCUGUGGGGGAUGCCGUAAUGGUGUACGACCCCUGAUAUGAAGUCUAUCACCGGUCCGGAUUCGGCCGUCUUGACAGGCUUGGCCUCUAUACAUUUGGUGAAUUUGUCCACCAUGACCAGUAGGUAUUUGUGCUUGUGGGUUCCUCCUUUGAGGCGUCCAACCGUGUCAAGCCCCCAAACUGCGAAAGGCCAGGUAAUGGGUAUAGUUUGGAGGGCGGUAGGUGGCAUGUGGCUUUGAUUAGCAAAUAAUUGGCAACCGACGCAUCGUUGGACUAAGUCCUGAGCAUCUGCCCGGGCCGUCGGCCAAUAAAAUCCUGUACGGAAGGCCUUGCUUACAAGGGCCCGGGCUGCAUCGUGGUGUCCGCCGAGUCCGGCGUGAAUUUCAGCCAGAAGGUUCCGCCCUUCUUCGAAGAUACACCUUUGAAGGACUCCGGUGGAGCUUUUCUUAUAAAGCUCUCCUUCAUGGACUUUAUAGGCUUUAGAUCGCCGCACUGUGCAGCGUGCUUCAUUUUGGUCCUCGGGAAGUUCCUGCCUAGUUAAGUAGGCUAAGAAUGGUUCUGUCCACGGGGCAAUUACUGCCAUUAUUACGUGGGCUGAGGGUGUGACUUCGUUGACGGAGUCUUCCGUUGUGUCAGAAUGUUCGGUGUUAGGUGGUGCGGAUAGGUCCGGAUUGUUAUUUCCGGAUUCCCCUUCCCCCUGUAAGGAUGGCUUGAAUAGCCUUUCCAGGAAAAUGUUGGGAGGGACUACAUCGCGCUUUGCGCCGAUGCGUGCCAAGACUUCUGCUGCCUGAUUGUUUUCCCGGACUAUAUGGUGAAAUUCGAGCCCUUCGAACCGAGCUGUCAUAUUUAUGACGGUAUUGCGAUAAGCUGCCAUUUUUGGAUCUUUGGCAUCAAAGUCUCCAUUUAUUUGGGAUAUCACAAGGUUUGAAUCCCCACGCACCUCUAGGCGUUGAAUGCCCAUGGAGACUGCCAUCCGGAGGCCAUGUAGAAGGGCCUCGUAUUCGGCUGCAUUGUUGGAGUCCGUAUACAUUAUCUGGAGUACAUAUUGGAUUAUAUCUCCGGUUGGGGACGUCAUAACGACGCCAGCCCCCAGACCCGCCAGCAUUUUGGAGCCAUCGAAGUGCAUGAUCCAGUUGGAAUAUGUUCCGUACUCUUUAGGGAGUUCAGCUUCAGUCCAUUCAGCGACAAAGUCGGCCAAGACUUGUGACUUGAUGGCUCGCCGUGGCUUAUAGUUUAUGUCGAACGGGAGGAGCUCAAUGGCCCAUUUGGCAAUCCGGCCCGUUGCGUCGCGGUUGUUUAUGAUAUCAUUAAGAGGUACUUCGGAGGCUACUGUUAUUGAACACUCUUGAAAGUAGUGUCGUAGCUUCCGGGAUGCCAUGAACACUGCGUAUGCUAUCUUUUGGUAAUGCAGGUACCGGGACUUGCAUGGAGUGAGGACAGUGGACACGUAGUAGACUGGUUUCUGUACAGGGAAUUUGUGUUGGUCCGUUUCUCGUUCGACAACGAGGACUGCGCUUACAACUUGGUGAGUUGCCGCGAUGUAUAACAACAUUGGUUCGCCGAUGUUAGGCGCAACCAGGACCGGGUUUGUUGCCAAUAUGGCUUUUAUUUCUUCGAGUCCGGCCGUGGCGGCAUCCGUCCACUCAAAGUGUUCGGUGCGCCGGAGGAGGCGGUAAAGGGGUAAUGCCUUUUCCCCAAGCAAGAGAUGAAGCGGCUUAGAGCCACCACACAUCCAGUCAAUUUUUGUAUUUGUUUGAGAUCUUUUGGAAUAUCCAAUUGUGACAGAGCUCGGAUCUGGGCUGGGUUUGCUUCAAUUCCUCUACCGGAUAUGAUGAAUCCCAAGAGCUUUCCGACUGGUACGCCGAAAACGCAUUUUUCCGGGUUAAGCCUAAUGUCAUAUGUUCGGAGGUUAUCGAACGUGAGCCUCAAGUCGUCUAUUAGAGUUUCAACAUGCUUUGUUUUGACGACCACGUCAUCCACGUAUGCUUCAACUGUUUUGCCGAUCUGGUUGGCUAGAAAUGUCUGAAUCAUGCGCUGAUAUGUUGCGCCGGCAUUUUUGAGCCUGAAGGGCAUUGUGUUGAAGCAGAAUGGGCCGUAUGGGGUGAUGAAUGCUGUUGCGGCUUGGUCUGACUCUACCAUCUUAAUUUGGUGGUAGCCAGAGUAUGCGUCGAGGAAACACAAUGAAUCGUGUCCUGCGGUGGCGUCGAUGAUUUGAUCGAUGCGGGGGAGGGGGAAGGGAUCCUUUGGGCAGGCCUUGUUGAGGUCUUUGAAAUCGACGCAUAGGCGCCAGGAUUUGUCCUUCUUUGUUACCAUCACCAGGUUUGCUAGCUAGUCCGGAUGUUUUAUAUCUCUGAUGAAUCCGGCUUCCAGUAGUUUGGCUAGCUCCUCUCCCAUGGCUUGUCUCUUAGGUUCGGAGAAACAUCGAAGAGCCUGCUUAACAGGCUUGAAUCCUGUUAGGAUGUUCAGGCUGUGCUCGGCCAGUCUGCGUGGGAUUCCUGGCAUGUCCGGAGGGUGCCAGGCAAAAAUAUCCCAAUUUUCGCGUAGGAAUUCUCUUAGCGCGGCGUCUACAUCAGGGUGUAACUGUGCCUCGAUGGAGGCCGUUUUUGUAGGGUCCGCUGGAUAGACUUAGAACCUGACUAUUUCGUCUGCCGGUUUAAAGGAGGUGGACUUGGGUCUUUUGUCGAGUAUCACGUUGUCCCUGUCCACUAUGAAGCGCAUCGCAGUUAGUUCUUCAGCCGCUAGGGCUUCGGAUAAUGCCUCGAGGGCCAGUGCGUCUGUCUUGUUUUCGGCGCGGAGCGCUAUGUACGGAUCACUAGCAAGAGUGAUGAUUCCGUUAGGUCCGGGCAUUUUGAGCUUCAUGUACCCGUAAUGGGGUAUAGCUUGAAAAAUUGUGAAUGCCUCCCGUCCUAACAGAGCAUGGUAUCCACUGAUGAACGGGGCCACUUGAAAUGUGACCUCCUCGGAUCUAUAAUUAUCUGGCAUGCCAAACACCACAUCCAGUGUGAUUUUUCCUGUACAGCACGCUUCCCGACUAGGGAUUAUUCCUCUAAAGGUUGUGUUGCUUUGCUCAAUGCGGCUCCAGUCUAUUUCCAUUUUUUGGAGGGUUUCCUCAUAAAUGAGGUUCAAUCCGCUACCACCGUCCAUGAGUACCUUCGUAAGUCGAAAGCCGUCCACUAUCGGACUAAGGACCAGUGCGGCUGGUGCUCGGGCAGUCCGGAAUUUAGGUUCGUCACUGGCAUUAAAGGUAAUAGCCGUGUUACUCCAUGGGUUUAUUGUUGCUACCUAGUAGACUUCGGUAAGGCUGCGGAGGGUUCAUUUCCGCACAUUAUUUGAUGCGAAAGUCUCGAAGACUGUUGAUACCGUACUGGUAUUCCCGGGGUGGUUUUCUGCGGAUUCUGGAGUUAGAAGCUCCUCGCCACUUCUGGCCACCUGCCGGAGUAUCCAACAUGCUCUAAGGCUAUGAGUUGGUGUGGCGCCCUCUGUACUAUGAAUUUUACAGGGUCCGUUGAGCCAACCCUCCAGCACGUUUCCAUACCCUAUGGAGGGUUUUUGUUUUUUGUUGUUUGGCCCAGGUGCCUGGCGGUAAUGCGCCCUUUUAUUUCGGACCGGGAUUGUAUUCAGGGCCGGAUUGUCCCAGAAUUUUGUUUCGGUUUUCCGAACACUUUCUGUCGCAUAAUACUUUCGUACUAUGGAUGCCAAGUCAGCGAGGCGUGUGAUUUCACGGCGACUUAUGGCAUUGAGGAUUCCGAUGUCCGUGCAGUUAUUGCAGAAGGAUGAAAUUGCAUCCUCCUCGCGGCAGUCCUCUAUCCUGUUCAUGACCAGGAGGAAUAUUGUCCAGUAAUGAUGCACUGUUUCUCUGGGCUCUUGCCGAAUUUGGGACAGAUCCCUUAUAUUUGGGUGGGCGGGUGGAUUUAAAUCCGGAACCUCGCCCGAUCUGAGACUCAGGGGCCAAGAAAUUUCCGAACUCGGAACCUUGGGUUCUUGGACGUUGUCCAAUGAGUCAGGACCAUUGCCUGACUUUAGGUUCAGGGCUUGAGUGACGUCCUCCCCUCCGCGGUAUCCGGCUUGGAGGGAUAAGUAAUCCGGACACAUCUGGUCCUUAGGAUGGGUGAGGAUUCGCUGCAUUGUUCCUCCACCACUUCGACGUGGUGGGUGACCUGGGGAGAGUCAAUCUCUCUCGGGUCGGGUUUAAGCCCAAUCUGAUCGUAGUCUAUAGCGACUCCCAGGGCAGCGAUGUGAUCCAAGAGCUCAUUUAAGGAAGAGAGCUCCAUCGGAUCUAACUGCUCGGCGAGUUCCGAGUUGACGUGGAGAUUGCUUUCGAUGACCCGAGAAGUCAUCGUCGGUGCAGCGGCCGAACAUGCGGUCAUUAGAAAACCGCCUAGCCGGAGAGUUUGGCCGAUAGCCAAAGCUCCUUUAGCGACAGCGCCGUCUUUAAAGACGGGGUGCAGCAUCCCUCCUGAUGGUGACGACACAGAGGAACUCUCAAUGAAAGCACCAAUGUCGGUGUCAAAACCGGCGAAUCUCGGGUAGGGGGUCCCGAACUGUGCGUCUAGGCGGAUGGUAACAGGAGACAAGGGACACGAUGUUUUUACCCAGGUUCGGGCCCUCUCGAUGGAGGUAAAACCCUACUCCUCCUUGAUUAAUAUUGAUGAUAUGGGUAGUACAAGAGUUGAUCUACCACGAGAUCAGAGAGCAUAAACCCUAGAAGCUAGCCUACGGUAUGAUUGUUGUUCGUCCUACGGACUAAAACUCCCCGGUUUAUAUAGACACCGGAGACGGAUAGGGUUACACAGAGUCGGUUACAAUGGGAGGAGAUCUACAUAUCGUAUCGCUAAGCUUGCUUUCCAUGCCAAGGAAAGUCCUAUCCGGACACGGGACGGAGUCUUCAAUCUUGUAUCUUCAUAAUUCGGGAGUCCAGCCAAAGGUCAUAGUCCGGCCAUCCGGACACCCCCUAAUCCAGGACUCCCUCACUAACCAUGCAAUGUUUGAGGAUUGAAACUAAUGUAUAAAAACUGGGUAAUAAAGGGUAUGAUCAAAGUGUUACUUGCCUUGCUGAUGAUCCGCAAAACCUAGAGACUCGUAGUAGCAUGCUUUGCACUCCGGGAAUUCUAUCGCAAACAAACAAUAACAUACAUAAGCACUCAACUAGAAGCACGGGUAAAAAUCAAAUAAUAAAAUCUAACCAGAAAGUUCAACUGAAGACUCUGGUUUGCAAAAAGAAUCAAAUCAAACGGAGCAACGAAACUCAAACUACAAAAGAAACAAGAAUCAUUUACUAAUCCGAACUAAAGUCAAAUUUUACAGUACUAAAAUCAUGUUCAAGUUGGUUAAACAGAAAGAGGGCUUUGAGACGAAGAUCUAGGCGCUUGUUUCAUCUAAUUUGGAUAAACGAGCGAAAAUUUAUACUAGAUCUAAGAUCAGGGCAGAAAUCGCGAUCGAAAAUAAUCGCAAAUAAAACCCUGGAAAAUAAAACAAGACGAACAGGAUAACAAACGAAUGUUCGCUAUCCGCGACUAACCGACGAACAACGUUCGUUAAAACGAACCUACGGACGAAUUUCCGCUAAUUAACUAAACCGGAAAAAACUGAACCGAUCUAUUCUAUAAAAACAGAUCUAGGUUUUCUAAAAAAACGAAUGGUUUUUGAAAAAAAAACGAAACGGCGGGGGCGGCGGCAUCUACCUCCGGCGAGGCUCCGGUGGGGCGGGGCGGCAUCAGGGGUGGCUCCNNNNNNNNNNNNNNNNNNNNNNNNNNNNNNNNNNNNNNNNNNNNNNNNNNNNNNNNNNNNNNNNNNNNNNNNNNNNNNNNNNNNNNNNNNNNNNNNNNNNNNNNNNNNNNNNNNNNNNNNNNNNNNNNNNNNNNNNNNNNNNNNNNNNNNNNNNNNNNNNNNNNNNNNNNNNNNNNNNNNNNNNNNNNNNNNNNNNNNNNNNNNNNNNNNNNNNNNNNNNNNNNNNNNNNNNNNNNNNNNNNNNNNNNNNNNNNNNNNNNNNNNNNNNNNNNNNNNNNNNNNNNNNNNNNNNNNNNNNNNNNNNNNNNNNNNNNNNNNNNNNNNNNNNNNNNNNNNNNNNNNNNNNNNNNNNNNNNNNNNNNNNNNNNNNNNNNNNNNNNNNNNNNNNNNNNNNNNNNNNNNNNNNNNNNNNNNNNNNNNNNNNNNNNNNNNNNNNNNNNNNNNNNNNNNNNNNNNNNNNNNNNNNNNNNNNNNNNNNNNNNNNNNNNNNNNNNNNCUCGGUCACGGCGGCGGCGGGGUCUCCCUCCCGCACAGGAAGGCGGCGGCGGCGCGGGCGUGGCCCAGUCGGGCAACAGAGACUUUUUUUAAUAAUCCCACCGAAACUGAAAAAUCCUAAUAAAAUAUAAAAAAAAUCCUAAAAAAUCCAAAACAAUUUUUACCCUCUAAAUAGAAUAUUUAGAACAAAGUGAACAUUUUCUGGCCUAAAAUGCAAAUUUUGAAAACAUGCAUAUUUUUCUAAUUCAAAUAAAAUAGCAAUAAAACUCCAAAUAGAAUACUUAUUUGAUUUAACAUUUCCCCCCAAUAUUUCUAUUAUUUUGGAGAAGUCAUUUUAUACCCUCUCUUUUAUUUUGACAUUGGAAAAUAUUUGGAGAGAAAAUGAUUAAAACCAAAAUGAUCCUUUUUUUUUCAAUAUUUGAGAAAACUCAAAUAUGAAAAUAAUUGAAAUCCCCAACUCUCUUUGUGGGUCCUUGAGUUGCUUAGAAUUUCUAGGAUCAACCAAAAUGCAAUAAAAUAUGAUAUGUAAUGAUAACCUAUGUAUAACAUUCCAAAUUGGAAAUUUGGGAUGUUACAUAUUUCUCUCCGACCUAUUGAUUUGGUUUGCCCAACUAGAUUGAUUUUUUUGUGAUGGGUCAGAUCUUGCGGUGCUCAAUUUCAGUGACAGAAAGGGACAUGACAUGUGUUGUAUUGUUGCCACUAAGGAUAAAAAGAUGGGGUUUAUUUAUAUUAAUUGAGUUUACUUCGUCUACAUCAUGUCAUCUUGCUUAAGACAUUACUCCGUUCUUUAUGAACUUAAUACUCUAGAUGCAUGCUGGAUAGCGGUCGAUGUGUGGAGUAAUAGUAGUAGAUGUAGGCAGGAGUCUGUCUACUUGUCUCGGACGUGAUGGCUAUAUACAUGAUAAUUUCCUUAGAUAUCAUCAUGAUUAUUCAUUUAUCUUUUAGUUGCCCAACAGUAAUUUGUUUACCCACUAUACACUAUUUUGAAGAGAGAGAAGCCGCUAGCGAAAACUAUGGCCCCCGGGUCUAUAUAAAUCAUAUAUAAAAACCCAAAAAAUACUUUGCUGCAAUUUUAUUUCUGUUAUUUUAAUUUUUUUGUUGUAUUUAUCUAUCUAUUUUGAUCCUUGCAAUUAACCGCCAAGGGAUUGACAACCCCUUGUUUGCGUUGGGUGCAAGUAUUUGUUAUUUUGUGUGUAGGUGCUACGAAUGAGUUGUUGCGUGGUUCUCCUACUGGAUUGAUAACCUUGGUUUCUAACCAAGGGAAAUACUUAUCUCUACUGUACUACAUCAUCCUCUCCUCUUUGAGUAAAUCCCAACGCAGCUCACAAGUAGUAGGAACAAUUUCUAGCGUCCUUGCCAGGGAGAUAUCACCAACAUCUAUCAAGUAUCUACGCAUAAACUUUCAUCUCCUUGUAUUUACUUUAUUUGCCAUUCGCCUCUCAUUUUCAUCUCCCCACUUCUAAAAUGUUUUCACAAAAAACACAAAAAUAUUUUCCGUUUACCUUUUUGUUUGUUUGCUUGCUUUUUGUCUUCAUGUCAGCACUCAAAAGAACAGAAAAGAAAUAAGAAAAAUAAGAUGGAUCUCCAUCCUCUUGCUAAUCUUUUUAAAACAUCCAAUUAUGACGAACAAAUUGCUAGUGAGUUGAGUGCACUAGAUUAUCUUUAUGAAAUUUUGAUUGAAAUUUGUGAAUCUGAAAAUUGUGAUGAAUUGUUAAAAGAAGAAAUUUAUGAAGUGAUUCACGAUAUCUCCUUGAAUGAAAAGCAUGAUUGCAAUGAUGUUAUUAUAUAUUCUAUUAAUGUCAAUUGUGUUACCGAUAUGCAACACAUCUUGGGGAUGAUGAUUUUGUUAUGUCCACUACUCAUUGUACUCAUCAUGAUUGGGAUGAUGCUUCUUAUGAUCUUGAAAAUUUAUUUAUGCCUCAUAAUGAAUAUGCUAUUGAUAAUAAUGUUUGCAAUAAUAUUGAAAUUGGGUUUGGAAGAGUGUCAACUUUAAGUAAAAAGAAUCCCAUAUUUGGAGAGUGUUCAAUCUUAUGAAAUUUUUGAUAAAGGUGGGUUUGGAGAGGUCAUGGCUUUAGUUGAUGUUAAUCCUACUAUAUUGGAAGAUUAUAAAACUUGUAUGCAUGUGGAUCAUGAAGAGAAAAUUUGAUAUGAUAACUAUAUUAUUGAAUUUGAUUAUGAUCCUACAUGUAAUUAUAAUGAGAGAGCAAAAUAUGGUUGUGGAAAUUUUAAUGUUACUAAAUAACCUCUCUUUGUGUUGAAAUUAUUAAUGCCUCCUUCUUUCUAUUUGCAUAUGCUAGCAAUUUCUUGUCUUGAUAAUUUUAUUUUCCUAUAAAAUGUCUAUGCAUAGGAAGCAUGUUAGACUUAAAUGUGUUGUUUUAUUCUUGUCUUUUGUGUGAGCAUCAUUAAUAUCCCAAGCCUAUCUUAAUGGCUAUAAAGAAAGAGCUUGUUAGGAGACAACCCAAUAGGCAUCUUUUUUUUGUUUUUUGGUGUGCACAUAAUUAUGCUACUAUUAUGGUUGUGUUUUUGUGUUUACAUUAGUGUUUGUGCCAAGUAAAGCCUUUGGGAUGAUUUAGAUGAUAAUUGAUUUGAUUCUGUGAAAAAACAAAAACUUUGGUGCCCAGUAGCAGAAUUGUUUAAAUUAACUGGAACAUGAUCUGGAUGUUUUACACAUUAUUUAUAUAUAAAUUACCCACUUUGUUCUAAUUUUUCAGAAUUUUUAGAGUUACAUACGUAUAGGAAUAGUUUAGAUUACUACAAACUGUUCUGUUUUUGACAGAUUCUAUUUUUGUUGCGUUGUUUUCUUGUUUUGAUGAAUCUAUGGAUUGUAUUGGGGGUAUAAGCCAUGUGUUAGGGCAUUUCCCGCCUUUGUGUUUGGGUGAUUAUGAAAACUCUCAUUGUGGUCUAAUCGUGUGCCAAGUUCUUUAGGUACUCUAUGUUGGGUACAAGACGGUUAGGCAUUCCCUCUGGACGAAAAAGAUCGAAGACGAUGUUGUCAGGACCCCGAUUCUAUGCCACACUGAUCUAGCAUGUAACACCUCAUAUCACUUUGCGGCCCCACGCACGGUAUUCCCACGGGUUUCGCCUUACCAUGCCCGGGACCGUUUGCGCCUUUUGGCACACGUAUAUGAUAGUGUCGCUAGCAUCCAUAUGACAAAGAACCCGGGCUGACAUGGCUAGUCGUGAACCCAAAGUGGCACUAACUUACAGGGACAGGCAUACAUGACCCAACAUCGAACGUGUCGGUCAUCAGCGAGUGAAUCCGGGCUAUAGCAACUGGGCUAGCAGGACUCCGGUAAACCGGGCUGUAGCAGGCUAACAGGACUCCGGUAGACACCGCGUGACAUUUCCCCGAAGGGACAGACACAAGAACGAAGAAGGACACAUGCCGGCCAGCCUAAGUGUUCCAGAGCAGUAGCAAGCUACUAGGGCUCAGUGGAAGCACUAGGAGACAUUUCCCGGUAAGAGAGGCUACUAAGGAUAAACAACUAGAUAGCCAUAUCCCACACAUAGCAAUACACAUUACACGUAUGCAUAUCAUGCAAGUAUGUGCUGUACAACAUGACAUCACAACAUAACUCAAUAACUCAUAUAGAUAAAAGCUCGUAAGAGCCAUCAUAGCAUUUAUUACAAGCAGGGGUCACAUGACCCAACAUUCAGAGCAAACAAGCAACAAGCGGAAGCAUUACAUGUCUGAGUACAGACAUCUAUAAAUGAAAAAGGCUGAAGAGCCUGAUUAUCUACAACAUUCGAUGAAGAUCGUAGCUGAGGUACAAGCUACUUGUCGAAGUCCACAAGAACACUAGUAAGACCGAAGUCUCCGCUGCAAAAACAUAAAUAAAGCAACAUGAGUACAAAGGUACUCAGCAAGUCUUAUGGCAGAUCCUAUCAUACAUGCAUUUGUAUCAAGAGGGUAAUGUGGGGUUUAGUUGCAGCAAGCCAGCUUUGACUCAGUGGCUAUCCUGUUCUACGACUACGAGAACUUCUUUGAGGUGAGAUGGCGCACACGAGUCCACUUAUCACCACACAAUACACUACCAUGGAUACAUCCCCGUCUCCCUACGAGAAGGCCAUCUAUAGCACUCACACUUGUCUUGAGCAUUUUAGAGUAUCCACUUCAAAUUGUCUAUGUACCAUGUAAGCAUCCAAGAAGUCCAUAACCGCGGACCCGGCUAUUCGAAUAGAUCAUAUUAACCCUGCAGGGGUGUACUUCUUCACACACGCUCUCGCCACUUACCGCCAUGUACACGUCAUGUAUCUCAGCAACCUUCAAGCGGAAGCCUGGCGAGGGUGUCGGCCACGACCUGACUAACCACACAAGACUCUAGUCCAGGUUUAUCGCCUAUUCGGGUUCCAUCCGCAAGGAGAUCCGGCCGGGGUGUCGCUCACGGCCCCAAAUGAUGUGAGCAGGGUUCCCAAGCCCACCAUCUGGGUGCCACUUGGUACACCGUGCCACUGUGCCUAGUCUGUCCCAAGCCCACCUGGCCGGGUGCCACUUGGUAGACUACUAACACUACCUACAAACACCAGAAACUAGUUGCGACUCCUGGAUAGAGAUCAAGUUGGUUAAUAAGUCGAGAGGGGUCGAAUUACCGAAACCCAAUGUGUGGUAGUAUCGAGUCAUUGGACGACAUACAUAGAACUCAGUGCUUAAGAACGGUUCCAGUGAGACAACCCACCAUGUACUCCUACAUGGCCUCUCACCGCUACCUUUACCAAAUCGUGUUCACACACUUAACUCUCAGCAUCAGAACAUAGCACCGCACUCCAAUUCAUUCCCAAUGAAUCAGACCUGACACACUCUAAGCAAUAGCAGGCAUGGCAUGGUAGGAACACAAUAGUGGCUUCAAUCAACUCCUACACAUGCUAGUGGGUUUCAACUAUUUACUGUGGCAAUGACAGGUCAUGCAGAGGAAUGGGUUCAACUAUCGCAGCACAAAGUAGCAGUUGAAACGUUGUUGUCCUAAUGCAAUAACUGAGAGCAGGAGCGAGAGAGUAGGAUUGUAUCGGAAUGAACAAGGGGGUUUGCUUGCCUGGUAGAUCAACAAGGAAGGCACUGCUCCUCAGACAGGUACUCUGGAACGGUCUCCGGAGCAGGACCUAUCAAGAAGGAACGGUGUCGAUAAUAAAUACACAAGCAUAUGCAACAAUAUGAUGCAUGAACAUGGCAUGAAUAUGUGAUGUUGUUUGAGAUAAUGCAGCUAGUAUUCUGUUUGAAUGAAGUCCAUUUGAACCAAGGGUUCAAAUGCAACUCCAAGUUAAGCUCUUAUAUAUGCCAUUAUAGUGUUUCACUUAUAUAGUAGGUAUAAGUUGGUUUGUCAUGCAUGAAACUAGUACAGAUGGAUAGAUUGCAUUUUUCUGAUAAUUUUUCAUAUAUAAAUUAUUGCAAUCUGAGUUACGGUUGAAUUUCUAUGAUUUUUGAAGUUUAUAACAAUUCCUGGCAUUCCCUGAUUUAAUGUAAAUCCAGAAAAUAAAUAAUUGCGUCAGCACUGCGUCAUGCUUGCGUCAGCAAGUCAACAACGCUGACUGGUCAAACCUGACGUGUGGGGUCCACACGUCAGUGACACGGGUUAAACAGGGGUGUUAGUUUUAUCUUAAUUAAAGGAUUAGUGGCACUGGGCCCACUGGUCAGUGUCAGGGGGGAUUAGUUAAGGGUGAUUAGCCUUAAGCUAAUCACCUGACCCACGGGGCCCACCUGACGGGACGACAAGGUCAAAGGGUCAAACCCCAUCGGUGUUUAGCCGCCGGCGAGGCCGAACACGGCGGAGGGCCUCGGUAUCGCAUCUCCGGCGUCCAAAUGGCCCGCGGAGACCACUGGCGAGGAGCCAACGCUCGUCUGCGUCAUCUGGAGCAAGUGGGAGAGGCGGGGACGGCCAGAGCUCGUCGGAGCGGAGCUCGGGGCGGCGGGCGGAGUUCGGCCGAGGGCGGGCGCAGCACUGCGGUACACGGGGCCGGCGGCUAAGAGCACCGGGGCGUAGCCCGGGCUCGUCCGCAUCCAGCGGAGGCGACGGGAGGUCGCAGGGUGGCCGGAGCUCGCCGGAGCAGAGAUCGCGGUGGCGGCCGGAGCUCGGCUCGAGCGGCAGAGGGGCUGGAGGGCGCAGAAGAGCAGGGGAGUAGGGGGAAUCGACGGCGGGGCUCACAUCGGUCUCGAUGGCGUCGUCAGCAAGCUCGGGGAAGGCCGGACGGUGGUGUGGCAGCAAGGACGAUCUCCGGCGGCCGGAGGCGAAGAUGGUGAUGUUGACGGCAUUCUAGGGCUUCCUGCGUCGCGUGGCUCGAUGGAGAGGUGGACGGCGACAUGGCGGAGCUUCUGAGCUAGUCGGAGAGGCAAGGGAGAGGCGGUGGCUAUGGUAACAGCGAGCGGCGGUGACGGUGGCGUUCGGCGUCACGUGAGAGAGCGAGGGAGAGGAGAGGAGUGGGCACGGGAGAGUGAGAGGGGUACGAGGCGGUGCGUGGCGCCACGCGGGGCAUCCAGAGCGACGAGGAGGGGAAGCAGGAGGUGGCGGGAGACGUGGCCACGGGCGAGCGCGCGCGCGACAUGCACGGUGCCAGUAGGCACGAGGAACAAGACAGAGGAGGAGGCGGGCUGGCCAGCUGGGCCGCACAGCUGGGCCUCUGGGCUGCACAGGGAGGUAAGCGCCAAGUAAGCUCCCUUUUUUCCUAUAUGUUUUUCUAUUUUCUGACAUUUGUUUUGAUUUAAUAAAAAUACUAAAUCAUUUUAUUUACUGAUGCCAAUUUUUGUAGGAACUAGUAGUAUUAUUCUAGAGCUCCUCAACAAAUGGCAUAAAUUUUGGACAUAUAUUAUAUAUAUAACAAAUAUAUAUCCAAUGCAAAUAUUUAUGCAUUAAUUCCAAAUGCCCAAAAUAAAUACUUAUGGGCUCUUAAAAAUAUUGGUUUGAUUUUUAUCUCUGUCCAAUAUUUUCAGAGAGUAACAUGAGUAUUUUCUUGGACCUUUUUGGAGCAAUUUUUAUUUGGGUCAUUUCCAAAAAUGAUUCUGAGGGUUUCACAAAUCCCCAUUUCAAAAUUAAAUGGAAUUUAAACAUGAUGCACAAAUGACGAGCUAGCCUCGAGCAUACUAGAACUAGGGAUGUGACAACUCGUCCCCACUUGAAAGAAUCUCGUCCCGAGAUUCAGGGGUCGACAGAAAGAAAGCGGGGUACUCUAGUCGAAGACGAUCUUCUCGCUCCCAAGUAGCUUCUCUCUCAGAAUGAUGAGACCACUGAACCUUGAGAAACUUGACGUUAUGACGUCGAGUGACACGCUCUGCUUGAUCAAGAAUGCGAACCGGGUACUCUCGGUAUGUGAGGUUAUCUUAGAGAUCAAGCGUUUCAUGGUCCACUCCGCGGAUAGGAUCCGAGAAGCAAUGCCUGAGUUGAGACACGUGGAAGACAUCAUGAACUCAAGAAAGAUGUGGGGGUUGUUCCAACUAGUAGGCAACCUCUCCUCGUUUAGCGAGAAUGUGAAAAGGACCAAUGUAACGAGGAGCCAACUUGCCCCUGAUACCGAAACAAUGGGUACCCUUCAAGGGAGUAACCCGAAGAUAAGCUUUGUCGCCAACUUCAUAAGUCAUAUGCUUAUGAUGACGAUCAUACUGGCUCUUUUGACGAGACUGGGCUGUUUUCAAAUUCUCACGAAUGAUGGGAACUUGCUCUUCUGCCUUCUGGAUCAUGUCCGGUCCAAAGAAUUGUCUUUCACCGGUUUCCGACCAGUUCAACGGUGUUCGACAUCUUCGUCCAUAGAGAAUCUCAAAAGGAGCUUUCUUGAGACUGGAUUGAUAGCUAUUGUUAUAAGCAAACUCGGUGAAAGGAAGACAUUUCUCCCAAUCCAUACCGAAUGAGAUAACGCAAGCUCUAAGCAUGUCUUCGAGAAUUUGGUUGACCCUUUCCACUUGACCACUCGACUGAGGGUGGAAAGCUGUACUGAAGGAAAGAUGGGUUCCCAUGGCAGUUUGGAAACUCUCCCAGAAAUGAGAAGUGAAAAUACUACCACGGUCUGAAUUGAUCUCUAGUGGAACACCAUGAAGUGACACUAUUCGAGAAAUGUAUAAGUCAGCGAGCUGACUAGCGGUGAUACUCUCUCGAACAGGUAGGAAGUGAGCCACUUUGGGAAGGCGAUCAACGACUACGAAGAUAGCAUUAUUCCCUCUCUUGGUCCUGGGAAAGCCGGUGAUGAAGUCCAUACCAACUUUAUCCCAUUUCCACUCAGGAAUAGCUAAAGGCUGAAGGGUGCCAACAGGUCUCUGAAGCUCUGCCUUAACGCGACGACAAACAUCACAGUUGGCAAUGAACUGAGCGAUUUCUCUCUUCAUCCUAGUCCACGAGAACCUGUGGCGUAGGUCCUGAUACAUCUUAGUGCUAUCGGGAUGAAUCGUGAGAGGAGAUUCAUGCGCCUCCUUAAGAAUCAGUUGUCGAAGAUGUUGCUUCUUGGGAACCACCAGGCGGUUCCCAAAGAAAACAACACCUCGAUCAUCUAUAGAGAAACUACCAGCAACCCCCUUGGCAAUGUUUCUCUUGAUCCGGGUAAUCCCCAUAUCAUGCUUCUGGGCUUCUAUGAUAUGAUCUACAAGAGUAGGUUUCGCCACCAAGGUAGAAAGGAAUCCGUGAGGAGCAAUGUGAAGGUUAAGCUUACAGAAUUCCUCAUGGAGAGUGGUUGGCCCUGCUGCAACAUGAGGUUGUUGCAAUAGGAUUUACGGCUUAGCGCAUCAUCCAUGGCAUUAGCUUUGCCUGGGGUGUAGGUAAUCCCUAGAUCAUAAUCUGAGAUCAACUCCAACCAACGUCUUUGCCUAAGGUUCAAAUCUGGUUGGGUGAAGAUAUACUUGAGACUCUGGUGAUUGGUGUAGAUCUCGCAAUGUUUACCAAGAAGGUAAUGUCGCCAGGUCUUGAGUGCAUAGACUACGGCUGCAAGCUCUAAAUCAUGUGUAGGAUAAUUCUCCUCAUGUGGAUGCAACUGUCGAGAUGCAUAGGCAAUCACAUGACGAUCCUGCAUAAGAAUGCAACCUAGUCCCUGUCGUGAGGCAUCGCAGUAGAUAACAAAGUCUUUAGUGAAAUCUGGUGGCACAAGUAUGGGAGCAGAAGUCAGGCGUCUUUUCAGUUCCUGAAAACUGUAUUCACACUGUGGGGACCACUCAAACUUUUUAUCUUUCUUGAGAAGUUCCGUGAGAGGUUUGGCCACUUUAGAGAACUUUUCAACAAAGCGGCGACAAUAGCUGGCUAGACCAAGGAAACUCCUAACUUGUUUAACGGUUUCAGGUGGAGUCCAAUCGAGAACGGCCUUAACUCUCUCGGGAUUGACAGCAAUGCCCUUACCAGAGAUUACAUGGCCUAGGUAGGUCACUUAUGGCAACCAAAAUUCACACUUGGAGAACUUCGCAUAAAGGCGGUGCUCUCUGAGUUUUUCUAACACAAGUCUAAGAUGUUCGGCAUGCUCUUCCUCGUUCUUCGAGUAAAUAAGAAUAUCAUCGAGGUAAACCACGACGAACUUAUCUAAGUACUCCAUGAAGAUCGAGUUCAUCAAGCGGGAGAAAGUAGCUGGAGUGUUGGUUAGACCGAAAGACAUGACGGUGUACUCGUACUAGCCAUAACGAGUGACAAAGGCCGUCUUAGGAAUGUCCCCAUUUCUGAUCUUGAUUUGGUGGUAGCCUAACCUCAAAUCCAUCUUGGAAAAGACUGAGGAUCCAGCGAGCUGAUCAUACAGGUCGUUGAUCCUGGGAAGCGGAUAUUUGUUCUUUAUCGUGACCAAAUUAACGGGACGAUAAUCUACAACCAUCCGGUCCGUACUAUCCUUCUUCUUGACGAAGAGGACGGGGCAAGCCCAAGGAGAAGAACUAGGAUGGAUGAAACCCUUUUGCAAGGACUCAUCAAGUUGUUUCUUAAGCUCGGCUAGUUCUAAGGGUGCCAUUUUGUAAGGUCUCCUAGAGAUUGGAGCGGUUCCUGGGAUAAGAUCUAUGCCGAACUCUACAUCUCUAUUAGGUUGAACACCUGGCAGUUCCUCUGGAAAGACAUCCGGAAAGUCACGGACUACCGGGAUAUCUUCAAGGUCUGGAAGAGGGCUGGCAUUAAGAGAAUAGAGCUGACGCUUUGCAACUCUAGUGGAGACAGUGACUAUCUUGCCAGAUGGGUGUGUAAGCUGAACGGACCUGGUGUAACAAUCAAUCUUGGCAUAAUGAGCUUUCAUCCAGUCCAUACCCAAGAUGAUGUUAAUAUCUGUAAACUUGAGGGCUAUAAGUGAUGUGAGGAAAACAAGUCUGUCUACAAGGAUUUCGUUACCAUGGCUUACACUAGAGGUUUUCCAUUUGGAUCCAGGAGUUUGAACGACCAGCGGAGAGGGCAUAUCACAAAAUGACAUGUUGUGCAAGUUAGCAUAGCUUUCAGAAAUGGAGUGAGACGCUCCAGUAUCGAACAAAACCGAUGCUGGGUGGCAAUUGACAAGGAGUGUACCAAGAACGACAUCCGGAUCAUCAUGAGCGUCUUUAGCUGAGACGUGAUGCACGCGUCCACGUUCAGUGGGAGCUGACUUGACACUGAUCAUCUUGCAUGGUGGCUUAACACAGCCAACAGACUUCUCGGGCUGGGGUGGAGCAUAACUAGUCUGAGAGCAGUCACAUGCAUAGUGCCUGGCUUCCCGCAUGUGAAGCAAGUCCCUGAAGUUGGACGUGGACCCGCACUGAAAAGCGGUCUACCAGUAGGCCUGGGUGGAACAUACGACUGAGCUGGGGGAGGCACCACAUAAGAUGGUCUCGGUAUAUAUCCAGAAGGAAGAGCGGAAUUUGGAACCCAAAUCCGGCGCUUCUGAGGACCAGAACCGGAAGAAGAUCCCAAAUCACGAGUGUGCUUACGAGACUCCUCGUAAGUGAGCUGAGCUGUCUCUGCAUUGUUGGCUUUGUUCACAAGAGCUUGGAAUGUAUCACAAUGAUGCAGGUGGAGAUCACGACGCAACUUGGGGUUGAGACCCUUCCGGAACCUAGCCUGCUUCUUGGCGUCCGUGGACACCUCUUCUGAAGCAUAUCGGGCAAGGUUCUCAAACUCUCUACUGUAAGCAUCAACAGCCAUCUUACUCUGGGUGAAACUACAGAACUCUUCUCUCUUGCGGUCAAUGAGGGCUUCAGAAAUGUGAUGCUCGUGAAAAGCCUCAGUGAAAUCUCUCCAGGUAGGAAUCUGGCCAGCUGGAAGCAUAGCCUCAUAGUUCUGCCACCAAAGACUAGCAGGACCUUCCAGGUGGUAUGUGGCAUAGGUGACCUUGUCAUCUUCAGCUAUGUUCGCGAAACGUAGCUUAUGAGUGAUGCUACGGGGCCAGCCAUCUACAUCGAGUGGCUCAAUAGAAUGAUGAAAGGUGGGUGGGUGCAAGCGAAUGAAGUCAUGAAUGGUUGCAGACCCUUUGUACUGAUGGGCGGUGUUCUCCUUGAUACGUGCCAAUAGGCGGUUAGACUCACGCUUGUUCCUCUCCAUCUCUAACAUGAACUCUACCAACGAAGACUGGUCCGGAGGAUCCUCAUCCCUACCAUCUCCGUGGUUCUGGCUACGAGCAACAGAACUUCGCUUAACUGAUGACAUCCUGAGAAACGAAACGAAGGACGGGAUCAACAUCAACUAUAGGCUAUAGAAUGUAGCACAAGGAAAUUAGUAACUCUCGGACUCCUAGGGCAAUUCCGGCAGCAUAACGACAGUAAAAUGCUCAGAAUGGGACAUCCUGCCAACAAUGGGGUAGUACCAUACUCAACAUCAUCACUCAAGGUUCUGUGAUAGUACUAAACAGACUACACCAGAAGUACUCGAAAACUGGAAUAUGACUCUGAUCAACCAAUCCUAUGGGACUACGGAGUAGUAACACGUGAUCCUGAUAGACGGAAGAGAAAGCCUAGUUCCUUAACCUCGUAGGAAAGGUAGGAUGACUCAGAUCAGAAGGCCAUGAGGUAUAAGGAGUAAAAAGAGCCUUACGUUCCUUCCCACAAUCAAUUCCCUUACAUAACUAGAGAAUUUCUAGACUCAACUUCGACCAGUUUGGCUUGGUAAUCCUACAGGCAGUCAGGCUUUGAUACCAAAGCUGUCAGGACCCCAAUUCUAUGCCACACCGAUCUAGCAUGUAACACCUCAUAUCACUUUGCGGCCUCACACACGGUAUUCCCACGGGUGUCGCCUUACCAUGCCCGGGACCGUUUGCGCCUUUUGGCACACGUAUAUGAUAGUGUCGCUAGCAUCCAUAUGACAAAGAACCCAGGCUGACAUGGCUAGUCAUGAACCCAAAGUGGCACUAACUUACAGGGACAGGCAUACAUGACCCAGCAUCAAACGUGUCGGUCAUCAGCGAGUGAAUCCGGGCUGUAGCAACUGGGCUAGCAGGACUCCGGUAAACCGGGCUGUAGCAGGCUAACAGGACUCCGGUAGACACCGCAUGACAUUUCCCCGAAGGGACAGACAUAGGAACGAAGAAGGACACAUGCCGGCCAGCCUAAGUGUUCCGGAGCAGUAGCAAGCUACUAGGGCUCAGUGGAAGCACUAGGAGACAUUUCCCGGUGAGAGAGGCUACUAAGGAUAAACAACUAGAUAGCCAUAUCCCACACAUAGCAAUACACAUUACACGUACGCAUAACAUGCAAGUAUGUGUUGUACAACAUGGCAUCACAGCAUAACUCAAUAACUCAUAUAGAUAAAGGCUCGUAAGAGCCAUCAUAGCAUUUAUUACAAGCAGGGGUCACAUGACCCAACAUUUAGAGCAAACAAGCAACAAGCGGAAGCAUUACAUGUCUGAGUACAGACAUCUAUAAAUGAAAAAGGCUGAAGAGCCUGAUUAUCUACAACAUUCGAUCAAGAUCGUAGCUGAGGUACAAGCUACUUGUCGAAGUCCACAAGAACACUAGUAAGACCGAAGUCUCCGCUGCAAAAACAUAAAUAAAGCAACAUGAGUACAAAGGUACUCAGCAAGUCUUACGUCAGAUCCUAUCAUACAUGCAUUUGUAUCAAGAGGGUAAUGUGGGGUUUAGUUGCAGCAAGCCAGCUUUGACUCAGUGGCUAUCCUGUUCUACGACUACGAGAACUUCUUUGAGGUGAGAUGGCGCACACGAGUCCACUAAUCACCACACAAUACACUACCAUGGAUUCAUCCCCGUCUCCCUACGAGAAGGCCAUCCAUAGCACUCACACUUGUCUUGAGCAUUUUAGAGUAUCCACUUCAAAUUGUCUAUGUACCAUGUGUCAUGGUUCUAAGUCUGACAGUAGAAUAGGGGGUAGGUAUGGAGAGGCAAGAUCCUAGCUAUGGAGCAGUUGUACACACGAGUGUUUUACGAGUUCAGGCCCUUCUCGGAAGAAGUAACAACCCUACGUCUCGGAGCCCGGAGGCGGUCGACUGUAUUAUGUGUGUGUAAGGUACAGGGGUGCGAACCCUUCUACCAGUGGAGGGGGGUGGCUUAUAUAGAGGACGCCAGGACCCCAGCCAGCCCACGUAGCGGAGGGUUAAAGUACAUUAAGACCAGACAUUACUGGUAACGCCCUAUAUAAAGUGUCAUCAUGGCCAUAAAGACUACUUAAUUACAGACCAUCUUGAUAUAGAGUAGAUCCUGAACUACUGAUGGUCGAGUGAGUCUUCAUGGUCAAGUGUCUUCAGGUUCGUCGAGUGUCUUCUAGCCGGUCGAGUGGAAUCCCUCUUGGUCAACUGGAAGACGGCUUCUUCUAAGAGAUGCCCUUGGGAAGGGUACCUUGGACAGGUCCGUAACCCUACCCUAGGUACAUGACCUCAUAAGUAGCCCCCGAAUGGAUCGAGGUUCGAGUGAGGAUGGAGUUGGCAAUCUUUCCGACCGGUUUUUUGGUACUGUAAAGGUGUUUUUGCUCUGGAUCAAUGACUUUCAAGUGAGGGUGUCAACUUUAGUUCAGUCGCCUUGAUCCAUUCUUUAUAUAUGUCGAGUGAACUUUAUGAACUUGGAGAUUUCCGAGCGAUAGAUCGCAGGAGAUCUUCCGUCUGACAAGUUGCCCUGUGGUUAGCGAAUUUGGUGGGAUCCGAAUUUUGGGGAAGCGCGCGAAGCGGAGAAGGCCGUGGUACUCGGAUGGGAUAAGGCAGGGACGCCUCGAUUCCCGCGCCGCCUUUUUCGCCACGUAUCGCAUGCGCGACUGUUUCCGGAUUUGACAGGAUUGCCUGGGCCUACCCGUCAGCCACUCGGAAGUGACCCCAUAUAAGGAACCAGGCGGAGGUUUUCCGAGCAGUGCCUCCUCAUUUUCUCCUCCCUCAUCUCCAGAUUCAUCUGCUGCGCUCGUCAACUGCCCAGCGCCGCUGCUCCGUUCCAGCUUCGUCGCUGACAAUGGUGAAGGAGAAGACGGCGGCUUUGGAGCGGGCGAAGAAGGCGACGGCGCAAGCGAAGGGGAGAGCGCCCAGUCGGGGUGGAUCCUCAUCGUGGUCUCGCCUGCCGCAGGGUUGGAUCCAAGGGGAUUGGAUCCGCUCGACCAUCACCCAGAAGGACCUCGAUGACCUAGCCAAUGAGGGGCUGAUCGAGCACGGAGCAGCGAGGCUUCCGGGGGCGGAGUGUCAACCGUAACCUCAGGAGGGUGAGUGCGUCCUCUUGGCGACUCAUGUAGAUCGAGGGUUUUCUUUGCCGCCGCAUCUUUUCUUCCGAGAGUUUCUGAAUUUCUUCAGAGCUCAGCUUCACCAUUUUACUCCAAAUUCCAUCGCCUAUCUCUCCGCCUUUGUAUCUUUGUGUGAGAAUUUCUUGGGUUGCCGGCCGCACUGGGGCCUCUUCAAACAUAUAUUCACUUGUCGUUCCCAAACGGUGAAAAAGGCCAGCCCCAAUGACGAGAGAACCCAGGUGAUCCAGAUGUGUGGGGGUCUCGGGGUCCAGAUGAGGAGUAAGAGCGCUUUCCGUGCUAUGACCCUUCCCGAGUCGGUCAGAGGGUGGCAGUCGACCUGGUUCUACUGCCAAGACCGGUCGAUGCCAGGGCAGUCGACCGGGCUCCCUCCUUUCUCUAUGAGUCGAGUGAACAAGCCCUCCUCUCUGAAAGUAGUUCCAGAGGAGAAGGCUCAGGUGAAAAUGUUGAUGGAGCGAGUAGUUCAGUUGAUUCAUGACGGCGUGACCGGCAUGGACCUUCUGGAGGUUUUCCUUCGGCGGCGCAUCCAACCACUCCAGUACCGGGGCCACCUGAUGUGGCUGUAUUCUGGUACUGAAGACACCAGUCGGGUCCACCCAGAGGAGGUCGACGAUGCUACAUUCGAGAGGUGGAUGACUGCCAUCACGGGGAACAAGGACAACCCUCGUGGAGCUAGGAGGAUUGUUCCACUCGACCAAUCUUAUGAGGUGGACAAGGUACGACUAUUUUCCUCCGAUUUUUCCGUCUAUUCUGUUUCGUCGUAAAUUAGUCGAUUGACCUUUGUCUUGCUUGCUGUCUUUCAGGAAACCACUGAGUUGUACUCGAUGCCCAACGGGGCGCAGGCACAGGCCGAAGAGGAGGAAGGAAGCGGAGGCGAAAGUCAAGAGGAGUGGGAGUCGGACGCCGAUGAGGGUGAGGAAGACGCAGGUUCUGACGAAGAGGAAGAGGAGGAGGAAGAGGAGGAGGAAGUUGCGCCUCCUUGUUCCGAAAGGAGGUCCAAGCUCGCCCACGACCCUGCGGCUGAUCGUGGCAAGGGAGUCGCGCCUGCUGGGCAGUCGACUAAACGUCCUCGGACAACUUCUCCGGCGCCGACUAAAAAGGCGUCGAAGCAACCCCGAGCGGCCCCGUCAAAACCGACGAAAGCUCUACCGAAGAUGAGGAUGGAGAUUCCGACUGUCUCUGGGUAACGGUCAUAACUCAUGUUUUCCAUUCUUGGUCGAUUCAAUCGCUGACCGACUGAUAUUUGCAAAUCACAGUGCUGCUACUUCUGAGACUUCAGCCAGGCAUGAGGAUCAAGAAAUGGAAGAUGCUGCGACUUCUCAGCCUGGUAUGAUCUGCGCGGUUUUCGCUUUCGGUCGAUUGAAUCUUUAUUUUUGAUUUUGAACUUCUUCUGCAGCUCCGCCUAACGUUGUCAUCAAUCUUCCUGAAGAUGAUGACGAAGCGCUGCUGAGGUAGAGGAGGAGCAGGAAGGCGACUGUUGGCAAGGCUGCACAGGUUACGUCAGCACCUGGACCACAGAUUCCUGAGGGGAGCAAUGUUGCUCGGGCUACCGUGUCCUUUGCGGAGCCGUUGAUGGUUGCCCGCCCUUCGUCGUCGAGUGCUGACCCGCCUUCUCUCUUCUCCACCUACCAUGUCCCGGAGGACCAAGCAAGCGCUGCUAAGGAAGCCAUACGCCAGGCCGGGAUUAUGAUGGAGCAGGUGAAGGCAAUCCGAACCGCCAGCCAAGCAGCUUAUGACGCGAGCUCAGCUCUCCAGAGCAACGUCCAGGUUAGUUGAACAUCGACUGGAAAUCUUGAUAUUUGUCAUGCACCCACUGGGUGUGUCAAUUCUACAGUGGACUGCUGGCAGUUGACUAUAGUCUUUGUGUCUUGAGAUUUCUCACUUUACUUGUACCACUCGACCAUGGUCGAGUGGAACAACGAAACUGGUGGGGGCACGCUGAGUGCACCCACUGGGUGUAGUCCCCAAGACCAUGGUCGAUUGCUGGCAAUCGGCUAUGGUCUGAAAAUUUCUUCUCUUUUUUUAGUUAACUGCUUCCGGUCGACUGAUCGACUCUGAGUCUAGCUGAUAGAACUAGUGGGGGCACGCUGAGUGCACCCACUGAGUGUAGUCCCCGAGACUACAGUUAAAUGUUUUAGAUUCAUCUGUAGUCUUAGAAAUAGUACGAUUUUUCCUUUAGUCACUCGGAAGUGAUCUGCCGCUGAUGUUUGUCGACUGAACUUUUACAGAAAUCUUGUGACCUUGUUUCUCGUUAUACCGAAUUGGAGAACAAGUAUAUCCAGCUUGAGCUUGACCAAAAGCUUGUUCAAGAGAACUUCACGAAGGCGAAGGAGGAGGCAAAAGGUAUGUUCGGUGAGAAUCUUGACGACUGUCCUUGCUUCUUGCCUGUCUCCGAUUCUGAUCUUAUUGUGAUUUUCGCAGAAAAACUGAGGGAUGCUCUGAAGAAGAAGGACCUUGACCUUGCUGAGGCGCAGAAAACGGCCGCAGACAAGACUAGGCUUGCAGAAGAGAAGUUGGCUUCCGUCAAUAAACUUGAAGAAGAAAAUACUAAUCUGAAAGCUGCUCUUGACGUGGCCAACCAAGAAGUCACUCGACUGAAGAAUGCCAAUAUGGUCCUGAACGACAAAGCUGGUGAAUUGGCAGGAAAAAAGAAUGACUUGGAGCUUUAUCUGGGAGGACUAGCCAAAAAGUUGUUCCUCAUGCUCGAAGGUAACCUGUUAUCUCCGAUUGGUAGUUACUGACUUGCUGUAGGGGCGUUAGCUUAUUCUUGAAUCAUGUCCACAAAAUUCUGCCAAAACUUUGAAGAGGAGACUAGUCGAGUGGAGAUUGGCUUGGAUCCCAUCAGUUCUCCGGUGAAGGAUGAAACUGCUAUGAGCGUGCUCCGCCUCGAGUCCCGCAUCGCUGCAGUGGUCGAUUACCUUGCAAGACUGAAGGCCGCGGUAUCGCGCAUCGACACAUCGCUCUGGCCAGAAGAAACGCUUCAGAACGACCUUGAGUCGCUGAUGACUCGACUGAUUGAGAUUCCGAGUCGAGUGCAAGAGUGGAAGAAGUCUUCUGCCAGGUGCGGUGCUGACGUCGCUCUAUCCUUGGUCUGCGUCCACUGCAAAGAAGCAAGAGAAGACAAGCUGGUGUCUCUGAAGGUGGCCAACACUAGGAAGCAUGACUUCCGUUCUUUCAUGGAGACCUUCAUCGCGGCUGCCACUCGGAUCGCAGAUGGGAUCGACCUAGACGAGUUUGUUGUGCCUUCCAGCCCUCCGCAGGAGGGGUAAAAAACUUCUAUGCUCGAUGAUUUGAAUUUGCCUCGGAAUGCCGAGUGAUUUUUGUAACCGCCAAACUUUAACAGGCUUGAUGCCUGAGCACUUCUGGGUCCAUAGGACGUUACCCGAACUUGAUUUGCCGUUGAAAUAUGUUUGCUUCUUUCGGAUAACCAUCUUCUUUGGGUUGGAAUAUAUGCUAGCAUCUGAAAUGCUCUUUUGCAGGUAGGAGUGAAGCACAAAUUGUAGUCGACUUGUACUCGUCAUAUUUGGGCGAGUGCUUGGUUGCAAUCAAGCCUCCGAGUGAGAAACUUGUUCUCCACUCGGAAGGAUUUCAGAAACUUAGGCGAGCACUGAGCUGCAGCUAAGCCCCCGAGUGGGAGGUUUGCUCUCCACUCGGUAGGAAUUUAGAAACUUAGGCGAGCGCUGGGCUGCAGCUAAGCCCCCGAGUGGGAGGUUUGCUCUCCACUCGGCAGGAUUUUAGAAACUUAGGCGAGCACUGGGCUAUAGCUAAGCCCCCGAGUGGGAGGUUUGCUCUCCACUCGGUAGGAAUUUAGAAACUUAGGCGAGCGCUGGGCUGCAGCUAAGCCCCUGAGUGGGAGGUUUGCUCUCCACUCGGCAGGAUUUUAGAAACUUAGGCGAGCACUGGGCUGCAGCUAAGCCCCCGAGUGGGAGGUUUGCUCUCCACUCGGCAGGAUUUUAGAAACUUAGGCGAGCACUGGGCUGCAGCUAAGCCCCCGAGUGGGAGGUUUGCUCUCCACUCGGCAGGAUUUUAGGAACUUAGGUGAGCACUGGGCUGCAGCUAAGCUCCUGAGUGGGAGGUUUGCUCUCCACUCGGCAGGAUUUUUAGAAACUUAGGCGAGCACUGGGCCGCAGCUAAGCCCCCGAGUGGGAGGUUUGCUCUCCACUCGGUAGGAUUUUCGUGGCACGGUUUUGGAGGAGAAGGUAGCAGUCGACCUGCGCUUCGUCCUCCUUGCGGGACGCACGUUGUGUUUGUGAUGUAGCUCGGAAGGAGGAAGCGGGGGUCGACCUGCGCCUCGUCCUCCUUGCGAAGCGUACAAUGUCUUUUAUUCUUAGGCGAACACAAGGUUGCAGCUAAGCCUCCGAGUGGAAGACAGGCUUAUCACUCGGUAGGAUUUUCAAAAAACUUAGGCGAGUAUUUGGACUGCAGCUAAGCCUCCAAGUGGGAGACUGGCUCACCAUUCGGUAGGAUUUUGUUUUAACUUAGGCGAAACGGAUCCGCAGCUAAGCCUCCGAGUGGGAGACUGGCUCACCCCACUCGGUAGGAUUUUGUUUACUUAGGCGAGUACUUGGACUGCUGCUAAGCCUCCGAGUGGGAGACUGGCUCACCACUCGGUAGGAUUUUGUUUUAACUUAGGCGAAACGGAUUCGCAGCUAAGCCUCCGAGUGGGAGACUGCCUCACCACUCGGUAGGAUUUUUUACAAGCUUAGGCGAAAUGGGUUCGCAGCUAAGCCACCCACUAGGGGACAGAUUUAUGAGAGCAAAAGCAAUAACAAUCACUAAGAAAAUUAUGAAACUCUUGUCUUUGAUGAAUACACGACAGGAGUACUUUUAUUACAACUCAUCCGAGUGAAAAACUUAAGUAUAAAAAGGGCGGAGUAAGUCCGCGUUCCAUGCUCUGGGCUCGUCAAUCUGGUGCUCGACGUUGUAAAGGCGGUAUGCCCCAUUAUGGAGAACUUUGGUGACGAUGAAGGGACCUUCCCAAGUAGGAGCAAGCUUGUAUGGUUUCUGCUGAUCUACUCGGAGAACUAAAUCUCCCUCCUGGAAAGCUCGACUCUUCACAUUUCUGGCAUGGAAGCGACGCAAGUCCUGCUGGUAAAUGGUCGAUCGGAUCAAGGCCAUCUCUCUUUCUUCUUCUAAAAGGUCGACCGCGUCCUGUCAGGCUUGCUCUGCUUCAGCUUCAGUGUACAGUUCGACUCGGGGUGCGUUGUGAAGCAGAUCACUCGGCAAGACUGCUUCAGCUCCGUAGACCAAGAAGAACGGAGUCCUCCCAGUCGACCGGUUUGGCAUGGUCCUUAACCCCCAAAGCACCGAUGGAAGUUCGUCGACCCAUGCACCGGCUGCGUGCUUGAGGUCGCACAUCAGUCGGGGUUUCAACCCUUUGAGAAUUAAGCCAUUUGCACGUUCUGCUUGUCCAUUCGACUGGGGGUGAGCGACCGAAGCAUAGUCGACUCGUGUACCCUGAGAUGUGCAGAAAGCUCUAAAUUCUUCGGAGUCGAAAUUUGACCCAUUGUCUAUGAUGAUGCUGUGUGGGACUCCAUAUCUGAAUACCAACUCCCUGAUGAAGCUGACGGCGGUGUCGGCAUCCAGAUUCUUGAUGGGUUUAGCCUCAAUCCACUUAGUGAACUUGUCGACUGCUACCAACACAUGGGUGUAGCCGUUUCUGCCUGUUCUCAGAGGUCCAACCAUAUCCAGUCCCCACACAGCAAAGGGCCAGACGAGUGGAAUGGUUUUCAAGGCUGAGGCGGGUUUGUGUGACAUAUUGGAGUAAAAUUGACAUCCUUCACACUUGUCGACUAUCUCUUUCGCCAUCUCAUUUGCUCUGGGCCAAUAGAAACCAGCUCGGUAUGCUUUAGCCACGAUGGUCCGAGAAGACGCAUGAUGGCCGCAGGUCCCCGAGUGGAUGUCAUUGAGAAUCAUUCGUCCUUCUUCUGGUGUUAUGCAUUUCUGGCUGACUCCAGUCGCACUUUCCCUGUAUAACUGUCCCCUCAUGACGGUGAAGGCUUUGGAUCGGCGGACGAUCUCCCGAGCCUCUUCUUCAUUCUCGGGGAGCUCUUUUCUCAGAAUAUAGGCGAUAUAGGGAACUGUCCAAUCGGGAGUGAUGACCAGAACUUCCAUGACCAAGUCGACCACAGCUAGGACCUCGACUUCAGUCGGAUCUGUGGCGCUUUUUGGCUGUGGGACUUCCUGAGUGAAAGGAUCUUCUUGAACCGAUGGCGUGUGAACAUGCUCCAAAAACACAGCACUCGGAAUGGCUUCCCUCUUGGAACAUAUCUUCGCCAAGUCAUCGGCUGCUUGAUUUUUCAGUCGGGGAACGUGAUGGAGCUCUAAUCCCUCAAAUUUCUUCUCCAGCUUUCUGACUGCAUUGCAGUAUCCAGUCAUGUCCGGGCUUCUGACGUCCCACUCCUUCAUCACUUGGUUGACCACUAAGUCCGAGUCGCCGUAGACCAUGAGGCGAUGGACGCCGAGUGAUAUGGCCAUACGCAACCCGUACAAGAGUGCUUCGUAUUCUGCUUCAUUGUUGGAGGAAUCAAAGUGAAUCUGGAGUACAUAUCUGAGCAUAUCACCUCGGGGGGAAACCAAGACCACUCCGGCACCGGAACCAUUCAGCAUUUUGGAGCCAUCGAAGAACAUAGUCCAGUGCUCCGAGUGAACUUGGGUCGGUAACUGCUGUUCAGUCCACUCGGCGAGGAAAUACGCUAUUGCUUGGGACUUGAUAACUUUCUUUGCCUCAAAUCUGAUAUCAAGGGGAAGAAGUUCAAUCGCCCAUUUUGCCACUCGACCGGUUGCGUCUCUGUUGUGCAGAAUCUCUGAUAAGGGGGCGUCGAUGACGACUGUGAUAACAUGGUCAGAGAAGUAGUGGGCAACUUUCUUCGUGGUCAUGUAGAUCCAUAUACAAGCUUCUGAUAAUGAGGGUAUCGUUGCUUGGACGGGGUCAGGACUUCAGAAAUGUAAUAUACUGGGCACUGAACUUUGAAGGCUUUUCCUUCCUCUUCCCGCUCGACCGUAAGUAUAGUACUGACGACUUGUCCUAUGGCUGCAAUGUAAAGCAGCAAAGGCUCUUUGCUGAUUGGGGCAGCAAGCACCGGCUGGGUGGAAAGCAGGGUUUUUAACUCUACAAACGCUACAUCAGCUUCUGGAGUCCACUCGAACUUGUCUGACUUCUUCAUCAGUCGGUAAAGAGGCAAUGCCUUUUCACUAAGGCGAGAGAUGAAUCGACUUAAAGCGGGAAAGCAUCCAGUAAGUUUCUGGACAUCGUGCACACACACGGGGCGUUUCAUUCGGAGUAUAGUGCCAACUUUUUCUGGGUUAGCAUCGAUUCCCCGUUCGGAAACGAGAAAACCGAGUAACUUUCCGCCAGGAACUCCGAAUGUGCAUUUUGAUGGAUUAAGCUUGAUAUCAUACCUCCUGAGGUUGGCAAAUGUUUCAACUAGGUCAGUCAGCAGGUCGGAACCUUUCCGUGACUUGACCACAAUGUCAUCCAUAUACGCUUCCACAUUCCGACUGAUUUGAGUGAGCAAACACUUCUGAAUCAUCCUCAUGAACGUGGCUCCGGCAUUCUUGAGGCCGAAUGGCAUGGUGACAUAACAGAAGCACCCGAAUGGGGUGAUGAAAGCCGUUUUGAUCUCAUCGGAUCCAAACAGACGGAUCUGAUGGUACCCGGAAUAAGCGUCCAAGAAAGAAAGUCGCUCACAUCCCGUAGUCGAGUCGACUAUUUGGUCGAUGCGGGGAAGAGGAAAAUGAUCUUUCGGGCAGGCCCGAUUGAUAUGCUUGAAAUCGAUGCACAUGCGAAGAGAAUUGUCCUUUUUGGGGACCAUGACGACAUUGGCGAGCCACUCAGAGUGGUAAAUCUCUCGGAUAAACUCUGCUGGUAGGUGCCGAGCCACUUCUUCGCCAAUGGCCUUUCUUUUCUGGACGACGGACCGUCGCAGAUGUUCCUUCACAGGUUUUGCCUUCGAGUCGACUCGUAGACGAUGCUCAGCAAGUCCCCUGGGUACACCCGGCAUGUCAGAAGGUUUCCAUGCGAAGAUGUCCCAGUUCUCACGGAGGAACUGGAUGAGCGCUUCUUCCUAUUUAGGGUCGAGUGUUGUGGAGAUAUGAGUCGGAGCAGCGUUUGGGUCGAUCGGGUGGAUGUAAACGGGUUUUGUCUGACCGGACGACUGAAAUGCUGAUUCCGUGGCAGGCUUCUUGGCUCGCAAAAAAUCACUCGGGUCUGCGUUCCUUUGGUGUUCCUGCCACUCUUCUGCCACCAUCUGAGCAUCGGCAAUCUUCGAGCCCUUCUGGAAGCACUCUUCUGCCUUCUUGCGGUUACCAAUGAUAGUGAUCACGCCUUUAGGGCCUGGCAUCUUUAGUUUGAGGUACUUGUAACAUGGUCGAGCCAUAAAACGUGCAUAAGCUGGCCUGCCCAAAAUUGCAUGAUAGGCACUCUGGAAAUCCACAACCUCAAAUGUCAGCUUUUCUUUGCGGAAAUUCUUUGAAUCACCAAAAACUAUGUCAAGAGCAAUCUGGCCGAGCGAUGCGGCCUUCUUGCCAGGGAUGACUCCAUAAAAACUCAUGUUGCUUGUGCUCAACCUGGACUUCGGAAUGCCCAUCCCUUUCAGCGUCUCAGCAUACAGUAUAUUCAAACUGUUGCCGCCAUCCAUCAACACUUUGGUCAGUCGAGUGCCCUCAACGACCAGGUCGACCACCAACGCUUGCCUCCCAGGGGUGGCUAUGUGCGUGGGGUGAUCAGAUUAGUCGAACGUAAUGGCGGUCUAAGACCACUUCAGGUAAUUGGGUGUUGACGGAGCAGCCAUGUUCACCUCUCGGUUUAUAACUUUCAGUCGGUUUUUGCUUUCAACAUCGGCAAAAAUCAUCAAGGUGGAAUUGACCUGCGGAUAUUCUCCGUCACUAUCCUCCUUGUCCUCAACUUUGUCCGACUCUUUUUCUUUGUCCUUGGACUGCUUCCCUUGGAACUGCUGUAUCAGGAGUCAACAUUGUUGAGUGGUAUGCUUCGGGUAGAUGAAAUUACCCUCUUCGUCCUUCUUGGUGUGGAUGUGACAUGGCAAAUCCAACACGACAUUUCCUUCUUUAUCUUUUACUUUCUUGGGGUUCCAAGGCCCCUUGGGUUUCCCUUUGAAUUUUCCAUGGUUCAGGGCCAAGGCUUCUCCAGGUGCGGUUGGCUCAGCUUUACGCUUUUGUUUCCGACUGGAAUUUCUACCUCUGGUGUCUUGGGCGACUGACUUAUGUUUGCCGCUCCGGAGCCGAUCCUCUUCCUUACCAUUGGCAUAUUUGGUGGAUAUUUCCAUCAUUUGACUCAGAGACAUGUCUCCGGUUCGACCGAAUUUCAGGCUUAGCUCUCUGUACUUUACGCCCUCCAUGAAGGCGCAGACCGCCUGGUGGUCGGAUACAUUUUCUACCGUAUGAUGCAGUGUGAUCCACCUCUGGAUGUAAUCUCUCAGAGUCUCAUUCGACUUCUAUACACAAGACUGCAGCUCUGUCAGCCCUGCUGGCCGCUUGCACGUUCCUUCGAAUGUCCUGACAAACACUCGGGAGAGGUCCUCCCAUGUGUAGAUGCUGCUGGGUGUCAACUGAUUCAGCCAUGCCCUGGCUGACCCUUCCAACAUUAGAGGCAAAUGUUUCAUGGCCACCUCAUCAUUUCCACCGCCGAUCUGAACAGCCACUCGGUAGUCCUCAAGCCAAGUGUCGGGCUUGGACUCACCGUUGAACUUGCUGAUCCCAGUCACCAACCUGAAGUUGGGAGGAAUCAUCGCGACUCUGAUGGCUCUGCUAAAACAUUCUGGUCCGGAGUCGUGCACUCGGAUGCUGGUGGGUACAUCUCUGUCAUUACCCUCUCUAUGGGCUCUGUUCCGGUCGACCAGGCCUUGAACGAUGAUGGAUCUUGCAUCAAAGCCUGGUUCUCUGGGGUUGACUGGAAUUCUUCGCCCGCCACUGUACUGGCGUCUGUCGUCCUGCUGUCGAGGCAUAUAUGAUCCACCCCUCCGGGGAGGAGUGGGCACUCGACGUCGAUCGCUGCGAUCGACUCGGUGAUCAUCCUGCUCAUAGUUCCUAUACUGAUCAUGUCGGUCACCACGCCCUUCACGCCUCGGGGGUGAUCUGGGGCUAUGAGCUGGCUGGACAGUAUUCGCCGCCACGGAACUGCUAUGAAUCCUGUUCCGCGACUGCGACACAACUGAAUUCUGAUCUCCAGCUGCCCGGAGCAAAUCCCUGAUCUGCAUCAAGCCUCUGCCAGCCUCUGACUGGGAAGGCUGGAUCGACUCUGCUAUACGUGUUGCAGCUGCUAAAUUCUGGAUUGGAGUGCGGUAUACCUAAGUCGGAGGUUUAAAGAGUUGGCGUCGACUGGAGUCUGGAAUCCGUUGCCGCGCGCGCUCGUCGAGUGCCCGCUGAAGGUUCUCCAGUCGAGUGCGCUCAGCAAGGUUGGCCAAGCGCGCGUCCUCUAAGGCGCGAGCCUCGGGGGUUUCUCCAACGAUCGGAGUAUGAAGCGCAUCCAUGUUCCGACGGCGAAGCUCUUCCCUCUGCUGUGAGUCGAGGGGCUCGGGGCGGUACUCCUCAUGGUCGUGCGACGGGUCACCUCCGCCGUUGCCUCCCUCGGUGCCAGGAAAGCCGGGGGGAAUGUGCGGUCCAUUGACCAUCAGGACCUCCGCCGCUGGAUCACUGCUGUCACAUUCGGAUGCAGUCUCUGCGGAGCCAGUCGACAGGUCGAACAGGCCAUAGAGAGAUUCGUCAGGCUCGAUUGCCGCGACUUGGGCGGUGGUCGACUGGCGAGCCACUGCGUGCCUCACCCACCGCUGAAGCCUUGACUGACCGGAGCGCUUACGCCGGCGGGAAGCUGGGAGGGAGGAUGACACGAAAACCGGCCGAUACUGAGUCGACGGUUGCCGCAGAAGGACGCCGCGGACGCACGCUCGAAAAUGCGUAGCUCCACGGACCGGGAGCGCAUCCACGUUGAGCGGGGCCUCCUGCAGCCAGGCAGAGUCGUCGGCGAUGAAUGUGAUCGCGCCGAGACAGAUCUCGCGGCCCUCAACCAAAACUCCACCUCAAACCAUGAUGAUGGGAAUUGAAAAGAUUGCAACUUCUCCAACAAAUCGCUAAGACACCUGCCCCAUGGUGGCUGCCAACUGUCGUGGUUCUAAGUCUGACAGUAGAAUAGGGGGUAGGUAUGGAGAGGCAAGAUCCUAGCUAUGGAGCAGUUGUACACACGAGUGUUUUACGAGUUCAUGCCCUUCUCGGAAGAAGUAACAACCCUACGUCUCGGAGCCCGGAGGCGGUCGACUGUAUUAUGUGUGUGUAAGGUACAGGGGUGCGAACCCUUCUACCAGUGGAGGGGGGUGGCUUAUAUAGAGGACGCCAGGACCCAAGCCAGCCCACGUAGCGGAGGGUUAAAGUACAUUAAGACCAGGCGUUACUGGUAACGUCCUAUAUAAAGUGUCAUCAUGGCCAUAAAGACUACUUAAUUACAGACCGUUUGGAUACAGAGUAGAUCCUGAACUACUGAUGGUCGAGUGAGUCUUCAUGGUCGAGUGUCUUCAGGUUCGUCGAGUGUCUUCUAGCCGGUCGAGUGGAAUCCCUCUUGGUCGACUAGAAGACGGCUUCUUCUAAGAGAUGCCCUUGGGAAGGGUACCUUGGACAGGUCCGUAACCCUACCCUAGGUACAUGACUUCAUCACCAUGUAAGCAUCCAAGAAGUUCAUAACCGCGGACCCAGCUAUUCGAAUAGAUCAUGUUAACCCUGCAGGGGUGUACUUCUUCACACACGCUGUCGCCACUUACCGCCAUGUACACGUCAUGUAUCUCGGCAACCUUCAAGCGGAAGCCUGGCGAGGGUGUCGGCCACGACCUGACUAACCACACAAGACUCUAGUCCAGGUUUAUCGCCUAUUCGGGUUCCAUCCGCAAGGAGAUCCGGCCGGGGUGUCGCUCACGACCCGAAAUGAUGUGAGCAGGGUUCCCAAGCCCACCAUCCGGGUGCCACUUGGUACACCGUGCCACUGUGCCUAGUCUGUCCAAAGCCCACCUGGCUGGGUGCCACUUGGUAGACUACUAACACUACCUACAAACACCAGAAACUAGUUGCGACUCCUGGACAGAGAUCAAGUUGGUUAACAAGUCGAGAGGGGUCGAAUUACCGGAACCCAAUGUGUGGUAGUAUCGAGUCAUUGGACGACAUACACAGAACUCAGUGCUUAAGGACGGUUCCAGUGAGACAACCCACCAUGUACUCCUACAUGGCCUCUCACCGCUACCUUUACCAAAUCGUGUUCACACACUUAACUCUCAGCAUCAGAACAUAGCACUGCACUCCAAUUCAUUCCCAAUGAAUCAGACCUGACACACUCUAAGCAAUAGCAGGCAUGGCAUGGUAGGAACACAACAGUGGCUUCAAUCAACUCCUACACAUGCUAGUGGGUUUCAACUAUUUACUGUGGCAAUGACAGGUCAUGCAGAGGAAUGGGUUCAACUACCGCAGCACAAAGUAGCAGUUGAAACGUUGUUGUCCUAAUGCAAUAACUGAGAGCAGGAGCGAGAGAGUAGGAUUGUAUCGGAAUGAACAAGGGGGUUUGCUUGCCUGGUAGAUCAACAAGGAAGGCACUUCUCCUCAGACAGGUACUCUGGAACGGUCUCCGGAGCAGGACCUAUCAAGAAGGAACGGUGUUGACAAUAAAUACACAAGCAUAUGCAACAAUAUGAUGCACGAACAUGGCAUGAAUAUGUGAUGUUGUUUGAGCUAAUGCAGCUAGUAUUCUGUUUGAAUGAAGUCCAUUUGAACCAAGGGUUCAAAUGCAACUCCAAGUUAAGCUCUUAUAUAUGCCAUUAUAGUGUUUCACUUAUAUAGUAGGUAUAAGUUGGUUUGUCAUGCAUGAAACUAGCACAGAUGGAUAGAUUGCAUUUUUCUGAUAAUUUUUCAUAUAUAAAUUAUUGCAAUCUGAGUUACGGUUGAAUUUAUAUGAUUUUUGAAGUUUAUAACAAUUCCUCGCAUUCCCUGAUUUAAUGUAAAUCCAGAAAAUAAAUAAUUGUGUCAGCACUCCGUCAUGCUUGCGUCAGCAAGUCAACAACACUGACUGGUCAAACCUAACGUGUGGGGUCCACACGUCAGUGACAUGGGUUAAACAGGGGUGUUAGUUUUAUCUUAAUUAAAGGAUUAGUGGCACUGGGCCCACUGGUCAAUGUCCGGGUUGUUAGUUAACGGUGAUUAGCCUUAAGCUAAUCACUUGACCCACGGGCCCACCUGAUGGGCCGGCGAGGUCAAAGGGUCAAACCCCACCGGCGUUUAGCCGCCGGCGAGGCUGAACAUGGCGGAGGGCCUCGGAAUCGCAUCUCCGGCGUCCAAAUGGCUCGCGGAGACCACUGGCGAGGAGCCAGCGCUCGUUCGCGUCAUCUGGAGCAAGUGGGAGAUGCGGGGACGGCCGGAGCUCGCCGGAGCGGAGCUCAGGGCAGCGGCCGGAGUUCGGCCGAGGGCGGGCGCAGCGCUGCGGUGCACGGGGGCGGCGGCUAAGAGCACCGGGGCAUAGCCUGGGCUCGUCCGCAUCCAGCGGAGGUGACGGGAGGUCGCAGGGUGGCCAGAGCUCGCCAGAGCAGAGAUCGUAGUGACGGCCGGAGCUCGGCUCGAGCAGCAAAGGGGCUGGAGGGCGCAGAAGAGCAGGGGAGUAGGGGGAAUCAACGGCGGGGCUCACUGCGGUCUCGAUGGCGUCCUCAGCAAGCUCGGGGAAGGCCGGACGGCGGUGUGGCGGCGAGGACGAUCUCCGGCGGCCGGAGGCGAAGAUGGUGAUGUUGACGGUGUUCCAGGGCUUCCCGCGUCGCGUGGCUCGAUGGAGAGGUGGACGGCGACAUGGCGGAGCUUCUGAGCUGGUCGGAGAGGCGAGGGAGAGGUGGUGGCUACGGUAACGGUGAGCGGCGGCGACGGUGGCGUUCGGCGUCGCGUGAGAGAGCGAGGGAGAGGAGAGGAGUGGGCACGGGAGAGUGAGAGGGGUACGGGGCGGUGCGUGGCACCACGCGGGGCAUCGAGAGCGACGAGGAGGGGAAGCAGAAGGUGGCGGGAGACGUGGCCACGGGCGAGCGCGCACGCGACACGCAUGGUACCAGUAGGCGCGAGGAAGAAGACAGAGGAGGAGGCGGGUUGGCCAGCUGGGCCGCACAGCUGGGCCUCUGGGCUGCACAGGGAGGUAAGCGCCAAGUAAGGUCCCUUUUUUCCUAUUUGUUUUUCUAUUUUCUGACAUUUGUUUUGAUUUAAUAAAAAUACUAAAUCAUUUUAUUUACUGAUGCCAAUUUUUGUAGGAACUAGUGGUAUUAUUCCAGAGCUCCUCAACAAAUGGCAUAAAUUUUGGACAUAUAUUAUAUAUAUAACAAAUAUAUGUCCAAUGCAAAUAUUUAUGCAUUAAUUCCAAAUGCCCAAAAUAAAUACUUAUGGGCUCUUAAAAAUAUUGGUUUGAUUUUUAUCUCUGUCCAAUAUUUUCAGAGAGUAACAUGAGCAUUUUCUUGGACCUUUUUGGAGCAAUUUUUAUUUGGGUCAUUUCCAAAAAUGAUUCUGAGGGUUUCACAAAUGCCCAUUUCAAAAUUAAAUGGAAUUUAAACAUGAUGCACAAAUGACUAGCUAGCCUCGAGCAUACCAGAACUAGGGAUGUGACAGAUGUUCUCUACAUGUUUAUUUCUUUGGUCGUAGGAAACCUGUACUUUUAAGACGGAAUCCACACCGGAAAUUAUUGGGUGAACCAAUGCACGUACACAUUGAAGGAAAUAUGCCCUAGAGGCAAUACUAAAGUUCUUAUUUUAUAUUGAAAGAAAUAUGCCCUAGAGGCAAUAAUAAAGUUAUUAUUUAUUUCCUUAUUUCAUGAUAAAUGUUUAUUAUUCAUGCUAGAAUUGUAUUAACCAGAAACUUAGUACAUGUGUGAAUACAUAAACAAAACAUAGUGUCCCUAGUAUGCCUCUACUUGACUAGCUCAUUAAUCAAAGAUGGUUAUGUUUCCUAACCAUAGACAUGUGUUCUCAUUUGAUGAACAUGAUCACAUCAUUAGGAGAAUGAUGUGAUGGACAUGACCCAUCCAUUAGCUUAGCAUUAUGAUGGUUACAGUUUCAUUGCUACUGCUUUCUUCAUGACUUAUACAUGUUCCUUAGACUAUGAGAUUAUGCUACUCCCGAAUACCGGAGGAACACCUUGUGUGCUAUCAAACGUCACAACGUAACUGCGUGAUUAUAAAGAUGCUCUACAGGUGUCUCCGAAGGUGUUUGUUGGGUUGGCAUAGAUCGAGAUUAGGAUUUGUCACUCUGUGUAUCGGAGAGGUAUCUCUGGGCCCUCUCGGUAAUGCACAUCACUAUAAGCCUUGCAAGCAGUGUGACUAAUGAGUUAGUUGCGGGAUGAUGCAUUAUGGAACAAGUAAAGAGACUUGCCGGUAAUGAGAUUGAACUAGGUAUGAUGAUACCACGAUCGAAUCUCGGGCAAGUAACAUACCGAUGACAAAGGGAGCAACGUAUGUUGUUAUGCGGUUUGACCGAUAAAGAUCUUCGUAGAAUAUGUGGGAGCCAAUAUGAGCAUCUAGGUUCUGCUAUUGGUUAUUGACUAGAGAUAUGUCUCAGUCAUGUCUACAUAGUUCUCGAACCCAUAGGGUCCGCACGCUUAACAUUCGAUGAUGAUUUGUAUUAUGAGUUAUGUGAUUUGAUGACCGAAGUUUGUUCGGAGUAACAGAUGAAAUCAUGGACGUGACGAGGAGUCUAGAAAUGGUUGAGACGUAAAGAUCGAUAUAUUGAAAGGCUAUAUUCGGACAUCGGAAAGGUUCCGAGUGAUUCGGAUAUUUUUCGGAGUAUCAGAGAGUUACGGGAAUUCGCUGGGGGAAGUAGUGGGCCUUAAUGGGCCAUACGAGAAAGGAGAGAAGGGCCUCAAGGGGUGGCCACGCGCCCCCCAUGGGCUGGUCCGAAUUGGACUCGGAGGGGGCGGCGCCCCCUUCCUUCUCCCCUCUUCCUCCUUCCCUUCCUUCUCCUAAUUGGAAUAGGAAGGGGGGGCGACCUACUUGGACCGGGGGGUCCAAGUAGGACUCCCUCCUUUGGCGCGCCCCCUCUAGGACGGCCUCCCCUUGCUCCCUCCUUUACAUAUGUGGGCAGGGGGCACCCCAAAGGUACUCCACGAUUUGUCUUAGCUGUGUGCUGUGCCCCCCUCCACAGUUACACACCUCGGUCAUAUCGUCGUAGUGCUUAGGCGAAGCCCUGCACCAAUAACUUCAUCAUCACCAUCGCCACGUCGUCGUGCUGACGUAACUCUCACUCGGCCUCAACUAGAUCAAGAGUACGAGGGACGUCAUCCAGCUAAACAUGUGCUGAACGCGGAUGUGCCGUACGUUCGGUACUUGAUCGGUUGGAUCGCGAAGAAUUUCGACUACAUCAACUGUGUUAUUGAAACGCUUCCACUUUCGGUCUACGAGGGUACGUAGACAACACUCUCCCCUCUUGUUGCUAUGCAUCACCUAGAGAUAGAUCUUGCAUGAUCGAAUGAUACUUUUUGAAAUUACUGCAUUCUCAACAGUGGUAUCAGAGCCAGGUCUAUGCGUAGAUGUUAUAUGCACGAGUAGAACACAAAGAGUUGUGGGUGAUAAUAGUGAUACUACUUACCAGCAUGUCAUACUUUUAUUCGGUGGUAUUGUUGGAUGAAGCGGCUCAGACCGACAUUACGCGUACACUUAUGCGAGACUGGUUCUACCGAUGUGCUUCACACACAGGUGGCUAGUGAGCGUCUGUUUCUCCAACUUUAGCUGAAUCGAGUGUGGCUACGCCCGAUCCUUGUUGAAGGUUAAAACAUCACACUUGAUGAAAAAUCAUUGUGGUUUUGAUGUGUAGGUAAGAACGGUUCUUGCUAAGCCCGUAGCAGCCACGUAAAACUUGCAACAACAAAGUAGAGGACGUCUAACUCGUUUUUGCAGGGCAUGUUGUGAUGUGAUAUGUCAAGACAUGAUGUGUUGUAUGAGAAGAUCAUGUUUUGUUAAAGUUAUCGGCAACUGGCAGGAGCCUUAUGAUUGUCUCUUUAUUGUAUAAGAUGCAAGCACCGUAUAAUUGCUUUACUUUAUCGCUAUGCGAUAGCAAUAGUUGGCGAGACGACCAUGUGAUGACACGUUGAUAGAGAUCAAGAUGAUGGAGAUCAUGGUGUCAUGCCGGUGACGAUGGAGAUCAUGACGGUACUUUGGAGAUGGAGAUCAAAGGCACAAGAUGAUGAUGGCCAUAUCAUGUCACAUAUUUUUAUUACAUGUUAUGUUUAUCUUUUAUGCUUCUUGUUUUACUUAGUUCAGCGGUAGCAUUUCAAGAUCAUCCCUUACUAAAAAUUUCAAUGUAUAAGUGUUCUACCUGAGUAUGCACUAUUGCUACAGUUCUUCAUGAUGAGACACCACGUGAUGAUAGGAUGUGAGAAGCUCUACGUUCACAUACAACGGGUGCAAGCUAGUUUUGCACAUGCAAAAUACUCGGGUUAAACUUGACGAGCCUAGCAUAUGCAUAUAUGGCCUCGGAGCACUGGAGACCAAAAGGUCGAGCGUGAAUCAUAUAGAAGAGAUGGUCAACAUAGUGAUGUUCACCAUUGAAAACUACUCCAUCUCACGUGAUGAUCGGACAUGGUUUAGUUGAUUUGGAUCACGUGAUCAUUUAGAUUACUAGAGGGGUGUCUAUCUAAGUGGGAGUUCUUAAGUAAUAUGAUUAAUUGAACUUUAAUUUACCAUGAACUUAGUCCUGAUAGUAUUUUGCAAAUUAUGUUGUAGAUCAAUACCUCGCGUUAUAGCUUCCCUAUGUUUUUAUAUGUUCCUAGAGAAAACUAUGUUGAAAGAUUAUAGUAGCAAUGAUGCGGACUGGGUCCGUAAUCUGAGGUUUAUCCUCAUUGCUGCAAAGAAGAAUUAUGUCUUGAUGCACCGCUAGGUGACAGACCUAUUACAGGAGCAAAUGCAGACGUUAUGAACGUUUGGCUAGCUCAAUAUGAUGACUACUUGAUACUUUAGUGCACCAUGCUUUACGGUUUAGAAUCGGGACUUCAAAGAUGUUUUGAACAUCAUGGAAUAGAUGAGAUGUUCCAGGAGUUGAAGUUAAUAUUUCAAGCAAAUGCCUGAGUUGAGAGAUAUGAAGUCUCCCACAAGUUCUAUAGCUAAAAGAUGGAGGGGAAUAGCUCAAGGAGUGAGCAUGUGCUCGGAUUGUCUGGGUACUACAAUCACUUGAAUCAAGUGGGAGUUAAUCUUCCAGAUAAGACAGUGAUUGACAGAGUUCUCUAGUCACCAUCACCAAUUUACUGGAACUUCAUGAUGAACUUUAGUAUGCAAGGGAUGACAAAAACGAUUCCCAAGCUCUUCGUGAUGCUGAAAUCAAUGAAGGUAGAAAUCAAGAAAAAGCAUCAAGCGUUGAUGAUUAAACAAGAUCACUAGUUUCAAGAAAAGGGCAAAGGGAAAGAAAGGAAACUUCAAGAAGAUUGGCAAGCAAGUUGUCACUCCCAUGAAGAAGCCCAAAGCUGGACCUAAGGCUAAAACUAAGUGCUUCUACUGCAAAGGAAAUGGUCACUGGAAGCGGAGUUACCCCAAAUAUUUGGUGGAUAAGAAGGAUAGCAAAGUCAACAAAGGCAUAUUUGGUAUACAGGUUAUUGAUGUGUAACUUACUAGUGUUCAUAGUAGCCCCUGGGUAUUUGAUACUUGUUCGGUUCCUAAGAAUACUAACUCGAAAUAGGAGUUUCAGAAUAAAUAGAGACUAGUAGAGGGAGAAGUGACAAUGUGUGUUGGAAGUGGUUCCAAUAUUGAUAUGAUCAUCAUCACACACUCCUUAUACUUUUGAGAUUAGUGUUGAAUCUAAAUAAAUGUUAUUUGGUGUUUGCGUUGAGCAUGAAUAUGAUUAGAACAUGUUUAUUGCAAUACGGUUAUUCAUUUAAGACAGAGAAUAAUUUUAAUAUGUUUACAUGAAUAAAACCUUCUAUGGUCAUACACCCAAUGUUGAUGGUUUAUUGAAUCUCGAUCAAAGUAAUACACAUAUUCAUAAUAUUGAUGCCAAAAGAUGCAAAGUUGAUAAUGAUAGUGCAACUUAUUUGUGGCACUUCCGUUUGGGUCAUAUCGGUGUAAAGUGCAUGAAGAAACUCCAUAAAGAUGGACUUUUUGAAUCACUUGAUUAUGAAUCAUUUGUUAAUUGCGAACUGUGCCUUAUGGGCAAGAUGACUAAAACUCCAUUCUCUGGAACAAUGGAACGAGCUAAUAACUUAUUGGAAACAAUACAUACCAAUGUAUGCGGUCCGAUGAGUGUUGAUGCUCGUGGCAGGUAUCGUUAUUUUCUGACCUUCACAGAUGAUUUGAGCAGAUAUGGGUAUAUUGUUGGGGAACGAUGCAGAAAACAAAAAUUUUCCUACGGUUUCACCAAGAUCAAUCUAUGAGUUCAUCUAGCAACGAGAGAGAGGAGUGCAUCUACAUACCCUUGUAGAUCGAGCAGAAGCGUCCAAGAGAACGGGGUUGAGGGAGUCGUACUCGUCGUGAUCCAAAUCACCGGAGAUCCUAGUGCCGAACGAACGGCACCUCCGCAUUCAACACACGUACGGUCAGCGUGACGUCUCCUCCUACUUGAUCCAGCAAUGGGGAAGGAGAGGUUGAUGAAGAUCCAGCAGCACGACGGCGUGGUGGUGGAUGCAGCAGGGAUCCCGGCAGGGCUUCGCCAAGCAUCUGCGGGAGGGAGAGGUGUAGCAAGGGGGAAGGGAGGCGCAAAGUGCAAGGGUGAGGCUGCCCUCCCUCCCCUCCUCUUUAUAUAGGGACCCCAGGGGGGCGCCGGCCCUAGGAGAUGGGAUCUCCUAGGGGGUGGCGGCCAAGGGGGGUGCCUUGCCCCCCAAGGCAAGUGGAGGCGCCCCCUCCCCUAGGGUUCCCAACCCUAGGAGCAAGGGGGGCCCAAGGGGGGGGGGCGCACCAGCCCACCAGGGGCUGGUUCCCCUCCCACUUCAGCCCAUGGGGCCCUCCGGGAUAGGUGGCCCCACCCGGUGGACCCCCGGGUCCCUUCCGGUGGUCCCGGUACAAUACCGGUGACCCCCGAAACUUUCCCGAUGGGCGAAACUCGACUUCCCAUAUACAAUUCUUUACCUCCGGACCAUUUCGGAACUCCUCGUGACGUCCGGGAUCUCAUCCGGGACUCUGGACAACUUUUGGUUUGCUACAUACAAAUAUCUCUACAACCCUAGCGUCACCGAACCUUAAGUGUGUAGACCCUACGGGUUCCGGAGACACGUAGACAUGACCGAGACGGCUCUCCGAUCAAUAACCAACAUCGGGAUCUGGAUACCCAUGUUGGCUCCCACAUGCUCCUCGAUGAUCUCAUCGGAUGAACCACGAUGUCGAGGAUUCAAGCAGCCCCGUAUACAAUUCCCUUUGUCAAUCGGUAUGUUACUUGCCCGAGAUUCGAUCGUUGGUAUCCCAAUACCUCGUUCAAUCUCGUUACCGGCAAUUCACUUUACUCGAACCGUAAUGCAUGAUCCCGUGACCAGACACUUGGUCACUUUGAGCUCAUUAUGAUGAUGCAUUACUGUGUGGGCCCAAAUAUACCUCUCCGUCAUACGGAGUGACAAAUCCCAGUCUCGAUCCGUGUGAACCCAACAGACACUUUCGGAGAUACCCGUAGUAUACCUUUAUAGUCACCCAGUUACGUUGUGACGUUUGGUACACCCAAAGCACUCCUACGGUGUCUGGGAGUUACACGAUCUCAUGGUCUAAGGAAAAGAUACUUGACAUUGGAAAAGCUCUAGCAAACGAACUACACGAUCUUGUGCUAUGCUUAGGAUUGGGUCUUGUCCAUCACAUCAUUCUCCUAAUGAUGUGAUCUCGUUAUCAAUGACAUCCAAUGUCCAUAGUCUGGAAACCUUGACUAUCUAUUGAUCAACGAGCUAGUCAACUAGAGGCUCACUAGGGACAUGUUGUGGUCUAUGUAUUCACACGUUUAUUAUGAUUUCCGGAUAAUACAAUUAUAGCAUGAAUAAAAGACAAUUAUCAUGAACAAGGAAAUAUAAUAAUAACCCUUUUAUUAUUGCCUCUAUGGCAUAUUUCCAACAGUCUCCCACUUGCACUAGAGUCAAUAAUCUAGUUACAUUGUGAUGAAUCGAACACCCAUAGAGUUCUGGUGUUGAUCAUGUUUUUCUCGCGGAAGAGGUUUAGUCAAUGGAUUUGCGACAUUCAGAUCUGUAUGUACUUUGCAAAUAUCUAUGUCUCUAUCUUGAACAUUUUCACGGAUGGAGUUGAAACGACGCUUGAUGUGCCUGGUCUUCUUGUGAAACCUGGGCUCCUUGGCAAGGGCAAUAGCUCCAGUGUUGUCACAGGAGAGAGUGAUCGGCCCCGACGCAUUGGGUAUGACUCCUAGGUCGGUGAUGAACUCCUUCAUCCAUAUUGCUUCAUGUGCUGCCUCUGAGGCUGCCAUGUACUCCUCUUCACAUGUAGAUCCCGCCAUGACGCUCUGCUUGCAACUGCACCAGCUUAUUGCUCCGCGAUUCAACAUAUACACGUAUCCGGUUUGUGACUUAGAGUCAUCCAGAUCUGUGUCGAAGCUAGCGUCGACGUAACCCUUUACGAUGAGCUCUUUGUCACCUCCAUAAACGAGAAACAUAUCCUUAGUCCUUUUCAGGUACUUCAGGAUAUUCUUGACCGCUAUCCAGUGUUCCUUGCUGGGAUUACUUUGGUACCUUCCUACCAAACUUACGGCAAUGUUUACAUCAGGUCCGGUACACAUCAUGGCAUACAUAAUACAUCCUAUGUCCGAGGCAUAGGGGAUGACACUCAUCUCUUCUUUAUCUUCUACCGUGGUCGGGCAUUGAGCCGAGCUCAAUCUCACACCUUGCAAUACAGGCAAGAACCCUUUCUUGGACUGAUCCAUAUUGAACUUCUUCAAUAUCUUAUCAAGGUAUGUGCUUUGUGGAAGACCUAUGAGGCGUCUCCAUCUAUCCCUAUCGAUCUUGAUGCCUAGUAUGUAAGCAGCUUCUCUAAGGUCCUUCAUUGAAAAACACUUAUUCAAGUAGGCCUUAAUGCUGUCCAAAAGGUCUAUAUCAUUUCCCAUCAAAAGUAUGUCAUCUACAUAUAAUAUGAGAAAUGCUACAGAGCUCCCACUCACCUUUUUGUAAACGCAGGCUUCUCCAUAAGUCUGCAUAAACCCAAACGCUUUGAUCAUCUCAUCAAAGCGAAUGUUCCAACUCCGAGAUGCUUGCACCAGCCCAUAAAUGGAUCGCUGGAGCUUGCAUACCUUGUUAGCAUUCUUAGGAUCGACAAAAUCUUCUGGCUACAUCAUAUACAGUUCUUCCUUAAGAUAGUCGUUAAGGAAUGCCGUUUUGACGUCCAUCUGCCAUAUCUCAUAAUCAUAGUAUGCGGCAAUUGCUAACAUGAUUCGGACGGACUUCAGCUUCACUACGGGAGAGAAAGUCUCAUCAUAGUCAACCCCUUGAACUUGCCGAUAACCCUUAGCGACAAGUCGAGCUUUAUAGAUGGUAACAUUACCAUCCGCGUCCGUCUUCUUCUUAAAGAUCCAUUUAUUUUCUAUCGCUCGCCGAUCAUCGGGCAAGUCUGUCAAAGUCCAUACUUUGUUUUCAUACAUGGAUUAUAUCUCGGAUUGCAUGGCUUCAAGCCAUUUGUUGGAAUCUGGGCCCGCCAUCGCUUCUUCAUAGUUCGAAGGUUCAUCGUUGUCUAACAACAUGAUUUCCAGGACAGGGUUGCCAUACCACUCUGGCGUGGAACGUGUCCUUGUGGACCUACGAAGUUCAGUAGCAACUUGAUCCGAAGUACCUUGAUCAUCAUCAUUAAUUUCCUCUCCAGUCGGUGUAGGCACCACAGGAACAUUUUCCUGAGCUGCACUACUUUCCGGUUCAAGAGGUAGUACUUCAUCGAGUUCUACUUUCCUCCCACUUACUUCUUUCGAGAGAAACUCUUUUUCCAGAAAGGAUCCGUUCUUGGAAACAAAGAUCUUGCCUUCGGAUCUAAGGUAGAAGGUAUACCCAAUGGUUUCCUUAGGGUAUCCUAUGAAGACGCAUUUUUCCGACUUGGGUUCGAGCUUUUCAGGUUGAAGUUUCUUGACAUAAGCAUCACAUCCCCAAACUUUUAGAAACGACAGCUUAGGUUUCUUCCCAAACCAUAAUUCAUACGGUGUCAUCUCAACGGAUUUAGACGGAGCCCUAUUUAAAGUGAAUAUAGCUGUCUCUAGAGCAUAUCCCCAAAAUGAUAGCGGUAAAUCGAUAAGAGACAUCAUAGAUCGCACCAUAUCCAAUAGAGUGCGAUUACGACGUUCGGACACACCAUUACACUGAGGUGUUCCAGGCGGCAUGAGUUGUGAAACGAUUCCACAUUUCCUUAAGUGCGUACCAAAUUCGUGACUUAAAUAUUCUCCUCCACGAUCUGAUCGUAAGAACUUUAUUUUUCGGUCACGUUGAUUCUCUACUUCAUUCUGAAAUUCCUUGAAAUUUUCAAAGGUCUCAGACUUGUGUUUCAUCAAGUAGACAUACCCAUAUCUACUCAAGUCAUCAGUGAGAGUGAGACCAUAAUGAUAUCCUCCACGAGCCUCAACGCUCAUUGGACCGCACACAUCAGUAUGUAUGAUUUCCAAUAAGUUGGUUGCUCGCUCCAUUGUUCCGGAGAACGGAGUCUUCGUCAUUUUGCCCAUGAGGCAUGGUUCGCAUGUGUUAAAUGAUUCAUAAUCGAGAGACUCUAAAAGUCCAUCUGCAUGGAGCUUCUUCAUGCUCUUGACACCAAUGUGACCAAGGCGGCAGUGCCACAAGUAUGUGGGACUAUCGUUAUCAACUUUACAUCUUUUGGUAUUCACACUAUGAAUAUGUGUAACAUCACGUUCGAGAUUCAUUAAGAAUAAACCAUUGACCAUUGGGGCAUGACCAUAAAAUAUAUCUCUCAUAUAAAUAGAACAACCAUUAUUCUCGGAUUUAAAUGAGUAACCAUCUCGUAUUAAACGAGAUCCAGAUACAAUGUUCAUGCUCAAACUUGGCACUAAAUAACAAUUAUUGAGGUUUAAAACUAAUCCCGUAGGUAAAUGUAGAGGUAGCGUGCCGACGGCGAUCACAUCGACCUUGGAACCAUUCCCGACGCGCAUCGUCACCUCGUCCUUCGCCAGUCUCCGCUUAUUCCGCAGCUCCUGCUUUGAGUUACAAAUAUGAGCAAUGGCACCGGUAUCAAAUACCCAGGAGCUACUACGAGCACUGGUAAGGUACACAUCAAUUACAUGUAUAUCACAUAUACCUUUAGUGUUGCCGGCCUUCUUGUCCGCUAAGUAUUUGGGGCAGUUCCACUUCCAGUGACCCUUCCCUUUGCAAUAAAAGCACUCAGUCUCAGGCUUGGGUCCAUUCUUUGACUUCUUCCCGGUAACUGGCUUACCGGGCGCGGCAACAUCCUUGCCGUCCUUCUUGAAGUUCUUCUUACCCUUGCCUUUCUUGAACUUGGUGGUUUUAUUGACCAUCAACACUUGAUGUUCCUUUUUGAUUUCUACCUCUGCUGACUUCAGCAUUAAAAAUACUUCAGUAAUAGUUUUCACCAUCCCCUGCAUAUUGUAGCUCAUCACAAAGCUCUUGUAGCUCGGUGGGAGCGACUGGAGGAUUCUGUCAAUGACCGCCUCGUCCGGGAGGUUAAUGUCCUGCUGGGACAGGCGGUUGUGCAACCCAGAUAUUUUGAGUAUGUGCUCACUGACAGAACUAUUUUCCUCCAUCUUACAACUAUAGAACUUGUCGGAGACUUCAUAUCUCUCGACCUGGGCGUGAGCUUGGAAAACCAUUUUCAGCUCCUCGAAGAUCUCAUAUGCUCCGUGUUGCUCAAAACGCUUUUGGAGCCCCGGUUCUAAGUAGUAAAGCAUGCCACACUGAACGAGGGAGUAAUCAUCAACACGUGACUGCCAAUCGUUCAUAACGUCUUGGUUCUCUGGGAUGGGUGCUUCACCUAGCGGUCCUUCUAGGACAUAUGCUUUCUUGGCAGCUAUGAGGAUGAUCCUCAGGUUCCGGACCCAGUCCGUAUAGUUGCUGCCAUCAUCUUUCAGCUUGGUUUUCUCUAGGAACGCGUUGAAGUUCAUGUUGACAUGAGCGUUGGCCAUUUGAUCUACAAGACAUUUUUUGCAAAGAUUUUAGACUAAGUUCAUGAUAAUUAAGUUCAUCUAAUCAAAUUAUUUAAUGAACUCUUAUUCAGAUUAGACAUCCCUGUAGUCAUCUAAGUGUUACAUGAUCCGAGUCGACUAGGCCGUGUCCGAUCAUCACGUGAGAUGGACUAGUCAUCAUCGGUGAACAUCUCCAUGUUGAUCGUAUCUUCCAUACGACUCAUGUUCGACCUUUCGGUCUCUUGUGUUCCGAGGCCAUGUCUGUACAUGCUAGGCUCGUCAAGUUAACCUAAGUGUUUUGCAUGUGUAAAUCCGUCUUACACCCGUUGUAUGUGAACGUUAGAAUCUAUCACACCCGAUCAUCACAUGGUGCUUCGAAACAACGAACUGUCGCAACGGCGCACAGUUAGGGGGAACACUUUCUUGAAAUUAUUAUGAGGGAUCAUCUUAUUUACUACCGUCGUUCUAAGUAAACAAGAUGCAAAAACAUGAUAAACAUCACAUGCAAUCAAAUAGUAGUGACAUGAUAUGGCCAAUAUCAUAUAGCUCCUUUGAUCUCCAUCUUCGGGGCUCCAUGAUCAUCUUCGUCACCGGCUUGACACCAUGAUCUUCAUCAUCAUGAUCUCCAUCAUCGUGUCUCCAUGAAGUUGCUCGCCAACUAUUACUUCUACUAAUAUAGCUAACGGUUUAGCAAUAAAGUAAAGUAAUUGCAUGGCGUUAAAUCAUUGACACGUAGGUCAUACAAUAAUUAAGACAACUCCUAUGGCUCCUGCCGGUUGUCAUACUCAUCGACAUGCAAGUCGUGAUUCCUAUUACAAGAACAUGAUCUCAUACAUCACAAUAUAUCAUUCAUCAUUCAUCACAACUUUUGGCCAUAUCACAUCACAAAGCAAUUGCUGCAAAAACAAGUUAGACGUCCUCUAAUUGUUGUUGCAUAUUUUACAUCGCUGCAAUAGGGUUUUAGCAAGAACGUUUUCUUACCUACGAAAAAGCUACAACAUGAUUUUUCAACUUCUAUUUACCCUUCAUAAGGACCCUUUUCAUUGAAUCCGCUCCAACUAAAGUGGGAGAGACAGACACCCGCUAACCACCUUAUGCAACUAGUGCAUGUCAGUCAGUGGAACCUGUCUCAUGUAAGCAUACAUGUAAGGUCGGUCCGGGCCACUUCAUCCCACAAUACUACUGAAGCAAAUAAGACUAGUAGUGGCAAGAAAGUUGACAAUAUCUACGCCCACAACAGAUUUGUGUUCUACUCGUGCAAAGAGAACUACACAUAGACCUAGCUCAUGAUGCCACUGUUGGGGAAUGUUGCAGAAAACAAAAAAUUUCCUACGGUUUCACCAAGAUCAAUCUAUGAGUUCAUCUAGCAACGAGAGAGAGGAGUGCAUCUACAUACCCUUGUAAAUCGAGCGGAAGCGUCCAAGAGAACGGGGUUGAGGGAGUCGUACUCGUCGUGAUCCAAAUCACUGGAGAUCCUAGCACCGAACGGACGGCACCUCCUCAUUCAACACACGUACGGUCAGGGUGACAUCUCCACCUUCUUGAUCCAGCAAGGGGGAAGGAGAGGUUGAUGAAGAUCCAGCAGCACGACGGCAUGGUGGUGGAUGCAGCAGGGAUCCCGGCAGGGCUUCGCCAAGCGUCUGUGGGAGGGAGAGGUGUAGCAAGGGGGAAAGGAGGCACCAAGUGCAAGGGUGCGGCUUCCCUCCCUCCCCCCUCUUUAUAUAGGGACCCCAGGGGGGGCGCCGGCCUUAGGAGAUGGGAUCUCCUAGGGGGGGCGGCGGCCAAGGGGGGUGCCUUGCCCCCCAAGGCAAGUGGAAGCGCCCCCUCCCCUAGGGUUCCCAACCCUAGGCGCAGGGGGGGCAAGGGGGGCGCACCAGCCCACCAGGGGCUGGUUCCCCUCCCACUUCAGCCCAUGGGGCCCUCUGGGAUAGGUGGCCCCAUUCGGUGGACCCCCAGGACCCUUCCGGUGGUCCCGGUACAAUACCGGUGACCCCCGAAACUUUCCCGAUGGCCGGAACUCGACUUCCCAUAUAUAAUUCUUUACCUCUGGACCAUUUCGGAACUCCUCGUGAUGUCCGGGAUCUCAUCCGGGACUCCGAACAACUUUCGGUUUGCUGCAUACAAAUAUCUCUACAACCCUAGCGUCACCGAACCUUAAGUGUGUAGACCCUACGGGUUCGGGAGACAUGUAGACAUGACCGAGACGGCUCUCCGGUCAAUAACCAACAGCGGGAUCUGGAUACCCAUGUUGGCUCCCACAUGCUCCUCGAUGAUCUCAUCGGAUGAACCACGAUGUCGAGGAUUCAAGCAACCCCAUAUACAAUUCCCUUUGUCAAUCGGUAUGUUACUUGCCCGAGAUUCGAUCGUCGGUAUCCCAAUACCUCGUUCAAUCUCGUUACCGGCAAGUCACUUUACUCAUACCGUAAUGCAUGAUCCCGUGAACAGACACUUGGUCACUUUGAGAUCAUUAUGAUGAUGCAUUACUGAGUGGGCCCAGAGAUACCUCUCCGUCAUACGGAGUGACAAAUCCCAGUCUCGAUCCGUGUGAACCGAACAGACACUUUCGAAGAUACCCGUAGUAUACCUUUAUAGACACCCAGUUACAUUGUGACAUUUGGUACACCCAAAGCACUCCUACGGUGUCCGGGAGUUACACGAUCUCAUGGUCUAAGGAAAAGAUACUUGACAUUGGAAAAGCUCUAGCAAACGAACUACACGAUCUUGUGCUAUGCUUAGGAUUGGGUCUUGUCCAUCACAUCAUUCUCCUAAUGAUGUUAUCUCAUUAUCAAUGACAUCCAAUGUCCAUAGUCAGGAAACCUUGACUAUCUAUUGAUCAACGAGGUAGUCAACUAGAGGCUCACUAGGGACAUGUUGUGGUCUAUGUAUUCACACGUGUAUUACGAUUUCCGGAUAAUACAAUUAUAGCAUGAAUAAAAGACAAUUAUCAUGAACAAGAAAUAUAAUAAUAACCCUUUUAUUAUUGCCUCUAUGGCAUAUUUCCAACAUAUAUCUACUUAAUGAAACACAAGUCUGAAACAUUUGAAAAGUUCAAAGAAUUUCAGAGUGAAGUGGAGAAUCAUCAUAACAAGAAAAAAAAUAAAGUUUCUACGAUCUGAUCGUGGAGGAGAAUAUUUGAGUUACGAGUUUGGCCUUCAUUUAAAACAACAUGGAAUAGUUUCACAACUCACGCUACCUAGAACACCACAUCGUUAUGCUGUGUCCGAACGUCGUAACCGCACUUUAUUGGAUAUGGUGCGACCUAUGAUGUCUCUUACCGAUUUAUCACUAUCGUUUUGGGGUUAUGCAUUAGAGACAGUUGCAUUCACUUUAAAUAGGGCACCAUAAACAUGAGACGACGCCUUAUGAACUAUGGUUUGGUAAGAAACCAAAGUUGUCGUUUCUUAAAGUUUGGGGCUGCGAUGCUUAUGUGAAAAAGUUUCAACCUGAUAAGCUCGAACCCAAAUCAGAGAAGUGCGUCUUCAUAGGAUACCCAAAAGGAAACUGUUGGGUACACCUUCUAUCACAGAACCGAAGGCAAGGCAUUUGUUGCUAAGAAUGGAUCAUUUCUAGAGAAGGAGUUUCCGCUGGAGAUGCACCAGAGAGCUCUAACGGCAAGAACAAAAAGUCCAAGGCGGUCCCGCCGGAAACCAAGAAGGUGUCCGUCAAGGAGAAUGGCACGGGAGGAGCUUUCUUCAUAAGUUCCACCCUCGACAGCAAAUAGGAAAGCGCACUCGUCGCCUUCCUGCGGGCGAAUGUCGACGUGUUUGCAUGGCAAGCAUCCGACAUCCCCGACGUUCCUAGGGAGGUGAUUGAGCACCAUCUUGAUGUCUGCCCUCUGAAAGAAAUAUGCCGUAGAGGCAAUAAUAAAGUUACUAUUUAUUUCCUUAUUUCAUGAUAAAUGUUUAUUAUUCAUGCUAGAAUUGUAUUAACCGGAAACUUAGUACAUGUGUGAAUACAUAGACAAAACAUAGUGUCCCUAGUCUGCCUCUACUUGACUAGCUCGUUAAUCAAAGAUGGUUAUAUUUCCUAACCAUAGACAUGUGUUGUCAUUUGAUGAACGUGAUCACAUCAUUAGGAGAAUGAUGUGAUGGACAAGACCAAUCCGUUAGCUUAGCAUCAUGAUCGUUACAGUUUCAUUGCUACUGCUUUCUUCAUGACUUAUACAUGUUCCUCGGACUAUGAUAUUAUGCAACUCCCGAGUACUGGAGGAACACUUUGUGUGCUACCAAACGUCACAACAUAAAAGGGUGAUUAUAAAGGUGCUCUACAGGUGUCUCCGAAGGUGUUUGUCGGGUUGGCAUAAAUCAAGAUUAGGAUUUGUCACUCCGUGUUUCGGAGAGGUAUCUCUGGGCCCUCUCCUUAAUGCUCAUCACUAUAAGCCUUGCAAGCAAUGUGACUAGUGUGUUAGUUGCGGGAUGACGUAUUACAGAAUGAGUGAAGAGACUUGCCGGUAAUGAAAUUGAACUAGGUAUGAUGAUACCGACGAUCAAAUCUCGGGCAAGUAACAUACCGAUGACAAAGGGAACAACGUAUGUUGUUAUGCAGUUUGACCGAUAAAGAUCCUCAUAGGAUAUGUAGGAGCCAAUAUGAGCAUCCAGGUUCCGCAAUUGGUUCUUGAUGAGAGAUGUGUCUCGAUCAUGUCUACAUAGUUCUCGAACCCGUAGGGUCCGCACGCUUAACGUUCGAUGAUGAUAUGUAUUAUGAGUUAUGUGUUUUGAUGACCGAAGUUUGUUUAGAGUCCCAGAUGAGAUCACGGACGUGACGAGGAGGCUCUAAAUGGUAGAGACGUAAAGAUCGAUAUAUUGGAAGGCUAUAUUCAGACACGGAAAGGUUCCGAGUGAUUUGGGUAUUUUUCGGAGUAUCGGGGAGUUACGGGAAUUCACCGGGAGAAGUAAUGGGCCUUAUUGGGCCAUACGGGAAAUAGAGGAGGCAGGCCAAAAUGAGGUGGCACCCCCCAUGGGUCCGAAUUAGACUAGGGGAAGGGGGCGGAGCCCCCUUGCCCUUUCCUACUCCCUCUCUCCUUCCUUCUCUCCUACUCUUAAAAGGGAAAUAAUUCCUACUAGGACUUGGAAAUCCUAGUAGGACUCCAUACACUUGGUGCGCCCCUAGGGGGCCGACCUCUCUCCCUCCCUCCUUUAUAUACGGGGGCAGGGGGCAACCCAAAAACACAAAAGUUUCUCUUAACCGUGUGCGGUGGCCCCCUCCACAGUUACACACCUCGAUCAUACCAUCGUAAUGCUUAGGCGAAGCCCUGCACCAGUAGCAUCAUCAUCACCAUCGCCACGCCUUCGUGCUGACAGAACUCACCCUUGUACUCAACUGGAUCAAUAGCACGAGGGACAUCAUCGAGCUGAACGUGUGCUGAACGUGGAGGUGCCGUACAUUUGGUACUUGGAUCAGUUGGAUCGUGAAGACGUUCGACUACAUCAACCGCGUUAUUGAAAUGCUUCCGCUUUUGGUCUAUGAGGGUACGUGGACACACUCUCCCGUCUCGUUGCUAUGCGUCACAUAGAUAGAUCUUGCGUGAUCGUAGGAAUUUUUUUGAAAUUACCGCGUUCCCCGAUAGUGGCAUCAGAGCCAGGUCUAUGCGUAGAUGUUAUAUGCAUGAGUAGAACACAAAGAGUUGUGGGCGAUAAUAGUCAUACUGCUUACUAGCUUGUCAUACUUUGAUUCCGUCGUAUUGUUGGAUGAAGCGGCUCAGACCGGCAUUACGCAUACGCUUACGAGAGAUUGGUCCUACCGACGUGCUUCGCACACUGGUGGCUAGUGGGUGUCUCUUUCUCCAACUUUAGUCGAAUUGAGUUUGACUACACCUGGUCCUUGCUGAAGGUUAAAACAUCACACUUGAAGAAAAAUUAUUGUGGUUUUGAUGUGUAGGGAAGAACGGUUCUUGCUAAGCCUGUAGCAGCCACGUAAAACUUGCAACAACAAAGUAGAGGACGUCUAACUUGUUUUUGCGGGCCAUGUUGUGAUGUGAUAUGGUCAAGACAUGAUGUGUUGUAUGAGAUGAUCAUGUUUUGUUAAAGUUAUCGGCAUCUGGCAGGAGCCUUAUGGUUGUCUCUUUAUUGCAUAAGAUGCAAGCGCCAUAUAAUUUCUUUACUUUAUCGAUAUGCGAUAACAAUAGUUGCUAAAGCAAUAGUUGGCGUGACGACCAUGUGAUGACACGUUGAUAGAGAUCAAGAUGAUGGAGAUCAUGGUGUCAUGCCAAUGACGAUGGAGAUCAUGACGGUACUUUGGAGAUGGAGACUAAAGGCACAAGAUGAUGAUGGCCAUAUCAUGUCACAUAUUUUGAUUGCAUGUGAUGUUUAUCUUUUAUAUUCUUAUUUUGCUUAGUUCGGCGAUAGCAUUAUAAGAUGAUCCCUUACAAAAAAUUCACAGUAUAAGUGUUCUCCCUGAGUAUGCAUUGUUGCGACAGUUCUUCAUGCCGAGACACCACAUGAUGAUCGGGUGUGAUAAGCUCUACGUUCACAUACAACGGGUGCAUGCCAGUUUUACACACGCUGAAUACUCUGGUUAAACUUGACGAGUCUAGCAUAUGCAUAUAUGGCCUCGGAACACUGGAGACUGAAAGGUCGAGUGUGAAUCAUAUAGUAGAUAUGAUCAACAUAGUGAUGUUUACCAUUGAAAACUACCCCAUCUCACGUGAUGAUCGGAUAUGGUUUAGUUGAUUUGGAUCACGUGAUCAUUUAGAUGACUAGAGGGAUGUCUAUAUAAGUGGGAGUUCUUAAGUAAUAUGAUUAAUUGAACUUUAAUUUAUCAUGAACUUAGUCCUGAUAGUAUUUUGUAAAGUAUGUUGUAGAUCAAUAGCUCGCGUUAUAGCUUCCCUAUGUUGUUAUAUGUUCCCAGAGAAAACUAAGUUGAAAGAUGAUAGUAGCAAUGAUGCGGACUGGGUCCGUGAUCUGAGGUGUAUCCUCAUUGCUGCACAGAAGAAUUAUGUCCUUGAUGCACCACUAGGUGACGGACCUACUGUAGGAGGAAAUGCAGAUGUUAUGAACGUUUGGCUAGCUCAAUAUGAUGACUACUUGAUAGUUUAGUGCACCAUGCUUUACGGCUUAGAACCGGGACUUCAAAACAUUUUUGAAACGUUACAGAGCAUAUGAGAUGUUCCAAAAGCUGAAAUUGAUAUUUCAGACUCAUGACCGUGUCAAGAGGUAUGAGACCUCUGACAAGUCCUUUGCCUAAAAGAUGGAGGAGAAUUGCUCAACUAGUGAGCAGGUGCUCAGAAUGUCUGGGUACUACAAUCACUUGAAUCAAGUGGGAGUUAAUCUUCCAGAUAAGAUAGUGAUUGAUAGAGUUCUCUAGUCACCAUCACCAAGUUACUGGAACUUCGUGAUGAACUAUAGUAUGCAUGGGAUGAUGAAAACGAUUGUCGAGCUCUUCGUAAUGCUGAAAUCGACGAAGGUAGAAAUCAAGAAAGAGCAUCAAGUGUUGAUGAUUAAACAAGACCACUAGUUUCAAGAAAAGGGCAAAGGGAAAGAAAGGGAACAUCAAGAAGAAUGGCAAGCAAGUUUUCACUCCCGCGAGGAAGCCCAAAGCUGGACCUAAGCCUGAAACUGAGUGCUUGUACUACAAAGGAAAUGGUCACUGGAAGUGGAACUGCCCCAAACAUUUGGCGGAUAAGAAGGAUGGCGAAGUGAACAAAGGUAUAUUUGAUAUACAUAUUAUUGAUGUGUACCUUACUAGUGCUCGUAGUAAUCCCUGGGUAUUUGAUACUUGUUCGGUUGCUAAGAUUAGUAACUCGAAACAGGAGUUGCAGAAUAAAUAGAGACUAGUUGAGCAUGAAGUGAGAAUAUGUGUUGGAAGUGGUUCGAAGAUUAUAUGAUCAUCAUCGAGCACUCCCUAUACUUUUGGGAUUAGUGUUGAACCUAAAUAAAUGUUAUUUGGUGUUUGCAUUGAGCAUGAAUAUGAUUAGAUCAUGUUAAUUGCAAUAUGGUUAUUCAUUUAAGACAGAGAAUAAUUGUUAUUCUGUUUACAUGAAUAAAACCUUCUAUGGUCAUACACCCAAUGUUGAUGGUUUAUUGAAUCUCGAUCAUGGUAAUACACAUAUUCAUAGUAUUGAUGCCAAAAGAUGCAAAGUUGAUAAUGAUAGUGCAACUUAUUUGUCGCACUUCCGUUUGGGUCAUAUCAGUGUAAAGCACAUAAAGAAACUCUAUAAAGAUGGACUUUUGGAAUCACUUGAUUAUGAAUCAUUUGAUGCUUCGAACCGUGCCUUAUGGAAAAGAUGACUAAAACUCCGUUGUUUGGAACAAUGGAACGAGCUAGUAACUUAUUGGAAAUAAUACAUACCGAUGUAUGCGGUCCAAUGAGUGUUGAUGCUCGUGGCGGGUAUCGUUAUUUUCUAACCUUCAUAGAUGAUUUGAGAAGAUAUGGAUAUAUCUACUUAUUGAAACACAAGUGUGAAACAUUUGAAAAGUUCAAAGAAUUUCAGAGUGAAGUGGAGAAUCUUCAUAACAAGAAAAUAAAGUUUCUACGAUCUGAUCGUGGAGGAGAAUAUUUGAGUUACAAGUUUGGCCUUCAUUUAAAACAAUAUGGAAUAGUUUCACAGCUCACGUCACCUGGAACACCACAGCGUAAUGGUGUGUCCGAACGUCAUAACCGCACUUUAUUGGACAUGGCGCGAUCUAUGAUGUCUCUUACCAAUUUACCAUUGUCAUUUUGGGGUUAUGCAUUAGAGAUAGUUGCAUUCACGUUAAACAGGGCACCAUCAAAAUCCGUUGAGACGACGCCUUAUGAACCGUGGUUUGGCAAGAAACCAAAGUUGUCAUUUCUUAAAGUUUGGGGCUGCGAUGCUUAUGUGAAAAAGCUUCAACCUGAUAAGCUCGAACCCAAAUCGGAGAAGUGCGUCUUCAUAGGAUACCCAAAAGAAACUGUUGGGUACACCUUCUAUCACAGAUCUGAAGGCAAGAUAUUUGUUGCUAAGAAUGGAUCCCUUCUAGAGAAGGAGUUUUCUCUCGAAAGAAGUGAGUGGGAGGAAAGUAGAACUUGAUGAGGUAGUUGUACCUUCUCCCGAAUUGGAAAGUAGUUCAUCACAGAAAUCAGUUCCAGUGAUUCCUACACCAAUUAGUGAGGAAGCUAAUGAUGAUGAUCAUGAAACUUCAGAUCAAGUUAUUACCAAACCUCGUAUGUCUUCCAGAGUACAAUCCGCACCAGAGUGGUACAGUAAUCCUAUUCUGGAAGUCAUGUUAUUAGACCAUGAUGAACCUAUGAACUAUGAGGAAGCGAUGAUGAGCCCAGAUUCCGUGAAAUGGCUUGAGGCCAUGAAAUCUGAGAUGGGAUCCAUGUAUGAGAACAAAGUGUGGACUUUGGUGGACUUGCCCGAUGAUCGGCAAGCCAUAUUAAAUCAAUGGAUCUUCAGGAGGAAGAUGAACACUGAUAGUAGUGUUACUCUCUACAAAGCUCGACUUGUUGCAAAAAGGUUUUUGACAAGUUCAAGGUGUUGGCUACAAUGAGAUUUUUCUCAACUGUAGCGAUGCUUAAAUCCGUUCAAAUCAUGUUAGGAGUUGCCAUAUUUUAUGAAAUCUAGCAAAUGGAUGUCAAAACUGCAUUCCUUAAAGGGAUAUUUCUUAAAGAAGAGUUGUAUAUGAUGCAACCAAAAGGUUUUGUCAAUCCUAAAGGUACUAACAAGGUGUGCAAGCUCCAGCGAUCCAUCUGUGGACUGGUGCAAGUAUCUCGGAGUUGGAAUAUACGCUUUGAUGAGUUGAUAAAGCAUAUAGUUUUAUACAGAUUUACGAUGAAGCCUGUAUUUACAAGAAAGUGAGUGGGAGCACUACAGCCUUUCUGAUAAGUAUAUGUGAAUGACAUAUUGUUGAUCGAAAAUGAUGUAGAAUUUUUUGUAAAGUAUAAAGGAGAGUUUGAAAGGAUUUUUUCAAAGAAAGACCUCGGUGAAGUUGCUUAUAUAUUGGGCAUCAAGAUCUAUAGAGAUAGAUCAAGACGCUUGAUAAAAAAUUUCAAUGAAUACAUACCUUGACAAGUUUUUUGAAAGAGUUCAAAAUGGAUUAGUCAAAGAACAAGUUCUUGCCUGUAUUAUAAGGUGUCAAGUUGAGUAAGACUCAAAUCCCGACCACAGUAGAAGAUAGAAAGAGAAUGAAAGUCAUUCCCUAUGCCACAGUCAUAGGUUCUAUAAAGUAUGUUGUGCUGUGUACCAGACCUAUUGUGCACCUUGCCAUGAGUUUGGCAAGGGGGUACAAUAAUGAUAUAAGAGUGGAUCACCGGACAACGAUCAAAAUUAUCCUUAGUGAGGACUAAGGAAAUAUUUCUCGGUUAUGGAGGUGAUAAAGAGUUCGUCGUAAAGAGUUACGUCGAUGAAAGCUUUUACACCGGUCCAGAUGAAUCUAAGUCUCAAUCUGGAUACAUAUUGAAAGUGGGAACAAUUAGGCAGAGUAGCUCCGUGUAGAGCAUUUUAGACAUAGAAUAUAUGCAAAAUACAUACGGCUCUGAAUAUGACAGACCCGUUGACUAAACUUCUCUCACAACAAAAACAUGAUCACACCUUAGUACUCUUUUGGUGUUAAUCACAUAGCGAUGUGAACUAGAUUAUUAAUUCUAGUAAACCCUUUGGGUGUUGGUCACAUGGCAAUGUGAACUAUUGGUGUUAAGUCACAUGGCGAUGUGAACUAGAUUAUUGAGUCUAGUGCAAGUGGGAGACUGAAGGAAAUACGCCCUAGAGGCAAUAAUAAAGUUAUUAUUUAUUUCCUUAUUUCAUGAUAAAUGUUUAUUAUUCAUGCUAUAAUUGUAUUAACCGUAAACUUAGUACAUGUGUGAAUACAUAGACAAAACAUAGUAUCCCUAGUAUGCCUCUAGUUGACUAGCUCGUUAAUCAAAGAUGGUUAUGUUUCCUAACCAUAGACAUGUAUUGUCAUUUGAUGAACGGGAUCACAUCAUUAGGAGAAUGAUGUGAUGGACAUGACCCAUCCGUUAUCUUAGCAUUAUGAUCAUUACAAUUUCAUUGCUAUUUCUUUCUUCAUGACUUAUACAUGUUCCUUAGACUAUGAGAUUAUGCAACUCCCGAAUACUGGAGGAACACCUUGUGUGCUAUCAAACAUCACAUAAUAACCGGGUGACUAUAAAGAUGCUCAAUAGGUGUCUCCGAAGGUGUUUGUUGGGUUGGCAUAGAUCGAGAUUAGGAUUUGUCACUCCGUGUAUCGGAGAGGUAUCUCUGGGCCCUCUCGGUAAUGCACAUCACUAUAAGCCUUGCAAGCAAUGUGACUAAUGAGUUAGUUGCGGGAUGAUGCAUUAUAGAACGAGUAAAGAGAUGUGUCGGUAACGAGAUUGAAUUAGGUAUGAUGAUACCGACGAUCGAAUCUCGGGAAAGUAACAUACCGAUGACAAAGGGAACAACAUAUGUUGUUAUGCGGUUUGACCAAUAAAGAUCUUCUUAGAAUAUGUGGGAGCCAAUAUGAGCAUCCAGGUUUCACUAUUGGUUAUUGAUCGGAGAUAUGUCUUGGCCAUGUCUACAUAGUUCUCGAACCCGUAGGGUCCGCACGCUUAACGUUCGAUGACGAUUUGUAUUAUGAGUUAUGUGAUUUGAUGACCGAAGUUUAUUCGGAGUCCCGGAUGAGAUCACGGACAUGAAGAGGAGUAUCCAAAUGGUCAAGACGUAAAGAUCGACAUAUUGGAAGGCUAUAUUCAGACAUCGGAAAGGUUCCGAGUGAUUCGGGUAUUUUUCGGAGUACCGGAGAGUUACGGGAAUUCGUCGGGGGAAGUAGUGGGCCUUAAUGGGCCAUAUGGGAAAGGAGAGAAGGGCCUCAAGGGGUGGCCACGCGCCACCCCCCAUGGGCUGGUCCGAAUUGGAUUAGGAGGGGGCGGCGCCCCCCUUCCUUCUCCCCUAUUCCUCCUUCCCUUCCUUCUCCUAGUUGGUAUAGGAAACGGGGGGGCGGGGCGAAUCCUACUUGGACAGGGAGUCCAAGUAGGACUCCCCCCUUUAGUGCGCCCCCUCUAGGCCGGACUCCUCUUCCUCCCUCCUUUAUAUACGUGGGUAGGGGGCACCCCAAAGGUACUCCAAGAUUUGUCUUAGCCAUGUGCGGUGCCCCCCUCCACAGUUACACACCUCGGUCAUAUCGUCGUAGUGCUUAGGCGAAGCCCUGCACCGGUAACUUCAUCAUCACCGUCGCCACACCAUCAUGCUGACGGAACUCUCCCUCGGCCUCAACUGGAUCAAGAGUAUGAGGGACAUCAUCGAGAUGAAUGUGUGCUGAAUGUGGAGGUGUCGUACGUUCGGUACUUGGAUCGGUUGGAUCACGAAGAAGUUCGACUACAUCAACCGCGUUAUUGAAACGCUUCCGCUUUCGGUCUACGAGGGUACGUAGACAACACUCUCCCCUCUCGUUGUUAUGCAUCACCUAGAGAUAGAUCUUGCAUGAUCAUAGGAUUUUUUUUUGAAAUUACUGCAUUCCCCAACAGUGGAAUUAGAGCCAUGUCUAUGCGUAGAUGUUAUAUGCACGAGUAGAACACAAAGAGUUGUGGGCGAUAAUAGUCAUACUGGUUACCAGCAUGUCAUACUUUGAUUCAGCGGUAUUGUUGGAUGAAGCGGCUCAGACCGACAUUACGUGUAUGCUUAUGCGAGACUGGUUCUACCGACGUGCUUCGCACACAGGUGGCUAGUGAGUGUCUGUUUCUCCAACUUUAGUUGAAUCGAGUAUGGCUACGCCCGGUCCUUAUUGUAGGUUAAAACAUCACACUUGACGAAAAAUCGUUGUAGUUUUGAUGCGUAGGUAAGAACGGUUCUUUCUAAGCCCGUAGCAGCCACGUAAAACUUGCAACAACAAAGUAGAGGACGUCUAACUUGUUUUUGUAGGGCAUGUUGUGAUGUUAUAUGGUCAAGACAUGACGUGUUGUAUGAAGGUGUGUGCGAUGUAGAGCAUACGGUUCACUUGUAUGAACUAUUUAUGAUGAGGCAGAACAACAGAAACGGUCAUCCAGAUGAAGGUGUGUGCGAUAUACGGCAUACAUUUCAUUUGGAUGAAAUGUUUGCAUUGAGCCAAGAGAACAGAAAUGGUUCAACUUAACAAGAUGUGUAUGAUACGCGGCAAACAGGUCUAUAAUCGGAAAUGUGUGGGAAGACCGAUAACACAGAGACGAUUCCCGUUAACAAGUUGUGUGUGUUGUGAGCAAACGAUUGUUGGUAUACAAUUGUGAGUGAUUGAUGAAAUCGUCACCGACGGGUUCCAUUGUUUAGUCCGUUGCGAUGUGAUUUGCUCUAUCUAUAGAGCAUCAACAUAUAUAUAUACUUAAAAAGACAACAUUGCAUAACCAAAUUAAGCAUACAAUUACAUAAGUGACUACACAUAUUUUCACACACCAAAGUAAGCAAUUACAUGCAUACUAAACUAGGAGAAACAAGGAUCUAAUCAUCUACUUCUUGUUGUGAUGACGCUUGCCAUUGCUCCGCUUCUGGCUGGAUCCCUCGCCGCUUUGGGGAAGAAGGCACUUCCUCAUGUCAACGAUCCGCCUGCACAUGUCGUAGCACGUGCAUGCCUCCUUGGCUGCGUACAUGACAUUGCUACGUCUUGAGCUUGCGUUGGUUUUCCUUGAAGAGGAAAGGGUGAUGCAGCAAUAGUAGCGUAAGUAUUUCCCUUAGUUUUUGAGAACCAUGGUAUCAAUCCAGUAGGAGGCUCCUCAAAAGUCCCACGCACCUACACAAACAAACAAAGAACUCGCAACCAACACAAUAAAGGGGUUGUCAAUCCCUUCACGGCCACUUGCGAAAGUGAGAUAUGAUAGAGAUAAUAUGAUAAGAGUAUAUUUUUGGUAAUUUAUAAUAUAGAUUGGAAAAGUAAAGAUGCAAAUAAAAGUAGAUUGAAAGCUUAUAUGAUAAUAGAUAGACCCGGGGGCUAUAGGUUAAACUAGUGGCUUCUCUCAAGAUAGCAUAAGUAUUAUGGUGGGUGAACAAAUUACUGUCGAGCAAUUGAUAGAAAAGUGAAUAAUUAUGACAUUAUCUAGGCAUGAUCAUGUAUAUAGGCAUCACGUCCGUGACAAGUAGACCGACUCCUGCCUGCAUCUACUACUAUUACUCCACACAUCGACCGCUAUCCAGCAUGCAUCCAGAGUAUUAAGUGCAUAAAGAACAGAGUAACGCAUUAAGAAAGAUGACAUGAUGUAGAGGGAUAAACUCAUGCAAUAUGAUAUAAACCCCAUCUUUUUAUCCUCGAUGGCAACAAUACAAUACGUGCCUUGCUGCCCUUAUUGUCACUAGCAAAGGACACCGCAAGAUUGAACCCAAAGCUAAGCACUUCUCACAUUGCAAGUGUCACAUCCCUAGCUUAGACCUUGUCUGUCUUUGCAUAAGCAUCCAUGUAUCAUGUUUAAAUUUUAUGAAACUUGAAAUGGGGAUUGCCUAAACCCUAGCAUCAAAGGAAUUCACUAGGUUCAACUAAAAUAAUUUCAGUGAAUCCAAAUGGCUUUCAAAAAUGUUCAUCAUUUCUGGAAAAUGCUGGAAACAGUAACGAGAGGUGUUGUACAUUUUUCCAUGACAUAUUUGGGCUCUAAUUAAAUCAUAUGGUAUUUUCAUUUGGGCAUUUAAAUACUAUAAAAUAUUUUAAAUGCUCAAAUAAUCAUAACCUAAAAUGUUUACUGUUGGAUAUAUUCUAAACAGUAGCCAUGAUUAGUUUCAUGAUUUUUGGAUCUAUUUAAGUAUUUUAUAUAAAGCCCUAAAGACUACAGAAUAAUAGAAAACAUAAACAAUAAAUAAAAGAGAGAGAGAGAGAGAGAGAGAUUUUUACCUGGGCCACUUACCUGGCUGCAGCCCACCCGGCAGGCCCAACAUUGUGUUGGCCCAUGCCAGCCAGCUGCUUCGUCCUUGCCAGGCAGGCACAAAGGUGACGCCGGCGACCAUGAGCUCGCCACGGCGCCACCUGCUUGCCGCCCGCGCCCCUGGACACCUGGCUGAGCUCCACGUCGCCGCCUCGACCCCGUGGACACCUCACUCGCCCUCCUGCCUUUCUCCCUCGCUCUCCCGCACCAUGGCCGACGCUGCUGCGCUCGCGCCACCGUAGUUCUCGCAUCCUCCGUCGUCCCCGCGCCGCGCCACCAAGUCCAACAGCUUCGCCUCGUCGUCUCCGUCAAGCAACCCGAGCCCCGAGCGCUCGCGUGCCCUGCUUCGUCCUCUUCGAGCUCGACUUCACCGAGCACCGCCACAGACCCCCUUCGCCAUCGCCGCCGCAUCAGCUCGUCCCCGACCGCGUCGUCUGCACCGCCGUGUUUGUCGUGAGCUGCUACACCUCUCGACCCCUCUCGUUCUCACUCUCGAGCCCUGCAUUGACCUCACCGAGCUCGGCCACACUCGCUGCCGCCACCGCACGUCGCCGGCGUGGCCACAACCACGUUGGCUCGAUUCCGAGCACACCACCGCCCUCACCGCACUCGCAGGAGCCCAAAACGCCACCCCACGGGCCUCGCCAUGCCCCCUAGCACCAUGUUCGACCUCGCCGAACUCCGGCGACCUCCAAGGUCGUCGCCGAUGACGUUCCCGGCCACUCCGAGCUCCACCACUGCCACCAACCGAUGCGGCUCCCGCAUGACGUAGACGUGCUCCGCCGUCGUUUUGGUCGUCGGAGCCCGAAACCGCACUCCCACCGCCGCGUCUGGCCUCGCCGUCGGCUAAACCCCGGCGAGUUUGACCGCGCUUGACCCUGGUUGACUCCGUGUGGGCCAAGUUGACUUCCCCCUGAGUCCAUGACAGGUGGGGCCCGUCUGCUAACUAAAUUAGUUUUAGUGCUAACUAAAAUUAGCUAGGCUAAUUACCCUGACACGCGGGACCCACAGGUCAGUUUGACCUAGACCAGCUCCGUUGACCACUGACGUCAUCCUGACGUAAUGCUGAUGCAAUAAAUUAUUUACUGGAAUUAUAUUUACACAGGAAAUUCCAGAAAAUUACCUAAACUUCUACAAAUAGUAGUAAUUCAACCGUAACUCCAAAUGAAAUAAAUUAUAUAUGAAAAAUUAUCAGAAAAAUGCAAACUAUCCAUCUGUAUCAUUUUCAUGCAUGUUUGAGAAAUCUAACCUCACUGUUUAGGAUGAAACAUGAUUAGGAAAAAAUUGAUAAUAGAUUUGGAGUUGGAAUUUGAUCUAGUUUUGAAUUCCACUUCAAUCAAAAUGACUUUCUGUUGCAUUAGCUCUAAUAACAGCAUAUUGCCAUGUCAUGAGCAUGCAUCAUAUUGUGCAUUGCAUUGAUUGUGUUUCCUUCUGUGUUGCCGGUAUUUGUCCCCUCUCGAUAGACGUGAUACCGACGAUGAGAUUGAUGACAUCGAUGAAGAACUAUACUAUCUUCAGAAGUGCCAAGCAAGCAAAACCCCCUUGUUCAUUCUGAUACAAUCCCACUCUUUCGCUCCUGCUCUCUUUUAUUGCAUUAGGACAACAAUGAUUCAUCUAUUACUUGCUGCGGUAGCUGAACCCCUUUUCCUCUGCAUGACCUGUCAUUUCCACAGUAAAUAGAUGAAACCCACUAGCAUGAGUAGGAGUUGUUUGAGCCCUGAUGUGCCUAGUCAUUCAUGCUUGUUUGUCAUGCCUGCUACUGCUUAGAGUUGAGUCAGGUCUGAUUCAUCGGGGAUGAAUCGGAGGUGUGUAAACAUGUCCUAGUGUGUGUGAGCUAAGUGUGUGAACACGAUUUGGUAAAGGUAGCGGUGAGAGGCCAUGUAGGAGUACAUGGUGGGUUGUCUCAUUGAAACCGUCCUCAAGAACUGAGUUUUGUGUUUGUGAUCCAUGAACAGUUACUACCACACAUUGGGAUCCUUAAUUGACUCUCUCGGCUUCUUAACCACCCUUGUUCUCUGUCCAGGAGUUGCAACUAGUUUCUGGUGUUUGUAGGAUAUGUGUUGGAGGCCGUGCGUAGCGCUGACCCUAGGGGUGGGCUUUGAUGUGGUAGAUACACCGUGGCAUGGUGUAUCGGGUGCCUGUUUGGUGUCUCGGGAACCCUGCUCACUUCGUCCGGGGCCGUAUGUGGAAACCUCGGCCGGACUCCCUGCGGAUGGAACCUGAAUAGGCGAUAAACCUGGACUAGACUUGAGUGUUUAGGUAGGCCGUGGCCGACACCCUCGCCAGGCUUCCGCUUGAAGGUUGCCGAGAUACAUGACGUGUACAUGGCGGUAAGUGGCGAGAGCAUGUGUGAAGAAGUACACCCCUACAGGGUUAUCAUCAUCUAUUCAAAUAGCCGCGUCCACGGUAAAGGACUUCUGGGUUGCCUGUACAGUUCAUAGACAAGUGAAAGUGGAUACUUUAAAAUGCGCAAGAUAAGCGUGAGUGCUAUGGAUGGCGUUCUCGUAGGGAGACGGGAGCGGAUCCAUAGUGGUGUAUUGGUUGGUGAAUAGGUGGACUCGUGUGCGCCACCUCAAAAGAGUUACUUGCAGUCGUAGUUUAGGAUAGCCACCGAGUCAAAGCUGGCUUGCUGCAGUUAAACCCCACGAUCCCCUUUGUUGAUAAUGAUGCAUAUGUAGUUAGUUCUGAUGUAAGUCUUGCUGGGUACAUUUGUACUCACGUUUGCCUAUUUUAUGUUUUUGCAGAGAGACUUCAGUCUCACUAGUAGUUCCACGUGGACUUCGACGUUUAGCUUGUUACCUCAGCUACGAUCUUGUGCCCUCGGCAGGAUUUGGUAGUUAGUCAGGCUUCUCAGCCUUUUUCAUUUGAAGUUGUCUGUACUCAGACAUGUUAAGCUUCCGCAUGUGCUUUGACUUGUAUGCUCUGAAUGUUGGGUCGUGAGACCCAUGUUUGUUAUAUCUCGCUCCUCGGAGCCUAUUGAAUAAAUACUUGAGUCGUAGAGUCAUGUUGUGAUGCCAUGUUGUAUUUGCACAUAUCGAGCAUAUUGUGUGUAUGUUAUUGAAAUGCUUGGUAUGUGUGGGAUCUGACUAUCUAGUUGUUUAUCCUUAGUAGCCUCUCUUACCGAGAAAUGUCUCCUAGUGCUUCCACUGAGCCAUGAUAGCUUGCUACUGCUCCGGAACACUUAGGCUGGCCGGCAUGUGUCCUUCUUCAUUCCUGUGUCCGUCCUUUUGGGGAAAUGUCAUACGAUGAAUACCGAAGUCCUGUUAGCCCGCUACAGCCUGGUUCACCGAAGUCCUGCUAGCCUAGUGCUACAGCCUGGAUUCACUCACUGAUGACCGACACGUUCGAUGCUGGGUCAUGGAUGCUUGUCCCUGUAAGUUUGUUCCACUUUGGGUUUACGACUAGCCAUGUCGGCCCGGGCUCCUUAUCAUAUGGAUGUUAGCGACACUAUCAUAUACGUGUGCCAAAAGGCGCAAGUGGUCCCGGGCAAAGGUAAGGCGACACUCGUGGGAUACCGUGCGUGUGGACGCAAAGUGAUAUGAGGUGUUACAUGCUAGAUCGAUGUGGCAUUGAGUCGGGGUCCUGACAGCUUUGGUAUCAGAGCCUGACUGCCUGUAGGAUUACCAAGCCAAACUGGUCGAAGUUGAGUCUAGACAGUCUUCAGUUAUAUAAGGGAAUUGAUUGUGGGAUGGAACGUACGGCUCUUUUUACUCCUUAUAUCUUAUGCCCUUCUGAUCUGAGUCAUCCUACCUUUCCUACGGGGUUAAGGAACUAGGCUUUCUCUUCUCUCUAUCAGGAUCACGUGUUACUAAUCCGUAGACUUAUAAGAUUGUUGGAUUUAAGCCUCAGUUCAGUUUCUACUACCUCUGUGUGUUCAUAGUUGAUCUCGGCACCUUGAUAUUGUGAUGAUCGAGUGGUCAUGCCACCAUUUUGUAGGAUGUCUCAAACCUUUUCGAGCAUUUACAACCGUUAUAUUGUCCGAGUCAUCCUAGGUCUAUAAACAGCCCGAUGCAUAUGCAAAUCCCUUCUUCCCGUUCUCGAUGUCCCUUUGGUCAGAUUAAUCACACAAAUCAGUGAGUGGAGGUACUUUGUUGCCUUGACAUAUAUAUUGGAGUUAUUAUUAUGACCCUAGGUGUCUUAGAGAGCCACCUAGCAAUCGGACCAUGUUCUGUAUCCUACUGUGAUGAUUCUGUCCGUCAUUUUCGAAAGCAUCCCGUGAUGCCGUUUAGUUAGUAGGAAUUCUGUUCCUGGGGUUUUGAACCCGAGAUUCACCCGACUUACCUCAUGUUGAUAGUGUUUACUAGUUCCUUUAGGAAAUUAGUAACCUUUUCAUUAGUCCUCGAGGUCCAUGGUAUUCCCUUCUUCCAAAUACUAUGAACCACUUACGACAGAUGUUUGUUGGAUCAAAAGAUCACAACAGGAGUGCUCUCGAUGGGUUCUCCAUUCUAUAUUGCGACUCUGCCAGUUCUACUUUUCUGCAUGGGUUAUCUGGAAGAAACUUGUUGAACUUGGUUCGACAUACUAAUCUAUGCAUCCAUAACUCGGAAAAUCGUAUGUUCCUUUGAGUUGUCCCGUUUUAGUUGUCUUCCGACCCUCGUCUAUCAAUUGAUAGUCAAGAGUAUGCAUGCAUUCAUUCAUCGAUGCCUGUUACUCUUGUGGUCCGUCAAGCCAUUCUAUUCCAGAAUGACUAGGAGAAACAAACUCCAGUAUCUCAUCCAUUUCCAGGAUUGGGUCAAAGCAGUUGUGUUCCGCAGAUCAAAUACUAAUCCAGCUUUUGUUCUGUUCUACCUUGGAGUGUUACCCUCUUCAUGUUAGGAUCGUCAUGAGAAUUGCAUCAUCUUGUAUGAAUUCUUGAUGCAGUGAUACGUCUUAUCAUCAUUACUCAUUCCUCUGUUUUCCGUGUUGUUGCAACCGGAAUGCCGACAGGUGAACUUUGAUGUGUGAAAUCAAUACUCAGAGCAACUCGUUGCUUGGUAGUAAAUGGACAAUAUUCUCAUUCUUAGCGUGUUGGUUAUUGAAUCAUCAUUCUAAGAUAGAUUGUGCUACCUAGUCCUUAUUUCUGGUGCACUCUUCGAUCAAUGAGUCAGGAUUAUUCAAUCCCUUGCUUAUUUGAUCAUAUUGUCUUGCUCUGAAAAGCAAGAUUGUUCUCAAGCUUAGUAACAUAUCGGUGGUUUGUGAUGUUCCAAAUAUCUUGUCGGAUGUAUUACCAGGUUGUCACCUGACCGCUAUGUUGAGUUCGUGAUCAUGUUGGUUUUCCUCCAAACCACCCAUUCUCCAAGAUUCUGUGUUGGAUACCCUGAACUAGUCGGUUGAGCUAAACAAAAACUUGGGGAGUUGGAAGAUAAAGAUUUAUCUGACUUAGUUCAUUCCAAAGGUAUAUCUUUUGUGUGUGUGCGUUGAAGAAAGAUGAUAUUUUCAUCUACUGGCCCUCGUGAUCAGUUUAUGGACCUAUCAUCUUAACCAAUCUUUGAUUUGAGUAUGGGCUAUCGUCAAAUUAAAUCAAAACCAACGAUGUUCUUAAUGUUGUCUUACUCGCCGUUGAUCUCUCGAGCAUACACCAUUAUAUCCUUUGGUCUGACCAAUACUAUCACUUGUUCUCAUAAUUAUGGAAUUCCAUUCUUAUGGAAACCUAGAUGAAUUGUUGUUGAGCCCAUCAACAACAUCCUUGUCUUUUCCAUAAUUUUGUUGAACAUUAAGCUAGUGUUGGAAACUUUUGAAAGCAUUUCUUCAUGCUAGCUCAUGAAGCAUAUGUUCGGACGUAAGAAGUGACUUCCUCCGGUUCAUGUGCAUUUGAUGCAAGUUGCCGCCGUGGAUUCGAGAAAGUAAAUGUUGCUUCCUUUGGAAUCAUCCCAAAUCGUUCAUGCAUACGUGCGAAGUAUUCUGUGGUUCAGAGACUUGCAACCUUCAUUCUAUAUGUACUCCUAGCACACCAAGCCACUGAUUGAUUUGUUCAAGGAGAAGAAGUUCCUUCUUAAGAGCAAGACUUAUGCAAGGACUUCGAUAUCCUCGAUGAUGGUUCCCCUCCUGAACUCGGUAGUGUUUUAUUAUAAGACUACUGUGUGGUCAUGCUUGUCUCGGACAACGUGUUCACAUGUUUGUAGCAGAACCAGCUCAUGUUUUGGAGCUUACCAUCGUAGUUCAUUUUCCCUAGAAUCUCGCAACGUCAUCUCGUCGAUUUGUGUUGCAAACUUUCAUUUUUCUUUCCAAAAUCGAUGAGUUUGGAUUAUUCUGACAUCAACCAGAUCUGAAUCUCAGGCAGAUAUGAUGGUUGGAAUGUUUCCCAAGAACUUUAAUAUUGGUCUCUCUGUAACCCGGUAAAGUGGAUGUCGUGGCCAACACACCCAACCGGAAGACCCAUUAUUGUUGUAUCUUGCUUGAAGAAGUUGGCCACCUCCCCAUAAGGAUCUCGUAGAAUUUAAUCCAGUAGUUGUUCCUUAUGGAUUUUUGUGUUCUCGAAGUCCGACCUUUUACUUGAUGUUCUAGAUAUGAAACCAUAUCUAUGAAUGGAUUACGCUAGCACAUCAAGGAGAACAUUAGAAGCGGAGUGCUAAAUGUCUCUCUGUCGAUCAUCCAGAUAUUGUUUCCCUUGGCCUUGCUAAGGUGAAAUUUGAGAAGGUGUUAUCUUCCUUUCCAUCUGCAUCGCCCAUCACUAUUCAUCAUGGUAGUAAGUUGUGUUGCCAGGAUCCUUGACAUGGAUAUUGGUAAACCUUGAUGGAUAUGGAAAUGCUCAAGUUCUUGAGAGGACACAUAAGCACUAGGUGUUUUCAUCGGCACUAAUGGGGAUUGCUCCCAGUUUUCCUCGAUUAUGCUAUAACUUUUCAACAGUGGACUCACUCUCUACUAUUCAGUUUCUCCCCAGUUACUGGAAUCAUUCCCAGCAUUUGCAAUUUUUCUCCCAGCUUGCACCGUCAUUGUGCCAUCCUGCCUUGGGUCCCAUCCAUCUCUCAUGAUAAGCAAAAUCAUCCAUUGCGUUGUCUUCAAUAAGGUAAUCUACAUCAUCCAUACUAGUCCAAGUAUGCCAUUCUACCAAACUCCGCCAAACGAUUGCUCGAGAUUGCCCCAUGCUGGUAUAGAGAGUCUCACUGAUCUCUAUAUCAAAGGUAAUUCUUUUUGCCACCUACGGUAAUAAUCUACGAAUCACCCUCCUCCAAGAUGUCUCGUUAUGGUAUCAUGGCAAGUCAACUCCUCGCUACGUUGACACCCGUUCACCACCUUCUUAAGCGUGAAAUUAUUGUCUACCUAGUGAACCUUCGUCAUCUGCUUCACUCCAUUCCUCUGGAUGUGUGCUUCUCGUCUCAGCUCGUGAGAUGUUUCUAUGUCUCAUUCCGCAAGUGGAUCCAGAGUUGCUCGAUCUUCGAGAAGAUCGAUCCUUCUAGAGUUUGUUUUCCCUCUUGUUGUCAUGUUGGUAGGAGUUCCUGGAGCAAGACAUCAAGACAAUGAUGGUGAUCGAAUCAACGUUCAUUGGAAGUGCACCCUGGAUCGUGAGGAUUGUGUUAGUUUGCGUUCCCCCUUCAUCUUACCCUACGCUUGAAUCUCGGGACGAGAUUCUUGUUUAGUGGGGGUAAGUUGUCACAGCCCUAGCUUAGACCUUGUCUAUCUUUGCAUAAGCAUCCAUGUAUCAUGUUUAAAUUUUAUGAAACUUGAAAUGGGGAUUGCCUAAACCCUAGCAUCAAAGGAAUUCACUAGGUUCAACUAAAAUAAUUUCAGUGAAUCCAAAUGGCUUUCAAAAAUGUUCAUCAUUUCUGGAAAAUGCUAGAAACAGUAACCAGAGGUGUUGCACAUUUUUCCAUGACAUAUUUGGGCUCUGAAUUAAGUCAUAUGGUAUUUUCAUUUGGGCAUUUAAAUACUAUAAAAUAUUUUAAGUGCUCAAAUAAUCAUAACCCAAAAUGUUUACUGUUGGAUAUAUUCUAAACAGUAGCCAUGAUUAGUUUCAUGAUUUUUGGAUCUGUUUAAGUAUCUUAUAUAAAGCCCUAAAGACUACAGAAUAAUAGAAAACAGAAACAAUAAAUAAAAGAGAGAGGGAGAUUUUUACGUGGGCCACUUACCUAGCCGCAGCCCACCUGGCAGGCCCAGCACUGUGUUGGCCCAUGCCAGCCAGCUGCUUCGUCCUUGCCAGGCAGGCACAAAGGUGAUACCGGCGACCACGAGCUCGCCACGGCACCACCUACUUGCCGCCCGCGCCCCUGGACACCUGGGUGAUCUCCACGUCGCUGCCCCGACCCCGUUGACACCUCACUCGCCCUCCUGCCUUUCUCCCUCGCUCUCCCGCACCAUGGCUGACGCUGCUGCGCCCGCGCCACCAUAGUUGUCGCAUCCUCCGUUGUCCCCGUGCCGCACCACCAAGUCCAACAACUUCGCCGUCGUCGUCUCCGUCGAGCAACCCGAGCCCCGAGCGCUCGCGCGCCCUGCUUCGUCCUCUUCGAGCUCGACUUCACCGAGCAUCGCCGCAGAUCCCCUUCACCGUCGCUGCCGCAUCAACUCGUCCCCGACCGCGUCGUCUGCACCGCCGUGUUCGCCGUGAGCUGCUACACGUCUCCACCCCUCCUUUUCUCACUCUCGAGCCCUGCAUCGAGCUCACCGAGCUUGGCCCCGCACUCGCCGCGGCCACCGCACGUCGCUGUCGUGGCCACAGCCACGUUGGCUCGAUUCCGAGCACACCACCGCCCUCACCGCACUCGCAGGAGCCCAAAACGCCACACCACGCGCCUCGCCAUGCCCCCUAGCACCAUGUUCGACCUCGGAUGAACUCCGGUGACCGCCAAGGUCGUCGCCAGCGAUGUUCCCGGCCACCCCGAGCUCCACCACUGCCACCAACCGAUGCGGCUUGCUCCCCGCAUCACGUAGACGUGCUCCGCCGUUGUUUUGGUCGUCGGAUCCUGAAACCGCACUCCCACCACCGCGUCUGGCCUCGCCGGCGGCUACACGCCGACGAGUUUGACCACGCUUGACCCUGGUUGACUCCGUGUGGGCCCAGGUUGACUUCCCCCUGAGUCCAUGACAGGUGGGGCCCGUCUGCUAACUAAAUUAGUUUUAGUGCUAACUAAAAUUAGCUAGGCAAAUUACCCUGACAUGCGGGACCCACAGGUCAGUUUGACCUGGACCAGCUCCGUUGACCACUGACGUCAUCCUGACAUAAUGCUGAUGCAGUAAAUUAUUUACUGGAAUUAUUUUUACACAGGAAAUUCCAGAAAAUUGCCUAAACUUCUAAAAAUCAUAGUAAUUCAACCGUAACUCCAAAUGAAAUAAAUUAUAUAUGAAAAAUUAUCAGAAAAAUUCAAACUAUCCAUCUGUAUCAUUUUCAUGCAUGUUUGAGAAAGCUGACCUCACUGUUUAGGAUGAAACAUGAUUAGGACAAAUUUGAUAAUAGAUUUGGAGUUGGAAUAUGAUCUAGUUUUGAAUUCCACUUCAAUCAAAAUGACUUUCUGUUGCAUUAGCUCUAAUAACAGCAUAUUGCCAUGUCAUGAGCAUGCAUCAUAUUGUGCAUUGCAUUGAUUGUGGUUCCUUCUGUGUUGCCGGUAUUUGUCCCCUCUCGAUAGACGUUAUACCGACGAUGAGAUCGAUGACACCGAUGAAGAACUAUACUAUCUUCAGAAGUGCUAGGCAAGCAAAACCACCUUGUUCAUUCCAAUACAAUCCCACUCUCUCGCUCCUGCUCUCUUUUAUUGCAUUAGGACAACAACGAUUCAUCUGUUACUUGCUGCGGUAGCUGAACCCCUUUUCCUCUGCAUGACCUGUCAUUUCCACAGUAAAUAGAUGAAACCCACAAGCAUGAGUAGGAGUUUUUUGAGCCCUGAUGUGCCUACUCAUUCAUGCUUGUUUGUCAUGCCUGCUACUGCUUAGAGUUGAGUCAGGUCUGAUUCAUUGGGGAUGAAUCAGAGGUGUGUAAACAUGUCCUACUGUGUGUGAGCUAAGUGUGUGAACACAAUUUGGUAAAGGUAGCGGUGAGAGGCCAUGUAGGAGUACAUGGUGGGUUGUCUCAUUGAAACCGUCCUUAGGAACUGAGUUCUGUGUUUGUGAUCCAUGAAUAGUUACUACCACACAUUGGGAUCCUUAAUUGACUCCCUCGGCUUCUUAACCACCUUUGUUCUCUGUCCAGGAGUUGCAACUAGUUUCUGGUGUUUGUAGGAUAUGUGUUGGAGGCCGUGCGUAGCGCUGACCCUAGGGGUGGGCUAUGAUGCGGUAGAUACACCAUGGCACGGUGUACCGGGCGCCCGUUUGGUGUCUCGGGAACCCUCCUCACAUCAUUCGGGGCCGUAUGUGGAAACCUCGGCCGGACUCCCUGCGGAUGGAACCUGAAUAGGUGAUAAACCUGGACUAGAGACUUGAGUGUUUAGGUAGGCCGUGGCCAACACCCUCGCCAGGCUUCCGCUUGAAGGUUGUCGAGAUACAUGACGUGUACAUGGCGGUAAGUGGCGAGAGCGUGUGUGAAGAAGUACACCCUUGCAGGGUUAUCAUUGUCUAUUCAAAUAGCCACGUCCGCGGUAAAGGACUUCUGGGUUGCCUGUACAGUUCAUAGACAAGUGAAAGUGGAUACUUUAAAAUGCGCAAGACAAGCGUGAGUGCUAUGGAUGGCGUUCUCGUAGGGAGACGGGAGCGGAUCCAUAGUGGUGUAUUGGUUGAUGAAUAUGUGGACUUGUGUGCGCCGCCUCAAAAGAGUUACUUGCAGUCAUAAUUCAGUAUAGCCACCGAGUUAAAGCUGGCUUGCUGUAGUUAAACCCCACGAUCCCCUUUGUUGAUAAUGAUGCAUAUGUAGUUAGUUCUGAUGUAAGUCUUGCUGGGUACAUUUGUACUCACGUUUGCCUAUUUUAUGUUUUUUCAGAGAGACUUUAUUCUCACUAGUAGUUCCACGUGUACUUCGACGUUUAGCUUGUUACCUCAGCUACGAUCUUGUGCCCUCGGCAGGAUCUGGUAGUUAGUCAGGCUUCUCAGCCUUUUUCAUUUGUAGUUUUUUGUACUCAGACAUGUUAAGCUUCCGCAUGUGCUUUGACUUGUAUGCUCUGAAUGUUGGGUCGUGAGACCCAUGUUUGUAAUAUCUCGCUCCUCGGAGCCUAUUGAAUAAAUACUUGAGUUGUAGAGUCAUGUUGUGAUGCCACGUUGUAUUUGCACAUAUCAAGCAUAUUGUGUAUAUGUUAUUGAAAUGCUUGGUAUGUGUGGGAUCUGACUAUCUAGUUGUUUAUCCUUAGUAGCCUCUCUUACCGGGAAAUGUCUCCUACUGCUUCCACUGAGCCAUGGUAGCUUGCUACUGCUCCGGAACACUUAGGCUGGCCGGCAUGUGUCCUUCUUUGUUCCUGUGUCUGUCCUUUUGGGGAAAUGUCACGCGAUGAAUACCGAAGUCUUGUUAGCCCGCUACAGCCCGGUUCACCGGAGUCCUGCUAGCCCAGUGCUACAGCCUGGAUUCACUCGCUGAUGACCGACACGUUCGAUGCUGGGUCAUGGAUGCAUGUCCCUGUAAGUUUGUUCCACUUUGGGUUAACGACUAGCCAUGUCGGCCCGGGCUCCUUAUCAUAUGGAUGUUGGCGACACUAUCAUAUACGCGUGCCAAAAGGCGCAAACGGUCUCGGGCAAAGGUAUGGCGACACUCGUGGGAUACCAUGCGUGAGGCCGCAAAGUGAUAUGAGUUGUUACAUGCUAGAUCGAUGUGGCAUUGAGUCGGGGUCUUGACAGCUUUGGUAUCAGAGCCUGACUGCCUGUAGGAUUACCAAGCCAAACUGGUCGAAGUUGAGUCUAGACAUUCUUUAGUUAUAUAAGGGAAUUGAUUGUGGGAUGGAACGUACGACACUUUUUACUCCUUAUAUCUUAUGCCCUUCUGAUCUGAGUCAUCCUACCUUUCCUACGGGGUUAAGGAACUAGGCUUUCUCUUCUCUCUCGAUCACGUGUUACUAAUCCGUAGACUUAUAAGAUUGUUGGAUUUAAGCCUCAGUUCAGUUUCUACUACAUCUGUGUGUUCAUAGUUGAUCUCAGCACCUUGAUAUUGUGAUGAUCGAGUGGUAAUGCCACCAUUUUGUACGAUGUCUCAAAACUUUUCGAGCAUUUACAGCCGUUAUGCUGUCCGAGUCAUCCUAGGUCUAUAAACAGCCCGAUGCAUAUGCAAAUCCCUUCUUCCCGUUCUCGAUGUCCCUUUGGUCAGAUUAAUCACACAAAUCAGUGAGUGGAGGUACUUUGUUGCCUUGACAUAUAUAUUGGAGUUAUUAUUAUGACCAUAGGUGUCUUAGAGAGCCACCUAGCAAUCGAACCAUGUUCUGUAUCCUAGUGUGAUGAUUCUGUCCGUCAUUUUUGAAAGCAUCCCGUGAUGCCGUUUAGUUAGUAGGAAUUCUGUUCCUGGGGUUUUGAACCCGAGAUUCACCCGACUUACCUCAUGUUGAUAGUGUUUACUAGUUCCUUUAGGAAAUUAGUAACCAUUGCAUUAGUCCUCGAGGUCCAUGGUAUUCCCUUCUUCCAAAUACUAUGAACCACUUAUGGCAGAUGUUUGUUGGAUCAAAAGAUCACCACAGGAGUGCUCUCGAUGGGUUCUCCAUUCUAUAUUGCGACUCUGCCAGUUCUACUUUUCUGCAUGGGUUAUCCGGAAGAAACUUGUUGAACUUGGUUUGACAUACUAAUCUAUGCAUCCAUAACUCGGAAAAUCGUGUGUUCCUUUGAGUUGUCCCGCUUUAGUUGUCUUCCGACCCUCGUCUAUCAAUUGAUAGUCAAGAGUAUGCAUGCAUUCGUUCAUCGAUGCCUGUUACUCUUAUGGUCUGUCAAGCCAUUCUAUUCCAGAAUGACUAGGAGAAAAAAACUCCAGUAUCUCAUUCAUUUUCAGGAUUGAGGAGAUUCAAAUAUUUCUCAUAGAUAAACUUGAUCAUAAAUCCAAUAUUCAUCGGAUCUCGACAAACACACCGCAAAAAGAGUUACAUCGAAUAGAUCUCCAAGAAGAUCGAGGAGAACAUGGUAUUGAGAUCCAAAAAGAGAGCAGAAGCCAUCUAGCUAAUAACUAUGGACCCGAAGGUCUAUGGUAAACUACUCACAACUCAUCAGAGCGGCUAUGGUGUUGAUGUAGACGCCCUCCAUGGUUGAUUCCCCCUCCGUCGGAGCGCCGACGAAGGCUCCAAGAUGGGAUCUCGCGGAUACAGAAGGUUACGAUGGUGGAAAUAGAUUUUCAUGGUCGCCUCUGAUGUUUUCGGGGUACGUGGGUAUAUAUAGGAGGAAGAAGUAGGUCAGUGGACGCCCAAGGGGCCCACGAGAUAGGGGGGCGCCCAGUAGGGGGGCGUGCCCUCCACCCUCGUGGCCGCCUCGGCAGCUUCUUAACUUGCACUCCAAGUCCUAUGGAUCACGUUCGUUCAAAAAAUCAUGCUCUGGAAGGUUUCAUUCCGUUUGGACUCCGUUUGAUAUUCCUUUUCUUCGAAACACUGAAAUAGGUAAAAAAACAGCAAUACGGGCUGGGCCUCCGGUUAGUAGGUUAGUCCCAAAAAUGAUAUAAAUGUGUAAAAUAAAGCCCAUAAACAUCCAAAACGGGUAAUAUAAUAGCAUGGAACAAUAAAAAAUUAUAGAUACGUUGGAGACGUAUCAAGCAUCCCCAAGCUUAAUUCAUGCUCGUCCUCGAGUAGGUAAAUGAUAAAAACAGAAUUUUUGAUGUGGAAUGCUACCUAGCAUAUUUCUCAAUGUAAUUUUCUUUAUUGUGGCAUGAAUGUUCGGAUCCAAAUGAUUUAAAAUAAAAGUUCAUACUGACAUAAUAAAUAGUAAUACUUCAAGCAUACUAAUCAAGCAAUCAUGUCUUCUCAAAAUAACAUGGCUAAAGAAAGUUAUCCCUACAAAAUCAUAUAGUCUGGCUGUUGCUCUAUCUACAUCACACAAAGUAUUUAAUCAUGCACAACCCCAAUGACAAGCCAAGCAAUUGUUUCAUACUUUAGUAAUCUCAAACUUUUUCAACUUUCACGCAAUACAUGAGCGUGAGCCAUGGACAUAGCACUAUAUGUGGAAUAGAAUGGUGGUUGUGGAGAAGACAAAAAGGGAGAAGAUAGUCUCACAUCAACUAGGCGUAUCAACGGGCUAUGGAGAUGCCCAUUAAUAGAUAUCAAUGUGAGUGAGUAGGGAUUGCCAUGCAACGGAUGCACUAGAGCUAUAAAUGUAUGAAAGCUCAACAAAAGAAACUAAGUGGGUGUCCAUCCAACUCACUUGCUCACGAAGACCUAGGGCACUUUGAGGAAGCCCAUCAUGGGAAUAUACAAGCCAAGUUCUAUAAUGAAAAAUUCCCACUAUUAUAUGAAAGUGACAACAUAUGAGACUCUCUAUCAUGAAGAUCAUGGUGCUACUUUGAAGCACAAGUGUGGUAAAAAGGAUAGUAGCAUUGUCCCUUCUCUCUUUUUCUCUCUUUUUUCUCUUUUUUUUCUUUUCCUUUUUUUUAUUUUUUUCCUUUUUUUCUUUUUUUCUUUGGCCUUUCUCUUUUUUUCUUUUUGGCCUUUCCCUUUUUUUAUAAAGUCUGAAGUCUCAUCCCGACUUGUGGGGGAAUCAUAGUCUCCAUCAUCCUUUCCUCACUGGGACAAUGCUCUAAUAAUGAAGAUCAUCACACUUUUAUUUGCUUAUAACUCAAGAAUUACAACUCAAAACUAGAACAAGAUAUGACUCUAUAUGAAUGCCUCCGGCGGUGUAUCGGGAUAUGCAUUGAAUCAAGAGUGACAUGUAUGAAAAUUAUGAAGCUGGUUUUGCCACAUAUGCGAUGUCAACUACAUGAUCAUGCAAAGAGCAAUAUGACAAUGAUGAUGCGUGUCAUAUAAACGGAAUGGUGGACAGUUGCAUGGCAAUAUAUCUUGGAAUGACUAUGGAAAUGCCAUAAUAGGUAGGUAUGGUGGCUGUUUUGAGGAAGGUAUAUGGUGGGUGUAUGGUACCGGCGAAAGUUGCGCGGUACAAGAGAGGCUAGCAAUGGUGGAAAGGUGAGAGUACGUAUAAUCCAUGGACUUAACAUUAGUCAAAAGAACUCAUAUACCUAUUGCAAAAAUCUACAAGUCAGCAAAAACAAAGUAUUACGCGCAUGCUCCUAGGGGGAUAGAUCGGUAGGAAAAUACCAUCGCUCGCCCCCGACCGCCACUCAUAAGGAAGACAAUCAAUAAAUAAAAUUGUGCUCCAACUUCAUCACAAAGCGGUUCACCAUACGUGCAUGCUACGGGAAUCACAAACUUCAACACAAGCAUUCUUUAAAUUCAUAAUCACCCAACUAGCAUGACUUUAAUAUCACUACCUCCAUAUCUCAAAACAAUUAUGAAGUAUCAAAUUGAUCAUAGCAUCCAAUUCACUUUCUAUGAUAGUUUUUAUUAUACCCAACUUGGAUGCCGACCAUUCUAGGACCAAUUUUAUAACCAUAGAAAAUACCAUGCUGUUCUAAGAGACUCUCAAAAUAAUAUAAGUGAAGCAUGAGAGAUAAACAAUUUCUUCAAAAUUAAGCCACCGCCGUGCUCUAAAAGAUAUAAGUGAAGCACUAGAGCAAAAACUAUCUAGCUCAAAAGAUAUAAGUGAAGCACAUAGAGUAUUCUAAUAAAUUCCAAUCAAGUGGGCUUCUUCCCAAAAGGUGUGUACAGCAAGGAUGAUUGUGGUAAACUAAAAAGCAAAGAAUAAUAUCAUACAAGACGCUCCAAGCAAAACACAUAUCAUGUAGCGAAUAAAAAUAUAGCUCCAAGUAAAGUUACCAAUGAACGAAGAUGAAAGAGGGGAUGCCUUCCUGGGGCAUCCCCAAGCUUAGGCUUUUGUCUAUUCUUGAAUAUAUUGGGGUUCCAUGGGCAUCCCCAAGAUUAGGCUUUUGCCACUCAUUAUUCCAUAGUCCAUCAAAUCUUUGCCCAAAACUUGAAAACUUCACAACACAAAACUCAACAGGAAAUCUCAUAAGCUCCGUUAGUGAAAGAAAGCAAAACCACCACAUAAGGUACUGCAAUGAACUUAUUAUUUAUUUAUAUUGGUGUUAAACCUAUUUUAUUCCAAGUUCUCUAUGGUUCAUACCACUUAAUACUAGCCAUAGAUGCAUCAAAAUAAGCAAACAACACACGAAAAACAGAAUCUGUCAAAAACAGAAUAGUCUGUAGCAAUCUAUAACUCUAAAAAUCCUACAAAAAAUAGGAAGUCCUGAGUAAUUUGUCUAUUGAUAUACAUCAAAAAGAAUCAAUGCAAAAUCACGUUUCUGUGAUUUAACAGAACUAAUUUCGUGCGUGCAAAGUUUCUAUUUUUCAGCAGAAUCAAAUUAACCAUCACCAUAGGUUAUCCUAUAGGUUCUACUUGGCACAAACACUAAUUAAAACAUAAAAACACAUCUAAAUAGAAGUUAGAUGCAAAAUUUAUUACUAAACAGAAACAAAAACAAAAAACACAAAUAAAAUUGGGUUGCCUCCCAACUAGCGCUAUCGUUUAACGCCCCUAGCUAGGCAUAAAAGCGAGGAUAGAUUUAAGUAGUGCCAUCUUUGGCACUCAAUUCAUAAGUAGCUCGGAUGAUAGAUUCAAAAGGUAAUUUAAUUUUAUUUCUUGGAAAAUGCUCCAUGCCUUUCCUUAAUGGAAAUUGGAACCUAAUAUUCCCUUCCUUCAUAUCAAUAAUCGCGCCAAUCAUUCUAAGGAAAGGUCUACCAAGAAUAAUAGGGCAAGAAAGAUUGCAAUCUAUAUCAAGAACGAUAAAAUCUACGGGCACCAAAUUUAUAUUUGCAACAAUGAGAACAUCAUUGAUCCUUCCUAUUGCCUUUUUAAUGGUGGAAUCUGCAAGGUGCAAAUUCAAAGAGCAAUCAUCAGGAUCAUGGAAACCUAGAAUAUCACAUAAUGUUUUCGGAAUCGUGGAAACACUAGCACCCAAAUCACAUAAAGCAUAACACUCAUGAUCUUUAAUUUUAAUCUUUAUAGUAGGUUCCCACUCAUCAUUAAGUUUUCUAGGUAUGGAAACUUCCAAAUUAAGUUUUUCAUCAUAAGAUUGUAUCAAGGCAUCAAUAAUAUGUUUGGUAAAAGCUUUAUUUUGACUAUAAGCAUGAGGAGAAUUCACAACGGAUUGCAACAAGGAAAUACAACCUUCUAAAGAACAAUUAUCAUAAUUAAAUUCCUUGAAAUCCAAGAUAGUGGGUUCAAUGCUAUUUAAAGUCUUGACCUCUCUAAUCCCACUUUUACCAAAUUUAGCAUCAAGAUCUAAAAACUCUGAAUCAUGGGGACGCCUUUUAACUAAAUUUGAUUCAUCUCCAGUCCCAUUAUUAUUAAGAUUCAUAUUGCAAAACAACGAUCUAAUAGGGGACCCAUCAAUAACUUUAAGAUCUUCAUCGUUAUUUUCACCUAACUUUUCUGGUUUGGCAGCCAUCUUAUUGACUAAGGUAGCUUGCUUAUCAGAAAUUCGGGCUAUAGAAUUUUCAAGCCGAGUAAUUUGGGCAUUCAAACCAUAAAAUUCUUUAGGCAUAUCAUCAAGCUCUUUUUUCAUAAACCCCCAAAAACUUUUUUUGUUUUUAAGCUCUUUUCUGAAGAAAUUAUUAUGCUCAAAUUGUAAAGUCAUAAAACUUCUAACGUUUGAUUCAAUCUCUUCCAUCCUUCUAAGAUGAAGGUCGGUGUUCUUAGGAAAAGCCAUAGGAGCAAGUAGACACGCAAAAAGGACAAGCAAAAGAGAGAGGAGAUUGGGGAAAAAAAGGGCGAAUAAAACGGCAAGGGUGAAGUGGGGGAGAGGAAAACGAGAGGCAAAUGGCAAAUAAUGUAAAUGCGAGGGAGAUGAGUUUGUGAUGGGUACUUGGUAUGUCUUGACUUGAGCGAAGACCUCCCCGGCAAUGGCGCCAGAAAUCCUACUUGCUACGUCUUGAGCUUGCGUUGGUUUUCCUUGAAGAGGAAAGGGUGAUGCAGCAAUAGUAGCGUAAGUAUUUCCCUCAGUUUUUGAGAACCAAGGUAUCAAUCCAGUAGGAGGCUCCUCAAAAGUCCCACGCACCUACAUAAACAAACAAAGAACUCGCAACCAACGCAAUAAAGGGGUUGUCAAUCCCUUCACGGCCACUUGCGAAAGUGAGAUCUGAUAGAGAUAGUAUGAUAAGAUAAAUAUAUUUUUGGUAUUUUAUAAUAUAGAUUGGAAAAGUAAAGAUGCAAAUAAAAGUAGAUUGAAAGCUUAUAUGAUAAGAGAUAGACCCGGGGGCCAUAGGUUUCACUAGUGGCUUCUCUCAAGAUAGCAUAAGUAUUACGGUGGGUGAACAAAUUACUGUCGAGCAAUUGAUAGAAAAGCGAAUAAUUAUGAGAUUAUCUAGGCAUGAUCAUGAUAUAGGCAUCACGUCCAUGAAAAGUAGACCGACUCCUGCCUGCAUCUACUACUAUUACUCCACACAUCGACCGCUAUCCAGCAUGCAUCUAGAGUAUUAAGUUCAUAAAGAACAAAGUAACGCAUUAAGAAAGAUGACAUGAUGUAGAGGAAUAAACUCAUGCAAUAUGAUAUAAACCCCAUCUUUUUAUCCUCGAUGGCAACAAUACAAUAUGUGCCAUGCUGCCCUUAUUGUCACUGGGAAAGGACACCGCAAGAUUGAACCCAAAGCUAAGUACUUCUCCCAUUGCAAGAAAGAUCAAUCUAGUAGGCCAAACCAAACUGAUAAUUCGAAGAGACUUGCAAAGAUAACUUAAUCAUACAUAAAAUAAUUCAGAGGAGAUUCAAAUAUUUCUCAUAGAUAAACUUGAUCAUAAAACCACAAUUCAUCGGAUCUCGACAAACACACCGCAAAAAGAGUUACAUCGAAUAGAUCUCCAAGAAGAUCGAGGAGAACAUGGUAUUGAGAUCCAAAAAGAGAGAAGAAGCCAUCUAGCUAAUAACUAUGGACCCGAAGGUCUGUGGUAAACUACUCAGAACUCAUCGGAGGGGCUAUGGUGUUGACGUAGAAGCUCUUCAUGGUCGAUUCCCCCUCUAGCGGAGCGCCAACGAAGGCUCCAAGAUGGGAUCUCGCGGAUACAGAAGGUUACGGUGGUGGAAACAGUUUUUCGUGGUCGCCUCUGAUGUUUUCGGGGUAUGUGGGUAUAUAUAGGAGGAAGAAGUAGGUCGGUGGACGCCCGAGGGGCCCACGACAUAGGGGGUGCACCCAGUAGGGGGGGCGCCCUCUACCCUCGUGGCCGCCUCGGCAGCUUCUUGACUUGCACUGCAAGUCCUCUGGAUUAUGUUCGUUCCAAAAAUCACGCUCCCGAAGGUUUCAUUCCGUUUGGACUCCGUUUCAUAUUCCUUUUCUUCAAAACAGUGAAAUAGGCAAAAAAACAGCAAUACGGGUUGGGCCUCCGGUUAGUAGGUUAGUCCCAAAAAUGAUAUAAAUGUGUAAAAUAAAGCCCAUAAACAUCCAAAAUGGGUAAUAUAAUAGCAUGGAAAAAUAAAAAAUUAUAGAUACAUUGGAGACGUAUCAGACGUGAGCUUUGUCGAGUUUCUCCAUCCAGGCCGAGUGUCAGGCAUGCUUGCCCUUGUUGCUAGAAUCCGUUAUGUCUCUCUCAUUUACAUAGGAAAAAAUUCUGUCGGUGUACAAAAGUGUGGGUACUUCUGUACCCAUUACUUGUGCAUGGACAGUCGCAGCCACCCCUUCAGCAGGGCUUGGUGAAGCAGAGGAGGACAGCAGGAAGCAAGACAGAUGCUUAGAGUAACAAGCAGCAAGAGGCAAGGAGGGCCACGACCAGCAACAAGCCUUGCCGAGGCGACCUGCGAGGCCCCCGGCAAUCCCCUUGCCGGGGCAGCUUGCGAAGAGACCCGCAGGGCCACCACCCUUGGAGUUGAGAGCUCUGACACCGUCGACAAUGUUAAAGACCAAAAUCUGGAGAGUGCAUGCCUGGUAGCAUGCAGCCCCUCACAAAGAUUAGCAACCCACGAAACCACGUGGGAUCAGGAGACGAAGACCCCUGGCAAGGCCCUUGUCGAGAACAACUCCAAGGCCCCCGGCAAGCCUUGCCGGAGCGAUCGCUGGGCUGCGGCCAGGCCCGCGCUCGGCAAGGUUUUGCCACUUCACCACCACUCUAGUGCAACAAUAAGAAUGGCCUCUAAGAAGGCACCUGCAUGCUGGCAUGCAGAUCUUCGUGGAAGCCUACCAUCUCUCCAACACAGCAGCUGGUUGGCCAGCAUGGCGCUGCAUGCCUCGUCGGCCCGAACGCGUGGCAAGGCGAGGAAGAGCGGCGAAGGACGGGAUGGCCUCCGUUGCCAUCCCCAAUAAAGCGAGAGGACACGUGGGCAACGCAUUAAAUGCGCUUGUCCUACGUUGAUCGAGCGAUAAGCUCAUAUCAGUGUAGCUUGCCACCUCUUGUGUGCCGCUGUGGCAACCUCUUUGUGUAUAAAAGGAGGCCCAAGGCACAUAGAGAGAGGAGUCGGACUUUUGGACAAAGCACGCACCAUAGCUAGUUCAAAAGCUCAAGAACACACAUAUAACCAGAUAAAGCAGGACUAUGGUAUUACGCAUCCUUGCGGCCUGAACCAGGAUAAAAAUCCUCUGUGUCCUAACGGCUUGACCUGCUCUUUGUGCAACUAACCCCCCGCCAAACUUAGAAGGGAUCCUUGUGACCCCAUAGGUGAUCAGUUUCCCUGACAUCUUUGGCGCGCUAGGUAGGGGGCGGAUUGGUUGUGAGAAUCUGGUCCGUAGUUAGUACAUAGAUCCUUCAUCGCUAUGGCUCUGAAGAAGAAGACGACCGCGGCGGUCGGCCCGUCCGGGGCUGCUCCGCCCGCACCCGCGCGAGCAGGCGAUGGGGUGUGCGCCAGCGGUGGAGGAGAUCAAGGUCAUCCACACCAUCGGAAUACAAGAAGCCAGGCCGCCGGCGUUCUCCGCAGCGGCGACGGAGGUCGGCGCGCCACCGCGCCCAAGGGUGGAGUUGUGCCACCUGCGGGUGGUGCGGGGACCUCCAAGGGUGGAAGAUUGACCUCGCCGACGCGCGUGCCGUAGUCUCCCCAGCUCGUGCAUGACAAACCGUGCUGCGAUGUUGAGGACCCCGGGCAUUGCCACAGCAAGAGCCCUCAACGCCACUCUCAAGACACGCAGGGCCGAUACGCACAUCAUGGUGCAGGAGAAAAGAGCGUGCGGCCGCAGAAUCGAGAUGGGACUCCUUAUAAUGUCCUUAGAAGUCCGAGUUCCUCCCAUUCCUCACGCCUGUUGCUACCACCCAUGCGAGCGGAAGCGCUGUCACGAGCGCAGCUGCUCCUCGACCUUCCUCCUGCCUUGGAGAAGCAAGAAGAGUGGAGGGCUGCUAUCCAAAGCCUUAUUGGCCAUGCCAACAGAGAUGGCCACCGGGGAGUAAGCCCCUCACGGCGCCGAAAUGACGAUCCGACACGUGCAAGCAGUGGAAGGGUCGAGGACACCGCAACCACGGUGCACUCCCCUCCGCCAUGGUCGGCCCGUCGCGGUGACGCCCGGGACAACAUGUCCACAAUGUCAUCAGACCCACGGACGCGCCAUGACCAACGCCAAGUUCUUCAAGAGCGCCUCAAGGAGGACGCCCGGACUACUAUCGAGCGACGACGGGAAGCACGUCACCAGUCCGAUAGGUGUGCUGGGCCCGCUGAGUACAGGCCUACGGCGGGGGAUGCUGGCGACCUGCCAUAUGCAAUCACUUGUCCAGCAUUCACCCGCGAGCUGCAUAGUUCCAGUGGCCCAACACCCACACAUUCAAACCAGAGAUCCCAGAGAAGUACGACAGCAAGACUCACCCAUCUGAGUUCUUGAGCAUUUACACUAUUGCGAUGCAAGCUACCGGGGCACGAGACGACAAGAAACUUGCCAACUAUUUCCCAUUGGCACUUAAGCCCAACGUCAGGUCAUGGUUGAUGCAUCUGCCGAUAGACUCCGUUGCCUAUUGGUCCGACCUAUGCCAUAAGUUUGUUGGUGCCUUCACAGGCGGCCACGUAGCUCCUGCGUAGGCAAGUGACUUGCACGUGAUCCCUCAGAGAGACAACGAAUCCUUGUGCAAGUACAUACAUAGGUUUAGCCGUGUGCAGUACAACAUCCCCGAUAUUUAUCCCGCCGCUGUCAUCAGCGCGUUCCACUAGAACAUGCACAAUCAAAAUAUGCAUGAAGAGUUGGCCAUGAACAAGGUCACGGUUGUUGCCGAGCUGUAUGUUCUGGCUGAUAGAUGUGCCCGAGCAGAGGAAGGGAGGAAGUACCCCGGCGAAGACGCCGACGUGGGAAGUGACUUAGAAUAUGAAGACAUCGUCGCCCCAGUGAAGAAAGGUCGGCGGCGUAACAGGAAGCGGAAGGGUAAGAUCGUUCUUGCCGUUGAGGAAUCCGGCGACCCCGACACCGCCAAGAAGGCCAAGGUCGACGACCCCGGCAUGGAGGUUGCUGGGUGCGAUGCCUACCGGGCCUUACCAGCUGCUGGCAAGUCAGAGGGCUCCGACAAGCAGUACUCCAAGAUUCACCGUACUAAGGGCCAUGACCUCCAGAACUGCCGCCAAGUGGAGCUGCUGAUGGAGAAGCAAAGGGCUGAGUACGAGAGACGAGACAAGGAGAAGGGCCAAGGAGGCACUGAAGGGUACGACAAGAAGCACGGCAGCCAAGGAGGACACAACAACAAGGAAAAGCAACAAGAGAGGCCUGCCCGAGGCUGAGACAAGAAAUAAGAGGAUGACGAUCGUGAUGAUGACGAUGAAUCCACCGAGCAUGAGUUCCAGAAGGCGACAUGAGUCAUUUGUGUCGAUGGAGGUGCUUCGCUGCAUUCUUCCCACCACCAACUGAAAUAGUGGGCGUGUGAGAUUAAUGCAACGGAACCAAUGGUCGACGCCCAGAAGCCGUUGAGGUGGUCUCACAAGCCUAUCAUUUUCGACGCCGAGGAUCACCCUGAUCGCGUCACUAUGGUUGGGUGUUUGCCAUUGUUGGUAUCCCUAACAAUACGCAACCUCAAGGUGACGAAGACGUUAAUUGACGGUGGGGCUGACCUUAACUUGAUUUUGCCCAACGUGGUUAAGAGGCUGCAGAUCCCCGAUAAAUAUCUCGAGCAGACGGGCACGUUCCAAGGGAUCAAUCCAGGGAGGUGUCAGCCCAAGGGAAAGGUCACGCUACCAGUUACCUUUGGUGGCGACCUCAACUACAAGACAGAGAUGAUCGUUUUUGAUGUCGCUGAGAUCUCGUUGCCGUACAACGGGAUCCUUGGCUGCCUCGCGCUGGCCAAAUUCAUGGUGGCGGUGCACUACGCCUAUAACAAGUUGAAGAUGCCUGGCUCGAUGAGCAUCAUCACUGUCGGCUGCGAUAGGAAGGACGUGCUCAUCUGCGCCGAUCAGCUCUAUCGAGAUGCAGUUGCAACAUCUGGCGCCAAAGCACCUGCUCCUGCCACCGAGAAGAGGACCAGUAAGGCUUAGACCGUUGACAAGACUCCUGGCUCUGGCAAGGGCUCCUGUACCCUCUCCGGCAAACGCGCCUCCUUGGAGUGCUAUGUUUCCGCUGGAGAUGCACCAGAGAGCUCUACCAGCAAGAGCAAAAAGUCCAAGGCGGCCCUGCCGGAAACCAAGAAGGUGUCCUUCAAGGAGAAUGGCAUGGGAGGAGCUUUCUUCAUAAGUUCCACCCUCGACAACAAAUAGGAAAGCGCACUCGUCGCCUUCCCGCGGGCGAAUGUCGGCGUGUUUGCAUGGCAAGCAUCCGGCAUCCCCGCCGUUCCCAGGGAGGUGAUUGAGCACCAUCUUGUUGUCUGCAAUAUGAAGGAAAUAUGCCCUAGAGGCAAUAAUAAAGUUACUAUUUAUUUCCUUAUUUCAUGAUAAAUGUUUAUUAUCCAUGCUAGAAUUGUAUUAACCGGAAACUUAGUACAUGUGUGAAUACAUAGACAAAACAUAGUGUCUCUAGUAUGCCUCUACUUGACUAGCUCGUUAAUCAAAGAUGGUUAUGUUUCCUAACCAUAGACAUGUGUUGUCAUUUGAUGAAGGAGAUCACAUCAUUAGGAGAAUGAUGUGAUGGACAAGACCCAUCCGUUAGCUUAGCAUCAUGAUCGUUACAGUUUCAUUGCUACUGCUUUGUUCAUGACUUAUACAUCUUCCUCAGACUCUGAGAUUAUGCAACUCCCGAAUACCGAAGGAACACUUUGUGUGCUACCAAAUGUCACAAUGUAAAAGAGUGAUUAUAAAGGUGCUCUACAGGUGUCUCAGAAGGUGUUUGUUGGGUUGGCAUAGAUCAAUAUUAGGAUUUGUCACUCCGUGUUUCGGAGAGGUAUGUCUGGGCCCUCUCGGUAAUGCUCAUCACUAUAAGCCUUGCAAGAAAUGUGAUUAAUGAGUUAGUUGCAGGAUGAAGUAUUACAAAACGAGUAAAGAGACUUGCCGGGAGAUUGAACUAGGUAUGAUGAUACCGACGAUCGAAUCUCGCGCAAGUAACAUAUCGAUGACAAAGGGAACAACGUAUGUUGUUAUGCGGUUUGACCGAUAAAGAUCUUCAUAGAAUAUGUAGGAGCUAAUAUUAGCAUCCAGGUUCCGCUAUUGGUUAUUGAUCAUAGAUGUGUCUCGAUCAUGUCUACAUAGUUCUCGAACCCGUAGGGUCCGCACGCUUAACGUUCGAUGACGAUAUGUAUUAUGACUUAUGUGCUUUGAUGACCGAAGUUUGUUUAGAGUCCCGGAUGAGAGAUCACGGACGUGACGAGGAGUCCCUAAAUGGUCGAGACAUAAAGAUCGAUAUAUUGCAAGGCUAUAUUCGAACACGGAAUGGUUCCGAGUGAUUCGGGUAUUUUUCGGAGUACCGGGGAGUUACGGGAAUUCACCGGGAGAAGUAAUGGGCCUUAUUGGGCCAUACGGGAAAUAGAGGAGGCAGGCCAAAGGGAGGUGGCGCACACUCCCAUGGGUUCGAAUUGGACUAGGGGAAGGGGGCGGCGCCCCCCUUGCCCUUUCCUACUCCCUCUCUCCUUCCUUCUCUCCUACUCCUAAAAGGGAAAGGAUUCCUACUAAGACUUGGAAGUCCUAGUAGGACUCCAUACACUUGGCGCACCCCUAGGGGGGCGGCCUCUCUCCCUCCCUCCUUUAUAUACAGGGGCAGGGGCACCCCAAAGACACACAAGUUUCUCUUAACCGUGUGCGGUGCCCCCUCCACAGUUACACACCUCGAUCAUACCAUCGUAAUGCUUAGGCGAAGCACUACGCCGGUAGCAUCAUCCUCACUGUCGCCACGCCGUCGUGCUGACGGAACUCACCCUCGUCCUCAACUGGAUCAAGAGCACGUGGGACAUCAUCGAGCUGAACAUGGAGGUGCCGUAUGUUUGGUACUUGGAUCGGUUGGAUCGCGAAGACGUUCAUCUACAUCAACCGCGUUAUUGAAACGCUUCCGCUUUCGGUCUAUGAGGGUACGUGGACACACUCUCCCCUCUUGUUCCUAUGCAUCACAUAGAGAUAGAUCUUGCAUGAUCGAAUGAAACUUUUUGAAAUUACUGCAUUCUCAACAGUGAUAUCAGAGCCAGGUCUAUGCGUAGAUGUUAUAUGCACGAGUAGAACACAAAGAGUUAUGGGUGAUAAUAGUCAUACUACUUACCAGCAUGUCAUACUUUGAUUCGGUGGUAUUGUUGGAUGAAGCGGCUCAGACCGACAUUACGCAUACGCUUAUGCGAGACUCAUUCUACCGACGUGCUUUGCACAAAGGUGGCUAGUGAGUGUCUGUUUCUCCAACUUUAGUUGAAUUAAGUUUGACUAUGCCUGGUCCUUGUUGAAGGUUAAAACAGCACACUUGACAAAAAACUCGUUGUGGUUUUGAUGCGUAGGUAAGAACGGUUCUUGCUAAGCCCGUAGCAGCCACGUAAAACUUGCAACAACAAAGUAGAGGACGUCUAACUUGUUUUUGCAGGCCAUGUUGUGAUGUGAUAUGGUCAAGACAUGAUGUUGUAUGAGAUGAUCAUGUUUUGUUAAAGUUAUCGGCAUCUGGAAGGAGCCUUAUGGUUGUCUCUUUAUUGCAUAAGAUGCAAGCGCCAUAUAAUUUCUUUACUUUAUCGCUAUGCGAUAGCAAUAGUUGGCGAGACGACCAUGUGAUGACACGUUGAUAGAGAUCAAGAUGAUGGAGAUCAUGGUGUCAUUCUGGUGAAGAUGGAGAUCAUGAUGGUACUUUGGAGAUGGAGAUCAAAGGCACCAGAUGAUGAUGGCUAUAUCAUGUCACAUAUUUUGAUUACAUGUGAUGUUUAUCUUUUAUAUUCUUAUUUUGCUUAGUUCGGCGGUAGCAUUAUAAGAUGAUCCCUUACAAAAAAUUCACAGUAUAAGUGUUCUCCCUGAGUAUGCACUGUUGCGACAGUUCUUCAUGCCGAGACACCAUGUGAUGAUUGGGUGUGAUAAGCUCUACGUUCACAUACAAUGAGUGCAUGCAGUUUUGCACACGCAGAAUACUCGGGUUAAACUUGACGAGCCUAGCAUAUGCAGAUAUGGCCUCGGAACACUGGAGACCGAAAGGUCGAGCGUGAAUCAUAUAGUAGAUAUGAUCAACAUAGUGAUGUUUACUAUUGAAAACUACUCCAUCUCACGUGAUGAUUGGACAUGGUUUAGUUGAUAUGGAUCACGUGAUCAUUUAGAUGACUAGAGGGAUGUCUAUCUAAAUGGUUGUCCUUAAGUAAUAUGAUUAAUUGAACUUUAAUUUAUCAUGAACUUAGUCCUGAUACUAUUUUGCAAAUUAUGUUGUAGAUCAAUAGCUCGCGUUAUAUCUUCCCUAUGUUGUUAUAUGUUCCAAGAGAAAACUAAGUUGAAAUAUGAUAGUAGCAAUGAUGCGGACUGGUUCCGUGAUCUGAGGUGUAUCUUCAUUGUUGCAUAGAAGAAUUAUGUCCUUGAUGCACCGCUAGGUGACGGGCCUAUUGGAGGAGCAAAUGCAGAUGUUAUGAACGUUUGGCUAGCUCAAUAUGAUGACUACUUGAUAGUUUAGUGCACCAUGCUUUAUGGCUUAGAACCGGGACUUGAAAACAUUUUUGAAACUUCACGGAGCAUAUGAGAUGUUCCAAAAGCUGAAAUUGGUAUUUCAGACUCAUGCCCGUGUCAAGAGGUAUGAGACCUCUGACAAGUCCUUUGCCUAAAAGAUGGAGGAGAAUUGCUCAACUAGUGAGCUUGUGCUCAGAAUGUCUGGGUACUACAAUCACUUGAAUCAAGUGGGAGUUAAUCUUCCAGAUAAGAUAGUGAUUGACAGAGUUCUCUAGUCACCAUCACCAAGUUACUGGAACUUUGUGGUGAACUAUAGUAUGCAAGGGAUGAUGAAAAUGAUUGCCGAGCUCUUCGUAAUGCUGAAAUCGACGAAGGUAGAAAUCAAGAAAGAGCAUCAAGUGUUGAUGAUUAAACAAGACCACUAGUUUCAAGGAAAGGGUAAAGGGAAAGAAAGGGAACUUCAAGAAGAAUGCAAGAAAGUUGUCACUCCCGUGAGGAAGCUCAAAGCUGGACCUAAGCCUGAAACUGAGUGCUACUACUACAAAGGAAAUGGUCACUGGAAGUAGAACUGUCCCAAAUAUUUGGCGGAUAAGAAGGAUGGCAAAGUGAACAAAGGUAAAUUUGAUAUACAUAUUAUUGAUGUGUACCUUACUAGUGCUCGUAGUAAUCCCUGAGUAUUUGAUACUUGUUCGGUUGCUAAGAUUAGUAAAUCGAAAUAGCAGUUGGAGAAUAAAUAGAGAUGAGUUGAGGAUGAAGUGACAAUAUGUGUUGGAAGUGGUUCGAAGAUUGAUAUGAUCAUCAUCGAGCACUGCCUAUACUUUUGGGAUUAGUGUUGAACCUAAAUAAAUGUUAUUUGGUGUUUGCGUUGAGCAUGAAUAUGAUUAGAUCAUGUUAAUUGCAAUAUGGUUAUUCAUUUAAGACAGAGGUAAUUGUUAUUCUGUUUACAUGAAUAAAAUCUUCUAUGGUCAUACACCCAAUGUUGAUGGUUUAUUGAAUCUCGAUCAUGGUAAUACACAUAUUCAUAAUAUUGAUGCCAAAAGAUGCAUAGUUGAUAAUGAUAGUGCAACUUAUUUGUGGCACUGCCAUUUGUGUCAUAUCAGUGUAAAGCGCAUAAAGAAACUCCAUAAAGAUGGACUUUUGGAAUCACUUGAUUAUGAAUCAUCUGAUGCUUGCGAAUCGUGCCUUAUCGGCAAGAUGACUAAAACUCCGUUCUCCGGAACAAUGGAACGAGCUAGUAACUUAUUGGAAAUAAUACAUAUCGAUGUAUGCGGUCCAAUGAGUGUUGAUGCUUGUGACGGGUAUUGUUGUUUUCUGACUUUUACAGAUGAUUUGAGCAGAUAUGGAUAUAUCUACUUAUUGAAACACAAGUGUGAAACAUUUGAAAAGUUCAAAGAAUUUUAGAGUGAAGUGGAGAAUCGUCAUAACAAGAAAAUAAAGUUUCUACGAUCUGAUCGUGGAGGAGAAUGUUUGAGUUACAAGUUUGGCCUUCAUUUAAAACAAUGUUGUAUAGUUUCACAGCUCACGCCACCUGGAACACCACAGCGUAACGGUGUGUCCGAACGUCAUAACCGCACUUUAUUGGACAUGGCGCGAUCUAUGAUGUCUCUUACCAAUUUACCACUAUCAUUUUGGGGUUAUGCAUUAGAGAUAGUUGCAUUCACGUUAAACAGGGCACCAUCAAAAUCCGUUGAGACGACGCCUUAUGAACUGUGGAUUGGGAAGAAACCAAAGUUGUCGUUUCCUAAAGUUUGGGGUUGCGAUGCUUAUGUGAAAAAGCGUCAACCUGAUAAGCUCGAACCCAAAUCAGAGAAGUGCGUCUUCAUAGGAUACCCAAAAGAAACUGUUGGGUACACCUUCUAUCACAAAUCCGAAGGCAAGAUAUUUGUUGCUAAGAAUGGAUCCUUUCUAGAGAAGGAGUUUUCUCUCGAAAGAAGUGAAUGGGAGGAAAGUAGAACUUGAUGAGGUAAUUGUACCUUCUCCCGAAUUGGAAAUAGUUCAUCACAGAAAUCAGUUCUAGUGAUUACUACACCAAUUAGUGAGGAAGCUAAUGAUGAUGAUCACGAAACUUCAAAUCAAGUUACCACCAAACCUUGUAGGUCAACCAGAGUACGAUCCGCACUAGAGUGGUACGGUAAUCCUAUUCUGGAAGUCAUGUUACUAGACCAUGAUGAACCUACGAACUAUGAGGAAGCGAUGAUGAGCCCAGAUUCCACGAAAUGGCUUGAGGCCAUGAAAUCUGAGAUGUAAUCCAUGUAUGAGGACAAAGUGUGGACUUUGGUGGACUUGUCCGAUGAUCGGCAAGACAUUAAGAAUAAAUGGAUCUUUAAGAGGAAGAUGAACGCUGAUAGUUGUGUUACUAUCUACAAAGCUUGACUUGUCGCAAAAGGUUUUCGACAAGUUCAAGGAGUUGACUAUGAUGAGACUUUCUCACCCAUAGCGAUGCUUAAGUCUGUCCGAAUUAUGUUAGCAAUUGUUGCAUUUGAUGAUUAUGAAAUUUGGCAGAUAGUUGUCAAAACUGCAUUCCUGAAUGGAUUUCUAGAAGAAGAGUUGUGUAUGAUGUAAUCAGAAGGUUUUGUCGAUCCAAAGGGUGCUAAGAAAGUGUGCAAGCUCCAGCAAUCCAUUUAUGGACUGGAGCAAGCCUCUCGGAGUUGGAAUAAACGUUUUAAUAGUGUGAUCAAAGCAUAUGGUUUUAUACAGACUUUUGGAGAAGCCUCUAUUUACAAUAAAGUGAGUGGGAGCUCUGUAGCAUUUCUAAUAUUAUAUGUGGAUGACAUAUUAUUGAUUGGAAAUGAUAUAGAAUUUCUAGAUAGCCUAAAGGGAUACUUGAAUAAGAGUUUUUCAAUGAAAGACCUCGGUGAAGCUGCUUACAUAUUGGGCAUCAGGAUCUAUAGAGAUAGAUCAAGAUAGUUAAUAAGUUUUUUCAAUUAGUAUAUACCUUGAUAAGUUUUUUAAAGAGUUCAAAAUGGAUCAGUCAAAGAAGGAGUUCUUGUCUGUAUUAUAAGGUGUAAAGUUGAGUAAGACUCAAAGCCCGACCAUGGCAGAAGAUAGAAAGAGAAUGAAAGUCAUUCCCUAUGCCACAGUCAUAGGUUCUAUAAACUAUGGUGUGUUGUGUACCAGACCUACUAUGUGCCUUGCCAUGAGUUUGGCAAGGGGGUCCAAUAGUGAUCUAAGAGUAGAUAACUGGACAGCGGUCAAAAUUAUCCUUAGUGAGGACUAAGGAAAUGUUUCUCGGUGAUGGGGGUGAUAAAGAGUUCGUCGUAAAGAGUUACGUCGAUGCAAGCUUUUACAAUGAUCCAGAUGACUCUAAGUCUCAAUCUGGAUACAUAUUGAAAGUGGGAGCAAUUAGCUAGAGUAGCUCUAUGCAGAGCAUUGUAGACAUAUAAUAUUUGCAAAAUACAUACGGCUCUGAAUGUGACAGACCCAUUGACUAAAUUUCUCUCACAAGCAAAACAUGAUCACACCUUAGUACUCUUUGGAUGUUAAUCACAUAGCAAUGUGAACUAGAUUAUUGACUCUAGUAAACCCUUUGGUUGUUGGUCACAUGUCGAUGUGAACUAUAGGUCUUAAUCACAUACAGAUAUGAACUAUUGAUGUUAAAUCACAUGGCGAUGUGAACUAGAUUAUUGACUCUUCUGCAAGUGGGAGAUUGAAGGAAAUAUGCCCUAGAGGCAAUAAUAAAGUUAUUAUUUAUUUCCUUAUUUCAUGAAAAAUGGUUAUUAUUCAUGCUAGAAUUGUAUUAAUCGGAAACUUAGUACAUGUGUGAAUACAUAGACAAAACAUAGUGUCUCUAAUAUGCCUCUACUUGACUAGCUCGUUAAUGAAAGAUGGUUAUGUUUCCUAACCAUAGACAUGUGUUGUCAUUUGAUGAAGGAGAUCACAUCAUUAGGAGAAUGAUGUGAUGGAAAAGACCCAUCCGUUAGCUUAGCAUCAUGAUCGUUACAGUUUCAUUGCUACUGCUUUCUUCAUGACUUAUACAUCUUCCUCACACUAUGAGAUUAUGCAACUCCCGAAUACCGGAGGAACACUUUGUGUGCUACCAAACGCCACAAUGUAAAAGGGUGAUUAUAAAGGUGAUCUACAGGUGUCUCCGAAGGUGUUUGUUGGGUUGGCAUAGAUCAAGAUUAGGAUUUGUCACUCCGUGUUUCGGAGAGGUAUGUCUGGGCCCUUUCGGUAAUGCUCAUCACUAUAAGCCUUGCAAGCAAUGUGACUAAUGAGUUAGUUGCGGGAUGAAGUAUUACGGAAUGAGUAAAGAGACUUUCCGGUAACGAGAUUGAACUAGGUAUGAUGAUACCGACAAUCGAAUCUCGGGAAAGUAACAUACCAAUGAGAAAGGGAACAAAGUAUGUUAUUAUGCGGUUUGACCGAUAAAGAUCUUUGUAGAAUAUGUAGGAGACAAUAUGAGCAUCCAGGUUCCGUUAUUGGUUAUUAAUAAGAGACGUGUCUCGAUCAUGUCUACAUAGUUCUCGAACCCGUAGGGUCCUCACGCUUAACGUUUGAUGACGAUAUGUAUUAUGAGUUAUGUGUUCUGAUGACCGAAAAUUGUUCGGAGUCCCGGAUGAGAUCACGUACUUGACGAAGAGUCUCGAAAUGGUUGAGACAUAAAGAUUGAUACAUUGGAAGGAUAUAUUCGGACUUCGGGAAGUUUCCGAGUGAUUCAGGUAUUUUUCAGAGUACUCAGAGUUACGAGAAUUCACCGGGUGAAGUAAUGGGCCUUAUUGGGCCAUACAGGAAAUAGACGAGGCAGGCCAAAGGGAGGUGCCCCCCCCCAUGGGUCUGAAUUGGACUAGGGGAAGGGGGCAACGCCCCCCUUGCCCUUUCCUACUCCCUCUCUCCUUCCUUCUCUCCUACUCCUAAAAGGGAAAGGAAUCCUACUAGGACUUGGAAGUCCUAGUAGGACUCCAUACACUUGGCGUGCCCCUAGGGGGCCGGACUCUCUCCCUCUCUUCUUUGUAUACGGGGGCAGGGGGCAUCCCAAAGACACACAAGUUUCUCUUAACUAGGUGGUGCCCCCCUACACAGUUGCACACCUCGAUCAUACCAUCAUAGUGCUUAGGCAAAGCCCUACACCGAUAGCAUCAUCAUCACUGUCGCCACACCCUCGUGCUAACGGAACUCACCCUCGUACUCAACUGGAUUAAGAGCACAAGGGACGUCAUCGAGCUGAACGGGUGCUGAACGCGGAGGUGCCGUAUGUUCGGUACUUGGAUCAGUUGGAUCGAAAAGAUGUUCGACUACAUCAACCGCGUUAUUGAAACGCUUUUGCUUUCGGUCUACGAGGGUAUGUGGACAAACUCUCCCCUCUCCUUGCUAUGCAUCACAUAGAUAGAUCUUGCGUGAUUGUAGGAAUUUUUUUGAAAUUACCUCGUUCCGCAACACCCUCAUGCACGACCCAUUAAGCAAAAGGUCAGAAAGCAAGCUUUGGAAUGACAAGAGUUUAUCGUCGAGGAGAUCAGGAAGUUGGAGGCGGAAGGUUUGGUCAAGGGAGUUCUCCACCCGACGUGGUUGGCCAAUCCGGUCGUAGUACGUAAGGCAAAUGGGAAGUGGAGGCUAUGUAUCGACUAUACUGAUAUCAAUAAAGCCUGUCCAAAGGAUCCUUUCCCAUUGCUGCGUAUCGAUCAGAUAGUGGACUCCACUGCUGGGUGCGACUUGUAGUCGUCCUUGACGCUUACUCAGGGUAUCAUGAGAUCUUCAUGAUGAAGGAAGAUGAAGAGAAAACCGCGUUCAUCACCCCAUGUGGUACGUACUGUUUUGUAUGGAUGCCUUUCGGGUUGAAGAGCGCUGAUUCAACGUUUGCUCGAGCAGUACAAAUUGGUUUUGAGCCCCAGCUCCAUAGAAAUAUGGAAGCUUACAUGGUUGACAUAGUGGUCAAAUACAAAGACGGGGCUACACUCGUGCAGGACCUGGAAGAAACCUUUGCGAACUUGCGCAAGAUUGAAAGUGCAAUUAUCCCUAGGUGGUUUUGGCAAUUCAUAACAACAUAUAGCUCAUUGAGCUAAUGCUAUUCCAAGACUAUUAUUUCAGGAAAGCUCAAUGAAUGGCAUGGCAUGGAUGAUGAAAGUGGAUCCCUCAAAAUAUCAAGGACAAAGGAUUGGCUCACGCUCAAAAGCUCAAGCCUCUUCAUUUUACAUUUUAGUGAUCCAAGAUCACAUUGAGUCUAUAGGAAAAGCCAACACUAUCAAGGAGGUAUGAGGUGUUGCUUAAUGAGCCUCUUGCUUCAUGUGCUUAGUGAUAUGCUCCAAAUACCCUCAACUACUUUCUCACAUCCUCAUAUGACCUAAACCUAAAGUCAAAAUCGGUCACACCGAUUCUUUCUAUCUGGCACCACCGAAUUCAAAUGUCAUAGCCACUGCCACAAACCCUAGGCAAAUUGGUCUCACCGAUAGGGAUCUCAGUCUCAUCGAGAUGGGAUUGUAAUCUCUUUGUUUCCCUUCGUAAUGUUUCGGUCUAACCGAAGUGAGAGAUCGGUCCCACCGAGAUUGCAAUGUAAACUCUUUGUUUCCCUUUUGUAACAUUUCGGUCUCACCGAAAAGAGAGAAUCAGUCCCACCGAGGUUACCUGACCAACUCUCUGGUUAGCUAAUUACCAAAAUCGGUCUCACCGAGUUUGUGUAAUCGGUCUCACCGAGAUUACGUUAUGCCCUAACCCUAACCAUAUCGGUCCUACCGAGUUGCAUGUCAAUCCCACCGAAAAUCCUAACGGUCACUAGGUUUACUAAAUCGGUCUGACCAAGUUUGUUGAUUCGGUCCCACCGAGAUUGGUAAAUUGUGUGUAACGGUUAAAUUUUGUGUGGAGGCUAUAUAUAUCCCUCCACCUCCUCUUCAUUCGUGGAGAGAGCCAUCAGAACAAACCUACACUUCCAACUUACCAGUUCUGAGAGAGAACCACCUACUCAUGUGUUGAGGCCAAGAUAUUCCAUUCCACCCAUAUGAAUCUUGAUCUCUAGCCUUCCCCAAGUUUCUUUCCACUCAAAUCUCCUUUCCACCAGAUCCAAAUCCUAUGAGAGAGAGUUGAGUGUUGGGGAGACUAUCAUUUGAAGCACAAGAGCAAGGAGUUCAUCAUCAACGCACCAUUUGUUACUUCUUGGAGAGUGGUGUCUCCUAGAUUGGCUAGGUGUCACUUGGGAGCCUCCGAGAAGAUUGUGGAGUUGAACCAAGGAGUUUGUAAGGGCAAGGCGAUCGCCUACUUCGUGAAGAUCUACCGCUAGUGAGGAAAGUCCUUCGUGGGCGACGGCCAUGGUGGGAUAGACAAGGUUGCUUCUUCGUGGACCCUUCGUGGGUGGAGCCCUCCGUGGACUCGCGCAACCGUUACCCUUCAUGGGUUGAAGUCUCCAUCAACGUGGAAGUACGAUAGCACCACCUAUCGGAACCACGACAAAAACAUCUGUGUCUCCAAUUGCGUUUGAAUCCUCCAAACCCUUCCCAUUACUUUCUUGCAAGUUGCAUGCUUUAAUUUCCACUGCCUAUAUACUCUUUGCAUUCUUUCUUGAAUUAUGUGAUGAUUGCUUGACUUGUCCAAAGAUUGCUAAAAUCUGCCAAACUCUAAAACUGGGAAAAGGUUAAGUGUUUAAUUGGUCAAGUAGUCUAAUCACCCCCCUCUAGACAUACUUCAAGGUCCUACAAGUGGUAUCAGAGCUUUGGUCUCCAUUUUCUUUGAUUUCCAUAGCUUUUGGUGGUCAUAGCCUUGGUUUCACAACCUAGGAGAGUAUGGCGUCUAGCGAGGGAAAUUAUCACCAUAGAGGUCCUUACUUUGAUGGCACUAAUUUUUCUAGUUGGAAGCAUAAGAUGAAAAUGCAUAUUCUCGGACAUUAUCCCGCUGUUUGGGCUAUUGUUUGUAUUGGCUUGCAAGGUGAAUUCUUUGAUGGGAGAGAGCCGAACCGUGAAGCUAGUGCAGAUGAAUUGAAGAUGAUGCAAUACAACGCUCAAGCUUGUGAUAUCCUCUUCAAUGGUUUAUGCCCCAAAGAAUUCAACAAAAUCAGCCGUCUUGAGAAUGCAAAGGAAAUUUGGGACACUUUGAUUAUUAUGCAUGAAGGUACCGACUCCGUCAAGGAAUCCAAGUUGGAUGUGCUCCAAAGUCAGCUUGACAAGUUCAAAAUGAAGGAUGGUGAAGGUGUCGCUAAAAUGUACUCUAGGCUUGCUCUUAUCACAAAAGAGAUUGCCGGCUUAGGGAGUGAAGAGAUGACCGACAGAUUCAUCAUUAAGAAGAUCCUAAGAGCAUUGGACGGAAAAUAUGAUACCAUGUGCACAUUGAUUCAAAUGAUGCCCAAUUACAAGAAUCUCAAGCCAACGGAAGUCAUUGGUAGAAUUGUUGCUCAUGAGUCACUCAAGGAUAAGGAGGAACUUCACAACAAGUCAAGUGGUGCUUACAAAGCCUCAUGUGAAGCCCCCACAUCAUCAAGUGAGAAACAAACCUUCAAUGAAGAAUUGAGCUUAAUGGUGAAGAAUUUCAACAAAUUCUACAAGAGUAGAAGCAAAGAAAGAAGCUCUAAGUCAAGGUCCUACAAUGACAAGAGAUCUUCCAGUCGAGAGCGCAAUUGCUACAAUUGUGGGAGACCCAGACACUAUUCCAAUGAGUGUACGACACCCUACAAAAGAAGAGAAUAUUCUCCUAAAAGAAGAAGUAGAAGAGAAGAAUCACCGCCAAGAGAGGGGAGGAGUAGAGAUGAUCGUUAUGAAUGAAGAACCUGCCGGAGAAGCAAAGAUUCGGAAAGGAAGGACAAGUCAUCAAAGAGCUACACAAAACGAAGACAUCAAGCUCAUGUUGGCGAAUGGGUAUCCGGUUCCAACUCUCAACAUCACUCCGAGAGAAGCUAUCACUCCGACUCUGAACAUACUCAAGAUGAAGGUGUUUCCGGUCUAGCACUUGUGUCAACCAACUCCUACGACAUAUUUGACUCACCAAAUGAAGGAAUUGGAAGAUGCUUCAUGGCUAAAGGCCCUAAGGUAACUCAUCCCGAGUAUGUUGAUUUUAAUAGUGAUGAAGAUGACUUGCUAGGUGAUGAUGAUUUACUUAUUGACAACUCUAGUGAUGAAUACUAUGAUGAAACGUCAAUUAAUCAUGCUAAACAAGAUAAAACGAAUGACAAUGAUAAGGAGAAGAUUGAGCUUCUAACUAAAGAACUAAACACUCUUAAGUUAGCUCAUGAAACUAUCUUCGAAAAUCAUCGAGAACUUUUAAGGGCUCAUGAGAAGUUACGCUUUGAAAAGCUCAAUCUUGAGCAAGAGCAUGAGUUCUUAAAGGCAAUCAAUGAUGAUCUUCGCAAGAAAAGUUCUUCUUAUAUUGCCAAGCAUUUACUCUUAUCUACUUACGUGCCUCAAGUCAAGUCUAGUAACAAGAACAAGAAAGAUUCUUCCUCUAGUAGUAACAAUAACAAUGCUAAAUCCAAUAUUGUUGCUUUUAGUAGUUCUCUUGAUUCCACUAACGAUUCUCUUAGCCAAGUUACACUUGAGCAAGAAAAUAGCUUAUUGAAGGGAAUUAUAUAGAAAGGUGUAUAGAAGAGCCUUGCCGGGAGUAAGCAAUUCGAGGAAAUUUGUACGCAAGCAAGGAAGGCACCGGAAGAAUCAAGGUGUUGGUUUUGAACAAAAGUUCAAUGCCAAUGGAGUUGAGUGGGAAGAAGAUCAAUACCCCAAGAUGAAGUUUGUUCCUCAACAAGAGAAGUAUGAUCCUACUUCCCUCAAGGGGACACAAGCACAAGAUGAUCUUCCACCACAAGACCACAAGGAUAAAGGCAAGGACAAGCUUCAAGAGGAGAUUGAUGCAUUUGAAGAAGCACCUAAGGCCUUGGUCAAGUGGGUUCCCAAGACUACGUCAAGUUCUACUUUAUCAAGCACAACUACUACACCAAGGAUUCCCAUCAAGAUGAUGUGGAUUCCGAAGAAGAAGAACUAGAGAGUUCUUGAGGGUGACUCCACCAACAUUCUUCACUCAUAUCAUUAUGGCAAGGACAAGUGCAAUCAACUUCCACAUCUUGCACUAGUUCAAGGAGUCACAAACCCUCAUGUUAGUAAGGCAAGGGACAAGGUAACCUAAUGUUUUCAUGGACAUCAUAUUGUGUGUGCAUCACUCUAUGUCUAUGGAUAUUCUUGUUUGUUCCUUGUGGGACUAACCCGUGUAGGUAUUGAAAGUGCAACUCACUCCAAAGGAUUGCUCCAAAAGAUCUACAUCAACAUUGAGCAUCCACAUCUUCAACACCUACAUGAACUCAUCAUCGACAAAACCCAAGGUUAGUUCAUCCCUCUAAGGGGGGAUCUCACAUCUAGGGGGAGCUUAACUCCAAAGAAUUGAGUCAAAGCAACUCUAAUGGUGUGAACACAUCAAUGCAUUAUGUAAAAGUGGUAACCCCACUUGAGCUUAAACGAUGAGUAUGACCUAUGAUCAAAUGUUCUCAUUUGACUCCUAAGUCAAUAUACUCAUAUAUAGAUGACCUAGUCAUCGCCAAUUGUUUGAUAGAUGCUAGAAUUGGUUGUGCAUGCUUUGACACAUAUUUCAUUUGUCAUUUUAUUGUGUGAGCAUGUUGGUUGCAUAUUUUACUCAUUCGAGGACAUCCACUUGUUGUUUUGAUUGAUUGGCUUCUUUUUCUUUGGCCAAGUGGAUGGAGAAGAAUGCCUAAGAACCUUCUCUAGCUAUCUAUGCUUUUCUUGUCUCAAACUCUAUUCAUGCUACAUCACAAAGUUUGAUCAAGUCAGAUUCAAACCACUCUGUGUGAGGAGCACUCGGAGUCCUCGAUUCGUCAUAGACUUAAACUUCCAAAACUUCUUUGUGAUUUUCGGUCUGACCGGUUCCUCCAUUUCGGUCCAAACGAGAUCACUAAGUCGAUCUAGGUUUUCCAUCUCGGUGCAACCGAUUUGAACUUUUCGGUCACACCGAGUUGCUGUAACUAUUAACAGUUAUGCAUCUCGGUGCCACCGAGUUGUUCCACUCGGUCACACCGACAGUGUCGGGCUAUAUAUACUCACGGGAAAUUUUUUGGAAAACUUUCUCCGAAACUCCUCGCCCGUGCAUAGCUCGCUCUGCCUACUAGGUCUACGGAUCAUCGACUUCGUCACCAGCCGCCUCCUGUCGCUGGUAUCUGCCGUCGUCAACGGAAUUCUUCUCCGCCGUUACCGCCAUAGCGAGUUCUUCACCAAGCUAGGGUAUGAACUCGAUCACAGUGCUAUCCUCGUCUGAUUCUCAGCACAAUGUGUUCGUAAUGCAUCUUGCCACGAUUGAAACACUCCUAUCCAGUCAAUAUGAUCCUUAGAAUAGAUGUGAUUCGAAAAUUUAGGGUUAGGUUUCCACCGAAACCAUCUCGGACCCACCGAGUUGAAAAACUUGGUCCCACCGAUUUGGCUAACGCCAUUGCACUUGUAAGUCUCGGUCUGACCAAGAAUUACAAAUCGGUGUGACCGAUUUUAGAACUUUGUGAAACCCUAGCAGUCUCGGUGCCACCGAACUGUGACUCGGUCUGACCGAGUUCACUAGUUUAGGUUCCAAAACUGCUUCGGCAUCACCGAGUUUGAAAAUCGGUAGAUCCGAAAUGCUUUCUGUGGAAAACUAAAACUAAGUUUUUUGAAUCAUUCUUUUGCAAAAAUCUCUGCAUUUUGUGAUGCUCAUCCACUCUAUCUCAUCUAUAACUAUUCACAGGGUCAGCAGUCAGUGUGAGCAGCAUGUUAGACCAAAGUGAUAGUCAGAACAAGUCAGUAGAGCAGAUUCACAUGAGUGAGGGCACUAGUCCCUCAAGUUCUUCAGAUGAAGGCAGCAGAAGUACUCCUAGCAAUUUGCCCGAAGCAGCCACAAGAACAAGAAGGAAGAGAACCUCAGACUCAGAGGAUGAGGACUAUGUGGCAGCUGAAGAUGAGGCUACUUCCAAGAAGGUAGUGCUCAAGAGGGAGUACAGCUCAACUGCAGUAAAGCCAGGCAUGAAGAUCAAAAGGCCUGCAGGAAGACAACCAAUGUCCAAAGCCAGAGGAUCAACACAAGUACCUGAAAAGCCUGAUCCCAAAGUGCCAGCUGCAGAAGGAAAGAAAAGGAAGGAAAGGGUCAAGAAGACCAUGGCCAGAGUUGUUGGUCAACCUUCCAUGAUGGAAGAGGGAGAAGAGGUUGCUGAACCAGCACCCAAGGCACAAAAGCUGAUGGGUGAUGCUAUAAAGUCAGGGGCUACAACAUCAAAGCCCAAAGAAGCACCCAAAGCUGCCCCCAAGCCCAAGAUUGCACCAAAGAGAAAUACCAGGAGUAUUCCAGCAGCUGAGAAGAACAAGGCCCCAAUGCCUGAAGUUGCUGCUGAGGAAGAUGAAGAAGGGAAGAUCUUAAGGAAGCUCAAACCCAAGAUUCCAGACCACAACGAUGCUCAUCCAGUGGUUGAAAAUAUGAAGCUUAGGAAGGAUGCAGGGCUCAGGCAGUGGAGAUUGACAGAUCCAUAUGCCACCAGGAGAAGGAUUGUUGUAGAUUACAGGUUCCAUACCAAGGAGCAGCAGGACUUCUAUGAGACAAUCUUGUUGGACAAGAAGCCCAUAGUGUGUGAUAUGAGGUGGGUCGGCUGGACCUACAUGAAGGAGAAUGAGGAACACUAUCCUGGAGUGCAAGACAGUUUUGUUGCUUGUGGAGUUGCAGAUUUUAUUGGGCAGAAGCUCACCAACUGGAAUGAUGAACUCAUUAUGCAAUUCUACUCCACAGCACAUUUCUAUCCAGAUGGGAGGAUAGUUUGGAUGUCUGAAGAAACAAGAUACCAGUCAACCAUUGAGGAAUGGGCAAAUCUGAUCAAUGCCCCAAAGGAGAGUGAAGAUGACUUGGACAUUUAUGCCAAGAAGAAAAUGGAUCAUAACUCAAUGUCACAUAUGUACAAGGAGAUCCGUGAUGAAGCACUUGAGAUUUUCAAGUUUGGAUCAGUUCAUUUUCUUCUGUCAGGGCUGCCUACGAUCAACUGGAUCUUAAGGGACACUCUUUUGCCCAAUCAGGUGACCACUACAUGAUUAGAGGGCAUGCUAUUAACUUGCUACAUAUAUUUGAUGUGCCACAGAAAUUCAAGGUCAUGAGCCUGAUGGUUGAACCUAUCAAGAGGACAGCAGCAGACCAAAAGAGGAGUUGUGGAUAUGCCCCACAAAUUCAGGAGUUGAUUAACUCAAAGAUGGGCACAGGAAAAUAUCAGUUGGAUAAAGAACAUUUUGCUCUCUAUCGAGACUUUGAGGACAAUCAAGUUGUCAUGAAUGAGAAUGAACCAUCAUCAGUGCAAGCUCAAGAGAAGAAGGAGAAAGCAAGGAAAGAGAAGGCUGCCAAGAUGCCAACUCAAGAGGAGGCAUCUGAGUACUUUUUGAAGAACAAGCAGGAGCAGCUUGGUUACUUGAUAGCAUCAACACUGAGGAUUGAGAAGGGGUUGGCCACCCUAACUCAAAACCAGGAGAGCCUGGAAAGAAUCAUGGAACAAACAAUUAUAUGAUCUAGAUGUCAAAGUAAUUGAAAUUCAGUCAGUUGUGGAACAGCUUCAGGAUGACAUGCAGGAGAGGAAGGGCAAGACAACCACUGAUGCAUUUGCCAGAGUGCCUAGAGCUCAGAGGUCAGCUGCAGUGCUUGUGAUUGACACAAGAGCCACAUCAUGUGCACCAGCUACAGCUCCUACAGCUCCAGUGCAACCAGCUCUAGCACCAACUCCUCCAGCUCCUUCGACAUCUACUGAAGUCUUCGUCCAAGGAGCCAUCUCUACACCACCAACUGAAGACCAAGCCUGAGAGUCGAUAUAGUCCUAUGCAUUUUCUAUGAACUUUUUGGUAACUUGUUGCCAAAGGGGGAGAAAAAUGUAUAGAUCAUAGGCUUCGAGAGAGAGAGUGUUGCUUUUGUUCUCUCUUGUCUUCUUGGUUUAAACUUUGUUUGCUUUUGAUUGCUUGAGAUACUAUGCUAUUACCUGUGAGACAUUGAUGAUCAUGUGUUUGAUCAUAAGCUACACUUAUGCAUGUUUGAUGAUAUUAUCUUACCUAUCCUUAUAUGAUCAUUCACUUUUCUUGGUGAUGAGUGCAUGUAUUCAAUCUUUAUUAUUUUGAGCGCUCCACCAAGAUGUAUGUGACAUGGAAGAGUAACCCAUGAGCCUAAUUCCUUGUGCAUUUGCAGUCCAAAGCAAAUCUUAAAAUAUGCACAAAUUUAGGGGGAGCUCUUGCUUAUCACAUACUUCUCAAAGCGACGAUGUUUUUUCAAUCUUAUUAUUAUUUGUCGAAGCUUUGAUCUAUAUGUUGUCAUCAAUUACCAAAAAGGGCGAGAUUGAAAGUGCAACUAUACCUAGGUGGUUUUGGCAAUUCAUAACAACAUAUAGCUCAUUGAGCUAAUGCUAUUUCAAGACUAUUAUUUCAGGAAAGCUCAAUGAAUGGCAUGGCAUGGAUGAUGAAAGUGGAUCCCUCAAAAUAUCAAGGACAAAGGAUUGGCUCAGGCUCAAAAGCUCAAGACUCUUCAUUUUACAUUUCAGUGAUCCAAGAUCACAUUGAGUCUAUAGGAAAAGCCAAUACUAUCAAGGAGGGAUGAGGUGUUGCUUAAUGAGCCUCUUGCUUCAUGUGCUUAGUGAUAUGCUCCAAAUACCCUCAACUACUUUCUCACAUCCUCAUAUGACCUAAACCUAAAGUCAAAAUCGGUCACACCGAUUCUUUCUAUCCGGCGCCACCGAGUUCAAAUGUCAUACCCACUGCCACAAACCCUAGGGCAAAUCGGUCUCACCGAUAGGGAUCUCGGUCUCACUGAGAUGGGAUUGUAAUCUCUUUGUUUCCCUUUGUUACGUUUCGGUCUAACCGAAGUGAGCGAUCGGUCCCACCGAGAUUGCAAUGUAAACUCUCUGUUUCCCUUUCGUAAGAUUUCGGUCUCACCGAAAAGAGCGAAUCGGUCCCACCGAGGUUACCUGACCAACUCUCUGGUUAGCUAAUUACCAAAAUCGGUCUCACCGAGUUUGUGUAAUCGGUCUCACCGAGAUUACGUUAUGCCCUAACCCUAACCAUAUCGGUCCUACCGAGUUGCAUGUCAGUCCCACCGAAAAUCCUAACGGUCACUAGGUUUACUAAAUCGGUCUGACCGAGUUUGUUGAUUCGGUCCCACCGAGAUUGAUAAAUUGUGUGUAAUGGUUAGAUUCUGUGUGGAGGCUAUAUAUAUAUCUCUCCACCUCCUCUUCAUUCGUGGAGAGAGCCAUCAGAACAAACCUACACUUCCAACUUACUAGUUUUGAGAGAGAACCACCUACUCAUGUGUUGAGGCCAAGAUAUUCCAUUCCUACCAUAUGAAUCUUGAUCUCUAGCCUUCCCCAAGUUGCUUUCCACUCAAAUCUUCUUUCCACCAGAUCCAAAUCCUAUGAGAGAGAGUUGAGUGUUGGGGAGACUAUCAUUUGAAGCACAAGAGCAAGGAGUUCAUCAUCAACGCACCAUUUGUUACUUCUUGGAGAGUGGUGUCUCCUAGAUUGGCUAGGUGUCACUUGGGAGCCUCCGAGAAGAUUGUGGAGUUGAACCAAGGAGUUUGUAAGGGCAAGGAGAUCGCCUACUUCGUGAAGAUCUACCGCUAGUGAGGCAAGUCCUUCGUGGGCGACGGCCAUGGUGGGGUAGACAAGGUUGCUUCUUCGUGGACCCUUCAUGGGUGGAGCCCUCCGUGGACUUGCGCAACUGUUACCCUUUGUGGGUUGAAGUCUCCAUCAACGUGGAUGUACGAUAGCACCACCUAUCGGAACCACGACAAAAACCUCCGUGUCUCCAAUUGCGUUUGAAUCCUCGAAACCCUUCCCUUUACUUUCUUGCAAGUUGCAUGCUUUAAUUUCCGCUGCCUAUAUACUCUUUGCAUGCUUGCUUGAAUUGUGUGAUGAUUGCUUGACUUGUCCAAAGAUUGCUAAAAUCUGCCAAACUCUAAAACUGGGAAAAGGUUAAGUUUUUAAUUGGUCAAGUAGUCUAAUCACCCCCCCCCCCUCUAGACAUACUUCAAGGUCCUACAAAGAUCAACCUUAAGAUCAACCCAGAGAAGUGCGUGUUUGGCGUUCCGUCCAGCAAGCUUCUUGGUUUCUUUGUGUCUCAACGCGGGAUCGAAGCAAAUCCCGACAAAAUCAAAGCAAUUGAGCAAAUUGAGGCGCCAAGACAGGUCAAAGAUGUCCGGAGGCUUGCCGGCUGCGUCGCCGCCCUAAGCAGGUUCAUCUCUAAAUCUGUUGAGCGUGCCCUCCCCUUUUUCAAGAUUUUGAAAAAGGCGGGUCCAAUGAAAUGGACCCUGGAGGCAGAGGACGCACUGCAAGAUUUGAAGAGAUACCUCUCCUUUACGCCAAUACUGGUCGCACCCAAGCCACAAGAGUUGUUGCUGCUAUACCUGGUGGCGAAAAAUCAAGUGGUCAGUGCUGCGCUAGUGGCAUAGAGGGAAGUUGAGGAAGAGGUGACGACAGCGGCAAGGCCCUUAGGAGAAGAGCUGGGCCCGGCAGGAUCCGAUUCCGGUGAGGGCGAGCACCCGAUAGGGUCCGAUCCUGGCAAGGGAGAGCCCCCGGCAGGAUCCGAUCCCGGCAAAACAAUGUCUGUGCAAACAAGCGAGGUGAAGCAGAAGAAGAAGAAGGUGGAACACCCGGUCUACUUUGUCAGCUCCCUUUUGCAGGGGGCUAGGUCAAGGUAUUCUGGGAUGAAGAAGUUGCUUUUCGGCCUCCUUAUGGCCUCAAGGAAGCUGCAUCAUUAUUUUCAAGCACACGAGAUCACCGUUGUCACUCGCCUCCUGUUGCAACGGAUUUUGCAUAAUCCAGAUGCGACGGGGAGGAUUGUGGAGUGGGCAGUGGAGCUGUCAAGCUUUGGGCUCAGAUUUGGAAGUACCUUGACGAUCAAGAGCAGAGCAUUGGCAAAAUUCAUAGCAGAAUGGACAUCCAUGCCCAACAAAGAAGUUCAAGAAACCACCCUUCCCGGCAAAGAGGCAAGUACUCAUUGGAUUAUGUACUUUGAUGGGGCCUUCUUGUUACAAGGCGCAGGUGCCGGCGUGUUGCUUGUCGCGCCCACCGGAGAAUGCCUCAAGUAUGUGAUCCAGAUGCACUUCCCCUGGGAGAGGUCGACAAACAACACCGCUAAAUACGAGGGGUGCUCGCUGGUCUCAGGAUCGCGGCUAACCUUGGGAUUAGGAAGCUUAUUAUCAAAGGAGAUUCACAACUUGUUGUCAGGCAAGUCAACAAGGAUUAUCAGAGCCCGCUGAUGGAGGCUUACAUGGAUGAAGUGAGGAAGUUGGAAGAGCGCUUUGACGGUCUAGAAGCAGAGCAUGUUCCUCGAGCAGAGAACAACAUUGUCGAUGAACUGUCGAAGCAUGCUGCCCUCAAACUACCUGUGGAACCAGGUACCUUUGUGCUUCAAUUAACUCAGCCAUCCGUCGAGCCAUCAGCAGAACAGAACAAGCGAAGGAAAGCGGGGCCCGGCAAGUACUUUCCCGCAGAGCUCCCAGGAGCCGCCGGCAAGGAAGUUGCCGGGUAACCCAAGCUUGUCGAGGAGCAGUAGCCACCGGCAGGACCCCAGGCCCUUGCCAUUGAGGCGGCUGCCCCUGCAGCAGAAAACAUGCCUUUAGCCCUUGCCGUCGAGCCCCAGGCUCCGGCAUGGGCACAACAUACAGUCUGUUUCCUCCAAACGGGAGAGCUCCCUGAGGAGCAGGAAGAAGAAAAAAAGAGUAGCCCUUCGGUCCAGCAUGUACCAAUUUGUGGAUGGUUCUCUUUAUAGAAGAAGGCAGAACGUGUGAAAUUGAAGUGUAUUCCUCAGGAGGACGGACUGGAGUUGUUGGAAGAGAUACACGGAGGCAUAUGUGGCUCCCACAUAGGGUCAAGAGCCCUUGCCGGCAAAGCAUUCCGGCAAGGCUUUUUCUGGCCCACUGCCCUCCAGGAUGCAACGGCACUAGUAACCAAGUGUGAAGAGUGCUAGUUUCAUUCAAAGAAGCUUCAUCAACUAGCUCAAGCCUUCAAACAAUCCCUCUCUCCUAGCCAUUUUCAGUCUAGGGGAUCGACAUACUGGGCCCCUUUCCCCGCGCUGUCGGGGGCUUUGAGUAGUUGUAUGUCGUGAUUGACAAAUUCAUAAAGUGGCCGGAAGUGGAGCCAGUGAGGAAGGUGAAAGUGCAGUCAGCCGUUAAGUUCUUCAAGGAACUUGUUUGCCAUUUUGGGGUGCCAGACAGAGUCAUCACGGACAACGACACACAGUUCAUAAGCCGCACCUUCAUACAGUAUAUCCAGGACCUUGGCAGCAAAGUUUGCUUUGCUUCUGUUGCUCACCCAAGGAGCAAUGGCCAAGCAGAAAGGGCAAAUGCUGAAGUGUUGCGAGGCCUCAAAACAAGGACUUUCGACAAGCUGCGCAAGUGUGUAAGGCGCUGGAUUGAUGAGUUGCUAACGGUUCUUUGGUCAAUCAGAACGACACCAAAUCGAGCCACUGGCCAGACACCCUUUGCCAUGGUCUACGGGGCAGAAACAGUUCUCCCCAUUGAACUCAUAUACGGGUCACCUCGAGUGCUCGCUUAUGAUGAGCUUGAGCAAGAGCAGUUGCGCCAAGAUGAUGCAACGCUCCUUGAGGAAGAUCGUCUUCGAGUUGUUAUGUGAGCCGCUCGCUACCGGCAAGCCUUGCGCCGCUAUCAUAGCCGUCAGGUUCACGCCCGAAUCCUUGAGGAAGGCGACCUUGUUCUUCGGUGCGUUUAGUCCACCAAGAAUUCAAACAAGUUGACACCGAAGUGGGAAGGCCCCUAUCGGGUAAUAUGAGUCAUCAGGCCCCGCGCAGUCCGCCUGGAGAUCAAAGAUGGCAUUCCAGUGAGAAACUCCUGGAACAACGAACAUCUUUGCAAGUUUUACCCAUAGGGCACGGUUGUACUAGCCUUGCCGGCAAGGCAUGUAAUGCUAUGUACAGAGCCAGGCGCAGACCCUGCGCGUAGCUAGAUAGUUUUUAGCAUGUACGAUUUCCUGCUAGUUUCCAUUUAUAUAUAUAUAUAUAUAUAUAUAUAUAUAUAUAUAUAUAUAUACAUCUGGGCUAUUCUGUUACGCGUAACAGAAUAUUAUUCUGUUACCCUACUUGCACUGAUGAAUUCAAGCGGUUGAACUGAUGAAAAUCGAGCGGUUGAACUGAUGCUUUCUGUUGUUGUUAAAAAUUGUCUUCUUUAGUUCAAUUUCUUUUGCAAUUUUUUUUGUCGAAACGGGGCGUGUAAUAUAUCGUUGGAAAGCUCUUGACAUCCACAUUACAAUCUUAUAAUUUGUUUAUGCAAAAAAAUUAUGAUUUAAGAGCAGUUUUGAAAAAACCGUUUUUUUCAAAACCGAAAACACGAAUCGUAUUUUGGACUUAAUUUUCAAAUGGCUUGUCGGAAUUGAGCAAAUGAGAUGGCGUUGGAAAUCCUGUGAAAAUCCGCAUCUUCCAUAUAUGUACUAUUUUUUUCAAAUUCUAUAUGAUUUAAAACUAAUUUGAAAAAUGGUGAAAUUCUGGGAGAAAUGUUUUUUCACUGUUUUUUCCAAACGGUUUGUCGGAUUGACGCAAAUGAUACGGCAUUGGAAAUCUAUGGAAAAUGCGCAACUUUUGCGUAUAGAAAGUUUUUUCUAAUUCCAUACGGUUUAAAUAUGAAUUCAAAUACGGUUAAAAUUGGUUUUGAACGCGAUUUUUUUAAAAAGUUUAUCGAAAUGGGGCAGAUAAUAUACCAUUCGAUAGCUAUCGAAAAUGCGAAACUUAGUCAUGUUGGUCAUUUUCUCUACUUCGCAACCGUUUAAGAGUAAUUUGGAAUACGGCAUGAUGGAUCCUGCUGUUUUCUCGUCUGAAAAACAGAGUAGUCGACUGAUAUUUGUGUAUGUUUGUACUGAGCUAUUUUUUUAGAGUAAUUUUAAAUGGUUCUGAAAAAGGGUACUUGUACUGAUGUUUGCAUGGGUUUGUACUUAGCGUGUUUUCACUAACUAGACUUUGCUCUGUUUUGCUCGUAAGUUUUCAACGGUUUAUUGUAUCGUCGCCCCUGUACUUGCAUGGUUUAUAUCAUCGAACUGAAUGAUAUUUUUUCCAAAAAUAAAAUGUUUUUUAUUCUUGUUUGAACUAAACUUUUUUUACAAUGAUAGUCCUAGACUUCUCUUAUUUGACGACUUGUACUUUUCUCAUUUGAAUUGCAUGGUUUUUUUUUUUGCUUGAACUUUUACAAGUUGAAUUUCUGUCAUUUCUUUUAUUCCGAACGGACCAUCAUUUUUGACUUGUACUGAUCAAUAUUUUUAAUUCAACCAUUUUUCUAUCUAGAACGGACGAAUAUAUGUUCGAGAAAAAGAAUACUUGAACGGAUGUAUGCAUGGUUUUGUACUGAGCGUGUUUUCACAUACUGAGCGUAUUCUGGACUUGUCUCUUUUUGCAACUUGAACUUUUUCUUGUUGAUAUUUUUUUAUGUUUCAUAAUGUUCUCUUUUAUUCCGGACCUCUCUUUUUCAUGGGUCCGACCUUUCCGCUUUCUUAACUUUGAACUUUCUGGAUUCCUUGUACCCAAACCUCCUCAAUUCUUCUGUAAUGUAUCUCAUUUCUUUAUUUUCUAAUUUUUCUAAAAGGGUUUUUGUAACCAUGAAAUUAUUUAUCCGUGAACUUAUGGAUUUUUUUGCCAUGAACUUACCAACAUUUAUUCUGCCAAAUACACACACUUUCCUGCCAACAUUUUUAAAACGCUUCAGCUCACGUAGGCAUAACAUCAAACAGGCAACGGCGAAAAAUAAAAACUGGAAGAAAUCAGUUUUUAGCUAUUUACUGUAUAAGUAUAUCAUCCAACGUGUACUCGGUGUCAACUUGCAUAACAUGACACAGAGCAAUAGCAUCAUCAUACCAUUAGCAAUAGAUAGCAACUCAAUACAACAGCAGAACACACAAUAUAUCUUUUUCUACAUACAAUGCCAUGAUUUAUUAUACAUAAUUGUUGGCAAGUACAUGUCAAGCGAAACAAUUUUUCAACAGAAAUGACUUCUUUUGAGUGGUGCAUGUCAAAACAAUGAUAUUUUAUUUUCUUGAUCCUCCAAAUUUGAGCGAAGAGAACGUAACAAGAGAAGUGAAGCAAUGCCACCACCUAGUACCUGCAUUUAGUACACUUCUAUCUGAGAUCGUAGCUUAAGGCAGUGAGGUUGCAAGUUCAAACACAUGCCUGAAUUGAACUCAAAUAAGAAACUGAAAUCCAACUACAAUAAGAAUUGAACUGAAUGAAAUUUAUAAAUUGAACCAAACUGAAAGAAGAAAUUGGACAUCAUAUGUACAACAAGAAAUAAACUUGAGCAGUAUCAGCUACUAAACAAAAAGAUUGCUUUACUAAACCUAGAGAUUUUAUAUUGGUGAACUUUUUCUUCCUACAGAACCGUAUAUCAAAUACAUGUACUGUUCGCUAGGUUGUAGCAACAUGAUAAUUAGUAGCAGUACUACUCUAGGUGGCAAAGUAGUAGCGCCACAAAGGAAGGCCACCAUCAAUAGUGCGUACUACCGCGAAACCUAAAGUAUGCGUUGGCCAUGCUUGCUUUACAUAGUACUACAAGCUUUUUAUUAAAAAAUGUACUACAAGAUUUGUGAACAUGAGGUCGUAGAGAAGUUGUACUGAGAGUUUGGAUUUGAGCGGCCGGACAAGGAUGCAGCACACACAAACACACACCACCAGAUAAGUUUCUGGGGUUCUUAAUGAGCUAAUGAUAGAAAACAUGUUGAACUGAAAUUUGGACUUCCAGGACUAUCGAAUGUUUUGGGUUCUUUUAUGAACCUUUUUGUUAUUUUUUUUCUUAACUAAAAACCAAAAUUACAAUCACAAUACACACAUGUACUACACAACAAUGUGCGUUUGUACUGUCCAUGUAAACGAAUCAACCAAAAACAACUAAUUUAUGGAGGAAACCAUGUUUAUGUUGCUGAGUACACCAUGUGAUGUAACUACAAACUCCUUUUCUCUCUGAAAAAAGCAUGAUUCACAAAUGACCUACAUUUCUAGCAUCGGUACAUACUUGUCAUGAACUGAUAGAAUUACUCAAGUAGACCAAAUUCGAACUAGAUUAGAAGAAAUUCCAUAGAGCAUCAUUUCUAGCAUCCGUACAUACUUGUCCUUUUACGGACUGAUGGUAGAUAUAGAUGGCGAACUGCUGUAACACAUGUAUUUAAGGUGAACUUAUAUUUUUCAUGCACCUUCCCAUUUUUCAGAUCAUACUAUAUUCCAAAGCCAGCUGUAACACAACUCAGUUAUUUUGCAUGAACUUUUUUAAGGAAAAGCUAGAAAUAUUUACUCAAAGUUCAGUAAAAUAUUAAGGGAAAUAAAUUGUAGUGCCAAUAGCAAAUCCUCAAGGGAGUUUAUAUUUGAACUAGCUACAGUUUAUUUUUUGAACUUACCUGGCAGUAAUACAUGAAGUCUAGCAGCCAAUACAAGUACCAUGCGACAAUCUGUAACAAAAAAAAAGAUGUAGGUUAAAACAAAAGUUGAAAUAGCAGACAAACUCGAAGAAGCUAGCAUCAACGAUCUUCUAACUGAAGCACCAUAGGUUCCCAAUUUAAUACCACUACAGAGUACUACAAUAAUUCUGUCAAAAUUAAGUACACAAAGAACAUCCACAUCAAUCCAUCACAGGAUCAUCCAUUUUACAUUCCAUCCACAAAUAUGCAUGGCAAGUUUCAGAGUUGGAAGCUCUCUAAAUUAAGCCAUCUAAAAACUAAGUGAUACAUAUAUGCAGGAACAAAACUAGCUCUAAAUGAGCAAGAACAGAGUAUCAAGAAGAUUCAUCAAAUUCAUACCAAAAAUGCUGAAGAAUGGAGAAAGUUGAGCUGGAUCAGGAGGUGAAACACGGGUGGCCUGCACGCGGCUCUUUGAGUGACCGGCGUCGGAGCAAGAAGUUGGACUGAUGAUCGGGAGGGAAGGCUGGGCUGGCUGCUGGAGUAAGCCAACAAACAUGUACUGCUGCUCGCGACGAACUCGACCUCCCUAAUGCCAUGGGGUUGGACUGAACACAUCUCGACUGUGCUACGGAGAUCUACCCUACUAAUCAACAUAUGCAAGUCUGUACAUACAAAAUUGGUUGAAUAUGAUGAACAUAACAAAAUGGAUGCUAUUUUUCAUAUUUGAAUUUCUACUAAUUAGACUUGCGAAGGGGAAGUAGAUGAACUGAAAAGCAGGAACUAUUGCAAAUUUUCUAUACAAUGAACUACCAUACAAUAUAAAACUGAUUUUUUUUAACACACACACUGCACUGAUUCAGCUUUCCUUUUAUGAACUGAUGAUAAAAUACAUGCAGGGCUGCUACACAAGCAGCAAAUCUAUGAAUACAUGACCUUUUUUGGCUAGCAAUCUAACAAGUGUUAUAGCAAAGCAGGAAACAAGCACACUUUUUAAACUACUCAUGAAUACGCAUCAAGCUAUAAGUACAAACUGCUUCUCAUUCACUAAAACGUGAGCUAAUUUUCAAUAGAGAUUCACAAAAACGGGUGAUAGCAGUGAACCUGUGACGAAGAAUCGAACUGAAAAAGAAAUUUUUUGGAGGUAGAAUACGACGUCGGAGAUCACGUGGACCGGCUACACCUCCUCAUUUGGACUGAUAGCUUUGGGAAGUGGAGUUGAUGGAGGCGGAGAUCACAAGCGGUGCCGGGAUUUGGCCGCUGCAGGGAAUCCAUCAGCGAGCAUGCAUCACAAAAGCAAAUGUUCAAAGAAAAACGAGACGGCGUUCUCACUUUGUGGAUGAUCAACGGGUGCAGCGCUUGGUGAAGAUGUUGGUCGCAUUUCGACUUAGACUGCAGCCAGAGCUCGACUUGGACAUCUGAUGAUGAUCUUUAUGCUGCUGAUUAAUUGGUCUGAUGGUACAUGUGCAUGCCAAUAGAUAAGCGAGCAUGCUGCUAUGAAGUUAACCUAUUUUUAUAAAUUUAUUAUUCAGAUUCAGUAUAUCCAUUACCUAUAUGCAGAAUCAACAUUGUCCAUGGUUCAGACUACUACUAUUUUCUUGAGAAAAUGCAAAAACCUUAUGUUUCAAUAGUAAUGCAUAGCGGCUCCCUUAUCAAUUGUUCAGGUACCGUUUAGCAAUUAAAAAUCGAGGAGUUGCAUGCCCAGCAAUUCAGAACUAAGAUCACCAAAUUUUUUGGGCCAUAGCCCAAGUCUGAUUGCACGAAAAAAUCUCAUCUGAACGUGCAAGGGAUGAAGGGAGCACAAGGUGCAGUACUAUACAGAAGAAAUGACUCUGAGACAAACUACUAGAUCUGAUUUUUUUGCAAAGAAGUCAUACCAUUUCAGCAGUCUUGCUGGAUGAGCUACGCGAGAGAUCAAGUUGAGCAACAGCAAGUUCUAGCAAGUUCGACUUGGUGAAGAUGGUGCAGCGGCAAGUUCGACUCGGUGCCACAACUUUGCUGUUCUCGAACUGUGCAGCGACUGGAUGUGCUUACCUGGCUGGAUGUGCCGGACAAGCUUAUCUACUAGAACUGCAGGAAGCUCGAGCCUCUUUCGGCCCUGGGAUGGCUCCCAUGCCUGGGGUAACACCGGUGGAUCGGGGUGCAAGGAGAGGAGUAGCGCCGGAGUCCAGGUUGUAGCAGGCUAUGCUCGCCGAAGCCCGGCCAGAUCCGUGCGCUGGGAGCACUCGUGGCAGGAUCUGCGCCUGGAGUAGCUCGGGGAGGGUGCUAGCCCUGGAUUCACCGGGGCGGGCUGGCCGGCGUCGCCGGAGGGAGAAGGGUGUUGCGGGGGAAGGGAGACGGGCGACGUGGGGAGAAAGGCGGCGGACGGCGCGCGGGAGGAAAGCGGCAGCCGACGCGCGAGAUGUAGGCGAGGACCGGCGUGGGGCACGAUGGUGGCGCACGCGAAGGAGGCGGCGGCAGGCGCGCGGGAGGGAGGCGGAGACCGGCGCGGAGGAUGGCGGCGGUGCGCGGGAGGGGCUUGACGGCCGGCGCGAGGGAGGAAGUUGGCGGCCGGUCCGAGGGAUGGAGGCGAGGAGUGGGUUGGGGCCAGUUGCGGGAGGCAGGGGCGGGGCACGGGUGGAUCCGUUGGCGGCCAGUCACGGCAUCGCGGGCUCCCUCGCUCCGGCUGACACUGUCACUCGCUCGCCCGCGACGACUGCCUCCCGCGCCUNNNNNNNNNNNNNNNNNNNNNNNNNNNNNNNNNNNNNNNNNNNNNNNNNNNNNNNNNNNNNNNNNNNNNNNNNNNNNNNNNNNNNNNNNNNNNNNNNNNNNNNNNNNNNNNNNNNNNNNNNNNNNNNNNNNNNNNNNNNNNNNNNNNNNNNNNNNNNNNNNNNNNNNNNNNNNNNNNNNNNNNNNNNNNNNNNNNNNNNNNNNNNNNNNNNNNNNNNNNNNNNNNNNNNNNNNNNNNNNNNNNNNNNNNNNNNNNNNNNNNNNNNNNNNNNNNNNNNNNNNNNNNNNNNNNNNNNNNNNNNNNNNNNNNNNNNNNNNNNNNNNNNNNNNNNNNNNNNNNNNNNNNNNNNNNNNNNNNNNNNNNNNNNNNNNNNNNNNNNNNNNNNNNNNNNNNNNNNNNNNNNNNNNNNNNNNNNNNNNNNNNNNNNNNNNNNNNNNNNNUGCUGCCUUGAAUUCUAACAGGUGUUAAGAAACCACCAAGGCUCCAUGCCCCUGUCCUCCCUUCCUCCCGGCCGCAGUAACGACGCCCCGACAAGAAAUUGAGAAGAUUGUGUGGCGUGGCGUCCCCGUCAACAACUUAAUCAGAUAAAGUUCCUCCCGUGCCCAUUCAUGUUUGUAACUUGCGAUUUGCGCAUUAGAAAACCUCGUCACUCUGUCUAGACUGGGGUGCUCCCAUCCCCGACUCGAACGUUGCUUCGGUCGGGGUUGUUGCAGUAACCUUGGGCCUAAGAAGAGUUUGGCAGGGGGCUGGACCCUGCGCCUGUAAACCGGCAGAUGUGAUUCUUCGUCAGACACAGGAGCGCCGACAAGGUGGCUUACCGGGGAAACUCAUUUAUUUUCAUUAAAGGGGCACUUUGCCUCUGCACGAACGUAUACAUGCAUGAGUUCCCGGCGAAAUCUCAUCUUUUUCAUUGAUAUGCUGAUGCAAAUGCAUAUAUUACAUAACAUGAGCAUGGGCUCGGUACAGUACAUUUCCUAGAAAGAUAAGAUUUGGCAAAUGCCUACGUAUUUGAAAAAAAGAUAAGUGUCCCAUAAUCCCCGUUCUUGCCCCAUUCCUCCCCAGGCACGUCAGGCUACACAAGGUGGCGGGCAUGGGGAACUGGGCGAUGGAGAGCUUGACCAAGAAGCCCGCCAACCACCGUCGCCAGGGAGAGCAGGACAAGGCCCCCGGCAAGGCGUGUUGCCGGGGGAGGGAGCGGGCCAGACGAUGGUGCAGCCACUGGCGGUCAGCCGGAGUCAGAGUCGUCAUCCUCUCGCCCGCUGCCGUCGUCGUUGUUGGCGCUGUCCUCCUCACCACUGUUGCUCAAGGAGGAGCUUUCGUCAUCAGUGGAGAUCUCCAUGCAGCACCCUAGGCGAAUUCCGGAGUUCCCGUAGAGAAUGUGCCGCUCCGCCAAGCUGUUGGCAUGCGCAAAGGUCUUCCACCCCUGACAAAGAUACAUGACUUGAGGGCGGGGCAAGUUGACGUCAGCCCACAUGCUGCCGUUCCCGCAGUCCCUCAUGUGAAGCCUCAAGGCCCGCGGGGCGUCCUCCUCCAUCACCCGAGCGAACGGAGUCGGAAGCCGGAGGCGACUGCACAUAGGCUUAUGCAGCCUGAUGAAGAACUCAUAGGGUUGGUCCCUGAUGUGGCCGCCCAUCAGGAGAGGGGCCGCCGGCGGGAGUGCAUCGGGUACGCUGCCCCGAGCAACGCGACGACCUCGACCCCGUCCCCUUCCUCUCCCCCUCGUGGCGUGCUCCGCCGCCGGAGGCUCCGAGGGAGGAGGAACGCGUUGUCGAGCAGAAGCCCUCGUCACCUCCGUCAAGGCGCUAGCGCGCCCUUUCACCAUGGUGAAUGGGAGGAAGAUGGUAAGCAAUAGGGAGAGAAGAGAACGAGUGCGGAGAAGCACCGUCCCUCUCCCCUUCUAUAGAAGAGCAAGGCUGGAGCCUGGCCACCAAGCCGAAGGGGCGGCCGCCCCGCACGGCCAAUGCGACCUCUUGAAGCACGAGGAAUCGGAAUCGACCCGCUCCCCCGAUCCAUGAACGCUUGAUUUUCUGCCUCGGCAUUAAUGCCAAUGUCCUCCGCGCCCGCUGCCUUCCGUUCACAAUGCAUGGAGGGUACAUGGCGAGGCAGAAGGGGGCGUCGGGACGGAUGGGACGACCAAUUGCCACCCCGUGAUCGUGGGGUGCGGCACCACGCAGGCUGUGACCCGAGUCCACUUAGUAAAUGAGUAGCGCCCCUACAGAUUCAUUCCUUUUUAAUAAAGGAAGCACGGGACGCCUCUUUGCUAUCGACUGCGAGAUGACACGAGCAUGCUGAGGCCAUCCCACGCACGACCUCCACAUCACACACACGAUGCGGGUCGUGGGGAAGCACAACUGACAGAAAAAUCGUGGUGGUUCACCUCUGCCACGCCCGCCUGCGCACUGCUUUGGGCCUGGCCCAACUACGCCUUGCGCAUGUGUGUGGCCCAGGCCUGGGGCUCCCGUCGGUGUACAAAAGUGUGGGUACUUCUGUACCCCUUACUUGUGCACGGAUGGUCGCAGCUACCCCUUCAGCAGGGCCUAGCGAAGCAGAGGAGGAUAGCAGGAAGCAAGACAGAUGCUUAGAGUAGCAAGCAGCAAGAGGCAAGCAGGGCCACGACAGCAACAAGCCUUGCCGAGGCGACCUGUGAGGCCCUCGGCAAGGUCCUUGCCGGGGCAGCUUGCGAAGAGACCCUCAGGGCCACCACCCUUGGUGUUCAGAGCUCUGACACCAUCGACAAUGUUAAAGACCAAGAUCUGGAGAGCGCAUGCCUAGUAGCAUGCAUCCCAUCACAAUGAUUAGAAACCCACGAAACCAUGUGGGAUCAGGAGACGAAGAACCCCGGCAAGGCCUUGCCGGGGACAACUCCAAGGCCCCCAGCAAGCCUUGCCGGGGACGAUCGUUGGGUCGCGGCCAGGCCGCACUCAGCAAGGUUUUUCCACUUCACCACCACUCCAGCGCAACGAUAAGCAUGUUAGCUAAGCAGGCGCCUGCGUGGCAACAUGCAGAUCUUCGUGGAAGUCUACCAUCUCGCCAACACAGUAGCUGGUUGGCCAGCAUGGCGCUGCAUGCCUCGUCGGCCCAGACGCGUGGGAGGCAAGGAAGAGCGGCGAAGGACGCGAUGGCCUCUGUUGUCGUCCCCAAUAAAGCGAGAGGACACGUGGGCCAUGCAUUAAAUGCGCUUGUCCUACGUUGAUCGAGCGAUAAGCUCGUAUCACUGUAGCUUGCCACCUCCUGUAUGCCGUUGUGGCAACCCCUUUGUGUAUAAAAGGAGGCCCAAGGCGCACAGAGAGAGGAUUCAGACUUUUGGACAAAGCACACACCAUAGCUAGUUCAAAAGCUCAAGAACACACAUAUAACCAGAUAAAGCAGGACUAGGGUAUUAUAGAUCCUUGCGGCCCGAACCUGGAUAAAAAUCCUCUAUGUCCUAGUGGCUCCACCUGCUCUUCGUGCAACUAACCCGCCGCUGAACAUAGAAGGGAUCCUUGUGACCCCAUAGGUGAACGGUUUCCCCGAUAAUUGUCACGUAAGCAGGCUAUAAGCCCACCAUUGUAGUACUUGCUCUUAGCGGCAUGGCAGACCAACGGUGUGGGGUGCGAAGUGGCUUCGCUCAUGUGGGGGGCAGAGGCCAUUCUGUGUGGGCGCUAGGUCUGAGAGGACGGCCUUGUCGUCAGCGUGUGACCUCUCUGUGGCAACCAUUCGCUCCCCUCUAGCCUCUUUGUGUACCCUGGCAACCGUCCACCGCCUCUUCGCCUUUCCCUCUCGAUUUGGAACUGCUGUGGCACGCUCUUCCUCCAUCCAUUUUCCUUCACCCUUCCUUCUGCCAUUGUUCGAUCGUCUUCUCCAUGGAGGGAACAGGACAGAAACAACCUUGUUAUUCUUGCCAUGAUCUGAAAGAUGAUGUGGUGGAGGAACUCAUUGAUCGGUGCGACGUCAUCACCUCUGCUAGCAUGGCAGGUUCAUUCAAGUCCAUUCUCGACUCAACAAAUAGGGUUCUGGAGUGGUUGGAUCUCCCCUAUCUUCUUCGUCAUGACACUGGUCGCCGGCGUGGGGAUGACAGAAGCCUCGCCUUGUGCAAGUUGAUGCCACUUGAUAACGAUACGUGUGAUGUUAAGAUGCCAUCGCUUGAGGGUAAGGCUUGGGCAGGCCCAAAUGGAGAUUGAGUUGUUUAUAUUGGGUAUAACUGCGAGUGGGAACUUGUGAAUGUGUACACUCAUCACCGGGUUCCACUUCCAAAAAUGACAGACUACCCUGAUCUUGAGCACACAGAUGAUCUACGUACGUUCAAAUACGAUCAUGGGGACUAUCAUCUAUGGAAGAUAGCAAUUUGUCGAGUUCCCAACCGCUCUUCAGAUUACAAGAACUAUGAAGUUGUUGCUAUCUUCGACAAGCUUGUUGCCGUCCUUACUUCCACGCCUUGAUGGAUACUGCUCAAAAAUCAAUUUCUAUAUACGGAUGAGUACUGUGAUGCAAUUCAGUACGAGGGUUUGUGUUUGCUGCCACCACUCGUGGCACUAUUUUUGCAUGGAAUCCUUAUGAUUUUGGUACGUUUGUCUUCCACCGUAAUUAUAAUUGUUUCAUCGACAUGCAUGCGGGCUAGCAAGUUUCCCUUUACUAAUUAAACUUCUUGUGUUUCCAAGGUCCUGUGAACAUUCCACCACCUAUACUUGAAAAUUUUUAUAACCAAGGGGGAGAUGACGAUGGUGAUGAUCACGAGCAUGAUGACGAGCAGGACCUAUAUACUCAGUGGCGCCUGGCAAUUUAUUCGGUUGGAUCACCUCUUCUUGUAUGUAUACAGGGCAUCGUUGAUGUUACUAACGAAGCAGGUGUUGUCUCCCAUGGUCGAACUCUCCGGACCUAUUCCAACAUUCGUUGCAGGGUAUUCGGGAUGGACACUGGUGAGCUAGCGCCAACACCUUCUCCCUGAUUAGUAUUGAUAGUCUUGGAGAAAACUCGCUCUUCCUUGGACAAAACUAUCCAAUGAUGGUGAAAGGCGAUCCAGCUGUUGUUGACACAACGUUACUACCAUUUGUGAGAAGCAACUGUAUCUAUACCUUGGACAUUGCUAUGGUUCCCUACCCUCGCUAUCACAAUAUGAGUCCUAUAGGCCACUUCAGCCUAGAUGAUCAGUCAUGCGUUGCUCUCGAGAUUGACAAUAGGAGGCCCUUCCCAGAGAAUCAGUUAUGGUUCAAAGCAAGCGUUUCCAACGCCAAGGAUUGGUUGAGCUGAAGUUCAUUUCAUCGCUUUGUUAUUUGUUGUGUGAGAAAAACUUUAGUAUUUACUAGAAUGUUUUGGUGGAAAUAAUCUAUAAUCCAACAUGUAUCCUCAUUGUUGUUGUGUGUUGAUGACUUGUUAUAUAUAAUCUAUAAUCCAACAUGUAUCCAAAAUGUAUAUAGUUUUUCUAUUUGGAUGAUUAAUGUUGAUGCUUUAUUGCUUAACCGAAGCAUGGCACGUAUCCAUUGUUGGUCUAACACUCACGGUUCGAAGAAAUAAUCCAUUUGGGAUAUUGGUUCCCAAUUAUUAAUAAUCUCCCAUUUGUAAUUAGAUAAAGUGUGACGCCCGGGUAAUUAAGCUACAGUGAACCUCUGCUAAUGAUGCCACGUCACCUUGAUUACUGUUACUAAUCUCGCGUUAGUUCGAAACCGGUUCAAAUUUCAAAUUUAAAAUCAAGUCAAACAAUUAAAGUUUUCAAAAGUCAAAACUAAAAUGUUCUUAAAUUGACAAAUAAAUCAUGGAUAUUAUUGGUGGAGUAACAACAUCUUUAUAAAAUAAUUAAAUACCCUAAAGUGAUUAAAACAACAUCAAAACAACUAGUUAUACUCAUAAUAUAUUUUACCAAAUACUAAACUAUUUUUAUUGUGAGGUAAAACUUCUUAGAACAGUGGAUUAUUUUGACACACUAUUUUUGGAGCUAUUGUCAUCUUUUACUAAACUAAAAAUAAGGUUCAACUAAAAUCAAACAAAAAAUAAUAAAAAAANNNNNNNNNNNNNNNNNNNNNNNNNNNNNNNNNNNNNNNNNNNNNNNNNNNNNNNNNNNNNNNNNNNNNNNNNNNNNNNNNNNNNNNNNNNNNNNNNNNNNNNNNNNNNNNNNNNNNNNNNNNNNNNNNNNNNNNNNNNNNNNNNNNNNNNNNNNNNNNNNNNNNNNNNNNNNNNNNNNNNNNNNNNNNNNNNNNNNNNNNNNNNNNNNNNNNNNNNNNNNNNNNNNNNNNNNGCCUCUGCUUCGCCGGAGCACCUCCUCGUCCUCUUCCCCGUCGGAUCGCCCGGGCCCGUAGUCGCUCGACCCCGACGCCGGCACCUCUCCCGCAUGGCGCCUGCCCCCUCGACCCGUACUGGAUCGGGAGCUCGACCCGGGCGCCCCGAUGCCGCUCGUCCUCGUCGCAUCGCCUCGCCUCGCCGUCCACGUCGCCAACGACGCCACUCGACUCCACCCCGCCGCGUCCCCGACGCCUCCGCACCGCUGCCGCCCCGUUUGUGACCGCGCCGUGGCCGGAAUGCCUCGUCCCCGUCGCUCGCGUCCCCGUCUCUCCAUCGUCGGCGCCAUCACGCCUCGCCGCCCAACUCCCCUGCAACGGGGGUGAGAGCCCUAUCCCCCUGCUUCCCUCUCCUCGUCGUCCUGCUCUUGCUCUGCCCGCGCCCGGUCGCGCUCCGUCGCCCCGAGUAGCCCCUGCACCGAGGUCACCACGCCCUGGCCUCGCCUGGCCCGCGCCUAACCCCGCCCGACACGCCACCGUGCGCGCACGCCUAUCACCUCAUCGUCCCGCUCCGCCCUGCUACCGUCGCCACUUGCCGCCGCACUCCACCCCACCGUGGCCUUGCUGCUGCCACCCCCGGCGCCCGCCCCGCGUUGGCGCCCAGCCACACACGGGUGGGCUGCGGCCAGUGCCCGCAUGCCCAGCGCCCAAGUCGGGUGCACCCCCCCCGGGCCAGCGCCCAUUCUGGUGUGCUUGACAUGGCCCUUAGGGCCAAUGACAUGUGGGGCCUACGCCCAGAACGGUUUUAUAAAAAAAAGAAUUAAAAAAAUAUAUUAAAUAAAUAAAUAAUAAUUAAUUAAUUAAUUAAUUAAGGAAUUAAUUAAGUUAAUUAAUCAUAAUUAGAUUAACCUAAUUAACUAAUUAGUUUAAUUAAACAGUAGUUAGAUUAGUUAAACAGUGAUUAGCCUAAACAGUCUAUGACCAGUGGGUCCCACACGUCAGAUUGACCAGUCAACACCCCUGUUGACUGCUGACGCCAUGCUGACGUCAUGCUGACGUCAGCAUACACUAUUCUGGAUAAUGUUAGAGUUAAAUAAUUAAAUAAAUUCCAGAAAAUUCAUAAAAUCUUUAGAAAAUCAUAUCUUUUAAUCCGUAACUCGGAUUAAAAUAUUUUCAACAUGAAAGUUGCUCAGAACGACGAGACGAAUCCGGAUACGCAGCCCGUUCGUCCGCCACGCAUCCCUAGCAUAGUGAACCUGCAACAUUUCCCCCUCCGGCUCCUCUGCCCGAAAACACGAAACACCGGGAAUACUUUCCCGGAUGUUUUCCCCCCUUCACCGGUAUCACCUACUACCGCGUUAGGGCACACCGAACACCGCGUAUUGCCUUGUUAUAUUUUGUGAUGCUUUGUUUGCUCUGUAUUCAUUAUUUAUUCCCCCUCUCCUCUCUGGUAGACACCGAGAUCGACGCCACUGCUACCCAGUACGACUACGGAGUUGACGACCCCUCUCUCUUGCCAGAGCAACCAGGCAAGCCCCCCCUUUGAUCACCAGAUAUCGCCUACUCUUCUCUAUACUGCUUGCAAUAGAGUAGUGUAGCAUGUUACUGCUUUCCGUUAAUCCUAUUCUGAUGCAUAGCCUGUCAUUGCUGCUACAGUCAUUGAUACCUUACCCGCAAUCCUAAAUGCUUAGUAUAGGAUGCUAGUGUUCCAUCAGUGGCCCUACACUCUUGUCCGUCUGCCAUGCUAUACUACUGGGCUGUGAUCACUUCGGGAGGUGAUCACGGGCAUAUACUAUAUACUAUACACUGUUACAUUACCUGUGAUGCUGUUCGGAGUUGGGGGCUGAAGGGGCAGGUGGUUCCAUCCCGGUAGAGGUGGGCCUGGGUUCCCGACGGUCCCCGACGGUUACUUUGUGGCGGAGCGACAGGGCAGGUUGAGACCACCUAGGAGACAGGUGGGCCUGGCCUUGUUCGGCAUUCGCGGUUACUUAACACGCUUAACGAGAUCUUGGUAUUUGAUCUGAGUCUGGCUACUGGCCUAUACGCACUAACCAUCUACGUGGGAGUAGUUAUGGGUAUCCCGACGUCGUGGUAUCAGCCGAAGCACUUCAGACGUCAGCGACGGAGCGGCGCGCGCCGAAUUGGACUGGAACGCCACUAGGCUAGGUCUGCUUUCGGCUGCCCACGCAACGUGCAGGUGUGCUCAGGGCGAUGGGCCCAGACCCCUGCGCGCUUAGGUUUAGACCGGCGUGCUGGCCUCUCUGUUUUGCCUAGGUGGGGCUGCGACGUGUUGAUCUUCCGAGGCCGGGCAUGACCCAGGAAAGUGUGUCCGGCCAAAUGGGAUCGAGCGUGUUGGGCUAUGUGGUGCACCCCUGCAGGGAAGUUUAAUCUAUUCGAAUAGCCGUGAUCUUCGGUAACAGGACGACUUGGAGUUGUACCUUGACCUUAUGACAACUAGAACCGGAUACUUAAUAAAACACACCCUUCCAAGUGCCAGAUACAACCGGUGGUCGCUCUCCCUCAGGGAUACGAGGGGAGGAUCGCCGGGUAGGAUUAUGCUAUGCGAUGAUACUUGGAGAUGCUACUUGAAGAUGCUACUUGGAGGACUUCAAUCUACUCUCUUCUACGUGCUGCGAGUCGGAGGCUGCCAGAAGCGUAGUCUUCGACAGGAUUAGCUAUCCCCCUCUUAUUCUGGCAUUCUGCAGUUCAGUCCACUGAUAUGGCCUCCUUACACAUAUACCCAUGCAUAUGUAGUGUAGUUCCUUGCUUGCGAGUACUUUGGAUGAGUACUCACGGUUGCUUUCUCCCCCCUUUUUCCCCCUUUCCUUUCUUUCUGGUUGUCGCAACCAGAUGCUGAAGUCCAGGAGCCAGACGCCACCGUCGACGACGACCCCUACUACACCGGAGAUGCCUACUACUACGUGCAGCCCGCAGAACGACGACCAGGAGUAGUUAGGAGGAUCCCAGGCAGGAGGCCUGCGCCUCUUUCGAUCUGUAUCCCAGUUUGUGCUAGCCUUCUUAAGGCAAACUUGUUUAACUUAUGUCUGUACUCAGAUAUUGUUGCUUCCGCUGACUCGUCUAUGAUCGAGCACUUGUAUUCGAGCCCUCGAGGCCCCUGGCUUGUAUUAUGAUGCUUGUAUGACUUAUUUUAUUUGUAGAGUUGUGUUGUGAUAUCUUCCCGUGAGUCCCUGAUCUUGAUCGUACACAUUUGCGUGCAUGAUUAGUGUACGAUUAAAUCGGGGGCGUCACAAGUUGGUAUCAGAGCCGACUGCCUGUAGGAAUCCCCCUUCCACACUCCUUGGCCGAAGUUGAGUAUAGCCAUUGCAAAACUUUUACUAACUUGGCUGUGUGCCUUACGGGCCCACGUCGCCCUUGGGUGGUAUUAAGAUCUUUUACUCCUCGUCUAUACUCUGGGACUCUGAUCUCUCUUCUAGUCGGGUUAAAUGAUUUUCUAAAAUCUAACUUUAGGUUCUCGAAAACGCUUUCUCCCGGAGAGCCCCUUCAGUCUAGAUGAUCGCCGACUGCACAUGAAGAUUUCAAAGUUACUUUCCGAUACUCUUUCAGGACUGCCCAUUGCUUUUGCAAUUCACUACCACCGAAAUAUCCCUAUGGAUAAAUUCAUACACCGUUCUUACUUAGUCCCCAGUUGUUCUUUUUAUUACAAGACGCCCCGAAAUACUCGUGGUUGUUCUUAGAAUACUUACGCCUAUUGCCUUGCAGUUCCUUACCACCUGAAUACCCAUACGGAUAAUUUCUCGCACUUAUCGAGUAUCCGCUCAUACCCAGUUGAUUCAUGUAUUUCACAAAAGUCUUCGAAAUGCCAUUCGAUCUUCCGAAAAUCCCGAGCAGCCUAUUGCUCUUGGAAUUUCUUGUUUACUUUCAUUAUGAUUAAUCCCAUAAGUAUAGAAAUCUUAUUGACAUUCCUUGUCAUGAUCAUUUUGAGUCUGUUGACUCAAUAUGUUGCGAAUGCACGUAAUCAUCAGUUGAUCCUUUUAAAUUAUCUCUCCGGCUCAGACGUCUUUCAAACAUGAGCUGGUUCUCGACCAAACUAUCUGUCGUCGAUUGUGCCUCUGGUAUAUUCAAUUGAUCCAUCCUUGAUCAGAACGUCUGCUUCUGAUCCUUUGUUUUGGAAAUCAUAAUUCCUUUUUAUUUAAGCUUUGAAUUAUUCAGAUGAUUCCAUAACCUGUUGCAUUUGCAUUCCUUCCUCUUCUGGUUGAGUACCGAUACUCAUAUCAGAUCCUUUGUGGACCAUCAGGCCCAUUGUUGGAUUUUAUCCGUCAGCAUCCUUCAUAUUCAAUAACCUUGUGAGCCUUCCCUUGGAUACAUAAUGCCCUUGGUAAUUGUAUCAUCUACUUUCUCAACCUUGCUCUACUUUCGAGCUUGUGUUAUGUACUCUUGAAACUUGUGGUAUACGUUUCUAAGAAGCCCCUGUGGGUUGAACAUAUGCCUUCUCUAAACCGUGUGAACCCGAAAGUUUUCACGAGUCAUACUCUUCUGGUGCUUCACCAGAUAAAAUUUCAACACUGCAACUUCAUCGAACGUGAGAAGUGAAUGAAAGGUUAUGCAUUGGAGAAGUGGGAGUCGACCUUGAACUUGUGUUCAUGCCCAUGGACACGAUGUAGAUCUUAUCAUUAAAGCUUCUUUUAAAUAAAUUAUUCCUUUGGUAUAAGUUCAUCUUAUAUCUAGGAUCUGGCCUUUUGCAACCGUGGUUCCGACCAUGAUUGUUCUUCUUUGAUCUCAUUUCUCGGACAAGUUAAAGCAAUUGUCUUCUAUGGAUCAAUACACCAGUCCCACCUUUACUUUGAUCUUGUGUCGUGUAUUACCCCCCUGGUAUCUGGAGACUAUCAUGGAACUGCAUAACUCCUUAUGAGUUCUUCAUCAAGUGCUACCUUCCCACUGAUUCCAAUUUUCCGCGGGCUCUGAGUUAUUGAACACUCAAAGACACCGAGAACUGAACCGAGUCCGCUCUUCGGUUCAACAACUCUUCAGUAAGCUUCUAUAAGUACGAGUUUGUACCCAAUCACGCCAUUCCUAGCCUGUCUGGCUAUAUCAUUGUCGUGACGAUUCUAACUGUGCUACCCGGUCCUUCUUCCCGGAGCACAAUUUUCGACGAUGAACUAACCUUACGUCGAUCAUCAUCGUCAUAUCAUUUCGCCUUGAACAACAAGCUUGGUUUCGAGUUUGUGUCGUACCCUUGGUUCCGAUAACCUUUCACUUUAUCAUUACUUUGACUUGAUGUCAUCACCGAUCGAUUACAUCUUCAUGAACUCUCGCGACAAUUGUGUCGUGAAUAUCAUCAACCUUAUGAGCUCUUCCAGGAAUUCAAUUGAAUUCAUGAUGGGUAAUACCAUCCUUGCCCCUCGAUGAUUCCUGUUCUCAUCGACCACUUUAUUGCCUUCCGUUCAACACAACUUGUUCGUGUUUUGUGUAAACCUUGAGAUCACUGCUACCCAGCAGUUGAUCUUCCUUACCUCGGAAGUAUUACCAUCUCUUUUGUCAAGAAUGUGGUGAGAAUUUCACCACCUCUUAAUAAUUCUUGAUAUCAUAAUCCUUCUUUCCAUCUUCGUUCAUUCCUUGGUCCCCAUAUGGUUUUCAACCGGAAUACCGACAAAUGGUCUGUGAUGUGUAAAUUCUAAACUUCGAGCAACCCUCUUGCUUUGAAGUUAUUGGUUUAUAGUUUCAUUCUACGACUAUGGCUUAUUGAAUCACCAUUCUGACAUUGGUCGUGCAACCCAACCCAUAUUUCGGAUGCACCGUUCAACCAAUGUUUAAUUAUGUAUGUUUUCCUCGAGCAAAUCCCACUAUAUCAUUUGAUCCAACAAAUGUCAUCUUCUUGUUCACAUUAUCGUGGAAAUCCAUCCGUUUGGAAUUUUCGAUGAAUUUUCGCUGAGCCCAUCAGCCACCUUCUCAUCCCCUCCUUGGUUUAAUGAUGAACUAUUGCUUCAGAAACCUGCUCCCAUAGUUCAUUUCUCGAGAAUCUUGCAAUGUCAUUUUGUCAGUUUGUGUUGCACCUUUUCCUCUCGGACCCCCUGAGUUUGAGGUAUCAUGACACCAAUUGGAUAUGAAUCUCGGUCAGAUAUGAUGGUUGGGACAACUUUCCAAGAGUUAUGAUGUUGAUCCUUUGAUGACCCAGUAACAUGAUGUCAUGCCUAGCACCCCCCCCUCCCCGGCUGGAGGACCUAUCAUUAUAGAUUCCUUUUCAGCAGGGUUAUCCAUUAUCCAUGAGGAAAUUGUAAGACUUAUUCUACAAGUUAUUCCUGAUGGAUCUUUCGUGUUUCCAAGGUCUGGUCUUCACCUGAAGACCAUGUCAAUGCUAUCUCGAAGCAUGUCUAUGGUACUCUAAUUUUCAACAAGAACAUUUGAAGCCUAAUGCUAAAUGUUACUUUCUCAAUUAUCCAAACACCGUUGUAUGGGCAAUGUCAUGAAAAUUCUCUCCCGUACCUAAAGAGUUUUCUACAUUAUAUCCUAUCAUGGAUAUCAUGCUCUACCUGUCCUUGGGAAGGAUAUACCCUUCAAUUGUGUGUUAAACCCAUUUUCCUUUCCAUUGUUCUGUUUAAUCUGAUAAUCAUAUUUGCCUUUCCAUUGGUUGGUUUAACACGUCUUGUGAUCUAUAUGAUCUAAGCGGUAAUAUUCUCCUGCUUAUGUAAACACCUCGGUGUACCAUUCUGUCAGCAAGACCCUGUUACUAUUGUUGAUGACAUUCUGGUAUCCACCGAUGGACGAGAACUUUGCCUAAUGGUCCGCCUCGUUCAACGAGCAUGAAAAUGGUUCUCUUUGUCCCUCGCCCUUGGUACCAAUGAUGCUACCAACAUAACUGACCGGUUAUUCACUGACAGGCCUUGCUAUCAUGGCCGUGCAAGAUGUCAAUGCCCUUCCUACUUUAACCACUUGGUGGGUCCAUAACCCACAGUUACACCGGAUCGAAACCUGAAUCUCCUGUACACCCUGUUGUCAAAGUUAUUCCUCGCGCUUGACUUCUUAUGUAAUUCACGGGCCACCUGCCAAGUGAUCUAUUCGGGUAUUAGACGCAAUACUUAUUCUCGUUGCUCUGAACCCCUUUCACCUUCUGAUUAGGCAUCGAAUGCUUGCCUAUCCGUUUGGAACUUCUCAUGGUACCUCCUUACCUUGCUCUCGAUAUUUUCGGAGGUUUCCAUUCGAGAGUUACUUUCCGCGUUCCUCCCCGAUGUUAUCUACCAGAUAGUCAACCUUGCCGAGGUCUGUCCUCCCGGAAUGCUCCCCGUUAUUCUUUCGUAAGUACGAUGGAGUUUUCGAAGAAAGGAUGCCGACUUCAUCUUAAUGACCUGAAGCAGAAAGAGGAAGACAUCAAUGUAAUGGAUCGACCACUUCGAGGAGAGCAGCCAAGACCGAGAAGAUUCGUUAGAAUUUCGUAACCAGACCUUACCCCCUAGUCCCCCUCUUAAAUCUCGGGACGAGAUUUCUUGUAGUGGAGGAGAAUUGUGACGCCCGGGUAAUUAAGCUACAGUGAACCUCUGCUAAUGAUGCCACGUCACCUUGAUUACUGUUACUAAUCUCGCGUUAGUUCGAAACCGGUUCAAAUUUCAAAUUUAAAAUCAAGUCAAACAAUUAAAGUUUUCAAAAGUCAAAACUAAAAUGUUCUUAAAUUGACAAAUAAAUCAUGGAUAUUAUUGGUGGAGUAACAACAUCUUUAUAAAAUAAUUAAAUACCCUAAAGUGAUUAAAACAACAUCAAAACAACUAGUUAUACUCAUAAUAUAUUUUACCAAAUACUAAACUAUUUUUAUUGUGAGGUAAAACUUCUUAGAACAGUGGAUUAUUUUGACACACUAUUUUUGGAGCUAUUGUCAUCUUUUACUAAACUAAAAAUAAGGUUCAACUAAAAUCAAACAAAAAAUAAUAAAAAAAUAAUAAUAACAAAAGAAAAUAAACGCCCCCCCCCUCGCUGGGCCUCAGCCCAGCUGGCCGUUGGGCUAGCCAGGCCGGCCCAGCCGGCGCCCCACUCCCCUCCUCCAUAUCCCCACUCUGGGGAAACCAUAACCCGUAACCCCCACUCGCCCCCCACNNNNNNNNNNNNNNNNNNNNNNNNNNNNNNNNNNNNNNNNNNNNNNNNNNNNNNNNNNNNNNNNNNNNNNNNNNNNNNNNNNNNNNNNNNNNNNNNNNNNNNNNNNNNNNNNNNNNNNNNNNNNNNNNNNNNNNNNNNNNNNNNNNNNNNNNNNNNNNNNNNNNNNNNNNNNNNNNNNNNNNNNNNNNNNNNNNNNNNNNNNNNNNNNNNNNNNNNNNNNNNNNNNNNNNNNNNNNNNNNNNNNNNNNNNNNNNNNNNNNNNNNNNNNNNNNNNNNNNNNNNNNNNNNNNNNNNNNNNNNNNNNNNNNNNNNNNNNNNNNNNNNNNNNNNNNNNNNNNNNNNNNNNNNNNNNNNNNNNNNNNNNNNNNNNNNNNNNNNNNNNNNNNNNNNNNNNNNNNNNNNNNNNNNNNNNNNNNNNNNNNNNNNNNNNNNNNNNNNNNNNNNNNNNNNNNNNNNNNNNNNNNNNNNNNNNNNNNNNNNNNNNNNNNNNNNNNNNNNNNNNNNNNNNNNNNNNNNNNNNNNNNNNNNNNNNNNNNNNNNNNNNNNNNNNNNNNNNNNNNNNNNNNNNNNNNNNNNNNNNNNNNNNNNNNNNNNNNNNNNNNNNNNNNNNNNNNNNNNNNNNGCCUCUGCUUCGCCGGAGCACCUCCUCGUCCUCUUCCCCGUCGGAUCGCCCGGGCCCGUAGUCGCUCGACCCCGACGCCGGCACCUCUCCCGCAUGGCGCCUGCCCCCUCGACCCGUACUGGAUCGGGAGCUCGACCCGGGCGCCCCGAUGCCGCUCGUCCUCGUCGCAUCGCCUCGCCUCGCCGUCCACGUCGCCAACGACGCCACUCGACUCCACCCCGCCGCGUCCCCGACGCCUCCGCACCGCUGCCGCCCCGUUUGUGACCGCGCCGUGGCCGGAAUGCCUCGUCCCCGUCGCUCGCGUCCCCGUCUCUCCAUCGUCGGCGCCAUCACGCCUCGCCGCCCAACUCCCCUGCAACGGGGGUGAGAGCCCUAUCCCCCUGCUUCCCUCUCCUCGUCGUCCUGCUCUUGCUCUGCCCGCGCCCGGUCGCGCUCCGUCGCCCCGAGUAGCCCCUGCACCGAGGUCACCACGCCCUGGCCUCGCCUGGCCCGCGCCUAACCCCGCCCGACACGCCACCGUGCGCGCACGCCUAUCACCUCAUCGUCCCGCUCCGCCCUGCUACCGUCGCCACUUGCCGCCGCACUCCACCCCACCGUGGCCUUGCUGCUGCCACCCCCGGCGCCCGCCCCGCGUUGGCGCCCAGCCACACACGGGUGGGCUGCGGCCAGUGCCCGCAUGCCCAGCGCCCAAGUCGGGUGCACCCCCCCGGGCCAGCGCCCAUUCUGGUGUGCCUGACAUGGCCCCUAGGGCCAAUGACAUGUGGGGCCUACGCCCAGAACGGUUUUAUAAAAAAAAAGAAUUAAAAAAAUAUAUUAAAUAAAUAAAUAAUAAUUAAUUAAUUAAUUAAUUAAGGAAUUAAUUAAGUUAAUUAAUCAUAAUUAGAUUAACCUAAUUAACUAAUUAGUUUAAUUAAACAGUAGUUAGAUUAGUUAAACAGUGAUUAGCCUAAACAGUCUAUGACCAGUGGGUCCCACACGUUAGAUUGACCAGUCAACACCCCUGUUGACUGCUGACGCCAUGCUGACGUCAUGCUGACGUCAGCAUACACUAUUCUGGAUAAUGUUAGAGUUAAAUAAUUAAAUAAAUUCCAGAAAAUUCAUAAAAUCUUUAGAAAAUCAUAUCUUUUAAUCUGUAACUCGGAUUAAAAUAUUUUCAACACGAAAGUUGCUCAGAACGACGAGACGAAUCCGGAUACGCAGCCCGUUCGUCCGCCACGCAUCUCUAGCAUAGUGAACCUGCAACAUUUCCCCCUCCGGCUCCUCUGCCCGAAAACACGAAACACCGGGAAUACUUUCCCGGAUGUUUUCCCCCCUUCACCGGUAUCACCUACUACCGCGUUAGGGCACACCGAACACCGCGUAUUGCCUUGUUAUAUUUUGUGAUGCUUUGUUUGCUCUGUAUUCAUUAUUUCUUCCCCCUCUCCUCUCCGGUAGACACCGAGAUCGACGCCACUGCUACCCAGUACGACUACGGAGUUGACGACCCCUCUCUCUUGCCAGAGCAACCAGGCAAGCCCCCCCUUUGAUCACCAGAUAUCGCCUACUCUUCUCUAUACUGCUUGCAAUAGAGUAGUGUAGCAUGUUACUGCUUUCCGUUAAUCCUAUUCUGAUGCAUAGCCUGUCAUUGCUGCUACAGUCAUUGAUACCUUACCCGCAAUCCUAAAUGCUUAGUAUAGGAUGCUAGUGUUCCAUCAGUGGCCCUACACUCUUGUCCGUCUGCCAUGCUAUACUACUGGGCUGUGAUCACUUCGGGAGGUGAUCACGGGCAUAUACUAUAUACUAUACACUGUUACAUUACCUGUGAUGCUGUUCGGAGUUGGGGGCUGAAGGCGCAGGUGGUUCCAUCCCGGUAGAGAUGGGCCUGGGUUCUCGACGGUCCCCGACGGUUACUUUGUGGCGGAGCGACAGGGAAGGUUGAGACCACCUAGGAGACAGGUGGGCCUGGCCUUGUUCGGCAUUCGCGGUUACUUAACACGCUUAACGAGAUCUUGGUAUUUGAUCUGAGUCUGGCUACUGGCCUAUACGCACUAACCAUCUACGUGGGAGUAGUUAUGGGUAUCCCGACGUCGUGGUAUCAGCCGAAGCACUUCAGACGUCAGCGACGGAGCGGCGCGCGCCGAAUUGGACUGGAACGCCACUAGGCUAGGUCUGCUUUCGGCCGCCCACGCAACGUGCAUGUGUGCUCAGGGCGAUGGGCCCAGACCCCUGCGCGCUUAGGUUUAGACCGGCAUGCUGGCCUCUCUGUUUUGCCUAGGUGGGGCUGCGACGUGUUGAUCUUCCGAGGCCGGGCAUGACCCAGGAAAGUGUGUCCGGCCAAAUGGGAUCGAGCGUGUUGGGCUAUGUGGUGCACCCCUGCAGGGAAGUUUAAUCUAUUCGAAUAGCCGUGAUCUUCGGUAACAGGACGACUUGGAGUUGUACCUUGACCUUAUGACAACUAGAACCGGAUACUUAAUAAAACACACCCUUCCAAGUGCCAGAUACAACCGGUGGUCGCUCUCCCUCAGGGAUACGAGGGGAGGAUCGCCGGGUAGGAUUAUGCUAUGCGAUGAUACUUGGAGAUGCUACUUGAAGAUGCUACUUGGAGGACUUCAAUCUACUCUCUUCUACGUGCUGUGAGUCGGAGGCUGCCAGAAGCGUAGUCUUCGACAGGAUUAGCUAUCCCCCUCUUAUUCUGGCAUUCUGCAGUUCAGUCCACUGAUAUGGCCUCCUUACACAUAUACCCAUGCAUAUGUAGUGUAGUUCCUUGCUUGCGAGUACUUUGGAUGAGUACUCACGUUUGCUUUCUCCCCCCUUUUUCCCCUUUCCUUUCUUUCUGGUUGUCGCAACCAGAUGCUGAAGUCCAGGAGCCAGACGCCACCGUCGACGACGACCCCUACUACACCGGAGAUGCCUACUACUACGUGCAGCCCGCAGAACGACGACCAGGAGUAGUUAGGAGGAUCCCAGGCAGGAGGCCUGCGCCUCUUUCGAUCUGUAUCCCAGUUUGUGCUAGCCUUCUUAAGGCAAACUUGUUUAACUUAUGUCUGUACUCAGAUAUUGUUGCUUCCGCUGACUCGUCUAUGAUCGAGCACUUGUAUUCGAGCCCUCGAGGCCCCUGGCUUGUAUUAUGAUGCUUGUAUGACUUAUUUUAUUUGUAGAGUUGUGUUGUGAUAUCUUCUCGUGAGUCCCUGAUCUUGAUCGUACACAUUUGCGUGCAUGAUUAGUGUACGAUUAAAUCGGGGGCAUCACAUAAAGAUUACAUCAAAACUGGUCUCAAAAUUGACCAAAAAAAGUACAAUGCAACUUUGUAUUGGUGUCCAUAUGACAACAUGAUAAGUUUCAUGAACUUAAAAUAAGUUUUGGAUAUACUAGAAUUUAAAAAUCAAGAUUCUCAUUGUUUGAAAUUAGUUGCACGGGGAGUAAACAUGCACCCAGUGAGACACAUGUGUUUUUGCAUUCCAUUUAGGUGCAUUGUCAGGUGUGCAUGUAGCUCGAAUUUGAUUUUUGCACAUUAUACCCGUAGAAAAUCAAUCAAUUAAUGUACUAAAACAUCUUAAUGAUCUUUGAUAAUUUUCCAAAUUAAAAUGUCCCUCCUUUGGUAACAUAUAUAUGUUCACCGCGAGAUAAUUAAUUUAACAUGCAUCGUAGUUGCGGUGGAUUCGCGGUGUGUGUGGGUGUGUGCGUCUGGGGGUGGCGGGUGGCUCGCAAUACAAUAUGAGUUGUGAGCCACCGUCUGGGUUGGCCGUUUUGUUAGGCAGGCCGGUGCCAUAUCAGAGUCGUGAAUUCUUAAUUUAAAACAUUACAGAACCCUUUCAUACAUACAUGUUUUGGCCACAUGCAGUCGAUGGUUGUCCUACACGACACUCGAUACUCGCGUGUGACACUUUUAGUGGGCCCGCGAGGUCUUCAUCCAUCACUUUGACGAAUAGCUGGUAAUGAGGUUAAUUUAAAAAGCAGGUAUCUCAAUUUUUGCGACCGAGUGACGGUGGGGUGUUUGACAUUCAUUCCCAUUUCUUGCAUGGGACCUAAGCAUGCUACCAAGGAUAUGGAUUUUAAUUUUCAACCAAUUUAUAUGCAUUACAGCAUGUGCCUGUAGUUCAAAUUUGAAUUAUGCACAUAAAUGCAUUGAAAACUCAAUUAAUGUAUAAAAAUGUCCAAACGAACCCCGAAAAAUUCCAAAUUUUAACAUAACACUCAUGUUGUUCUAUGUUGACACUAGAGAAAAAAUUGAAAGCAAUAACAGGCAACGGAUAUCAUUUCGUCCCCAAAGGUGGCACGUUCUGUACCAAAACCAUGAGGCGGUUGUUGUGAUAAGCUCUGGUUUGUGAGAAGCUUAUACCCAAACCUCCCCCAAAUGGGACAAAAAAUUUACCACGGCAUGUUAACGAUGCUCCAUGAUGGCAUGCCAAGUUUCAUAAAUUUCAGAAGAGUUUUGGAUUUACUAGAAUUUAAAAGGCAGGUAUCUCAGUGUUUGCAGCCGAGUGACAGUGGCAGGGUGUUUGAGAUUUAUUCCCAUUUCUUGCAUGGGACCUAAGCAUGCAACCAAGGACACAGAUUUGAAUUUUCAACCAAUUAUUAUGCAUCAGAGCAUGUGCCUGUAGUUCAAAUUUGUUAUGCACAUAAAUGCAUUGGAAACUCAAUUAAUAUAUAAAAAUGUCCAAACGAACCCCGAAAAUAACCUAAAACUAACAUAACACUCAUGUUGUUCUAUGUCGACACUAGAGAAAAAAUUGAAAGCAAUAACAGGCAGCGGAUAUCGUUUCGUCCAGAAAGGUGGCACGUUUCCUACCGUAACCAUGAGGCUUGUUGUGAGAAGCUCUGGUUUGUGAGAAGCUUAUAUACCCCAACCUGCCCCAAAUGGGACAAUAUUUUUACCACUACAUGUUGAUGUUGUUCCAUGCUAGCGUGUCAAGUUUCAUAAAUUUCAUACGCGUUUUCGAUUUAUUAGAAUUUAAAAACCAUGUGUCUCAAUGUUAGUGGCCGAGCGACGGUGGCAAGGUGUUUGACAUUCAUUCUCAUUUCUAGCAUGGGACUUAAGCAUGUAACCAAGGACACACAUUCCAAAUUUUAACCAAUUUAUAUGCACUGGAGCAUGUGCAUGUAGUAGUUCAAAUUUGAAUUAUGCACGUGAAUGCAUAGAAAACUCAGUUAAUGUAUUAAAAAUGUCCAAGCGAACCCUGAAAAUCCCAAAAGAAGACACAUCACUCGUGUUGUUCUAUGUUGACAUGAGAAAAUUUUAGAAAGUAAGAAGAUGCAACAUAUAUCGUUUGUCCCCCAAGGUGGCACGUUCCCUACCGAAACCAUCUCGCUUGUUGUGAGAGAAGCUCCAGUUUGCGAGAAGCUUAUACCCAAACCUCCCCCAAAUGGGAAAAUAUUUUUACCACAGCAUGUCGAUGCCGUUCCAUGAUAUCAUGUCAAGUUUCAUGAAUUUCAGUCGAGUUUUCAAUUUACUAGAAUUUUAAAACCAUGUAUCUCUAUGUUAGCGACCAAGCGACAGAGUCAAGGUGUUUAACAUUCAUUCUCAUUUCUUGCAUGUGAUCUAAGCUUGCAACCAAGGACAAACAUUUGAUUUUGCAACCCAUUUUUAUGGACUGGAGCAUGUGCUUUAAUUUUGAAUUAUGCACCUGAAAUGGCUAGAAAACAAAUUUAAUGUAUAAAAUUUCCAAAUGAACCCUGAAUAAUUCCAAUUUUUGUACGACACACAUAUAGUUGCUUGUUCACUGCAGAUAAAAGGUCUAACACCGUCCAUUGCCGCUAUGACCCCAUUAUGUAAUUCAAAUCAAAAUGAAAAAUCAAGUAGAUCCCACAUAGUUUAUUAUCACCAACCGUGUGAGAUGCAGUACAAAAUAUCCGGGAGCACCAUUGGUGUAUAGUACGCCCAUGGCUUAUGCGAGAAGGUGCGUCGGCUACAGUCCAAAGUCGGUGUGACAAGCACACUAGCUCGCUCCCCAAAUACUCGCGCUUCUGCACCCUCGCAAUCUCAAAAAUAUCUGCUUGCCCUUGAUCCAAAUAUUCAGUAGCCCCGCCUGGUUACUCCUGCCUAGUAAAAUUUUCAGUUGCCGUGGUAUUUCCUCAAACACCACCUUAACCCCCUGUCCCCCUCCACACUCACCACACACUCCCCAAAACCUCCACUCACCAACACACACCACCCCCGUAACCAUUGGUAGGUCGCCGCCAUCACUGCUGCCUCCAUCCUCAACCUCUGCCUGUGUGCCAGGGAGCUCGAGGAUUCAAUGGCACAAGAAAGGUUUAUCGUGGCCUCUUCCCCCGACACCGGCGAGGUGGCAGCUGAGGUGUCCCCGUCAUCCUCCGCGGGCUCUUUAUUGAUCCAUCAUCGCCGGUCCCCUGAUCCGCCCGCCGUCACGCCCCUACGCCAGUUCGAGGACUUCCCCAUCCUUCCUUGGACCCGGCAGCCGACGAGGUGCUACCUCGGGGCCCCGCAGCGGUGGUGGGGGACGUGGGUCGCCGAGAUUACAAAUCGGGAGACCCACACCCGUCGGUGGCUCGGUAGCUUCCACACGGCCGAGCUCGCGACCAUGGAGUACGACCACUGGCAGGUCCGCUACCACGGCGUGGCGGCUAGGCUCAAUUUCCCCUUCAGCACAUGUCUGGUCCACCUCGUUCCACCGGAGACAGGGGUGGUGAGCUCGGCUAUGGUGCGGGAGGAUCGCGAGGCGUGGGAGCUCCUCAAGGCCGAGGCCGUCGACGAGGCCUACAUGCAAGAGCUCUGUCGGCAGCACCCGGAGCUCGUGGAGGCGGAGCGGGCGAUCUUUGCCGGCAUGGAGGGCGGUGAGGUUAUCGCGCUCUCCUUCACUGACGAGGUCGAAGGCGGCGAGGAUGGCGGCACGGAGGGCGGUGAGGUUAUCGUGCUCUCCUUUGAUGACGAGGUCAAAGGCGGCAAGGAUGGCGACAUGGAGGGCGGCGAGGUUAUUGCGCUCUCCUCCGAUGAUGAGGUCAAAGGCGGCGAGGACGGCAGCACGGAGGGCGUGGAGGUGGGCGGUGAGGACGGGGAGAUCGACAUCGACGAGUGGAGGAGUGCCUUCCUGAACGACCCCGAUGACGGCACUGGCCCGGACCCAGCUCAUGGCACACCGUACCUGACAAGGAAGGAUUAGCUCGACCUCUACUUCGACCGAAAGUAGUUUAGAUUAGUUUAAAUUUAUGUUUUAUGUUCGGUUAUGCAAAACUAUCUAUGUUUAUGUUUGAUUGCAUGCUACUUUCGGUUGAACCUGCUUUGAACUUGAUCAAAUUGAAGUUUACAACAUUAAGUUUAGGGGAUCGACUAGAAACGGCCAAAAAUUGCUGGAGUACAUAUAUAUCCACUAAGGGUUUUAGUCCUUUAACUUUUAAAGGAUCGGCUAGAGAUGGCCUCAUGCCUUGUUUAUUUCAGUUCUUCACAAUGUGAUGCUCUAUAUGUGCAACUAUUUGCCGUGCAAUUCAAUUUCAUCAACAAUAGGUUCAACAAUACCACUAUGAAUUACGAUAUUUGGUUGUUGUUAAGGAUAUUGCAGUUACCAUGCCUUUUCGUUUUUUAACAAUAACUAGUGUACUUUAGACCUGCACAAUACCAGUUUGAAUGACUAUUUUCUUGUUUAUAAAUGUUAUGCCUGAUGUAGUUAACACACCUUUCCACUUCUUGUUUUGCUUAACUAGCGUGCUUAAGCCUGUAGACUGAAGCUAUCAUUUGUAGAUUAUGUUGUCUACCAUGGAUAUAUUUGGUUAAUGUUUAGCAUGUUGUUCUUAAUAUGCCUUUAUAUGUACUCAUACUGGACAAUAUUGAGAACAAUGAUGUUUUCCAUCGAGGUUAGUUUCAUUGCAUUGCUUAUAUGUACUCACUGUUCAGGAUCUCGGUAGCUGGUACCAUAUAGCCUGGGGGCUGAUAAGGGAUUAAUCGUCAAAUCGGACAUUUCACUGAAUAUAUCUGUAACCCAUUUAUCAGUAGGUUAACUAGGGCCAUAUUUAAUAUAUCUGAGGCUACAUAGCAACAUGCAUUGUACUGAAUGACUAAAUAUGCAAUUCCAGGCUACAUAGCAACAAGGAAGAGUGUUACCUUAAUGUUCGUGUUACCUUAAUGUUCUCAUGAUGUCUAGAUAUACAUGUAUAAAAUCUUAUAUAAUGGGAUGGAGGGAGUGUUGUACUACAUUAUUUUGCAAUUGUUGUUUAGCUUCUAAUAUUAACUUGGUGCUUUUAGGUACACAUGUCAUUGCUAAAGGUCCACACUUUGACCCUUUCUGCAUAUGGGGCAAUGAGAUAUUCAUGAACCAGCAUCAAGUGAGGAAACUGAUAAAGAUUGUUAUUAAAAUGGGUCAAAAGAUGUCAAUCGAACUAUUUGUUUACACUUUAUGCAAGACAACAGUGAACUGCGGGAUGGUAAGUAAGAACCCUGUAGCCUUCUUUUUACUGCCAGUAAUGAGUUGUGUUAGAUGACAAUGUCUGAAUCUUUUUUCCUUUGCAGUGGAUCCUGAAGCAUUUUACUCAAGAUUACCUCUCAAAUUACAUGAUUGGCGGCCGGCCAUCACAAGGGGUUGGACUACAGUCGUGCGUGCCUUCUGCAUCGAGGUGAGCACAAUAGGGCCAUUCCGCUUCACCUUGUUUAGCAACUAGAAUGUCCGUCGCCUCUUUCUUUACCAUCUAUAAUAGUACAAGUAUAGAACCCUAGUUCAUCAUUCUUUAUUUCAUGCUUAUGUAAUUCUUAAACAUAUGUACCUGUGAAUUGAAUAAUGCAUUGGUUGUUUGAACUUGAUGGAUAUGAAUAAAUCUAUAGCCUACUUGCAUGUUUAAAUUAGGUACAAGUUUAAAUAUCAGCAAUUAAAUUAGGGCGAAAUUACGGUGUGCAGGUCAUUACGGCGCACACGUUUAAUAAAGCACAACGUGUGUGAUAUACAUCAAAAUCUGACACGGUUCACGGAGUGGAAACGUGUGUAACAAUGCACACAGUUGCUGUUUGCAAAGCGCGUGUGAUGUCAGACACUAUCACAUACGGUGCGGGAAAACUAAAUGGGUGUGUAUGUCUACCUAUCGUACACGGUUUAUAAUCAUGAACUGUUUGUGAUGUGCUAGGCAUCGUAAAUGUACAACCAGUUUGGUACGUGCCUAGAAAACUCCCGUGCCUGGAAUCUGCCUGGUUUUAGGUAAAACCACAAAACUUCGACUGCGAUGGCAAUGCGAGCACAAACGAGUAGCAAGGAUGAAGCAUUUUGGAUAUUCGAGACAUCGAAAACGAUUAUAUAGGGGCAAAGGGAAUGACGUAUGUUGUCAUAACGGUUCGACCGAUAAAGAUCUUCGUAGAAUAUGUGGGAGCCAAUAUGAGCAUCCAGGUUCCGUUAUUGGUUAUUGACCAUAGAUGUGUCUCGGUCAUGUCUACAUAGUUCUUGAACCCGUAGGGUCCGCACGCUUAAGGUUCGAUGACGAUUUUUAUUAUAUGAGUUAUGUGAUUUGCUGACCAAAUUUUGUUCCCGGAUGAGAUCACGGACAUGACAUGGAGUCUCAAAAUGGUCGAGAGGUAAAGAUUGAUAUAUUGGAUGAUAGUUUUCGGACAUCGCAAGUGUUUUGAAAUGUAUCGGGUACAUAUCAGAGUACCAGGGGGGUUACCGGAAACCCCCGGGGGAAGAUAUGGGCCAUAGGAGGGAGGCACACCAGCCCACAAGGGGUGGCGCGCUCCCCCAUGGAAGGAGUCUGAAUUGGAUUAGGGGAGGGGCGGCGCCCCCUUGUUUCCUUCUCCCCUCUUUCUCUUCCCCUCUUCCCCCCUCGUAAAAAGAAAAGAAAGGGNNNNNNNNNNNNNNNNNNNNNNNNNNNNNNNNNNNNNNNNNNNNNNNNNNNNNNNNNNNNNNNNNNNGGGGGGGGGGGGGGGCGAAUCCAACUAGGAGCCCAAGUAGGAUUCCUCCUACUUGGGUGUGCCUAGGGCUGGCUCCCUCCCCCUCCCUCCUUUAUAUAAGUGGGAGGGGGCGCCUAGAGCAAACAUCAAUUGUUCCUAGCCGUGUGCGGUGCCCCCACCACAGUUUACGCCUCCGGUCAUAUUCUCGCGGUGCUUAGGCGAAGCCCUGCGCGGAUCACUUCACCAUCACUAUCACCACGCCAUCGUGCUGACGGAAAUCAUCUACUUCCUCGACACUCUGCUGGAUCAAGAGCUUGAGGGACGUCAUCACGUUGAACGUGUGCAGAACUCGGAGGUGUCGUACGUUCGGUACUUGAUCUGUCGGAACGAGAAGAAGUUUGACUACAUCAACCACGUUAAGCAAACGCAUCUGCUUUCGGUCUACGAGAGUACGUAGACACACUCUCCCCCUCUCAUUGCUAUGCAUCUCCUAGAUAGAUCUUGCGUGAGCCUAGGAAAUUUUUGAAAUUGCAUGCUACGUUCCCCAACAGUGGCAUCCAAGCCAGGUCUAUACGUAGAUGAUAUGCACAAGUAGAACACAAAGAGUUGUGGGCGGUGAUCGCCGUACUGCUUACCACCAAUGUCUUAUUUUGAUUCGGCAGUAUUGUUGGAUGAAGCAGCCCGGACCAACCUUACAUGACUACGUUCAUGAGACCGGUUCCACUGGCAUACAUGCAACUAGUUUUGCAUAAAGGUGGUUGGCGGGUGUCUAUUUCUCCAACUUUAUUUGAAUUGAAUUUGACUAUGGCUGGUCCUUGUUGAAGGUUAAAACACCAAACUUGAUAAAUCACUGUUGUGGUUUUGUGCCGUAGGUAAGUACGGUUCUUGCUAGAAGCCCGUAGAAGCCACGUAAAACUUGCAACAAUAAAGUAGAGGACGUCUAACUUGUUUUUGCAGGGCAUGUUGUGAUGUGAUAUGGACAAGACAUGAUGUGAUAUACAUUGUUGUAUGAGAUGAUCAUGUUUUGUAAAAAUUAUCGGCAACUGGCAGGAGCCUUAUGGUUCUCGCUUUAUUGUAUGAAAAUGCAAAUGCCAUGUAAUUGCUUUACUUUAUCACUAAGCGGUAGUGAUAGUUGUAGACGCAAUAGUUGGCGAGACAACCACGACGCUACGAUGGAAGUCAAGGUGUCGAGCCUAUGACAAUGGAGAUCAUGGUGUUGCUUUGGAGAUGGAGAUCGAAAGCACAAGAUGAUGAUGGCCAUAUCAUGUCACAUAUUUUUAUUGCAUGUGAUGUUUAUCUUUAUGCAUCUUAUUUUGCUUCGUACGGCGGUAGCAUUAUAAGAUGAUCUCUUAACUAAAUUUGAAGGUAUAAAUGUUCUCCCUGAGUAUGCACUGUUGCGAAAGUCCUUUGUGCCGAGACAACACGUGAUGAUCGGGUGUGAUGGGCUCUACGUUCACAUACAAUGGGUGCAAGCCAGUUUUGCACAUGCGGAAUACUCGGGUUAAACUUGACAAGCCUAGCAUGUACAGACAGGGCCUCGGAACACUGGAGACCGAAAGGUCGAACGUGAAUCAUAUAUUAUAUAUGAUCAACAUAGAGAUGUUCACCAUUGAUGACUACUCCAUCUCAUGUGAUGACCGGACAUGGUUUAGUUGAUUUGGAUCACGUAUCAUUUAUAUGAGUUGAGGGAUGUCUAUCUAAGUGGGAGUUCUUAAGUAAUAUGAUUAAUUGAACUUAAUUUAUCAUGAACUUAGUUCUGAUAGUAUUUGCAAAUUAUGUUGUACAUCAAUAGCUCGCGUUGUAGCUCCCCCAUGUUUUCGAUAUGUUCCUAGAGAAAACUAAGUUCAAAUAUGAUAGUAGCACUGAUGUGGACUGGGUCCAUGAUCUGAGGAUUAUCCUCAUUGUUGCGUAGAAGAAUUAUGUCCUUGAUGCACUGCUAGGUGACAGACCUAUUGCAGGAGCAAAUGUAGAUGUUAUGAAUGUUUGGCAAGCUCGAUAUGAUAACUACUUGAUAGUUUAGUGCACCAUGCUUUAGGGCUUAGAACAGGGACUUCAAAAACUGUUUUGAAUGCAACAGAUCAUAUGAGAUGUUCCAAGAGCUGAAAUUGGUAUUUUAGACUCAUGCCCGUGUCUCUGACAAGUACUUUGCCUACAAGAUGGAGGAGAAUAGCUCAGCCAGUGAGCAUAUGCUCAGAAUGUCUGGGUAGUACAAUCACUUGAAUCAAGUGGGAGUUAAUAUUCCAGAUGAGAUAGUGGUUAACAGAGUUCUCUAGUCACCAUCACCAAGCUAAUAGAACUUCGUGAUGAACUAUAAUAUGCAAGGGAUGACGAAAACGAUUCCCGAGCUCUUCGCGAUGCUGAAAUCUGCGAAGGUAGAAAUCAAGAAAGAACAUCAAAUGUUGAUGGUUAACAAGACCACUAGUUUCAAGAAAAAGGACAAAAGGGAAAGAAACGGAACUUCCAGAAGAAUGGCAAGAAAGUUGCCACUCCCGUGAAGAAGCCCAAAGCUGGACAUAAGCCUGAAACUAAGUGCUUCUACUUCAAAGGGAAUGGUCACUAGAAAUGGAACUAUCUAGAAUACUUGGCGGAUAAGAAGGAUGGCAAAGUGAACAAAGGUAUAUUUGAUAUACAUGUUAUUGAUGUGUACUUUACUAGUGUUUAUAGUAACCCUUGUGUAGUUGAUACCGGUUAAGUUGCUAAGAUUAGUAACUCGAAACAAGAGUUGCAGAAUAAACAAAGACUAGUUAAGGUCGAGGAGACGAUGUGUGUUGGAAGUGAUUCCAAGGUUGAUAAUAUCACCAUCGCAAACUCCCUCUAACUUCGGGAUUAGUGUUGAACCUAAAUAAAUGUUAUUUGGUGUUUGUGUUGAGCAUGAAUAUGAUUAGAUCAUGUUUAUUGCAAUACGGUUAUUCAUUUAAGUCAGAGAAUAAUUGUUGUUCUGUAUAAAUGAAUAAAACCUUCUAUGGUCAUACACCCAACGAGAAUGGUUUAUUGAAUAUCGAUUGUAGUGAUACGCAUAUUCAUAACAUUGAUGCCAAAAGAUGCAAAGGUGAUAAUGAUAGUGCAACAUACUUGUGACACUACCGUUUAGGUCAUAUUGGUGUAAAGCGCAUGAAGAAAUUCCAUGCAGAUGGACUUUUGGAAUCACUUGAUUAUGAAUCAUUUGAUACUUGUGAACCAUGUCUCAUGGGCAAGAUGACUAAAACUCCGUUCUCCGGAACAAUAGAGUGAGCCAAUGACUUUUUGUAAAUAAUACAUACCGAUGUGUGGUCCGAUAAGUGUUGACGCACAUGGUGGGUAUCGUUAUUUUCUGACAUUCACAGAUGAUUUGAGCAGAUAUGGGUAUAUCUACUUAAUAAAACACAAAUCUGAAACAUUUGAAAAGUUCAAAGAAUUUCGGAGUGAAGUCGAGAAUCAUAGUAACAAGAAAAUAAAGUUUCUAUGAUCUUAUCGCGGAGGUGAAUAUUUGAGUUACGUGUUUGACCUUCAUUUAAAACAAUGUGGAAUAGUUACACAACUCAUGCCACCUGGAACACCACAGCGUAAUGGUGUGUCCGAAUGUCGUAACCGUACUUUAUUAGAUAUGGUGAGAUUUAUGAUGUCUCUUACCGAUUUACCACUAUCAUCUUGGGGUUAUGCAUUAGAGAUAGCUGCAUUCACGUUAAAUAGGGCACCGUCAAAAUACGUCGAGACGACACCGUAUGAACUGUGGUUUGGCAAUAAACCUAAGUUGCAUUUCUUAAAGUUUGGGGAUUUUAUGCUUAUGUCAAAAGGCUUCAUCCUGAUAAGCUCAAACCCAAAUCGGAGAAGUGUGUCUUCAUAGGAUACCCUAAGGAAACAAUUGGGUACACCUUCUACCACAGAUCUGAAGGCAAGAUCUUUGUUGCCAAGAAUGAAACCUUUCCAGAGAAGGAGUUUCUCUCAAAAGAAGUGAGUGGGAGGAAAGUAGAACUUGAUGAGGUAAUUGUACCUUCUCUCAAUAUGGAAAGUAGCUCAUCAGAGAAAUCCGUUCCCGUGAUGCCUACACCAACUAGAGACGAAGCUAAUGAUGAUGAUCAUGAAACUUCAGAUCAAGUUACUACCAAACCUCGUAGGUCAACCAGAACACGAUCGACACUAGAGUGGUAUGGAAUCCUGUUCUGGAAGUCAUUUUACCAGACCAUGACGAACCUACGAACUAUGAAGAAGCUAUGAUGAGCCCAGAUUCUGAUAAAUGGCUUGAGGCCAUGAAAUCUGAGAUAGGAUCCAUGUAUGAGAACAAAGUAUGGACUUUGGUGAAUUUACCCAAUGAUCGGUAAGGUAUAGAGAAUAAAUGGAUCUUCAAGAAGAAGACUGGCACUAAUGGUAAUGUUACUAUCCAUAAAGCUCGACUUGUCGCAAAAGGUUUUAGACAAGUUCAAGGGGUUGACUAUGAUGAGACUUCCUCAACUGUAGCAAUGCUUAAGUCCAUCCGAAUCAUAUUAGCAAUUGCCACAUUUUAUGAAAUCUGGCAAAUGGAUGUAAAAACUGCAUUCCUUAAAUGGAUAUCACUAAGAAGAGUUGUAUAUGAUGCAACGAGAAGGUUUUGUUGAUCCUAAAGGUGCUAACAAAGUGUGCAAGCUCUAGCAAUCCAUCAAUGGCCUGGUGCAAGCAUCUCAGAGUUGGAAUAUACGCUUUGAUGAGGUGAUCAAAGCGUAUGGUUUUAUACAGACUUAAAGUGAAGCCUGUAUUUACAAGAAAGUGAGUGGGAGCUUUGUAGCAUUUCAGAUAUUAUAUGUGGAUGACAUAUUGUUGAUUGGAAAUGAUAUACAAUUUCUGGAUAGCAUGAAAGAAGCAAGAACUUUUUUCAAUGAAAAACCUUGGUGAAGCUGCUUACAUGUUGGGCAUCAAGAUCUAUAGAGAUAGAUCAAGAUGCUUGAUAAGAUUUUCAAUUAGUACAACCUUGACAAGAUUUUGAAGGAGUUAAAAAUGGAUCAGUCAAAGAAGGAGUUCUUGCCUAUAUAACAACGUGUAAAGUUGAGUAAGACUCAAAGCCCGACCACGGUAAAAGAUAGAGAGAGAAUGAAAGUCAUUCCCUAUGCCUCAGCCAUAGGUUCUAUAAAGUAUGCCAUGUUGUGUACCAAACUUGUUGUGUACCUUGCCCUGAGUUUGGAAAAAGAGGGUACAAUAGUGAUCUAGGAAUAGAUCACUGGACAACAGUCAAAAUUAUCCUUAGAGAGGACUAAGGAAAUGUUUCUCGGUUAUGGAGUUUAUAAAGAGUUCGUCGUAAAGAGUUAUGUCGAUGCAAGCUUUUACACUAAUCCAGAUGACUAUAAGUCUCAAUCUGGAUACAUAUUGAAAGUGGGAGCAAUUAGCUAGAGUAGCUCCAUGCAAAGCUGAAAGGAUCGAUAUGGUUGACUAGAGGGGGGGAGGGGUGAAUAGGCAACUAACAAUUUUUAAGCUUUUCUUUAUCAAAUUGAACUUUGCAACAAAAUAGGUAGUCUAGAUAUGCAACUAUGUGAGCAACCUAUAUGAUGCAAAAACAACUAGCACAUAAGCAAGCAAGGGAUACAACACAAGUAAGCUUGCAAAAGGGAAGGAAUGAAAUAACCAAGAGUGGAGCCGGUGGAGACGAGGAUGUGUUACCGAAGUUCCUUCCUUUUAAAGGGAAGUACGUCUCCAUUAGAGCGGUGUGGAGGCAAAAUGCUCCUUGUCGGUGUCAAAACCGGCGGAUCUCGGGUAGGGGGUCCCGAACUAUGUGUCUAGGCGGAUGGUAACAUGAGACAAGGGACACGAUGUUUUUACCUAGGUUCGGGCCCUCUUGAUGGAGGUAAAACCCUACUCAUGCUUGAUUUAUAUUGAUGAUAUGGGUAGUAUAAGAGUAGAUCUACCAUGAGAUCAGAGAGGCUAAACCCUAGAAGCUAGCCUAUGGUAUGAUUGUUGUUUGUCCUACGGACUAAAACCCUCCGGUUUAUAUAGACACCGGAGAGGGCUAGGGUUACACAGAGUCGGUUACAAUGGGAGGAGAUCUUCAUAUCGUAUCGCCAAGCUUGCCUUCCACGCCAAGGAAAGUCCCAUCCGGACACGGGACGAAGUCUUUAAUCUUGUAUCUUCAUAGUCCAGGAGUCCGGCCAAAGGUCAUAGUCCGGUCAUCCGGACACCCCCUAAUCCAGGACUCCCUCAGUAGCCCCUGAACCAGGCUUCAAUGACGACGAGUCUGGCGCGCAUAUUCUCUUCGGCAUUGCAAGGUGGGUUCCUCCUCCGAAUACUUCAUAGAAGAUUUUGAACACAAGGAUAGUGUCCGGCUCUGCAAAAUAAGUUCCACAUACCACCAUAGAGAGAAUAAUAUUUGGACAAAUGUAAUCUGCUGAUGUAUUCCACAGCGUGACAUCAUGCCACGGCCAAGCCUUUAUUCAAAUCAUUUUGCUGUCCCACCUCAACGCAUUUAGCGAGGAGGUUUCCUUGGCACGUCUUGUCGAAGCAGAGAUCGUGUCCCCUUAUUCUGGGAUUCUCAUCAAUACGGGCGUGGGUAACCCAACCGUGCCAUUAAUCACGGCGCUUGGGAGAUAAGCGAGUUUUACCAGGCUGGUGGGGGUACAUAGUUUCGUCUGCCCAUAUAAUGGGAUAAGGAUCCACCCUUUCCAUCUACGACUUCUUCCUCCUUCGCUUAUCCAUUUCCGUGCACUCGGGCUCCAGCUCCCAAGUCCUCACUUCCCACCUCAACCUUCUCCAACCAUGUCCGGAGUGGGAGGCAGGUGGAUGGCCUCCUCCGUCAUGGAGGGGCACAUCAAAACACUGAGGAAGGUCGGAUACUUGUCCAAUGACAUUGCGCACCGGCUCCCAGAUGAGGGGAAGCUCAUCCCCACCCCCAGGCCCCAUGAGAGGGUGGUGUUCCUCCCCCAUUUCCUCCGCGGACUGGGCUUCCCACUCCACCCGGGCUCAUGUUCUACUACGGCCUGGAUUUCCAUGAUCUGGCCCUGAACUUCAUCCUCAACAUCUCGGCGUUUAUCGUCGUGUGCGAGGUCUUCCUCCGCAUCAAGCCCCACUUCGGCUUAUGGCUGAAGACCUUCAAUGUCAAGCCGAAGGUUGUGGGCGGCCGGCAAGUGGAGUGCGGAGGCGCCAUGGUGGGCAAGAUGCCCAACGUCACAUGGCUCGAGGGCUCCUUUGUGGAAACCAUCAAAGGGUGGCAAUCGGGGUGGUUCUACAUCACCGAGACGCGUGACCCUGAAUGGGCAGCGGCCCCCAAAUUCCAAUGUGGCAUCCCCACACGGCUCACCUCCUGGAAAGAGACGGGUCUGUCGUGGGGUAAUUCGGAAGAGGUAACCGGACUCCAAACCUGCGUCCAAAACCUGGUGGACAAGAAGGUUAAACUUGUCAACGUAGUCCAGGUCAUGCUCUUCCGCCAGAUCCUCCCGUGUCAACGACGGGCUUUUAACUAUGGGAGCUCGACCCGGCCCAACACCAAACUUUGUCCAGGCUCUUGACACAAUGCACGAAGACGCCUGGAAGGUGCUAUUCAAGGGCUCCGAGGUUCCCCCUCCCAUUACCGAGGACCGCGGAUUCUGCGUGAAGUGCCAAGACAGCGCAGUAAGCUUUUUUUACCCGUUACAGGAUAGUUGUUUUUCAUAGUUUGACUCUAUGCGGGAUCUAAGCUCCCUCUCCUUUGACAGGACUGGAAGAAGACGUCCGGACAGAUUGAUUGUCCGGCUCCUUUGCCUGAAGGCCCAGCAGGUGCACGCUUGGCGAAGCUGCUGGUCCCGGCACCUCACGUGGUGCCGGAGAAGAAGGCCAAGAAGAAGGCCACGGGAACUCGAAAGAGUUCCCGACGCUUGGUGGUGUCGGAUUCAUCGCCCGACGACCCCGAAGCGCACUCCUCCCCCGAAGACGAGGAGGAGGAAGAAGAAGCCUCUCCACCUCCAACGGGGGAGGAAAGAAAAGGAAGGCCACCCCAACUGGGGAGGCCGGAGGGUCCAAGAAGGGAAAACCCCUUAUUCCGGACUACUCCACCAGCACCGACGACGGCGGAGAGGGGUGGCCAUCCAGGGCCAAGCCCCUGGCAAAAUUAUAACUAUCCGGAUACCAGAAUAACUCAUGGCGUUCCUUUAUUGCACAGUAUCUUCUAACACCGAAUAUAAUCAUGCAGUCCGCCUAAGGCCCGGCUCGACUCUUCGUCGAGCGGCUCCCUGGAUUCGUCGGAUGUGAAUAUCCUUUCACUCCCGACUGCUACCUCCCCUCGCCCUAUGGACGAUGUCGAGGUGGAGUCCCAAAAGGGGCCAAACCAGGAGGAGGUGGUCCUGGAGGCGCCGCAAGGCGACCUCCCGGACUCCAGGCGCCAAGGGAAUAAAACCCCAAGGGGCUCUAAGUUUGGCCCGGGGCCGGACAUCGCACCGGAAUCUUCAGUGGUUCCGGAGUCUGGCAGGCGGCCCCCUCGUAAGAAGGGCAAGCCUACGACAUCGGUGACCUCCGUCCAACCGGAGGCACCGGAUAAUUUGCUGGAGGUGCUUAAAGGCGCCUCCAUCGACGAGGAGCACCGCACUAUUAUGAGUGCGGUGAUCCAGAAGGUUCAGUCCGCCAAGAGCGGGCUGACUGAAGCCUGUGCCAGCCUUCUAACAGGUUUUGAGGUAUGUAUCUAAGACAUGUAACAAUAUUACCGCAUAGACAGUAGCCCCUGAUGCUCAGUUUGGUGUUCGGAAAGAAAAGCCGGACUGAUGAUCUAAAAAGAUAUACGCAGGAGUCUAACAUAAGUAUGUCAACAUGGGAAUGCAGGUUGCACUGUUGACCUCUGCCGCACUGACUGCGGAGGUCAAUGCAUUGAAGCAGAACCUCGAGCGGUCCGAGAACGAUCUCGGCCUUGCCAAGAAGCAGCUCGAGGACAAGGAAGGUAAGUAGUACCUUAUGUAAGUAUAUUAAAAUACCUGGUUGCAAAUAGUGACAGGACCAACGUGAGUGUUACAGGGGCCACAACCGAGGUGGCGACCCUGAAGGAAGCGCUUUCCAAGGCCGAAGACAAUGCGGCCGUGGAGCGCACCGAGCGAGAAAAGCAGGAGGCGCGGGCGGAGGAGGUGCGGCAAGAGCUCCACGCUCUUGUGAAAAAACACGAGAGUUUGGAGCUUGACUCAAAGACUCGAGAGUCCGAGCUUGCCUCGGCCCUUGAGAGCGCCAGAUCUGCCAAGGCCGAAGCCCAAGAAGCCCUCCAGGAAAUUGAGGCGAUGAAGAAGAUAGCGGCGGGUAAGGCAUUCUUUAUGCAAAGCAAGCACGUGAAAGUGAAUUACUUGUUACUUACCCGAGUCUGGAGCUCUCUAGUAGCAUUCACAGAUCUGCCUCGCAGUGUGUCCGCCGCCGCCGCAUUCUACCGAGCCGAGGAAGGGAGCUCGAUGGAGAAGGUGUUCUGGUCCAAGUAUGUUGAGGCCGGACACCCGGUGCCCUUGAGCGACCAGCUGAAGCAGUUGGUCGAGCUCCAUAAGGCAGCCGAAUAGGCCAUGAAGGGCCUUAUAUGCUGGCUAUGGCCUGGGGAGGCCAUGCCUGGGAGUUACUUUGGGCUGGUGAGGCGGUUGGUGGAUGCCUGUCCAUGGCUUGAAACCAUCAAGCGCUCCAUAUGUAUCUAAGGCGCCCGUAGGGCCCUUGACCGUGUUAAAGUACAUUGGGGCAAGAUGGGUGCUGAGAAGCUGGUGACAGAUGGGCCAUCGGAGGGGAAGGAGCAUCGCAAGCCCGAGUUGUAUUAUGAGGGCGUCCUGAAGGGUGCCUGCCUUGUGGCGAAUGAGUGUUCCAAGGAUGUAAAUUUUGAGUAAACUCGCUCGUGUUAUCCUGUGCGCUGAAAACUUGUUCAUAUGCGCUAAGCAACGCUUUUUGAAUUUAAAAUAUUACCUUCUGUGUGGCCAUUUAUUAAAUCUGAGAGAUGCGAGUCAUCGGCUUCUACCCCCAUGCCACGAGUGUUGGGGUGUUCGGGAUAAACCUGAGCGCUCUUGUUCCCAUUCUUGGGUCCUUCGAGGGAGGCGCUAAGCACAACGAACAAGGCAAUCGGACUAUAAUGCUUUAUCACUCUCACUUAGCCAUAGAAUUCUAUAAUUUUAAAUUUUGGCGAAGCCCCUAGUAUUCGGAAGACCGAGUUAGGGGUGCUAUCCACACCUAGGCCGGACAAAGCCAGCUCCUCGCUCUAAGCGGCAUAAGUCUUUAGGGACUCGAAAACCUCUCGAACAGCGACCGACUCUCGCCCUAUCAUGACAGUCAGUUUUAGCUUUCUCUACUGAGGUGCUUAACCCAACUCAACUGGGGCACAAUCGCAGUAGUUCUCCCAGCGCUACCUUAGCCGAUAUAGCGGAACGUAAGGUACCAAAACAUCGGAGCCGGGCAAACCCAACAAUUGACCCAAGACAUGAUUCGGAGCCGAUGCAUAUAAUGCUAUAAGUUCGGGGUGCCGCACUCGUGAGAGUGUUCGGACUUCUCACACCAUUUUCUGGGGUACUUGAGCCCCUGGUGUAUCGGCCGUACCAAAGUGUACGGUUGCAUAAUGUCAUAACUGAACAUAUUUACAUAAAAAAUGAAUGCAAUAAUAGACGAGAGCUAUGUAUUGUUUAUUAAAAGGCUGCUGUGAAAGCAGAACGAUACAAAUAGUGUGAUAAGCAAGAGAUGGGAUUAUUUGACAUGUCCCCCUGCAGGGGCAAGCUGCGAGACUUUAUGUAAGACAGUUAUUUAGCUCGUUAUAGAGACCACCUGGACAUUCAACGCAGGUUGCUGCCUCACUGGCUGUUGCAUCGUGUAUUCGGCGAUUGUACUGCCGGACAUACCUUCCGGAGAGUGGAGUCCUAAAAGUAAGAAAAAAGAAAUGACAAAAUUUGGAGCCCCUAGUGCGGUUGAGCCGCAUGUUGGGCGUGCCGUGGUUGUGCCCCUCCCCUUGUGCCCAUGGUAUUUCCAGGGCGUAAUUAUGUACGCGUAGUACUGGUUUCGCAAUUUCGCGAGGCCUGGGGUUGGGGUCGCACUGCUACGCUUGCUCGAAACGUGCUAGGCGGUCUUUUUGUAGGUUACUCCGAGCGCGCUUGAUGGUGUCCGGACGUUUAAUAGCCGUACUGGAGAAUUGCCUUGAGAGGCUACUUUGUACUUCUGCCGUGAGGGCCGCCGUAUGCUCCUCUAUUCGGAGAGAGCAUUCGGUGUUUCCAUUGACCGUGAUGACUCCGCGAGGGCCUGGCAUCUUGAGCUGGAGGUAUGCAUAGUGCGGCACCGCAUUGAAUUUUGCAAAUGCGGUUCGUCUGAGAAGGCGGUGAUAGCCACUGCGGAACGGGACUAUGUCAAAGAUUAACUCCUCGCUUUGGAAAUUAUCCGGGGAUCUGAAGACCACUUCGAGUGUAACUGAGCCUGUACAGUUGGCUUCUACACCUGGUAUGACGCCUUUAAAGGUCGUCUUUGUGGGUUUAAUCCUUGAGGGAUCUAUGCCCAUUUACCGCACUGUAUCCUCGUAAAGCAGGUUUAGGCUGCUGCCGCCGUCCAUGAGGACUCUAGUGAGGUGAAAUCUAUCGAUGAUUGGGUCUAGAACCAAUGCGGCGAAUCCUCCAUGGCGGAUGCUAGUGGGGUGGUCCCUUAAAUCAAAAGUGAUCGGGUAGGAGGACCACGGGUUGAACUUUGGGGCGACUGGCUCCAACGCAUAUACGUCCCUGAGUGCAUGCUUCCGCUCCCUUUUGGGGAUGUGGGUUGCGUAUAUCAUGUUCACCAUCCGCACUUGUGGGAGAAAGCCCUUCUGUCCCCUAUUGUUCGGCGGCCGGGGCUCCUCCUCGUCAUCGCUAUGCGGCCCCUUGUCUCUAUUUUCGGCAUUUAACUUGCCUGCCUACUUGAACACCCAACAAUCCCUGUUGGUGUGAUUGGCUAGUGUUUCGGGGGUGCCGUGUAUCUGGCACGAGCGAUCGAGUAUUCGGUCCAAACUGGACGGGCCCAGAGUAUUUCUUUUGAAUGGCUUUUUCUGCUGACCGGGUUUAGAGCCUCUGAAUCCGGCAUUAACUGUCGUAUCCUCGGCAUUGUCACUGUUAAUGCGGAAAUUAUGCUUGUUGCGAUGCGACCUACCAUUAUUGUCCUUGGUAUCCGAAUUACCAGGGCUCUUGGUCAUGUUAUUACUACGAGCUAGCCAGCUAUCUUCUCACGCGCAAAAGCGGGUCAUGAGUGUUGUGAGGGCUGCCAUGGAUUUCGGCUUUUCCUGUCCUAGGUGCCGGGCAAGCCAUUCGUCUCGGAUGUUAUGUUUGAAGGCUGCAAGGGCCUCUGCGGCCGGACAGUCGACUAUUUGAUUUUUCUUGGUUAGGAACCGUGUCCAGAAUUGUCUGGGCGAUUCCUCUGGCUGCUGAAUUAUGUGGCUUAGGUAUUCGGCGUCUGGUGGUCGCACAUAGGUGCCCUGGAAAUUGUCGAGGAAUGCGGCUUCCAGGUCCUCCCAGCAACCAAUUGACUAUGCUGGCAAGCUGUUAAGCCAAUGCCGAGCUGGUCCUUUAUGCUUGAGUGGGAGGUAUUUGAUAGCAUGUAGAUCAUCAUCGCGGGCCAUGUGGAUAUGAAGCAUAUAAUCCUCGAUCCAUACCGCAUGAUCUGUUGUGCCAUCAUAUGAUUCUAUGUUUACGGGCUUAAAACCCUCGGGGAUUUGAUGAUCCAUUACUUCAUCUGUGAAGCAUAGUGGGUGUGUGGCGCCUUUGUACUGGGCUAUAUCACGACGUAGCCCAAAUGAGCUUUGUCUGCUGUGUUCGACCUGGCCGUAUUUUCCAUAUCUGGCAUGAUGGUUAUCGUCACGUGCCGUGGGGUGCCCACGCAAUCUGUAAAUCGAUCUUGUUUGCCUUGCCUUGUCCUCCAAUAUGUCUUGCAGGUCUUGCGCAUUUCCCCGUGCCUUGGUAUUUUUUGAGCAACGUCGGGGUGCGGCUUGAGUGGAUGGCCGAGAGGCCUCUCUGUCGCGGCCACGAGGUGGCCGGUCGGCCGCAUCGUGCGCGGUGAUGUAGGUUUAGGUGCUUCCUCCUCUAAUCGGGGUAGCAGCCUGCGCUUUGGGUAGCUCUUGGAGGGGCGUUCGAGUUCGUACUCUUCGGCCGCAAGGACUUCAGUCCAUCUGUCGGCUAGCAAGUCUUGGUCAGCUCUAAGCUACUGCUGUUUUUUCUUGAGGCUGCUCGCCGUGGUCAUAAGCCUGCGUUUGAAACGUUCUUGUUCGACGGGAUCCUCAGGCAUGACAAAUUCGUCGUCGUCGAGGCUUGCCUCGUCUUCGGAGGGAGGCAUGUAAUUAUCGUCCUCUACCUCUCUGUCUGCCGCUCUCUCACGAGGGCUGGCUUCUCCAUCCUCCUGUGCUAAGUCCUGCUGGAGGGGGUUGUCUUCGGCACUGCCGAGAUGUUAUUAUCUCCCAUGCCGGAAUUGCCGUUUUUGCUUUGGCGGGAUUUGGAGCGGCGCCGCUGAUGCCGGCGCUUAGGCUGCUUCUUGGAGGGGUCAUCCUCCAUUGUUCCAUCGCCAUCCCCUUCUUUUGGGGUAUCCACCAUGUAUAUGUCGUAUGAAGAGGUGGCUUUCCAGUGCCCUAUAGGCGCUGGUUCUUGGUCGUCUCCCGCAUCGGCGUCCAUACCGUCGAUGUCUUCGGAGUCGAAGUCGAGCAUGUCGGUUAAAUCAUCAAUAGUGGCUACGAAGUGGGUGGUGGGAGGGUUUUGAAUUUCUUCAUCGUCCGCAUCCCAACCUUGCUGACCAUAGUACGGCUAGGGCUCUUCGGAUAAAGAGAGAGACUUUAGUGAAUUCAGGAUGUCGCCGAAGGGCGAGUGCUGAAAGAUGUCCGCGGCGGCGAACUCCAUGAUCGGCGCCCAAUCAGGUUCGAUCGGCAGGGGCACGGAAGGUUCGGAGUCCGGAAAGGAGUCCGGCACCUUGGAGUCACGAGCUUCACAAAGGACAAGAAUAGUAUCCGGCUCGAUCGCCGUAGAGAUUGCAGCCCCGGGGCGGUGUCCAACCACCCAUCCUUGAUUGGCGCAGUCGGCUCCGAGCUAAGGGUUGGAGCGGACACUGGUGCAUCCUCAUGGGCACUGUUCGGCGGUAGAGCUAGAUCAUGCCCAUCGUGACAGUGCGGCGCGCUCGGCUGUGGCUCGAACCCGUCGAAGAUCAACUCUCCACGGAUGUCAGCCGUGUAGUUUAAACUUCCAAACCUGACCUGAUGGCCAGGGGCAUAACUUUUGAUCUGCUCCAGAUGGCCAAGCAAAUUGGCCCGCAGUGCAAAGCCGCCGAAUACGAAGAUCUGUCUGGGGAGAAAAGUAUCACCCUGGACCGCGUCGUUGUUGAUGAUCGGAGGAACCAUUGGGCCUAAAGAUGAUGACACAGAGGAACUCUCAAUGAAAGCACCAAUGUCGGUGUCAAAACCGGCGGAUCUCGGGUAGGGGGUCCCGAACUGUGCGUCUAGGCGGAUGGUAACAGGAGACAAGGGACACGAUGUUUUUACCCAGGUUCGGGCCCUCUCGAUGGAGGUAAAACCCUACUCCUGCUUGAUUAAUAUUGAUGAUAUGGGUAGUACAAGAGUAGAUCUACCACGAGAUCAGAGAGGCUAAACCCUAGAAGCUAGCCUAUGGUAUGAUUGUUGUUUGUCCUACGGACGAAAACCCUCCGGUUUAUAUAGACAUCGGAGAGGGCUAGGGUUACACAGAGUCAGUUACAAUGGGAGGAGAUCUUCAUAUUGUAUCGCCAAGCUUGCCUUCCACGCCAAGGAAAGUCCCAUCCGGACACGGGACGAAGUCUUCAAUCUUGUAUCUUCAUGGUCUAGGAGUCCGGCCAAAGGUCAUAGUCCGGUCAUCUGGACACCCCCUAAUCUAGGACACCCUCACUCCCCAAGAAGCCACUAGGGCCACCGUAAUCUCCUCACGCCCUCACACAAUGCAAGGUGCCGUGAUUCCACUAUUGGUGCCCUUGAAGGCGGCGACCGAACCUUUACAAAAAAGGUUGGGCCAAUCUCCACAACUUAAUUGGAGGCUCCCAACGACACCAUGAAGCUUCACCACAAUGGACUAUGGCUCCGAGGUGACCUCAACCGUCUAGGGUGCUCAAACACCCAAGAGUAACAAGAUCCGCUAGGGAUUAGUGGGAGGAAUCGAAUAUCUCUUGGUGGAAGUGUAGAUCGGGGCCUUGUCACCCAAUCCCGAGCAAAUAAACAAGUUUGAUUGGCUAGGGAGAGAGAUUGGCUGAAAAUGGAGCUUCGAGCAACAAUGGAGUUUAGGGUUGGAAGAGGUGGUCAACUAGAGGUAGGAGACACACCUUUUAUAGUGGAGGACAACAUCCAACCGUUAUCCAUGUAGACCAGCCUGCGACCUGCGGUACUACCGCUCCAGGGGCGCGGUACUACCGCAAGGCCAUGCGGUACUACCGUGGGAGACCACGGUACUACCGCGGUAGCUGCAGAGACUAUAACACAAGCAGUACUACCGUGAGCGCGGUACUACCGCUCCCACCUGCGGUACUACCGCGAGGCAGGUAAAUCCUAGUAUGGAAACGACACAGAUGAAUAAAAAUACAUCCGUGCCUACUUCCAUGGUCAAUGAGACGAUGCAAACAUCCGUCAUGGUACUACCGUGCACAAGGCGCGGCACUACCGUGUGGGUGCGGAUGUAAAAAAAUACAUCCGCCCCUACUACCGUGAAGCAAUAGCACUAGGCCAGGGAACCACGGUACUACAGCUCGGGGGGAGCGGUACUACCGUGGGCGCCCGCGGUACUACCGCCCUCAUGGUGCGGUACUACCAUGUGGGCGCGGAUGUAAAAAAUUACAUCCGUGCCUACUACCGCGAGGCAACGGUACUUGGCCAGGGAGCCAUGGUACUACGACUCCGAAGGAGCGGUACUAUCGUGGGCUCUCGUGGUACUACUGCGCAUGGGCACAGUACUACCGCAAGUGCCUGCGGUACUACCGCUCCAGGGAGCAGUACUACCGCAAGCUCAGCAAUAGUAGUCCAGACACUCACAUAGAGGAUAGACGGGGAAUGCUCCAAAGUGCAAGGGAAAGGAGGAGACAAGGAAGGAAACGUGUAUGUGAUGAUUCCACCAGAACCUUUCCGACGCGGACCCCCUCUUAAUAGUACAGCUCUCCUACGACUCAAAUCCACCAAAAAGAAACGUAGAAAAACGCCGUCUUCAAUAGUCUUCGAGGGGCACCGAACCGUCUUGUGCCUAGCGAUGAAGCAACUGAGAAACUCAAGGCACACGAUUAGUCCGCAAAAGCAUUGUCAUCAAUCACCAAAACACUUAGGGAUAAAUAAGCCCUUACAAUCUCCCCCUUUUUGGUGGAUUGAUGACAAUACGGGAUUUGCACAAAGGGAAAUAAUAAUGAGCAUAGGCAAACCCCUCUUCUCUAAAAUGUAGACGGGCUCCCCCUAGAUGUGUGCAAUCUAGAUGGAUUCUUUGGACUGCACAACACACAAGCUAGGAUCAACACUCCCCCUAUAUUUUAGAGACAAGGCAUGUAAGACUAACAAUCUAAGUAAGUGCAUAAACAUAGGUAGCACAAUAUAACACUAGCUCACUAAGAUAGAUAGAGUGCAUAUGUCUUACACCAUAUGAGGGACAAACUAAAUCAAAGCAACCGAAACGAGGGUCAAACGAGACACGCAGGUUCAAACGAGACACACAAACACAUGAAACACGACACACUACUCGCAAAUCCCUACACUCUCUCCCCCUUUGGCAUCGAGACGCCAAAAAGGCAAAGAGGACACCUGGACACAAGUGGUGGCUCAAGCAGCGAAAUCAUCCCAACGGUCCUCGUCAGACCCGGCAGUAGGAAUGGUCUCCUCGACGUCCUCCUCAGAAUCAGUCCACUUGUAGCCUUGUUUCUCCAUCCACUCAGCCUCUGGAGUAAUGUGAUCCUCAGACCCGCCAGACACGUCCUCUCCAUACAACUUCAGAAUCUUCUUGUCGCGGCGACGACUCUCCUUGGAUGCCACGUGAGUCCUGUACUGCCCCUUAGCUUGCAUGCAGAAAAGAGUCUUCAUCUUGUCCUUCAGCUUCUUGGCCCACGAGGGCAUAGAGGAACUAUGGGAAGACCCAGUAGCAUGGUCAGCAGCAACAUCAUCUGCUUCAGCAUCAUCCUCAUCAACAUCCCUCUUAGCAGCAGUCGCCUCAGCACGAGUAGUAGUGUUGGCCCAGUUGGGCUUGACAGGGAGACUGAUGGGAUCAUGCUGAAUCUAGUCAGGAGCAAGGAACUCAUCACCAGGGUACUGCUUCGCCCAAGUCUUGGAGAUCAAUAGAAACAGGUAUGGUCCAUAGAUAGGCACCUUGCGGUUGAACACCGCAAACUGAAGCUCACACCACAUGAUGUGUGAGACAUCAAGUGGCUGAGUCUGAGACACGCGAGCCUCCUCGCACAGGAGCAUCGUAUCCACCAUAUAGGCUUGAACCUUGUCCUUGUCACCAAUGUGAGGGAACAGAGAGUUGCGGAAGAUGCGAUACAUGAUAUCUAGAAAAGAGUUGAGCACCCACAUCGACUUGCUAUUGGCAAGCACCUUCUCAACAUAAAACGGUUGAAGCUUGUCCUUGUCCGCAGACUUAGAAUGGGCAUGGGGGCGAACACCCACUGGUGAGUUGAGCCCGUCAUCAGGAACCUGGAGCAGAUCCAUGAACUCCUUCCAGGUAGUAGUCAACUGACGACCAUUGUUCAUCCAGGUCAUCCUCCGCUCCUCCCCAGAGUGAAAGAACACUGAGGCAAAGAACUGACAAAUAAGCUCAGGGUCAUAGUCAAGAUGGAAAGAGAUCACAUGCUCAAUAUCAAACUACUCCACCAAAUCCAGAGCUUCUCCAAAGUACUCACGAUACUUGUCCUUCCUCAGGUGAUGCAUGUCUAUCCACUUGACAUCCACAUAGGUAUUCUGCUUGUUCUUGAUGACAUCCAGAUAGGUGAGAGUCUGCUACUUGUUCCAAAACAACUCACAGCCUCUGACGGUAGCACGAGGAAUCACAUAUGGGUUGAGCUGCCUGAGACGGAUGUACUCAGAUUGGGGUAUCUCGUCCAUGCCCUUAGAGGGUUCCUUGUGCUUCCUAGCGGUGGCUUUGACAUGGCGCUUGGAGGCAGAGGAGCCCUCUGGUGCUUCACCGGGAUUGCGCAGAUGCUUGGAGCCAGUGUCACGACUGGGAUUGGAACGGCAAGAGCCACCACCCGAGACACGAAACACAAAACACCCACGACAAGCAAAAAGGAUCAAUGCAAAGACCACGACAAAGCACAAGAAACACAUAGUAAGUAUACGUGAAAGUUGCCAUGAGAUAGAUGGGAUCCACGAUAGUACUGCCGGAUGCAUUUUAGUACCGCUCCAAGUCGCGGUAGUACCAUGCGAGGUCAUGGUAUUACUGGGAUGGGAGCGGUAGUAAAAUUUUAGUGCCGUAGCGAGCGCGGUAGUACCGCGCCUGACGGGCGGUAGUACCGGACAAGCGGUAGUAUCGCACAGGUGGCGCGGUAGUACCGCACUGCGUCAGAUCCAAACCAAAGUUUGAAUCUGAGAAGAACCGCAAAACCACAGCGGUACUAAGCUUGAUCAAAUCUAGCACAGGACAAAAAGACAAGUAUAAUCCCUACGCGAUACCACUCUCCUACAUCCUACUCUUGCAUAGAUUUAGCCUAAAAUCUCAAGAACACACAAGUCUCCCCCACAAACCUAGAGGCAAAGAAAACAACAAAAAUGAGAGGGAGUAGGGAAAAGACCUUGGUCCAUGGCAAGAGCACGUGGUGGGGAAUGAUCCCACCGGACGGAAUCGCAGGAGAGCAGCCGAAGGCGGAGAUCCGGCGAAGGACCCCAGCCCCGUUCUUGAGCGAGUGAGAGAGAGAGAGACGACGUGGGGAAAUUGACGAAUGGGUAUGGGGGAGUUAGAACUCCCCCUCCCCGUCCUUAUCCCCAUGCGUCUAUGACGUCGCGGUAGUACCGCACAUCAUCGCGGUAGUACCGCUUGGGCGGAAGUUCCGCACCAAAGCAGUAGUACCGCUCUCCCAAGCGGUAGUAAAAAAUUACUGCCGUGUGGGGGCAGUAGUACCGAUCUCUCCACACGCGGUAGUACCGUAGCAUGCUGCGGUAGUACCGUGAGCUCAAGAAAAAGCAGGUUUAACACAAAAGAAGUCUUUGCAAGGAAACUUUUAGCACAAGAGACACCACAAGAACACGCACAACCCAAAGGCAGAAAGACAACAAGAAGCAACCACGCAACACACCCUCUCAAAAAGAGAGGGUGAUGGCCGGAGCCACCUAUGUUUGAGUCAGUUGGUAUGGCACCGCGAAUAAUUAUCCUUGGGCCCAUGACCAAAACUCGUCUUUGAAGCACAAGUACCAUAAAAAUGGCUAAUGUGAAAGAGUUGAUCGAUUUAUGCAUAAUGGCAGGAGGGAGGGUUCAUUGAUAGAACGACACUCCCCCUAUGUCCAUGCCUACACCUAAACUAGACAACAAGUUGAGUGAGGUGGGGUGUGCACGGGCUCAAGUCACAUUGCUCGAAUCAAUGAUAUUUAGCUCAUGCCUUAACUCGCGAAAUCUUGCUUCAUCCAAGGGCUUCGUGAAAAUAUCUGCAAGGUUAUCAUGAGUGUUGACAUACUUGAGCUCGAUCUCCCCUCGCCUAAUGUGAUCCCGGAUGAAGUGAUACCGAAUCUCAAUAUGCUUCCUCUUGAAAUGUUGCACUAGGUUGAGAGAAAUCUUGAUGGCACUUUCAGUGUCACACCAAAGAGGCACUUUGUCACAAAUGACACCGUAUUCCUUUAAAGUUUGCCUCAUCCAUAAGAGUUGUGCACAACAACUACCGGCCGCCACAUAUUCCGCUUCGGUGGACGACAGAGACACACAACUUUGCUUCUUGGAAGACCAACUCACCAAAGAGCAACCAAGAAAUUGGCACCCUCCAGAAGUGGACUUCCUAUCCACCUUGUCUCCCGCCCAAUCGGAAUCCGUAAAUCCUUCGAGCUUGAAGUUAGCUCCUCUUGGGUACCAUAGGCCAAAGUUUGGGGUAUGAGCCAAAUAUUGAAAGAUUCACUUGACCACCACAUAGUGGCUUUCCUUUGGUGCGGCUUGAAACCGUGCACACAUUCCCACACUCAACAUGAUAUCCGGUCUAGAUGCACAAAGGUAAAGCAAGGAUCCAAUCAUAGAGCGAUAUACCUUUUGAUCCACCACUUUACCAUUGGUAUCAAUGUCAAGUUGGCACUUGGUGGGCAUUGGAGUAGAGGCCGACUUGACAUCACUUAGCUUGAAUCUCUUAAGCAUGUCUUGAGUGUAUUUGGCUUGGUUGAUGAAGGUACCUUCUCUUCUUUGUUUGAUAUCAAAACCAAGGAAGAACUUCAACUCUCCCAUCGAUGACAUCUUGAACUUAGAGGUCAUGAGAGCGGCAAAUUCUUCAUUGAAAGCUUUGCUAGGGGAACCAAAGAUAAUGUCAUCAACAUAUAGUUGGCACACAAACAACUCCCCUUUGACCUUCUUAGUAAAAAGACUGGGAUCGAUUUGCCCAACUUCAAAUCCACGAUCUUGUAACAACUCGGUAAGGUGGUCAUACCACGCACGUGGGGCUUGUUUAAGGCCAUAGAGUGCCUUAUUGAGUUGAUACACAUGAUCUGGGAAGUAAGGAUCCUCGAACCCGGGGGGUUGCUUGACAUAAACCAACUCAUUAAUAGGACCAUUAAGAAAAGCACUUUUCACAUCCAUUUGUUGUAACUUAAAGUUGUGAUGGGAAGCAUAAGCAAUCAACAAACGAAUGGAUUCAAGGCGAGCAAUAGGAGCAAAGGUUUCACCGAAGUCGAUACCCUCGACUUGGGAGUAGCCUUGUGCUACCAAUCUUGCCUUGUUGUGAAUGAUGUUCCCAUGAGCGUCUUUCUUGUUCUUGAAAAUCCACUUGGUUCCAAUGACAUUAUGGUUCCCCGACGGCCGUGGCACCAAUCUCCACACCUUGUUCUACUCGAAGUUGUUGAGUUAUUCAUGCAUGGCAUUGAGCCAAUAUGAAUCUUCAAGCACCUCAUAGACCUUUUGGGCUUCAACACAAGAGACAAACGCGUGAUGUUUACAAUAGUUUGCUAAUUGUCUACGAGUGCUUACCCCCUUUCUUAGGCUUCUAACCACAUUCUCCAUAAGAUGGCCUUUGGUGGUCAGCUUGGAAGCAAUCUUCGUGGCACGACGCUCUAAUUCCUCCUUGGAUGUGGAAGGAGGAGGAUCAACUUGAUUAUCUUGAGCGCCGUCUUGAGCUUGUUCGAGAUCUUGAGCUUGCUCUUGAUCUUGAACUUGCUCGAGGGGGAGAACUUGACCUUGGGCAUCAUUUGGUGGAUCACCACCAUCUUGAGUUUGAUCUUGCCCUUGGCCUCGUUCAUGAGGUUUAGGGCCUUCACUUUGUUGUUCGGAAGCGUGUGGGUCUUGGGGAGGUGAUGGCUCCACUUGAGUGGAGCAUUGUCCUUCUCCUUCGGCCACAAGGGGUUCCUCAAUGGGUAGAAUAUGACCAAUACCCAUUCUUCUUAUGGCUUGGGGAGGAAUUUCAUCACCUACAUCACAAGUACCACUUUGCUCCACUUGGGAGCCAUUAUUUUCGUCAAACUCCACGUUACACAUCUCCUCAAUGAGUCCGGUGGACUUGUUGAUAACACGGUAAGCAUGAGAGUUUGUAGCAUAACCAACAAAUAUGCCCUCAUAAGCUCUAGCCUCAAAUUUAGACAAACGAACACCCUUUUUGAGAAUGAAACACUUACACCCGAACACCCGGAAGUACUUGAGAUUGGGCUUGUUACCGGUGAGGAUUUCAUAAGGAGUCUUGUUCAAGCCUUUGCGGAGAUAGAGCCGAUUUGAUGCAUGACACGCGGUGUUGAUGGCUUCGGCCCAAAAGUGGUAUGGAGACUUGAACUCCGCUGUCGGUGUCAAAACCGGCGGACCUCGGGUAGGGGGUCCCGAACUGUGCGUCUAGGCGGAUGGUAACAGGAGACAAGGGACACGAUGUUCUUACCCAGGUUCGGGCCCUCUCGGUGGAGGUAAAACCCUACUCCUGCUUGAUUAAUAUUGAUGAUAUGGGUAGUACAAGAGUUGAUCUACCACGAGAUCAGAGAGGCUAAACCCUAGAAGCUAGCCUAUGGUAUGAUUGUUGUUCGUCCUACGGACUAAAACUCUCCGGUUUAUAUGGGUUAGGGUUACACAGAGGGCUAGGGUUAGGGUUACACAGAGUCGGUUACAAUGGGAGGAGAUCUUCAUAUCGUAUCGCCAAGCUUGCCUUCUAUGCCAAGGAAAGUCCCAUCCGGACACGGGACGAAGUCUUCAAUCUUGUAUCUUCAUAGUCCGGGAGUCCGGCCAAAGGUCAUAGUCCGGCCAUCCGGACACCCCCUAAUCCAGGACUCCCUCAGUAGCCCCUGAACCAGGCUUCAAUGACGACGAGUCCGGCGUGCAAAUUGUCUUCGGCAUUGCAAGGCGGGUUCCUCCUCCGGAUACUUCAUAGAAGAUGUUGAACACAAGGAUAGUGUCCGGCUCUGCAAAAAUAAGUUCCACAUACCACCAUAGAGAGAAUAAUGUCUACACAAAUCUAAUCUGCUGACGUAUUCCGCAGCGUGAUGUCACGCCAUGGCCAAGCCUUUAUUCGAGUCGUUUUACUGUUCCACCUCAGCGCGUUUAGCGAGGCGGUUUCCUUGGCACGUCUUGUCAAAGCAGAGACCAUGUCCCCUUAUUCCGGGAUUCUCAUCAAUACGGGCGUGGGUAACCCAACCGCGCCUUUUGGUAUGAUUCUCUAAUUGAAAGCGAGUCCCAAACGGUUACGGGGAGGGCUCUUGGUAUUCAACUCCUUUAUAAAGAGACCAAGGCUUGACUCCUUUCUUUUUCAAUCCAAUCGAAUCCGCCCCUCGCCUCGAGUUCCAACACUCAAAGCUCUAAUUUUAGGCGCUUCGGACCUUCGACAAUGUCUGGCCCCGACCUUCAAGGCCGGUGGGUGCUUUCCUCCAUUACGGAAGAAGACGUGCGAAAGCUGAGAGAUGCCAGGUAUCUAACUGGCGAAAUCUCGCAUAGUCUGCCUGCUCAAGGGCAGGCCAUUCCCUCUCCCUAGCCCGGUGAGAGCAUGGUGUUCACAUCUCACUUCCUUUGGGGGCUAGGCUUCCCGAUUGAUCCCUUCGUGAGGGGGCUGAUGUUCUAUUACGGGCUAGAAUUUCACGACUUAGCUCGGGAGUCCAUCCUCCAAAUUUCAUCAUUCAUCAUCGUGUGUGAGGCCUUCCUCCAUAUCACUCCUUACUUUGGAUUAUGGCUUAGAACCUUCAAGGUGGAGCCGAAGAUGAUAAAAGGGUAGCACGCUGAGUGCAGAGGAGCUAUUAUAAGCAGGAUAGCCGGCGCUCCCUGGCCCGAGGGCACUUUCCAAGAGGAGUUCGGCUUAUGGCAACGGGACUGGUUUUACAUCACAGCCCCCAGGGGCACCACAUGGGUGGCGCCACCUGCUUUCCGCUCGGGUCCCCCACCACGGCGAGCAUCAUGGGCCAAUGAAGGGCUUAUUUGGGGGCCGUCCAAAGACGUGCCCCGACUACAGGACCGCCUUCGGGAUCUCCUAGAAAGAGAUAUUAACUUGACCGUAGUGGCGCAAGUUAUGCUGAUUCACCGCACGCUGCCCUGCAAACGUCGCCCUCUCCGCCUGUGGGAAUUUAAUCCGGAGGGACCAUGAGUCCUCCAACAUUUUAUGGGCGUGACACCCAUGGAGAUGUACAAAUUGUUCUUCGGAUCACAAGCAAGGUGUUCGGAUUUGUGUGAGGAUGCAGGUCUGAGCUGCAAUCGCCCGGAUGCUAAGGUAAGUAGCCCCGUAUUUGGACACACCAUCCGUAUUUUCAUCAAAAAGUUGACCUUUAACAGAGCUAUCCUUUGAACAGGAGUGGAUAGCGAAGGCAAAGCUUAUCAGGUGUCCAACCCCCCUGCCCAAGACCGCACCGGAUCCCGUGUUAACCAGGAUGCUGGAGAUUAUGCUUUCGGCAGAGGGCGAAGAGGGGAAUCAAGGAGCUACUGCCUCCACGGAGGAGACUGUCAGGAAGGGAGGAAUCGAGAAUUCCCCCAACCUGGGAAAGAAAAGGAGUGUCUCUAAAGACCCGGAGGGGAUGACCUCGAAAUGGGGGAAGAAAUCUUUGUCAGGGGAUCCGGCGCCAGAGACUGCCCCGGCCGCAUUGCGCCCUCAAGGGGAUCAGCUUUCCUCCGAGCCGUAAGUAAAGAGAGGGGUUAAAAAAAUGAGUAGCAUCCCUGUUUUAUUUCUGAGGAAGAUAACCAAAAUAUUACCUUGCAGUUCGGAUCUCAACCCUUCUCAGCAGAGCUCGUCUUCAGGUGAUCUUCGUCCUGAGAUGAUGGAGAGCGAAACGCCUCCCCUAGCUGCACCGACUUACGAGGCAGGCGACCCCGAGGUGUCGUCCCGGCGGGUUUCUCCAAGUCCAGAUCCGGAAAAAGGUCGUCGGGCUAGUCCGGUGCCUUCUGGUGCGCGGUCGGAGAGGCUGAGGGAUCUGCUCGGGCGAGCGUCCGUCUCAGAAGAACACCGUAUGUUGAUGAACACGGUGAUAGGAAGGAUUUCAUCCGCGGAAAGCGGAUUGUACGAGGCCGCCAGGAGUUUACUGACAGGCUUUGAGGUACGUGAAAAGGUGUACCUUUUGAUAGAGCUGCAUAUAUAAAAUGCGCCCUGUAUAAAUAGUAGCCCCUGAGACUCUCUGUGUCGUCAAGAGUGAUGGCGCACAGAGGAUCAUAACCCCAGGUAUAAAAUGUCACCUUUUUAUGAAGGUGGCAAGGCGUUUGGUGGCUAGCCGGACUGAUGAAUCUGCCGAGCUAAAGCGGCAACUUGACGUGGCGGAUGCCGACAUCGCGCUUGUAAAUAAGCGGCUAGAUGAGGCACAAGGUAUGCUCCACAGACAUCUGAUAAGACGAGUGCAAUGCUCGUGCCUUACAGUAUAUGUGCUUAAUGCAGAUAGUGCUGCUGCCGUGGAGAACCUUCGGGCGGAACUUGCCCGAGCCAAGGAGCAAGCAAGGAAAAGUGAUGCGGCUGCCAUUAAGGCGGCUGAAGAGCUAAAAGCCGAACAGGCUGCUCACCGCCAGAGCAAGAAGGUAAUAGCCGAGAUGGCUAUAAAAUUGAAGGAUGCUGCCGACCGCUAUAAAUUUCUCGAACAAGAAGAAAGGGCGGCUCAGAAGGACCUUGAGAAGAUCACUGCCGAGGCCAAGGAUACUCGCUCUGCAAUGAGAGCUAUGAAGGAGGAGCUGCGUCAGACCGGAGAUAUCAUGGCUGGAAGGCCCUAUAUGCUGCGGAUGAAGUUCGGGGAUCCUAGGUAUGCUCCGUUAGACCGGCAGUGGAGUGCAGAAAACACUUAUCUGGAUUUGGCAGCGAGUGCGGCAGACGCAAACGAACACUUCCGAGGUCGAGGUGACCAUAAAUUGGAAGAACUUUUUUGGUCGUAGUUCCACAAUCCCGAACGCCCACUUUCGGUAUCCGACCGUUUGGCCGCCUGGCGGAGCUGAACAGGUUAUCCGGACUCGCCAUGAAGUAUGUUGCGAGUCGUUUGUGGCCGGGAGAGCCAGAGCCGAAGAGUUAUUUUGGAUUGGUGCAGCAGUUCCUUGGUUCUGUGCCGCAUGUUGAUGCAAUGAAGAGGUCGGCGUGCAUAGAGGUUGCACAAAUGGCUCUUGCCCAUGUCAAGACAUACUGGGAGGAUAUGAAGGCCAGUGUUGUUGCAUCCCGGGAUUCGGACGAAGGCCGGGUACCUGCCAGGCACUACUUUGAGGAAGUUCUUCCGGGCGCUCGUUUAAUAGAAGUGCAGUGCUCGAAGGAUGUUGUGUUCGAAUAGCAUGUGCUAUUAUAAAAGAAAUAUUUUGAUAGAAUAUAAAAGCUUUUCAUACUUGUGCUUGCAAGAAUUAUAAUACCUCUUGUGUGGCCGUUAAUGUAUAUGUGUAUAUAACCUGAAAGAUGGCAGUCAUUGGCUUCAGCCCCCACGCAUAUAAUGCGGGGGUGUUCGCAAAAAAGGCGCCUUUCACUUAAUCCAACGUCUUGGUCCUACAAAGGAGGUGAUAGCGCGGCGAACUAGGCAACCGGGCUAUAAUGCUUUAUCACUUUCACUUAGCCAUAGGAGUUUGACAUUGGGGCUACUCAAUAGCCCCUAAAGGCAUCGCGCUCGUCCGAAUUCGGGGCGCGUGUGUGCCUGACCAGGAAGCGGUCCUUCGUUAAUGCGGAGGAAUCCUAAAGAUUCCGAGAGUCAUCGAGUGGUUGACCAGUCUCUCGCUAUAUCAUGACAAUCAGUUUUCGCUUUCUCUACUGAGGUGCUCGCCUGGCCGAACCGGGGCACAAUCGCAGUAGUUCUCCUGGUGCCGCAUUAGCCGAUAUAACGAAACGUAAGGCAGCAAAACGCAGGAGCCGGGCAAACCCAACAUUUGACCAAAGACAUGAUUCGGAGCUGAUGCAUAUAAGGCCAAACUCGCGACGCCGAACACUCCCUAAGGUAUUCGGUCUUUAUGAAGACGGGCUGAAAUAGAGCCCUUGGUAAAAAAGCCCCUGGUGUCCAGGUACGCGCAAAAUUCUGGCGUGGCCACAUGCCAAGACGCCAGCCUCCUCCUCGGUUAUAGUGAAAACUGGUGGAUGUUGUCAACAAGAGACAGUAAAAAAGGUUUACACAGGGUCUUAAUCUGAAAAGAAUCCUUGAAACGGGUCCCUACUGCACGUCUGCGCCUGUGUCUCCGGUGUGUCGUACCCUGGACUGGCGUAGCAUGAUGUUCGUCUGCGAAAGAGAGGAACUUAGUAAAAAAUAAGCGUGCGAGAAAUCUAUAUUAAAAUAAACAAAAUAUAGUUGGAGCAAGAAUUGAGUUGUAUUGUCUCCUGGCGUGAACACCCGGAGCCCUUGUACAAGGUUAUGCGGAUAUUAAGCCUAUGUAUGUUUACGCCGGACUCGUCGAGCCGUGUCCGGGAUAGUAGGGCUGGAUUAGUGUGUGGCUGUCCAGGUGGCCGCACCUUUACCCGUACUUUGGGGGUCAAUUGAUAUUCCCCUGUAAUGAGAUGAUGCCUCAUGGGCCGGGCAUUCUAAGUGUAAGGGAUGCAUAAUGCGGUAUUGUGUUAAAGCGGGCAAAAGCUUCACGUCCCAGUAGCGCUUGAUAGCGACUUACGAAUGGGGCGAUGUGGAAUGUUAGCUUUUCGCUUCGGAAGUUGUCGGGUGAGCCGAACAUGACUUCUAACAAAAGGGAACCCAUACUCUGGGUAUCUGGACCCGGCGUGACUCCUUGAAAGGAAGUGUUGCCAUGGCGGAUUAUAGCUGGGUUUACCCCUAGUUUGUGGAUUGUGUCCUGAUAUAACAGGUUUAAGUCACUGCCACCGUCCAUAAGGACUUUUGUAAAUUGGAGUCCGUCAAUAAUCGGAUUCAAGACCAAGGCAGUCCAGCCUGCUUUCCGGGCUCCUAUGGAGUAAUCCUGAUGAUCAAAGGUGAUUGGUUGUGACAACCAGUGGCGGUGCUCCUCUGGGGCUGGCCGUAUGGCGCAUGUCUUCGUAAGCGCCCUUCUGUUUUUCCCUUUUGUCAUCUGAAGUGAAUUUACUAUUUUGACUUCUUGUGGGAACUUCUUUUGUUCUCCGUGUUCUGCUUGUGGGGUGCGUCGUCAUCCUCGCUUGGUGUGUCGAGCCCCUUGUGUUCGGCAUUGAGUUUGCCGGACUGCUUGAAGACCCAACAAUCUCUAUGGGUAUGGUUUGCAGGUCUCCCGGGAGUACUGUGGAUUUGACAUAUUUUGUCCAGGAUUUUGUUGAGGUUAGACAGCUCGUCCCUGUCAUCUUUGGGUGGUGGAUUUUUCUGAUUUUGCCGAGAGCUUUUGAAUCCGGCAUUGACUGUCGUGCUCAUCAGGCUGUUAUCCUUGAUUCAACGCUGUUCUUUGUUACGGUGCGGUUUCCCGUUUCCGUCUCUGAGUUUGGAUGUGCUCGGGUCGCUGGUGCUGCUUCUUGCCAACCAGCUAUCCUCUCCUGCGCAAAAGCGGGUCAUGAGGCUUGUUAAUGCAGCCAUUGUUUUUGGCUUUUCUUGGCCGAGGUGUCUGGCGAGCCAUUCGUCUCGGACGCUAUGUUUGAAAGCUGCGAGGGCCUCGGCGUCCGGAUAGUCGACUAUCUGAUUGUUUUUAGUAAGGAAUCUGUUCCAGAGUUUCCGGGCUGACUCUCCGGGCUGCUGAGUUAUAUGACUCAGAUCAUCUGCAUCCGGAGGUCGGACAUAGGUCCCUUGAAAAUUUGCCUGGAAAGCAUCCUCGAGCGCUUCCCAACUUCCCAUGGUGUUUUCGGGAAGGCUUUUAAGCCAAUGCCGGGCUAGCCCUUUGAGCUUAAGGGGUAAGUAUUUUAUGGCGUGGAGGUCAUCUCCUCUGGCCAUGUGUAUGUGGAGGAUAUAAUCCUCGAUCCAGACUCCAGGGUCUGUUGUUCCGUCGUAUGCUUCUAUGUUCACAGGCUUGAAUCCUGCUGGAAAUUCAUGAUCCAGCACCUCAUCGGUAAAACAUAGGGGAUGUGCGGCGCCCCUGUAUGUAGGUGUGCCGCGAUGUUCGGAUAUUUUUUGCAUUGCAUUGCUCACUUGAGCUUGCUUUCUUGGCCCAUAGAUGGAUCUGGUUGGGCCAGUUUUUUGAUGCGAUUUCUUGGGCGGAUCGCGCACCGUAUUGAGUGCGGCGCCCUUUGUCGCUUGAGAUCGAUCAUGGGGUCGUCUAUCCGACCUUGUGGCUUCCUUAUUUUUUGACUCUGGGGGCUCUAUGGCCUCUUCACCAAAUUUCGGUAGUAGUUUCCGCUUCGGAUAGCUCUUUGUGUGACGACUGUUGCCGUACUUGUGUGCGGUAUUGAGUACUUUGCCCCAUCUGAUCCUGAGUGCAUCUUCCGCUGUUUUGAGCCUCCGUUUCUGCUUUUUCAAGCUACAUGCAGUGGCAAUGAGCCUUUGGUGGAGGUUCUGAUGUUCCAGCAAUUUGUCCGGCGUGAGGUCGUCUGGACUAUUAUCUUUCCCGGGGAUGGGUUGUUCGGAUUGUACGCCCUGUUUGGACGGUUGCUCGAUGGCAUGUUCAUCUUCCGUUGAUUCGCCCUGCUCUAUGGCUGGGUCUUUGUCGAGGUGGGGCUUGGCGUGGCGCUUACGCCGCCGCUUUGAUUGUUUUUCAAGGGAGCUAUCCCUGGUUGAACCCUUUUGGUCCUCGUUGUCGUUUCUUUUAGGUGUGUCCACUAUGUAUACAUCGUAUGAUGAGGUGGCUUUCCAGUGCCCUAUAGGUGCUGUUCUUGGUCGUCUCCUUCAUCGGCGUCCAUACCGUCGAUGUCUUCAGAGUUGAAGUCGAGCAUGUCGGUUAGAUCGUCGAUAGUGGCUACGAAGUGGGUGGUGGGUGGGUUUCAAAUUUCUUCGUCGUCCGCAUCCCAACCCUGCUGACCAUAGUCCAGCCAGGGCUCUCCUGACAAAGAGAGAGACUUUAGUGAAUCUAGGAUAUCGCCAAAGGGCGAGUGCUGAAAGACGUCUGCGGCGGUGAACUCCAUGAUUGGAGCCCAAUCGGGUUCGAUCGGAAGGGGUGCAGAAUAUUCGGAGUCCGAAACGGAGUCCGGCACCUUGGAGUCACGGGCCUUGCAAGGGACUAGGCUGGUAUCCGGCUCUAUCGCUGUAGAGGUUGCGGCUCCGGGGGCGGCGUCCAACCGUCCGUCCCCGACAGGCGCAGUUGGCUCCGAGCUAAUGGUCGGAGCGGACACCUGAGCGGCUCUCUGGGCGCUGUCCGGCGGCAGAGCUAGAUUAUGCCCAUCGAGACAGUGCGGCGUGCUCGGCCGUGGCUCGAAUCCGUCGAAGAUCAAGUCCCCGUGGAUGUCGGCUGUGUAAUUUAAGCUUCCAAACCUGACCUGAUGGCCAGGGGCGUAGCUUUCGAUCUGCUCCAAAUGGCCAAGCGACUUGGCCCGCAGUGCGAAGCCGCCGAAUACGAAGAUCUAUCCGGGGAAAAAAGUCUCACCCUGGACCUCGUCGUGGUUGACGAUCGAAGAAGCCAUCGGGCCUAAAGGUGUCAAAACCGGCGGAUCUCGGGUAGGGGGUCCCGAACUGUGCGUCUAGGCGGAUGGUAACAGGAGACAAGGGACACGAUGUUUUUACCCAGGUUUGGGCCCUCUCGGUGGAGGUAAAACCCUACUCCUGCUUGAUUAAUAUUGAUGAUAUGGGUAGUACAAGAGUUGAUCUACCACGAGAUCAGAGAGGCUAAACCCUAGAAGCUAGCCUAUGGUAUGAUUGUUGUUCGUCCUACGGACUAAAACUCUCCGGUUUAUAUAGACACCGGAGAGGGCUAGGGUUACACAGAGUCGGUUACAAUGGGAGGAGAUCUUCAUAUCGUAUCGCCAAGCUUGCCUUCUACGCCAAGGAAAGUCCCAUCCGGACACGGGACGAAGUCUUCAAUCUUGUAUCUUCAUAGUCUGGGAGUCCGGCCAUCUGGACACCCCCUAAUCCAGGACUCCCUCAUCCGCCAUCAUGGUCCUUGCUGCAUCCAUCAACGUCCAGUUCUUCCUCUCCGCAACACCAUUUUGUUGAGGGGUGUAUGGAGCUGAAUAUUGAUGCUUGAUCCCCUCAUCACUAAGGAACUCAUCCAAGGUGUAGUUCUUGAACUCGGUGCCGUUGUCACUUCUUAUUGUCAAGAUCUUUGCAUCAUGUUGUCGUUGAGCUUCAUUUGCAAAGUCGAUGACGGUUUGUUGGGUUUCACUCUUCCUCUUGAAGAAAUAUACCCAAGUGUAUCUUGAAUAAUCAUCCACAAUCACCAAGCAAUACUUUCUUCCCCCAAGACUAUCAAAGGAUGGAGGCCCAAAGAGGUCCAUGUGAAGGAGCUCCAAGGGUCUCUUCGAGUAGAUGAUAGUCGUGGGAGGGUGAGCCGUCUCAUGAAGCUUUCCUUUGAUACAAGAACUGCAAGCACGAUCUUUGGCAAAACUAACAUUUGUUAGUCCACGGACAUGGUCCCCCUUGAGAAGACUUUGCAAAGAUCUCAUAUUGACGUGGGCUAAACGGCGAUGCCAAAGCCAUCCCACAUCAACUUUAGCCAUUAGGCAUGUCGCGGUCUUAGUGGGUCGCUCUGAAAAGUUAAUCACAAAGAGACCGUUCUCGACAUGCCCAACAAAGGCUACUUUAAGAGUCUUGCUCCACAAGAGGGCCACGGUAUCAACAUCAAAGAAGGUGGCAAAACCCAUGAGUGUAAGUUAACGAAUGGAAAGUAAAUUGUAUGCAAGGGACUCAACAAGCAUGACUUUCUCGAUCGUUAGAUCAUGAGAAAUGACAACCUUGCCAAGACCCAAUACCUUAGAAUGUGAGGCAUCACCCCACUCGACAUUGGUGGGCAUAGAUGGAAUCUUUUGCACGUCCACCACCAAGUCCUUUCUCCAGGUCAUAUGAUUUGUUGCUCCACUAUCGAGAAACCAUGAUCCCCCACCGAAAGCAAACACCUACAAGAGAUCAAUGCUUGGUUUUAGGUACCCAUUUAGUAAUAGGUCCUUUGAUGUUAGUAACAAGGGUCUUAGGAAACCAAAUAGACCAUUCAAUGUACUCAUAAGAAGAACCAACAAAUCGAGCAUAAACAUGCCCAUCACUAGCACGGCACAACACAUAAGAAGGGUUAAAGUCACCGGCUUUGUUGGGAGAGAUGACUUUGCCCUUUUUGGCAUCACCACUCUUCGCAUUGUUCUUCUUCUCCUUAGGAGCACCCUCUCCCUCGUUCACAAAAGUUUGCUUAAGCGGGGGAGGUCAUUUGGUCUUGUCAUUCUUCUUCUUGUUCUUGGACUUGGGUGAGAACCCAACUCCCUCCUCGGCCACAACUUCCUUUUGAUUGCUCAAAAGGUCAUUUAGGUUCUUCUUACCUUGUAUGCAUGACACAAGUCCUUUCUCGAGUUGUUUCUUCAACUUGGCAUUAUCCUCCACAAGAUGCACAUGCUCACAACACGGGUUAGUAGCAUUUGCAUUAUCGUUAAGACCAUGUGAGGAAAUGUGGUCUUUUCCUUAGUUAGCUUAACUUGGAGUUGAGCAUGAGACUACUUGAGGUUUGCAUGAGCACCCUUCAAGACCUUGUGGGCCUUGUCAAGUACAUCAAACUCCUCCUUGAGUCUAGCAUGAUCAAACCCAAGUUUAGCCUUCUCAGAAGUUAGCACACGAGACACAACAAGAGCAUGAUCAAGAUCUUUCUUUAAUUUGGCAUGGUCAUGGUUUUGUGACUCCUCAAGAGCCAAACGAUGCCCACGCUCUUCCUCAAGAGCAUUAAAGAGAUCCGAUAUCUCAUCGGCAUAGUCACGACUAUGACCUUCCAUCUUAGAGAUCGUUUCUUCGUGAGCCUCGAUCAUGUCAUUGGCUUCACCAAGUUGUUCCAAGAGAGCAACAAAGUUCUUCCUGGAUUUGCCCUUGAGCUUACUCAUAAAAGACUCAAAUUCAUUUACUUCCGCAUUAGACCCCUCACUAUCAUCAAUGCUAUACGUCAACGAGGGAUUAGGAAUGAUGGUGGCUUUGAUGUUGGGGGUUACCUUGUUGGUGGCUUUAGCCAUGAGGCACUUGGAGAUGAUGUUCUCGUUGGGUGAAUCAAAGAGAGACAUCCAGGGAGUUGUGGCAAUGGCAACAGAUGCCAUGGCCAUUGCUUCACUAUCUUCAUCAUCAUCGUCAUCCUCAUGGUAUUCCUCUUGAACCACCACUCGAGUAGGAGUCUUCUUGGUGAAGUUGUUCUUGUUGGGGAAAGACUUGGCUUUGUCUUUCCGGAUGAGCUUGCCACCAUUGUCUUCCCGCUUCUCGUAAGGACAGUCUGCAACGAAAUGGCUCACAUUGCCACAAUUGUAACAAGUUCUAACUCGUUGCUUGCCCUUGAAGCCACUUGAGUUGUUCUUGUUGAAGUUGGGUCUUGAGUUCUUCUUGCUCCAAAAUUGCCUUGAAGCAAGAGCCAUGUGCUCGUGAUAAUCAUAUUUUGUAUCUUCGAGGAUUGCUCUCCUCAUCUUCCUCUUCUUCCUCUUCUUCCACAAUAACCUUGGCAUUCAAGGCAAGGUUGGGCUUCUUUGCUCUUUGAGAUCGGAGCACCGCGUUAUCAGCGGUCUUGUCCAAGAUGCUCAUGGCAACGAACUCAUCCAACACUUCACUUGAGGUCAUGGAGUGGAAGUUCGGUCUUUGGCGAAUGACGGAGGACAUGGCCUUGAGGAACUUGCAUUUGAUCCAAUUGUCAUCCGUGUCCUUGCUCCCAUGAUCUCGGAGUGAGACCGCAAGCUUGGUUACUCUCCGAAAGAGCUCACGAGGUUCUUCAUCUUCCUUCAUAGCAAACUCAUCGGCUUCAUCUUGCACCACUUCAUAAUUUGUGCGUUGAAUGCUCGCACUUCCCCGAUAGAGAGACACAACGCACUGCCACACGUCUUUGGCCACGGCGUAGGGUCGAAGAUGAGGGAGAUCUUCGAGGAGAAUUGAUUCUUGGAUGAUGAAGAGAGCAUUCUCAUUGAACUGGUUAUCCACGGCCUCUCGAGGGGUGAAGUUUCUUGGGUCAUGUGGAUAGAAACCUUCUUCAAUGAUUCUCCAAAGAUUAGUAUUCACAUGCUUUAAAUGAUGCUUCAAGCAAUAUACCCAAGAAUCAAAAUCCUCAUUUUUCUCAAUCUUAGGAGGAGGACCGGCAUGAUUUAAAUGAGUAGAGGGAAUCGGUCCACUAUAAGUUGGAGGUUCCACAUGGGCAUAGAUGCCGGUGCCAUUUCUACCACUAGUAGAGGGACCCUUUUUGCUGUUAGCUUCCCCCUUGUCGGAGGUAGCAUCCGUCACCUUGUUAGUGGGAUCACCCACUUUCAUUGGUGAGGUUGACAGUUUAAGUCCUUCUAGGAAUUUAGUAAACAUGCUUUCAACCUCGGUCGUCAUGGAGUUUUUCAAUGUGUCUAAAGCCACAUUGAAUUCCUCACAUGAGACCGAGGUUCCCCCAUCGGCCGUAGACGAGAUAGGAUUCAUACCGAAGUGUUCCUCUGCAUCGUCGUUGGUGUCAACCAUACUCUUCGGACGUCAAAGUCCUUAAUAAAGAUACGAGGCUCUGAUACCAAUUGAAAGGAUCGAUAUGGUUGACUAGAGGGGGGUGAAUAGGCAACUAACAAUUUUUAAGCUUUUCUUUAUCAAAUUAAACUUUGCAACAAAAUAGGUAGUCUAGAUAUGCAACUAUGUGAGCAACCUAUAUGAUGAAAAAACAACUAGCACGUAAGCAAGCAAGGGAUACAACACAAGUAAGCUUGCAAAAGUAAAGGCACGAAAUAACCAAGAGUGGAGCCAGUGGAGACGAGGAUGUGUUACCGAAGUUCCUUCCUUUUAAAGGGAAGUACGUCUCCGUUAAAGCGGUGUGGAGGCACAAUGCUCCCCAAGAAGCCACUAGGGCCACUGUAAUCUCCUCACGCCCUCACACAAUGCGAGAUGCCGUGAUUCCACUAUUGGUUCCCUUGAAGGCGACGACCGAACCUUUACAAACAAGGUUGGGCCAAUCUCCACAACUUAAUUGGAGGCUCCCAACGACACCACGAAGCUUCACCACAAUGGACUAUGGCUCCGAGGUGACCUCAACCGUCUAGGGUGCUCAAACACCCAAGAGUAACAAGAUCCGCUAGGGAUUAGUGGGGGGAAUCGAAUAUCUCUUGGUGGAAGUGUAGAUCGGGGCCUUGUCACCCAAUCUCGAGCAAAUCAACAAGUUUGAUUGGCUAGGGAGAGAGAUCGGCCGAAAAUGGAGCUUGGAGCAGCAAUGGAGUUUAGGGUUGGAAGAGGUGGUCAACUAGAGGUAGGAGACACACCUUUUAUAGUGGAGGACAACAUCCAACCGUUAUCCAUUUAGACCAGCCUGCGACCUGCGGUACUACCGCUCCAGGGGCGCGGUACUACCGCAAGGCCAUGCGGUACUACCGUGGGAGACCACGGUACUACCGCGGCAACUGUAGAGACUAUAACACAAGCAGUACUACCGCGAGCGCGGUACUACUGCUCCCACCUGCGGUACUACCGCGAGGCAGGUAAGUCCUAGUCUGGAAAUGGCAAGGAUGAAUAAAAAUACAUCCGUGGCUACUUCCGUGGUCAAUGAGACGAUGCAAACAUCCGUCAUGGUACUACCGUGCACAAGGCACGGUACUACCGUGUGGGUGCGGAUGUAAAAAAUUACAUCUGCCCCUACUACCGUGAAGCAACAGCACUAGGCCAGGGAACCACGGUACUACAGCUCGGGGGGAGCGGUACUACCGUGGGCACCCGCGGUACUACUGCCCUCAGCGUGCGGUACUACCGUGUGGGCGCGGAUGUAAAAAAUUACAUCCGCGCCUACUACCGCGAGGCAGCGGUACUUGGCCAGGGAGCCAUGGUACUACGACUCCGAAGGAGCGGUACUACCGUGGGCUCCCGCGGUACUACCGUGUAUGGGCACGGUACUACCGCAAGUGCCUGCGGUACUACCGCUCCAGGGAGCAGUACUACCGCAAGCUUAGCAACAGUAGUCCAGACACUCACAUAGAGGAUAGACGGGGAAUGCUCCAAAGUGCAAGGGAAAGGAGGAGACAAGGAAGGAAACGUGUACGUGAUGAUUCCACCUGAACCUUUCCGACGCGGACCCCCUCUUAAUAGUACGGCUCUCCUACGACUCAAAUCCACCAAAAAGAAACAUAGAAAAAUGCCGUCUUCAAUAGUCUUCGAGGGGCACCGAACCGUCUUGUGCCUAGCAAUGAAGCAACUGAGAAACUCAAGGCACACGAUUAGUCCGCAAAAGCAUUUUUAUCAAUCACCAAAACACUUAGGGAUAAAUAAGACCUUACAAAAGCAUUGUAGACACAGAAAUUUGCGAAAUACAUACGGAUUUGAAUGUGGCAGACCCGUUGACUAAACUUCUCUCACAAACAAAGCAUGAUCACACCGUAGUACUCUUUGGGUGUUAAUCAGAUGGCGAUGUGAACUAGAUUAUAGACUCUAGUAAACCCUUUGGGUGUUGGUCACAUGGCGAUGUGAAUUACGGGUGUUAAUCACAUGACGAUGUGAACUAUUGGUGUUAAAUCACAUGCCGAUGUGAACUAGAUUACUGACUCUAGUGCAAGUGGAAGACUGAAGGAAAUAUGCCCUAUAGGCAAUAAUAAAGUUGUUAUUUUGUAUUUUCUUAUUUCAUGAUAAAUAUUUAUCAUUCAUGCUAGAAUUGUAUUAACCGGAAACUUGAUACAUGGGUGGAUACAUAGACAAAAUAUCGUGUCCCUAGUAAGACUCUACUAGACUAGCUCGUUGAGCAAAGAUGGUUAAGUUUCCUAACCAUAGACAUGUGUUGUAAUUUGAUAAACGGGAUCACAUCAUUAGGAGAAUAUGUGAUGGGCAAGACACAUUCGUUAGUUUAGCAUUAUGAUCAUUCAGUUUUAUUGCUAUUGCUUUCUUCAUGUCAAAUACAUAUUCCUCCGACUAUGAGACUAUGCAACUCCCGGAUACCGGGGGAAUGCCUUAUGUGCUAUCAAACAUCACAACGUAAUUGUGUGAUUAUAAAUAUGCUCUAUAGGUAUCUCUGAAGGUGUUUGUUGGGUUGGCAUUGAUCGAGAUUAGGAUUUGUCACUCCGAGUAUCGGAGAGGUAUCUCCAGGCCCUCUCGGUAAUACACAUCAUAAGAAACCUUGCAAGCAAAGUGACUAAUGAGUUAGUUGCAGGAUGAUAUAUUACAUAACGAGUAAAGAGACUUGCCGGUAACAAGAUCGAACUAGGUAUGAAGAUACCGACGAUCGAAUCUCGGGCAUGUAACAUACCGAUGACAAAGGGGAUAACAUAUGUUGUCAUAACGGUUCGACCGAUAAAGAUCUUCGUAGAAUACGUGGGAGCCAAUAUGAGCAUACAAGUUCCUCUAUUGAUUAUUGACCGGAGAGGUGUCUCGGUCAUGUCUACAUAGUUCUCGAACCCGUAGGGUCCGCACGCUUAACGUUUGAUGAUGAUUUGUAUUAUAUGAGUUAUGUGAUUUGGUGACCGAAUGUUGCUAGGAGUUCCGGAUGAGAUCGCAGACAUGAAGAGGAGUCUCGAAAUGGUCAAGUGGUAAAGAUUGAUAUGUUGGAUGAUAGUAUUCGGACACCGGAAGUGUUCCGGAAUGUAUCAGGUACAUAUCAGAGUAUCGGGGGAGGGGGGUUACCGGCACCCCGCGGGGGAAGAUAUGGGCCAUAUGGGUCAUAGGAGGGAGGCACACCAGCCCACAAGGGGUGGCGCCCCCCAUGGAAGGAGGCCGAAUUGGAUUAGGGGAGGGGCGGCCCCCCCCUCUUUCCUUCUCCCCAUCUCUCUCUUCCCCUCUUUCCCCCUUCGAUAAAAGGAAAGGGGGGGAUCCAACUAGGAGACCAAGUAGGAUUCCUCCUACUUGGGCGCGCCUAGGGCUGGCUCCCUCCCCCUCCCUCCUUUAUAUACAUGGGGAGGGGUGCCUAGAACACACAACAAUUGUUCCUAGCCAUGUGCGGCGCCCCCCUCCGCAGUUUAUGCCUCCGGUCAUAUUCUCGCGGUGCUUAGGCAAAGCCCUGCGCGGAUCACUUCACCAUCACCAUCACCACGCCGUCGAGCUGAUGGAACUCAUCUACUUCCUCGACACUCUGCUGGAUCCAGAGCUCGAGGGACGUCAUUGCGCUAACGUAUGCAUAACUCAGAGGUGCCGUAUGUUUGAUACUUGAUCGGUCAGAAUGAGAAUAAGUUCGACUACAUCAACCGCGUCAAGCAAACUCUUCCACUUUUGGUCUACAAGGGUACGUAGGCACACUCUCCCCCUCUCAUUGCUAUGCAUCUCCUAGAUAGAUCUUGCGUGAGCGUAGGAAAAUUUUGAAAUUGCAUGCUACGUUCCCCAACACACAUCUCUCGUCACCCACUGUUCCCUUUCUUUCGAGUAGAGAGAGGUCCCCAUUUCUUUCCAAACCAAUGUUUUUUCUCUCCAAGCAGUUGUACUGCCCGUAUGGGCGGUUGUACCGCCUGCCCAGUUCCACCGGCACAACCACCGCCCUAGGGGUGAUACCCUGGGGUUGCUGCUCUCAGGUACAUGCCCAACGGUUGUACCACUGCCCAUGGGCGGUGGUACUGCCUCAGCUCUGGGAAAACCUUGGGGUGCUUCACGGGCGGUUGCACUGGCUAGGUACCGCCCAACCACCAGACUCAGUUCUGUGAUGGGUGGUCCUUGAGCGGUGGUGGCCCGGUUGUCCCGGUUCUGUGAUGAGGAGGUCCUUGAGCGGUGGUGGCCCGGUUGUCCCAGUUCUGUGAUGGGGAGGUCCUUGAGCGGUGGUGGCCCGGUUGUCUCGGUGUCUUGGGCCAGGUGGUAGUUCUGGUGCAACUACCUCUCAACCACCGCCAUAGGGGUGACUCCCUCCUGCUUUGAGGCAGUUGUUGGGAAGUAGGCGAGCGGUUGGUCAGGUUAGUCAUUGUAACCGGUACCACUACUCCUACCUCAGGUUGUACCGCUUGAUAGGGUUUCUACAGCAUACCCGUGAAUCUCGGUUGUACCGGGGUCACGAGCGGUUGUACCGCUGCAGUGUAAAAGUUGUUGUAAUGGUUGGAAAAUGGGGGUCCCUAUAUAAAGGCGGGGUUCUUCCACCUACCACCUUACCUCUUGCCUCUCUCUCUCUCCUCCACUAAUGCCCUUCAAGCUUUCUUGCCCGAUCUCUCUCUCUAGCCACUCAAACUUGUUGAUUUGCUAGGGAUUGAAGGAGACCUAGAUCUACACUUCCACCAAGAGAAAUUUUGAUUCCCCCAUACUUUCUUGUGUGGAUUUUUUUAGUCUUGGCUAUUUGAGCACUCUAGACGGUUGAGUUCACCUCGGAGCCACAUUCCAUUGUGGUGAAGCUCUAUGGUAUCGUUGGGAGCCUCCAAUUCGGUUGUGGAGAGAGCCCCAACUUAGUUUGUAAAGGUUCGGUUGCCGCCUUCAUGGGCACCACUACUGGAAUCACGACAUCUCGCAUUGUGUGAGGGCGGAGGAGAAUACGGUGUACCUAGUGUCUUCUUGGGGAGCAUUGUGCCUCCAUACCGCUCCAAUGGAAACAUACUUCCUCUCAAUGGGAAGGAACUUCGGUAACACAUCUCGUCUUCACCGUCUCCACUUGUGAUUAUCUCUUACCUUUACUUUGUGCAAGCUUCUAUUGUGUUGUAUCCUUUGCUUUCUCUUGUUUCUUGUGGAACUAGCAUCAUAUAGGUUGCUCACCUAGUUGCAUAUCCAGACAACCUACUUGUUGUUAAACCUAAUUUGUUAAGAAAAGCUUAAAAAAUUGGUAGUUGCCUAUUCACCCCACCUCUAGUCAACUAUAUCAAUCCUUUCAAUUGGUAUCAGAGCCUCGUCUCUUUAUUAAGGGUUUCACCACCCGAAGAGUAUGGUUGACUCCAAGGAGGAAGUGCCCGAGGCCAUGGAGUUGACUUCGAUCACACAAGACGAGUUAAAUGAAGCUAUGGCUUCACUUAAGAUGUCCAUGAUGAUUGAUGUCAAGUCCAUGCUUAAAGAAUUGCUUGAGGGGUUGAAAUCUACUCCCGAUCCAUUGCUCGUGGUCAAUCCCACCACAUCGGAGUCGGAGGCCAAUUCCAGCAAGGAAGCGGUUAAAGGUACUCAAACUUUGAACAUAGUGUUCAAUGAUAUAAUUUUUGGUGACAUGCAUAAACAUUUUUUAGUUAAAUAUUUGGUCAAAAUUUGGGACAAAUUACAAAGGGGACCACUAAACCAGGACAGAGGUAGUAUGUCAAUCACACACGGUUCCCAAAAUUGGAAACGUGUGCAAUGACUUCAAUUUUCCCUGUUACGUCAAUCACACAAGGUUGGCUCUAGGAAAUCGUUGCCUCCGAAACUCUUUGUGGGACAGAAAACUAAUACGUCUCCAACAUAUCUAUAAUUUAUGAAGCAUUCAUGCUAAUUUAUUAUCUGUUUUGAAUGAUUAUGGGCUUUAUUAUACACUUUUAUAUUACUUUUGGGACUGACCUACUAACCGGAGGCCCAGCCCAUAUUGUUGUUUUAUUGCUUGUUUCAAUAUUUCGAAGAAAAGGAAUAUCAAACGGAGUCCAAACGAAAUGAAACCUUCGGCAGCGUGAUUUUUUGGAAGAAUAUGAUCCUGGAGACUUGGAGUUCACGUCAGAAGAUCCUCGAGGAGGCCAGGAGAUAGGAGGGCGUGCCCACCCCCCUGGGCGCGCCCCCCUGUCUCAUGGGCCCCUCGAGCACCCCCGACCGACUUCUUUCACCUAUAUAAGCCCACGUACCCUAAAAACACCGAGAACGAAGAUAGAUCGGGAGUUCCACCACCGCAAGCCUUUGUAGCCACCAAAAACCUCUUGGGAGCCUGUUCCGGCACCCUGCCGGAGGGAGGAUCCCUCACCGGUGGCCAUCUUCAUCAUCCUGGCGCUCUCCAUGACGAGGAGGGAGUAGUUCACCCUCGAGGCUGAGGGUAUUUACCAGUAGCUAUGUGUUUGAUCUCUCUCUCUCUCUCUCUCUCUCUCUCUCUCUCGUGUUCUCUCUCGUGUUUUCUCUAUGGCACGAUCUUGAUGUAUCCCGAGCUUUGCUAUUAUAGUUGGAUCUUAUGAUAUUUCUCCCCCUCUACUCUCUUGUGAUGAAUUGAGUUUUCCCUUUGAAGUUAUCUUAUCGGAUUGAGUCUUUAAUGAUUUGAGAACACUUGAUGUAUGUCUUGCCGUGCUUAUCUGUGGUGACAAUGGGAUAUCAUGUGCCACUUGAUGUAUGUUUUGGUGACCAACUUGCGGGUUCCGCCCAUGAACCUAUGCAUAGGGGUUGGCACACAUUUUCGUCUUGACUCUCCGGUAGAAACUUUGGGGCACUAUUUGAAGUACUUUUUGUUGGUUGAAUAGAUGAAUUUGAGAUUGUGUGAUGCAUAUCGUAUAAUCAUGCACACGGAUACAUGAGGUGACAAUGGAGUAUCUAGGUGACAUUAGGGUUUUGGUUGAUUUGUGUCUUAAGGUGUUAUUCUAGUAUGAACUCUAUGAUAGAUUGAGUGGAAAGAAUAGCUUCAUGUUAUUUUACUUCAAACUCUUGAAUAGAUAGAACAGAAAGGAUAACUUUGAGGUGGUUUCGUACCCUACCAUAAUCUCUUUGUUUAUUCUCCGCUAUUAGUGUCUUUGGAGUGACUCUUUGUUGCAUGUUGAGGGAUUGUUAUAUGAUCUAUCUAUGUUAUUAUUGUUGAGAGAACUUGCACUAGUGAAAGUAUGAACCUUAGGCCUUGUUUCCUAGCAUUGCAAUACUGUUUACGCUCACUUUUACCAUUUGUUACCUUGCUGUCUUUAUAAUUUCAGAUUACAAAUACCUUUAUCUACCAUCCAUAUUGCACUUGUAUCACCAUCUCUUCGCCGAACUAGUGCACCUAUACAAUUUAACAUUGUAUUGGGUGUGUUGGGGACACAAGAGACUCUUUGCUAUUUGGUUUCAGGGUUGUUUGAGAGAGUCAAUCUUCAUCCUACGCCUCCCACGGAUUGAUAAACCUUAGGUUAUCCACUUGAGGGAAAUUUUCUACUGUCCUACAAACAUGUGCACUUGCAGGCCCAACAACGUCUACAAGAAGAAGGUUGUGUAGUAGACAUCAAGCUCUUUUCUGGCGCCGUUGCCGGGAAGGUGAGUGCUUGAAGGUAUAUCUUUAGAUCUUGCAAUUGAAUCUUUUUGUUUCUUGUUUUAUCACUAGUUUAAUUUAUAAAAUAAAACUACAAAAAAAUGGAAUUGAGUUUGUCUCAUACGCUUCAUCUUUUUAAUAUCUUUCGUGAGAAUGAUGGUAAGAAAAAUUAUGCUCAAGUGCUAGAAGAAGAAAUCUAUAAAAUGUUUGGCACUAAAUAUGUGAAUGAUGAGCAUGAUUGCAAUGUUGUUAGUACGAAUUCUUUGAAUACCCAUGAUGCUAAUGAUAUGCAAAGCCACAAGCUUGGGGAUGCUAUGUUUGAUGAAUAUGAUAAUUUUUGUCCCCCAAGUUUUGAUGAGAAUAUUUAUCAUGAUGAAAGCAUGCCUCGUAUUUAUGAUGAUUAUAUUGAUGAAAGUGGGUUUGGAAGAGUGUCAACUUUAGGAAGUAAUGAUCCCACUAUUUUGGAGGAUGUUGAAUAUUAUUGUGAUAAUCAUGAAAGUGGAUUUGGAGAGGUCAUGACUUUAUUUAGUGAUGAAUCCACUAUUUCGGAAGAGGUUCCAAUUGAUUAUGAGAAUAAAGUUGCUAUCUAUGAUGAUUAUUGUGAUGACAUGUAUGCUAUAAAGAAUAAUGAUAACCAUGAAUCUUGUCAUCAUGAUUUUUGUUUUCAAUUGGAUUAUGCCUCACAUGAUAGUUAUUUUGUUGAGUUUGCUCCCACUAUUAUUCAUGAGAAGAAAAUUGCUUAUGUGGAGAGUAGUAAAAUUUAUAUGCAAGUAGAUCAUGAAAAGAAUGCUUUAUUUGCUGGUUAUAUUGUUGAAUUCAUUCAUUAUGCUACUGAAAAUUAUUAUGAGGGAGGAACAUAUGCUUGUAGGAAUUGCAAUAAUAUCAAGUUUCCUCUCUAUGUGUUGAAAAUUUUGAAGCUAUGCUUGUUUUACCUUCCUAUGCUAGUUGAUUAUUGUUCACAUAAGUUGUUUGCUCAAAAAAUCCCUAUGCAUAGGAAGUGGGUUAGACUUAAAUGUUCUAGUCAUAUUCUUCAUGACGCUCUGUUUAUGUUUCAAUUCUUAUCCUUUAUGUGAGCAUCAUUUCAUCAUGCCUAGCUAGGGGCGUUAAACGAUAGUGCUUGUUGGGAGGCAACCCAAUGUUAUUUUUGUUUCUUGAUUUUUGAUCCUGUUUAGUAAUAAAUAAUUCAUAUAGCCUCUGGUUAGAUGUGGUUUCAUGUUUUAAUUAGUGUUUGUGCCAAGUAGAACCUUUGGGAAUACUUGGGUGAAGUCUUUAUGAUCAUGCUGUAAAAAACAGAAACUUUAGCGCUCACGAGAAUAGCUGCCAUGUUUUACUGGAGAGUUCUUUUAGGUUGAUUCUUUUUUCAGAUGAUUAAUAGACAAAUUACUCAUGUCCAAAAAUUUAUUUCAGAAUUGUUGGAGUUCCAGAAGUAUACUUUUGAUACAGAUUACUACAGACUGUUCUGUUUUUGACAGAUUCUGUUUUCAUUGUGUUUUUUGCUUAUUUUGAUGAAUCUAUGGCUAGUAUGUAAGGGUAUGAACCAUAAAAAAGUUGGAAUACAGUAGGUUUAACACCAAUAUGAAUUUAUAAUGAGUUCAUUACAGUACUUUAAAGUGGUGGUUUGUUUUCUUUUACUAACGGAGCUUACGAGUUUUGUUUUGAGUUUUGUGUGGUUGAAGUUUUCAAGUUUUGGGUAAAAGAUUCGAUGGACUAUGGAAUAAGGAAUGGCAAGAGCCUAAGAUUGGGGAUACCCAAGGAAACCCAAGGUAAUAUACAAGGACAACCAAGAGCCUAAGCUUGGGGAUGCCCCGGAAGGCAUCCCCUCUUUCGUCUUCGUUCAUCGGUAACAUUACUUGGAGCUAUAUUUUUAUUCGCCACAUGAUAUGUGUUUUGCUUGGAGCGUCAUUUUAUUUUAUUAGUAUUUGCUUGCUGUUAUUUAUAUUAAUGUUUUUCGUCUAUAUUUUCAAUAAAAUUUCAAGGAUAGCCUUUACCAUGCUUAUUUUGCUAGUAUACAUGUUGCUGUUUGAAAACAGAAAGUUUACCGCUGUUGCAAAAAUUUCCUAGAAAAGUCAGAGAAUGAUAUAAUGUUGAAUAUUUUAGCAUGAUGAGCUCUGAUAAAUAUUUUACAGCGUAGUAGUUUUCCUAUAAUUUUUGGAGUUAGGGAAGUAUGAUGAAGCUUGCAUUCUUUGCAGACUGUACUAUUUUGGCAGAUUGCUGUUAUGUUUGCAUUGUUUGCAUAUGUUUGCUUGUUUAAUGAUUCUAUUUGAGGAUAGGAGUAUUAAAUAUGCAGGGACAUUUAGUAUUCAAUGUUUAAUAAUAAUUUUAGUGAUUUGUUACAGUAGAAGAUGAUAAGGUUUUGCAUUGGUUUAUACUAACCUAUCUCACGAGUUCUUGCUGAGUUUGGUGUGGAUGAAGCUUUUGAUAAAAAGAGAAACCGUGAUAUAAAAGGAAUUAAGGAGACACAAAAUCUCAAGCCUGGGGAUGCCCAAGGCACCCCAAGAUAAUAUUUCAAGAAGUCUCAAGCAUCUAAGCUUGGGGAUUCCCCGGUAGGCAUCCCACCUUUCUUCUUCAACAACUAUCGGUUAGUAUCGGUUGAACCUAAGUUUUUGCUUCUUCACAUGAGUUGUGCUAUCCUUGCAAUGUCAUUUUAUUUUGCUUUGCUUUCUGUUUGAAUACAAUACCAAGAUCUGAAAUUCUUAAAUGGGAGAGAAUCUUCACAUAGUUGCAUAAUUAUUUAGCUACUCAUUGAUCUUCACUUAUAUCUUGUUGGAGUAGUUUGUCAUUUACUCGUGUGCUUCACUUAUAUCCUAUGAGUAAAUGGUUGAAUUGAGUUGAAUGUCAUAAAUAUGAAUUUAUAUAUGUUUCAUUUGCUUAUCCCAUGGGGAGUAAUGACUUCAUGUCUAAGAAGUAGAGGUUGUAAAUUUAUUGAUGGUUAGCAAGCAUUGUAUUGGUCAUUUGAACAAUUCAUGUAAGAAUAUUGGAGGAAGAGAGAUUUAACAUAUAAAUAUAUUAUCAUGGACAUCUUUUAUAAUUGUGAGCACUCAUUAAGUAUGACAUGCUAAAGAGUUGAUGUCCGACAAGGAAGACAACAUAAUGGGUUAUGUUUUCUCAUAUCUCAGUUAAAGUAUAUUGUCAUGGAUCAUUCAAACAUGUUGAGCUUGCCUUUCCCCCUCAUGCUAGCCAAAAUUCCUAGCACCAAGUAGACAUACUACUUGUGCUUCCAAAUAUCCUUAAACCCAGUUUUGCCACGAGAGUCCACCUUAUCUACCUACGGAUUGAGUAAGAUCCUUCAAGUAAGUUGUCAUCGGUGCAAGCAAUAAAAAUUGCUCUCUAAAUAUGCAUGACUUAUUAGUGCGGAGAAAAUAAGCUUUGUACGAUCUUGUUAUGGAAGCAAUAAAAGCGACGGACUGCAUAAUAAAGGUCCAUAUACAAGGGGCAAUAUAAAGUGACAUUCUUUCGCAUUAAGAUUUUGUCUAUCCAACCCUAAAAGCGCAUGACAACCUCUGCUUCCCUCUGCGAAGGGCCUAUCUUUUACCUUAUGUCUUUUACUUUAUGCAAGAGUCAAGGUGAUCUUCACCUUUCCCAUUUUUCAUUUUAUCCUUUGGCAAGCACUUUGUGCUGGGGUGAUCCUGAUAUAUAUAUCCAAUUGGAUGUAAGUUAGCAUGAACUAUUAUUGUUGACAUCACCCAAAGGUGAAUACGUUUGGAGGCAACAUUAUAAGCCCCUAUCUUUCUCUGUGUCUGAUUAAAACUUCAUAACCACAAGUAUUGCGUGAGUGUUAGCAAUUGUAGAAGACUAUAUGAUAGUUGAGUAUGUGAAGUUUGCUAAAUCAAAGCUCUGGCAUAGACCCUUCCUGAAAAUAGGAUGAAUUGCAAUUGUUUGAUGACUAAGAAUGAAGUUUGCUAGUUUUCAAGAAAGUCUAUGGUCUAUGCUUUAACAUGUGAAUAACUUGUUACUUGAUCAUGAAAAGUUUUAUGAGACGAACUACUGUUAUGACAUAUAAACAUGCUAGAAAAGGUGAUUGAAAUUAUCAUUGAUCAAACUUGUGCACCUUAUAGCAUUCACACUUAAAUUCUUUCUUUUAGCAUUUACCUACUCGAGGACGAGUAGGAAUUAAGCUUGGGGAUGCUGAUACGUCUCUAACGUAUCUAUAAUUUAUGAAGCAUUCAUGCUACUUUAUUAUCUGUUUUGAAUGAUUAUGGGCUUUAUUAUACACUUUUAUAUUACUUUUGGGACUAACCUACUAACCAGAGGCCCAGCCCAUAUUGUUGUUUUAUUGCCUGUUUUAGUAUUUCGAAGAAAAGGAAUAUCAAACGGAGUCCAAACAUAAUGAAACCUUUGGCAGCAUGAUUUUUUGGAAGAAUAUGAUCCUUGAGACUUGGAGUUCAUGUCAGAAGAUCCUCGAGGAGGCCAGGAUAUAGGAGGGCGCGCCCACCCCCCUGGGCGCGCCCCCUGUCUCGUGGGCCCCUUGAGCACCCCCCGACCGGCUUCUUUCACCUAUAUAAGCCCAGGUACCCUAAAAACACCGAGAACGAAGCUAGAUCGGGAGUUCCGCCGCUGCAAUCCUUUGUAGCCACCAAAAACCUCUCGGGCUUGUUCCGGCACCCUGCCGGAGGGGGGGAUCCCUCACCGGUGGCCAUCUUCAUCUUCCCGGCGCUCUCCAUGACAAGGAGGGAGUAGUUCACCCUCGAGGCUGAGGGUAUGUACCAGUAGCUAUGUGUUUGAUCUCUCUCUCUCUCUCUCUCGUGUUCUCUCUUGUGUUCUCUCUAUGGCACGAUCUUGAUGUAUCCCGAGCUUUGCUAUUAUAGUUGGAUCUUAUGAUAUUUCCCCCCUCUACUCUCUUGUGAUGAAUUGAGUUUUCCCUUUGAAGUUAUCUUAUCAGAUUGAGUCUUUAAUGAUUUGAGAACACUUGAUGUAUGUCUUGCCGUGCUUAUCUGUGGUGACAAUGGGAUAUCAUGUGCCACUUGAUGUAUGUUUUGGUGACCAACUUGCGGGUUCCGCCCAUGAACCUAUGCAUAGGGGUUGGCACACGUUUUCGUCUUGACUCUCCGGUAGAAACUUUGGGGCACUCUUUGAAGUACUUUGUGUUGGUUGAAUAGAUGAAUCUGAGAUUGUGUGAUGCAUAUCGUACAAUCAUGCCCACGGAUACUUGAGGUGACAAUGGAGUAUCUAGAUGACAUUAGGGUUUUGGUUGAUUUGUGUCUUAAGGUGUUAUUCUAGUAUGAACUCUAUGAUAGAUUGAGCGGAAAGAAUAGCUUCAUGUUAUUUUACUACGAACUCUUGAAUAGAUAGAACAGAAAGGAUAACUUUGAGGUGGUUUCGUACCCUACCAUAAUCUCUUCGUUUGUUCUCCGCUAUUAGUGUCUUUGGAGUGAAUCUUUGUUGCAUGUUGAGGGAUUGUUAUAUGAUCUAUCUAUGUUAUUAUUGUUGAGAGAACUUGCACUAGUGAAAGUAUGAACCUUAGGCCUUGUUUCCUAGCAUUGCAAUACCGUUUACGCUCACUUUUACCAUUUGUUACCUUGCUGUUUUUAUAAUUUCAGAUUACAAAUACCUUUAUCUACCAUCCAUAUUGCACUUGUAUCACCAUCUCUUCGUCGAACUAGUGCACCUAUACAGUUUACCAUUGUAUUGGGUGUGUUGGGGACACAAGAGACUCUUUGCUAUUUGGUUGUAGGAUUGUUUGAGAGAGACCAUCUUCAUCCUACGCCUCCCACAGAUUGAUAAACCUUAGGUCAUCCACUUGAAGGAAAUUUGCUACUGUCCUACAAACCUGUGCACUUGCAAGCCCAACAACGUCUACAAGAAGAAGGUUGUGUAGUAGACAUCAAAACCCUCACCACUCAAUUCAAAAAAGAAAAAAGAAAAUCCUCACCAUCCCCAUGUCACAAAAAACCCCACCCUGCCCACCACCCCCUCCGGUCCCUAUUCACACCUGCACAAGCUCCUCCGCGUCUGCAUGGCACUACCUAUCGCGGCGGCAACUGUUGGGGAACAUAGCAUUUAAUUUCAAAAAAUUCCUACGCUCAUGCAAGAUCUAUCUAGGAGAUGCAUAGAAACGAAGGGAAGAGUGUGUCUAUGUACUCUCGUAGACUGUAAGCGGAAGCAUUUCACAAUGCAGUUGAUGUACUCGAACUUUCUUUGCGAUCAACCGAUCGAGUACCGAAUGUAUGGCACCUUCGAGUUCUACACAUGUUCAGCUCGGUGAUAUCCCUCGCCUUCUUGAUCCAGCAAGUUGUUAAGGGAUCAUCUUAUAAUGCUACCGCCGUACUAAGAAAAAUAAGAUGCAUAAAAGAUAAACAUUACAGGCAAUCAAAAUAUGUGACAUGAUAUGGCCAUCAUCAUCUUGUACUUUUGAUCUCCAUCUCCAAAGCAUCAUCAUGAUCUCCAUCGUCACUGGCUCGUCACCUUGAUCUCCAUCAUUGCGCCAUGGUCGUUUCGCCAACUAUUGCUUCUACAACUAUCGCUAACGCAUAGUGAUAAAGUAAAGCAAUUACAUGGUGUUUGCAUUUCAUACGAUAAAGAGACAACCAUAAGGCUCCUGCCGGUUGUCGAUAACUUUUACAAAACAUGCUCAUCUCAUACAAUAAUUUAUAUCACAUCAUGUCUUGACCAUAUCACAUCACAACAUGCCCUGCAAAAACAAGUUAGACGUCCUCUACUUUGUUGUUGCAAGUUUUACGUGGCUGCUACGGGCUUUUAGCAAGAACCAUUCUUACCUACGUACCAAAACCACAAUAGUGAUUUAUCAAGUUUGUUGUUUUAACCUUCAACAAGGACCGGCCGCAGUCAAAUUCGAUUCAACUAAAGUAGGAGAAAUAGACACCCGCCAACCACCUUUAUGCAAAACUAGUUGCAUGUCUGUCGGUGGAACCGGUCUCAUGAACGUGGCCAUGUAAGGUUGGUCCGGGACGCUUCAUCCAACAAUACCGCCGAAUCAAAAGAAGACAUUGGUGUUAAGUAGUAUGACAAUCACCGCCCAGAACUCUUUUGUGUUCUACUCGUGCAUAUCAUCUACGCAUAGACCUGGCUCUGAUACCACUGUUGGGGAACAUAGCAUGCAAUUUCAAAAAAAUUCCUACACUCAUGCAAGAUCUAUCUAGGAGAUGAAUAGCAACAAGGGGGAUAGUGUGUCUAUGUACCCUCGUAGACCGUAAGCGGAAGCAUUUCACAAUGCGGUUGAUGUAGUCAAACUUUCUUUGCGAUCAACCGAUCGAGUACCGAAUGUACGGCACCUCCGAGUUCUGCACACGUUCAGCAUGGUGAUGUCCCUCGCCUUCUUGAUCCAGCAAGUUGUCGAGGUAGUAAAUGAGUUCCUUCAACACGGAGGCGUGGUGAUGGUGAUGGUGAAGUGAUCCGUGCAGGGCUUCGCCUAAGCACUACAAAGAUACGACCAUGGGAGUAAAUGGUGGAGGGGGCGCCACACACGGCUAACAAUUGAUGUUGUGUGUUCUAGGUGCCCCCUCCCACAUAUAUAGGUGGGGGGAGGAGGGAGCAGCCAGGGGCGCCCCAAGUAGGAUCCGAAUCCUACUUGGGGUUUCCCGAAGUGGCGCCCCCUGCCUUAUUUCACCGGAGAAGAAAAGGGAAGGGGGAAGAGAGAAGGAAGGGGGAGAAACCCCUAUUUUCCUUCUCCCACUCGGCCUCCUACCAUAGGGGGGGCGCCACCCCUUGUGGGCUGGUGUGCUCCCCUCUCAUGGCCCAUAUGGCCCAUAUAUUCUCCCCGGGGGUUCUGGUAACCCCUUUGGUACUCCGAUAAAUACCAUAUACACUUCGGAACACUUCCGGUGUCUGAAUACUAUUGUCCUAUAUAUCAAUCUUUACCUCUCGACCAUUUUGAGACUCCUUGUCAUGUCCGUGAUCAUCCGGGGCUCCGAACAAUAUUCAGUCACCAAAUCACAUAACUCAUAUAAUACUAAGGGUGUGUUUGCUUGGAGUCAUCAAGUGGAAUGGAACAGGUCCGACCCGUCCCUGGGCCUCAUUCCCGUGUUUGGUGGGCAGCUAGCACCGGAACCCACUCAUUCCCAAAAAACGAAUAUUCGGCCCAGAUCCGGAACACACCCAUACCUCUGAUUCGAUGGAAUCACGCGGAACCGCUCGCUCUCGGUAGCGAAACGCUAUCGUCUGUCCCUCUGUCGAACUACACCGCUUCUCCCUCGUCUCUCCCUCCGCCGAUCUGCGCCGAAUCAACAACACAGAAGAUGGUCGAGCGGCCGCGGGCUAGAGGGCUUGCACCAGGGAGGCCCCACACCGCAGGAUUUGAAGCGGCGGCGGCGGCGGCUCCCGAAACAAGACGCCGCGGCGAUGCACCUCACGCGGCGGCGGCAGGAACCUAGCUCGCCUCAAGCGGCAGCGAAAGGGGAAGCACCCGGUCAUGGAUGGUUCUUGGCAACGGCGGCGUCCAAUUUGGCAGGCAGUUCGACCUGUUCCAAAUUGUUUGUGCUGCUAUGCUGGGCGAUGCCAUACUAUCCUGGUGCCCCAAACUUUAGAUCCAUAUACGUUCAGUUUAUGCAUAGUGUUCAUGUGGUGAAGCAUGAACUAGAGGGGAAGAAUAUAUUUUGUCAUGCUUCACAUUGUCAAUUGUUUGUGUUGCAAAAUUUACCGAUUACAUCUCUUCAGUUCAUGCGUGUGACACUGUCAAAUUUAGAGGGGAAGAAUUUAUUUGUCAUGCAGUUCAUGCUUAUGACCAGUCAAAUCCGGUUGUCAUUCAGAUUAUGCAUAGUGUCAUAGUUUAUGUGCCGAUGCAUUGACAAAUUUACCGAUUCCAUCUCUUCAACCAAACGCACUAACAAAACCAUUCCGUUCCAGCUUUUGACACCAACCAAACACAUGACCGGAAUCGACCCAUUCCAUUGGAAUGGAACGGAACGGAACCAUUCCAUUCCAUUCCAUUUGGUUCCUCAACCAAACACACCAUAAAUCAUCAUCGAACGUUAAGCAUGUGGACCCUACGGGUUCGUGAACUAUGUAGACAUGACUGAGACACCUCUCCAGUCAAUAAACAAUAGCAGAACCUGGAUGCUCAUAUUGGCUCCUACAUAUUCUAUGAAGAUAUUUAUUGGUCGAACCAUUAUGACAACAUACGUCAUUCCCUUUGUCUAUCAGUAUGUUACUUGCCCGAGAUUCGAUCGUCGAUAUCUUCAUACCUAGGUCAAUCUCGUUACCGGCAAGUCUCUUUACUCGUUCUUUAAUACAUCAUCCUGAAACUAACUCAUUAGUCACUUUGCUUGCAAGGCUUCUUAUGAUGCGUAUUACCAAGAGGGCCCAGAGAUACCUCUCCGGAACUCGGAGUGACAAAAUCCUAAUCUCGAUCUAUGCCAACCAAACAAACACCUUCGGAAAUACCUGUAGAGUAUAUUUAUAAUCACCCAGUUACAUUGUGACGUUUGAUAGCACACAAGGCAUUCCUCCGGUAUCCGGGAGUUGCAUAAUCUCAUAGUAGAAAGAAUAUGUAUUUGACAUGAAGAAAGCAAUAGCAAUAAAACAGAAUGAUCAAUAUGCUAAGCUAACGGAUGGGUCUUGUCCAUCGCAUCAUUCUCCUAAUGAUGUGAUCCCGUUAUCAAAUGACAACUCAUGUCCAUGGUUAGGAAACCUUAACCAUCUUUGAUCAACGAGCUAGUCAAGUUGAGGCUCACUAGGGACACAAUGUUUGUCUAUGUAUUCACACAUGUAUUUGGGUUUCCGAUCAAUACAAUUGUAGCAUGAAUAUAAACAUUUAUCAUGAAUAAGGAAAUAUAAAAUAACAACUUUAUUAUUGGCUCUAGGGCAUAUUUCCUUCAGCAACCACUUAGCUUGAUGCCUGCCACCGCCGCCUGGCUGCCGACAAACCCCAUCGAAUUUCGCCACUUCCGCUUGCCGCCGCCUAUCGCCAUCGACUUUCUCGACAUUGCUCACGGUCAACCCAGCUCCGUCCGGUUGGGGAAUCUGCCGUAUUGAGAGGUUUUUCUCAUGGACAACAAGGUAACUAAUUUAAUGAGAUAUUAUCUCAUCUCUUAUUGCAGUUCAUCUGCCUCCUUUAAUCACCCCGCCAAAAUCAUCGUGAACUCAUUUUUAUUCGAGCUGAUUUGAGGGUUUUCUUUCAUUCAUAGAGUGUAUAAUACGUGGACACAUCAGGACUUUGCGGCCUCCGCCAAACAUCCAUGGAGUUCCAUCUCACCGUACCAGAUGACUUGAGGAUGCCCGCGGUAUGUUCAAUCUCACGCUAAAUCGGUUGGCAUGGCCUACUAUCCUGAACAUAUACUAAAUAUUGCUACAUUUAGAUAAAAGGUGCCACAUGCACCAUAUACGUCAAAGGGGAUUUUUUCCUCUUAUUUCUAUAUUAGGCAAAUUAAUGAUGCAUUGUUCUUUUGAUUACUCUCAUAUUUCUGUGACAUCAUGUUUACCCUAUCUGUUUAAUUAUAGUUUUUUGUCCUUUGAUUCAACUGUUGUACAGUUCUUUCAAUUUGGGCCCAUAUUUGCAUGUUACCAUAUUUUCUUUAACAAUCCCACCAUUUUCUGCAGUGCGUCCCUUGCUACGCAACAGACUCUGUAGUACACAAUCUCUCCCUUUAAAUGAAUCAAGACUGUAGGGAUGUCAUACUGAACACAAACCAUGGAUUUACAAUUGUUGCUACUGUAAGACUUGAUGAACGUGGUGACUCCUAUUUUGGCACUAGCCUUUGGAAAGAAAUUUCUAAGUUCUAUAUACUGAAAGCUGGCACUAAAAUUGCACUGCACAUAAAAGAGCCUGGUCAUGAGAUAUAUGUUAACUUCCCCGACGAUAUCAUCCGUCCAGACUUUGUUUGAAGUAAGUGUUCUUUUCAAAUAUCUGCAUGUUGACUUACCCAGCAAUAUCAAAUGAAUGGUGUAGUAUUUAAGCAACCAAUUGUUAUUCCAUUUUCUUACUCUAUUCCUACCUACUCACUUCUUGUUACCAAUACACUUUUCUAUUACCCUGUUUUAACUAAAUAUUCCCUGUACUCCCACUUCUAUCAGAUUGCGCUGCUGAUAAGGAGACUCCAGAGGUGGAGAACAGGGCUGCCAACAAGCGGAGGUGGGUCGAGCAAGAACCGCAAGCGACUCCAGCAUGCCUAGACUUCAUCAGCAGCCUCCCCGAUGAUAUGUUGACAGUUAUCAUCUCCCUCCUCCCAAUCAAAUAUGGGGCGCGGACAACCGUCCUUUCCCGGCGGUGGCGUCGCCUAUAGAACUCCACCCCUCUCGACUUCAUCCACACCCACGAGCUCUGCCAUGGCUAUCGCAAAAGCUUGGAUGCAUUCUCCAAGAUCCUCGGGAGUCACCCUGGCCCAACCAGAUGCCUUAGUGUCACAUCCCUAGUCCUGGCUUGACCUAUGUUUGCUUCCAUGUGUGCAUCAUGUUUAAAUUUUUGAAAACUUGAACUGAGGAAUUUUGGAAGCCUCAAAAACUUAAAUAAAAGAGGGGCAAAGAACCCUGGAAAAUGCAUUCAAUGUUUCCAAAAUGGCCUUAAAUAAUGUUGGUUAUAUUUUGGCAAGGGUUUUGCACCAAACCAAAAAUAAUGAACAUUUUGAGGAAUAUUUUGAGCACUGAAUUUAAAUCAUUAUUGUAUUUGAAUUUGGAAUUAUAUUCAUAAUAUAUGGGAUAUAUUUUCAAAUAACUCUGAAAUGCUUUAUGUGCUAUUGGAAAAGUCCAUCUAGCAACAUAAAUUAUUCAGAGGAUAUCUGGCACUGUUUUGGAUUUGUUUUAAUUUAAAAAAAACAGUGGCAAAGUAUAAAACAGAAACAGAAAAACUAUAAAAGAACAGAAACUUACCUGGACUUACCUGGCGCUCACCGAAGCCCACCUGGACGGCCCAACACUUCCGGCCCAGCCCAUCUCCACCCCUCCCCUGUCGUCUUCCUCCCUGCCAGGAGGACGGGCACGCGCCCGGCGGGCGCGGCCACGCGCCCCGGCCACGCGCCCCGGCCACCUCCUCCCUCCCAGCCUGCUUCGCUCCUCCUCGACGCCCCGGUGACGCCACGCGGCCCCCUCGACCCUCUCCUACUCUCCCUGUGCCCCUCUCCUCUCUCUCCCCAGAACACUCUCCCCCUCCUCUGUUCUCCUCACCGAACGCGCCCGCCGCCGCUGACGAGAACCACUGUGGCCACCGGCCACCCCACGCCUCACCGACGCCCCAGGAAGCUCCACCCCGACCCCCUCUUCCUCCCCACCGAUCCACGGCCCUCCGGAAGACCUGCAGCGUCGCCCUCAAGCUCGCCCCCAACCUUCGGCCGCCGGCGAACUUUCGAGGAUUCGCGAGCUCCAGCCCCUCCCCGGCCUCGCUGUUGCCUCCACCAGAUCCGCUGUGAGCUACUCUUCCAUUCCCCCUCCUCCUCGCGCUCGUUCCCGUACUCUAGCCGCCCUUUUCACCGGAGCCGAUUGCUCCUCGCCGCCGGCCAUGGCGUGGCCGUGGCCACAGCCACCGCAGCUCGCUCCCGAGCCCACCGGCGUGCUCACCGCAAACUUAGGAACCCAAAGCACCUAACCACUCGUCCUCCCGUGCACCGCAACGCUGGUCCCGCGAACCCCGAGCUCCGGCCGCCGCCUCGGGCUCCACUCCGGCGAACCCCGGCCACCCCCGCACCUCCCGUCGGUCCCCCUAGAUGCGCACGGGCACGGGCUACCUCCUGGUGCCCUUGGCGCGUCGAUCCGUCGCCUCUGGCGUAACUCCGGCGAGCCACCGCCGCUCUGGGUCGUCGUCGUCGUCCAACCGCCAGCGAAUCCGAUGUGGCCGGUCAUUAGGGCCUAACCACCCCGCUAACCCAGGCCUAGGGCCACUGACAGGUGGGCCCUACCGUUUAAUUAACCCGGCUAACAAUUUAGUUAAGUUAAUUAAACUCUAUUAAAUCACUGUGCAGCUGACAUGUGGGUACCACAGGUCAGAUUUGACCUGGACAACGCCGUUGACUUGCUGACGUCACUGUGAAGUCAUGCUGACGCAGUAAUAGGUUUUCUGGAUUUAUUUUUUAUUCAGGAAUUUCAGAAAAUGAUUAAAACUUCAAUAAAUCAUAGAAAUUUAACCGUAACUCCAAAUUAAAUAAUUUAUAUAUGAAAAAUUAUCAGAAAAAUUCAAGGAAUCCAUCUGUACCAUUUUCAUGCAUGUUUGAACAAUGUUUGUCCUCUGUUUUGGACAAAACAAUUAAAGGGCAUUUAAAUAAUCAUAUAUGGAGUUGGAAUUUGAAUCUUGGAUUCAAACCAACUUCAUUUAACCUGUUGCUAGUUGCAUUAGCUCAAACACAUUCAUAUUGCCAUGUCAUGAGCAUGCAUCAUAUUGUGCAUUGCAUUGAUUGUAUUUCUUCUUUGUUGCCGGUAUCUGUUCCCUCCCGGUAGACGAUGUUCCGACGUUGUGACCGUUGACACUGAUGAAGACUCAAUGUUAUCUUCAGAAGUGCCAGGCAAGCAAAACCCCCUUGUUCAUUCCGAUAAAAUCCCACUCUCUCGCUCCUGCUCUCUUACUGCAUUAGGACAACAUCGAUUCAACUGUUAUUUGCUGCGGUAGUUGAACCCCUUUAUCCUUUGCAUGACCUGUCAUUGCCACAGUAAAUAGAUGAAACCCACUAGCAUGAGUAGGAGUUGUUUGAGCCCUGUUGUGCCUACUCAUUCAUGCUUGUUUGUCAUGCCUGCUACUGCUUAGAGUUGAGUCAGGUCUGAUUCAUCGGGGAUGAAUCAGAGGUGUGUGAACAUGUCCUAUUGUGUGUGAGCUAAGUGUGUGAACACGAUUUGGUAAAGGUAGCGGUGAGAGGCCAUGUAGGAGUACAUGGUGGGUUGUCUCAUUGCAGCCGUCCUCAGGAACUGAGUUCUGUGUUUGUGAUCCAUGAUUCAGCUACUACCACGCAUUGGGCCCGAAACCAAUGGACCCUCUCGGCUUCUUGAUCACCCUUGUCCUCUGUCCAGGAGUUGCAAGUAGUUUCUGGUGUUUGUAGUAUGCUGGAGGCCGUGGACAGCGCUGACCGUAGGGGUGGGCUGUGAUGCGGUAGGCACGUGGCCGGGUAAACCGGGCGCCCGUUUGGUGUCACGGAACCCUGUUCACAUCGUUUGGGGCUGUGAGCGAAACUCCGGCCGGAUAUCCUCAUGGAUGGAACCCGAAUAGGCGAUAAACCUGGACUAGAGACUUGAGUGUUUAGGUAGGUCGUGGUCUACACCCACGUCGGCUUUCGCUUGAAGUCUGCCGAGCACAUGUCGUGUGCAGACGCUAAGUGGUGGAAACAUGUAUGAAGAAGUACACCCCUGCAGGGUUAACAUCAUCUAUUCGAAUAGCCGUGUCCGCGGAAAAGGACUUCUGGGUUGCUUAUAUCAGUUCAUAGACAAGUGAAAGUGGAUACUCUAAAAUACGCAAGAUAAGCGUGAGUGCUAUGGAUGGCGUUCUCGUAGGGAGACGGGAGCGAUUCCAUAGUGGUGUAUUGAUAUGGGGAAUAUGUGGACUCGUGUGCGCCACCUCAAAAGAGUUACUUGCAGUCGUAGUUCAGGAUAGCCACCGAGUCAAAGCUGGCUUGCUGCAGUUAAACCCCACCAUCCCCUUUGUUGAUAAUGAAGCAUAUGUAGUUAGUUCUGAUGUAAGUCUUGUUGGGUACAUUUGUACUCACGUUUGCCUAUUUAUGUUUUUGCAGAGAGACUUCGGUCUCGCUAGUAGUUCCGCGUGGACUUCGACGUUUAGCUUGUUACCUCAGCUACGAUCUUGUGCCCCGGCAGGAUCUGAUAGAUAGUCGGGUUUAUCAGCCUUUUUCAUUUGUAGAUGUCUGUACUCAGACAUGAUAGCUUCCGCUUGUGCUUUGACUUGUAUGCUCUGAUUGUUGGGUCAUGAGACCCAUGUUUGUAAUGUCUCGCUCCUCGGAGCCUAUUGAAUAAACUACUUGAGUCGUAGAGUCAUUUUGUGAUGCCAUGUUGUAUUGCACAUAUCGAGCAUAUUGUGUGUAUGUUAUUGAAAUGCUUGGUAUGUGUGGGAUCUGACUAUCUAGUUGUUUAUCUUUAGUAGCCUCUCUUACCGGGAAAUGUCUCCUAGUGUUACCGCUGAGCCAUGGUAGCUUGCUACUGCUCUGGAACACUUAGGCUGGCCGGCAUGUGUCCUUCUUCGUUCCUGUGUCUGUCCCUUCGGGGAAAUGUCACGCUUUGAGUACCGGAGUCCUGUUAGCCCGCUACAGCCCGGUUUACCGGAGUCCUGCUAGCCCAGUGCUACAGCCCGGACCCACUUGCUGAUGACCGACACGUUCGAAGCUGGGUCAUGGAUGCCUGUCCCUGUAAGUCUGUGCCACUUUGGGUUUACGACUAGUCAUGUCAGCCCGGGCUCCUUAUCAUAUGGAUGCUAGCGACACUAUCAUAUACGUGAGCCAAAAGGCGCAAACGGUCCCGGGAAAAGGUAAGACGACACCCGUGGAGAUACCGUGUGUGAGGCCGCAAAGUUAUUGUCACAUCCCUAGCUUCUGGCAUUGCACUAGUACUAGCCUUUGGUGAUGCAUCAUGUUUACUUUUACAGAAAGUUGAAAUGGGGAUUGUCCAAACCCUAGCAUUUUAAGAAUUCACCAGGUUCACCUAAAAUAUUUUCAGUCAAUCCAAGUGGCUUUCAAAAAUGUUCAUCAUUUUUGGAAAAAUGCUGGAAACAGUAACCAGAGAUGAUGCACAUUUUUCCAUGUCAUUUUGGAUCUUUGAACUAAUAUAUAUUGUAUUUGAGUUGGAGCAAAUAUAUGUUAUAUAUAUUUUUAAUGCUUCAAUAAUUCUGAUAUUUUGUGAGGGGCUCUGGAAUAUUACUUUCAGUCCCUGCAAAAAUUAUUGGAAGAAACAAAAAUGAUUUAGUGUUUGAACUAAAUCAAAACAGAUGAAACAAAUAGAAAACAAUGAUUAAAAAAUAAAACAGAGCAAAAAUAAAAAGGGAGACGGCCACCUGGGCCACUUACCUGCUUACCUGCCCGGCCCAGCUCCUCCCGCUGGCCCAGCCCACCACCACAGCCUCCCUGUCGUCUUCCUCCCUGGACAGGAGGACGAGGGCGUGUGCCCGACGCUCGCCGGCACGCGCGCGCGCCACCUCCCCCCUGCUGGCCACCUCCUGCUUCCCCCGGACUCCCUUGAUGCCCCGGACGAAGCCACGCAGCUGCCCCGCACCGCUCUCACUCUCCCUCGCCCUCCCCUUCUUCCCCUGCUCUCUCUCCCUCUCACCCGAGAACCACCGCCGCCACCGACGCCGAUUGCCGCAGCCACCGUGCUCCUCUCGCCUCCCCGACGCCUCCCAGAGCUCCGCAAGUCCUCCCUCGUCCUCCUCGUCGUCUCACGCGACCAGAAGAGCCCCGGAACGCCGCCCCCGACGUUUUCCCCCUCGCCGGCCGCCGAGGAUCUUCUCCGUCGAAUUCGGCCACUCUGGCGCGCCCCCGAGCUCGCUGACCCUCCCUGCGUGAUCCCUGUGAGCUCCACUCCGUUUCCCCUCCUCCAUUUUGUUCGUUUCCGUGCCGUAGCACCCCGGCCACAUUCCCGAGCGCCGCCGUCCGCCAUGGACGCCGGGCAUGGCACUGACGUGCUGCUGCGGCCAGACCGACGAGCCUAGCGUGCUCCUAGCUGCCCCAGGAGUCCGCAUAGCCCCUCAGCCAGCCCCCUAGCGCCCCGUAACCUCGCUCCGCCCAAACCCGAGCUCCGGCAGCCGCUGCGGCCCCCACUCCGGCGAGCUCCGGCCACCCCCGCACCUCCCGAUGGCCCCCCUAGAUGCGCACGGGCACGGGCUACCCUCUGGUGCCCUUGGCUUGGCCCAAAACCCCUCGCAGCGCCACUCCGGCGAGCUCCCGCCGCAGUUUUGGUCGUCGCCGGCCGAACUCCGGCGAAGUCGACGUGGCUUAGUUAAUUAGUCACUAACCCCCCCACCUACUGACGCUGACAAGUGGGCCCCAGGGCUUAGUCAAAGCUAACCAGCCCGGGUCAACGCGGGAUUAGUCCCUGUGUCACUGACGUGUGGACCCCACACGUCAGGUUUGACCUGGGGCGCUCGGUUGACCCUGCUGACGUCACUAUUACGUCAUGCUGACGCAGUAUUUGUUCUAGAAUUUAAAUAAAUCCUAAAUGAUUUAUAAAUUCCAGAAAAUGACUAAAACUUCCAAAAUUCAUAGAAAAUUAACCGUAACUCCAAAUUUAAUAAAUUAUAUAUGAAAAAUUAUCAGAAAAAUUCAAGGAAUCCAUCUGUACCAUUUUCAUGCAUGUUAGAACAACUUAUAGCUGCUGUUUAGCACAAAUCAAUUAAAGGGCAUUUAAAUAAUCACAUAUGGAGUUUGAAUUUGAAUCUUGGAUUCAAACCAACUUCAUUUAAUCUGGUUUUAGUUGCAUUAGCUCAAAACACAUUCAUUUUGCCAUGUCAUGAUCAUGCAUCAUAUUGUGCAUUGCAUUGAUUGUGUUCCUUUCUGUGUUGCCGGUAUUUGUCCCCUCUCGAUAGACGUGAUACCGAUGACGUGAUCGUUGACACUGAUGAAGACUCAAUGUUAUCUUCAGAAGUGCCAGGCAAGCAAAACCCCCUUGUUCAUUCCGAUACAAUCCUACUCUCUCGCUCCUGCUCUCUUUUACUGCAUUAGGACAACACCGAUUCAUCUGUUACUUGCUGCGGUAGCUGAACCCCUUUAUCCUCUGCAUGACCUGUCAUUCCACAGUAAAUAGAUGAAACCCACUAGCAUGAGUAGGAGUUGUUUGAGCCCUGUUGUGCCUACUCAUUCAUGUUUGUUUGUCAUGCCUGCUACUGCUUAGAGUUGAGUCAGGUCUGAUUCAUCGGGGAUGAAUCAGGGGUGUGUGAACAUGUCCUACGGUGUGUGAGCUAAGCGUGUGAACACGAUUUGGUAAAGGUAGCGGUGAGAGGCCAUGUAGGAGUACAUGGUGGGUUGUCUCAUUGCAGCCGUCCUCAGGAACUGAGUUCUGUGUUUGUGAUCCAUGAUUCAGCUACUACCACGCAUUGGGCCCGAAACCAAUGGACCCUCUCGGCUUCUUGAUCACCCUUGUCCUUUGUCCAGGAGUUGCAAGUAGUUUCUGGUGUUUGUAGUAUGCUGGAGGCCGUGCGCAGCGCUGACCGUAGGGGUGGGCUGUGAUGCGGUAGGCACGUGGCACGGUGUACCGGGCGCCCGUUUGGUGUCUCGGGAACCCUGUUCACAUCGUUUGGGGCUGUGAGCGAAACUCCGGCCGGAUCUCCUCAUGGAUGGAACCCGAAUAGGCGAUAAACCUGGACUAGAGACUUGAGUGUUUAGGCAGGCCGUGGCCGACACCCACGUUGGGCUUCCGCUUGAAGGUUGCCGAGUACAUGUCGUGUAAACGGCGGUAAGUGGUGAGAGCAUGUGUGAAGAAGUACACCCCUGCAGGGUUAACAUCAUCUAUUCGAAUAGCCGUGUCCGCGGAAAAGGACUUCUGGGUUGCUUAUAUCAGUUCAUAGACAAGUGAAAGUGGAUACUCUAAAAUACGCAAGAUAAGCAUGAGUGCUAUGGAUGGCGUUCUCGUAGGGAGACGGGAGCGGAUCCAUAGUGGUGUAUUGAUAUGGUGAAUAUGUGGACUCGUGUGCGCCACCUCAAAAGAGUUACUUGCAGUCGUAGUUCAGGAUAGCCACUGAGUCAAAGCUGGCUUGCUGCAGUUAAACUCCACCAUCCCCUUUGUUGAUAAUGAUGCAUAUGUAGUUAGUUCUGAUGUAAGUCUUGCUGGGUACAUUUGUACUCACGUUUGCCUAUUUUAUGUUUUUGCAGAGAGACCUCAGUCUCGCUAGUAGUUCCGUAUGGACUUCGACGUUUAGCUUGAUACCUCAGCUACGAUCUUGUGCCCUCGGCAGGAUCUGAUAGAUAGUCAGGCUUCUUAGCCUUUUUCAUUUAUAGAUGUCUGUACUCAGACAUGAUAGCUUCCGCUUGUGCUUUGACUUGUAUGCUCUGAUUGUUGGGUCAUGAGACCCAUGUUUGUAAUAUCUCGCUCCUCGGAGCCUAUUGAAUAAAUUACUUGAGUCGUAGAGUCAUGUUGUGAUGCCAUGUUGUAUUUGCACAUAUCGAGCAUAUUGUGUGUAUGUUAUUGAAAUGCUUGGUAUGUGUGGGAUCUGACCAUCUAGUUGUUUAUCUUUAGUAGCCUCUCUUAUGGGGAAAUGUCUCCUAGUGUUCCACCGAGCCAUGGUAGCUUGCUACUGCUUCGGAACACUUAGGCUGGCCGGCAUGUGUCCUUCUUUGUUCCUGUGUCUGUCCCUUUGGGGAAAUGUCACGCAUUGAGUACCGGAGCCCUGUUAGCCCGCUACAGCCCGGUUUACCGGAGUCCUGCUAGCCCAGUGCUACAGCCCGGACCCACUUGCUGAUGACCGACACGUUCGAUGCUGGGUCAUGGAUGCCUGUCCCUGUAAGUCUGUGCCACUUUGGGUUUACGACUAGUCAUGUCAGCCCGGGCUCUUUAUCAUAUGGAUGCUAGCGACAUCAUCAUAUACGUGAGCCAAAAGGCGCAAACGGUCCCGGGGAAAGGUAAGGCGACACCCGUGGGAAUACCGUGCGUGAGGCCGCAAAGUGAUAUGAGGUGUUACAUGCUAGAUCGAUGUGGCAUUGAGUCGGGGUCCUGACACUUAGCAUGGGCAAGUUCCAUUCCAAUGGCAAGGACUGAGCCAAGCUUGACAACUGGUUCCGAUUCCCCGCCCUAGAUCAGCGCGUUGAGCUCACUUUUGAUGAUGGACAUAUGCGCUCGCUGCCAACGUCUGCGCUACGCGUCGCCAAAUUCAGGAACUGCCACCCCCCUUAAUGACGCGCCCGCUCUUAUUCUACCACAACUAAAGCACCUCAAGAUCGUCGUCGUCUGCCUCCCAAAUGAUGACAUGGAGCGCCUGCUCCAUGGCUCUACUGCACUCGAGUACCUUCGUCUUCAGGCAAUCAAUGGGUUGAGUAGCUUCCACAUCACCUCCAUGACUCUCCGGACUAUUUAUGUGUGUUGCUGGUGCGGCAAGAAGACAUAAAAAGAUGUGUACCACGGUAUGGUCAUUGAGGACACACCUUCACUUGAGAGAUUACUUGUAGUUGAUCAAGAUGGUCCAACAAGAAUCAAUGUCAUUUCUGCACCAAAAUUGACAGUGGUGGGCUACUCGUCUGAAAAAUACUCCGAACUUGUUACUGAAUCCACACCCGUUCAGGUACAACAACCUUGACAGUGGUGGGCUACUCGUGUGAAAAAUACUCCGAACUUGUUACUAAAUCCACACCCGUUCAGGUACAACAACCGCCUUCUACCUCUCCUUCUAGAAAUUAACAUUAUUUCUAAUUUUGAAGAUGUAUGUUUGUCUGUCAUCUAGAAAAUGAUUUUGACAAGCUUGACCCUGAAACUGCGCACAGUGAAGGUCUUGGCACUAGAAUCUAUCGGCCCCAGCCUGGAGCAAGUUGUCAGUUUCCAGAGAUACUUUCCGUGCCUGGAGAAGCUAUAUAUCAAGGUGAUGUUCCUUUCCUGUUAAAUGUUAACCAUAAGGGAGUUCAAUUUGUGGCACCUUUUUCCAAGUUUACAAUGACAAUGUGCUAUGAUUUCUGAAGGAUUUUUUUGGAGGAUUUCAAUACAUACAUGCCCCCCCAUAUUGGUUGCUUGAUCCAUAUGGUUACAAUCCAUAAGCAUUUCUCCUUUGGAUUCAUCUGUACUAGUUUUCUUAGGGAACUUUUCAUCCAUUCCAACCUCUUAUGAAGAAGGCUACAUUUUUCUAAAUUGUAAUCAAAUGCCCAUGUUAAUCAUGUCGGAUCGAAGAUAGCAUGUUAGUCCAUUUUACAAAUCCUGCAAAUGAAAUAGGCAUGUAUUAGUGUUCAAAAUUGCAUGUAGGCACUAACACGUUUUCUUCUUUUGCAGAUAAGAUUAGGCCCAGUGGUGGAUAAUGUGAUACAAUAUAACAAUCACAUUGAAUGCCUAGAUCUGCAUCUCUCAAAAAUUACUUUGAACUCCUACGGAGGGACCAUACUAAAGAUUAUAUUCGCCAGGUUCUUUGUUCUUACAACAAGGGUGCUGAAAGUAGUGAGGUUUGCCCUACAUUUAUUUCAUAAAAAUGAAUGAUUUGUUGAUCAGCGCCGGCGCCUACAGCAGAAUGGAAUAGGCUCCAAAAAUGUUGAAUUUCAUUUUGGAACCUCAAAUGACAGAGUAAUCGGAAGUCAUAGUGUCAACCCCAUACAUGACUUCUCUGUGGAUGACCCCUUUGCAAAAAUUAUGAGGUUUUGAAACCAGACUUACAAGUGGUAAUAUUAGUUUGAACCUCUCUGAUAUCCAUGUUCAGCGGAUCAGCGCGAGCGUUUGCAGCUGAUGAGCUGAAUUUCAUUUCUAAUAUCAGUUUGAACCUUGUGAUCUUCGAAUUUGAGCCAUAUAACUCUGGAAUUUGAACCUUGUAAUAUUUCGAGCUUUUGUCGUACAAUCAUUGAAAUGACAUCGUAUGAGACUCAUAUAUUGGUAGCACUAUUUUGACCUUCUCAUAGCACACGAUCUUUAUAGCUACCUCGACUGCAAUCUUUGACAUUAUUGCACACACUUGGUUUCUUCAACCGUGUGCCCUAUAGAGCACAGAAUUAAUUAUCUCACUCGAGUGUCCAUCAUCACCCUUUUGUGUAACUUUGACCUCAUCACCCACGAGUGAACUUAUGACCGAAGUCAUUCCACACGCUUUGUUUUUACAAAGCUUUUUUCCAAUAAAUGCCCAUGAUUUUUUCCCUCUUUUAGCUGACACGUGGCCAAACUAGCCGAGCGGGAAGCUUGCACGGUAGCGCGGGAACAUGCUCACCGAUGAUACAUUUGGCACCUAUUCGAUCCCAUGCGUGGUCAAACGAAACGCAUGCGGUGCGGUGUUGUCAAGCGUGCAUCGAAAUCCUCCACUAUGAACGCGGUGACAAGAUGUGAUGAUUACAAGCCGACCAGCCCCCAUUUAUUACAGCAGCCAUUUAACCCUUGUGUAUCUUCAACCUUUCGAUCGCGCCCCACCAUUGCAAGAAGCACACCCACCACGACAAAUUCUUAGAGGUUAUCCUGCGCGGCUCCAAUGGCGCUCCAAGCGGCUGCCAACGACAAGCAGUGAUACGUCUCCAACGUAUCUAUAAUUUUUUAUGUAUUCAUGCCAUGUUUAAAUAUUUAUACAUGAUUUUGGUAUGAUUUGGUUAGAACUAACCCGGAGUGACGCUGUUUUCAGCAGAACUACCGUGGUGUUGUUUUUUAUAGAGAAAUAAAAGUUCUCGAAAUGCGCUGAAAAUCAAUGGAUAUUUUUUCUGGAAAAUAUAUAAAACACUGGAAUGAAGAGUUACCGAAGGGGAGUCCCGUGGGGCCCACGAGGGUGGAGGGUGCCCCCACCCCCCGGGGCAUGCCCCUAUGCCUCGUGGACUCUCUGUGGGUCCCCCUGACUUGUUCGUGAUGCCAACCUCUCCUAUAAAUACAGAAACCUCCAAAAAAUAACCUAGAUCAGGAGUUCCGCUACCGCAAGCCUCUAUAGCCACCAAAAACCAAUCGGGACCCUAUUUCGGUACCCUGUCGGAGGGGGAUCCAUCACCGGUGGCCAUCUUCAUCAUCCCGACGCUCUCCAUGACGAGAAGGGACUAGUUCACCCUCGAGGAUGAGGGUAUGUACCAGUAGCGAUGUGUUUGAUAUCUCUCUCUCUCUCUCUCUCUAUGUCUCUCUCUCUCUCGUGUUCUUGAUUUGGCACGAUCUUGAUGUACCGCAAGCUUUGCUAUUACAGUUGGAUCUUAUGAUGUUUCUCCCCCUCUACUCUCUUGUAAUGGAAUGAGUUUUCCCUUUGAAAUUAUCUUAUCAGAUUGAGUCUUUAAGGAUUUGAGAACACUUGAUGUAUGUCUUGCAUGGGAUACCCGUGGUGACAAUGGGGUAUUCUAUUUAUCCACUUGAUGUAUGUUUUGGUGAUCAACUUGCGGGUUCCGUGACCUUGGGAAUCUAUGCAUAGGGUUUGGCACACAUUUUUGUCUUGAUUCUCCGGUAGAAACUUUGGAGCCCUCUAUGAAGUUCUUUGUGUUGGUUUGAAUAGAUGAAUCUGAGAUUGUGUGAUGCAUAUCAUAUAAUCAUACCCGCAGAUACUUUUGGUGACAUUGGAGUAUCUAGGUGACAUUGGGGUUUUUGGUUGAUGUGUGUCUUAAGGUGUUAUUUUACUACGAACUCUAGGGCUGUUUGUGACACUUAUAGGAAUAGCCCAAUGGAUUGAUCGGAAAGAAUAACUUUGAGGUGGUUUCGUACCCUACAAUAAUCUCUUCGUUUGUUCUCCGCUAUUAGUGACUUUGGAGUGACUCUUUGUUGCAUGUUGAGGGAUAGUUAUAUGAUCCAAUUAUCUUAUCCUUGUUGAGAGAACUUGCACUAGUGAAAGUAUGAACGCUAGGCCUUAUUUCUAAGCGUUGCAAUACCAUUUACACUCACUUUUAUCGCUUGCUACCUUGAUGUUUUUAUAUCUUCAGAUUAUGAAAACCCAUAUCUACCAUCCAUAUUGCACUUGUAUCACCAUCUCCUCGCCGAACUAGUGCACCUAUACAAUUUAGCUUUGUAUUGGGUGUGUUGGGGACACAAGAGACUCUUUGUUAUUUGGUUGCAGGGUUGUUUCAAAGAGACCAUCUUCAUCCUACGCCUCCCACAAAUUGAUAAACCUUAGGUCAUCCACUUGAGGAAAAUUUGCUACUGUCCUACAAACCUCUGCACUUGGAGGUCCAACAACGUCUACAAGAAGAAGGAUGCGUAGUAGACAUCAAGCUCUUUUCUAGUGCCGUUGCCGGGGAGGUUAGUGCUUGAAGGUAUAUCUUUAGUUCUUGCAAUUCAAUCUUUUAGUUUCUUAUUUUAUCACUAGUUUAGUCUAUAAAAGAAAACUACAAAAAAUGGAAUUGAGCGUGCCUCAUAUGCUUCAUCUUUUUAAUGUCUUUCGUGAAAAUAAGGAUUCCAAUAAUUGUGCCAAAGUGUUAGAAGAAGAAUGCAAUAAAUUGUUUGGCAUAAAAUCUUUGAAUGAUGAGCAUGGGUGCAAUGUUGUUAGUAUGAAUUCCUUGAAUAUUCAUGAUGCUAAUGAUAUGCAAAGCCACAAGCUUGGGGAUGCUAUGUUUGAUGAAGAUGAUAUUUUUAGUCCCCCAAGUUUUGAUGAGCAAAUUUAUUAUCAUGAUAGCAUGCCUCCUAUUUAUGAUGAUUAUAUUGAUGAAAGUGGGUUUGUAAGAGUGUCAACUUUAGAAACUAAUGAUCCCACUAUUUUGGAGGGUGUUGAAUCUUAUUGUCAUAAUUAUGAAAGUGUAUUUGGAGAGGUCAUGACUUUAUUUAAUGAUGAAUCCACUAUUUUGGAAGAGGUUCCAUUUGAUUAUGAGAACAAAGUUGCUAUCUAUGAUGAUUAUUGUGAUGACAUGUAUGCUAUAAAGAAUAAUGAUAACCAUGAAACUUGUCAUCUUGAUUUUAAUUUUCAAUUGGAUUAUGCCUCACAUGAUAGUUAUUUUGUUGCAUUUGCUCCCACUACUAUUCAUGAGAAUAAAUUUGCUUAUGUGGAGAGUAAUAGAAUUUAUUUUCUUGUAGAUCAUGAAAAUAAUGCUUUAUGUGAUAGUUGUAUUGUUGAAUUCAUUCAUGAUGCUACUGAAAUUACUAUGAGGGAGGAAUAUAUGCUUGUCGGAGUUGCAAUGAUAUCAAGUUUGCUCUCUAUGUGUAGAAAAUCUUGAAGCUAUGCUUGUUUUGCUUUCCUAUGCUAGUUUAUUAUUGUUCCCAUAAAUUGUUUGCUCACAAAAUCCCUAGUCAUAGGAAGUGGGUUAUACUUAAAUGUGCUAGUCAUAUGCUUCAUGAUGCUCCCGUUAUGUUUCAGUUCUUAUCUUUUAUGUGAGCAUCAUUGCCAUCAUCAUGCCUAGCUAAAAAGGCAUUAAAGAAAAGCGCUUGUUGGGAGACAACCCAACAUUACCCCUACUGUUUUUGUGUGUUAACAUUAUUAAUCUACUGUAUUAAUCAUGUUUUAUAGGUUUUAUUUCAAAGUGCCAAGUAAAGCCUUUAGGAUAGCUUGCGGUGAUAGUUGUGUUGAUCCUGCUGAAAAUCAGAUACUUUUACGCUCCGUAAAUUAGUUUUGAUAAUUCACAGAAACAUGAUUUUGAUCUGAUUCUUUUUUCUAUGGACUGGUACAAAAAUUUACCAGGUUUUCCUAAUUUUGUAGGAGUUUUAUAGUUGAAGAAGUAUUCGAAAGUUACAGGUUACUACAGACUAUUCUGUUUUUGACAGAUUCUAUUUUCUAUGUUGUUUGCUUAUUUUGAUGAAUCUACGAGUAGUAUUGGAGGGUAUGAACCAUAGAGAAGUUGGAAUAGAGUAUAUAUUACACCAAUAUGAAUUUAGAAUGAGUUCACAACAGUACCAAAAGUGGUGAUUUAUUUUCUUAUACUAACGGAGCUUAUGAGUUUUCUGUUGAGUUUUGUGUUGUGAAGUUUUCAAAUUUUGGGUAAAGAUUCGAUGGACUAUGGAAUAAGGUGUGGCAAGAGCCUAAGCUUGUGGAUGCCCAAGUCACCCCAAUGUAAUAUUCAAGGACAACCAAGAGCCUAAGCUUGGGGAUGCCCCGGAUGGCAUCCCCUCUUUCGUCUUUGUUCAUCGAUAACUUUACUUGAGGCUAUAUUUUUAUUCACCACAUGAUAUGUGUUUUGCUUGGAGCGUCAUUUUAUUUUAUUAGGUUUUUCUUGUUGUUUGAAUAAAAUACCAAGAUCUGAAAUUCUUAAAUGUUAGAGAGUCUUCACAUAGUUACAUAAUUAUUUAUCUACUCACUGAUCUCCACUUAUAUCUUUCAGAGUAGUUUGUUGUUUGCUCUAGUGCUUCACUUAUAUCUUUCUAGAGCACGAUGGUGUUUUUAUUUUGAAGAAAUCGGUGAACUCUCAGGCUUCACUUAUAUUAUUUUGAGAGUCUUAAAAAGCAUGGUAAUUUGCUAUGCUUAUUAAUUUAGUCCUAAUAUGAUGUGCAUCCAAGAGGGAUAUAAUAAAAACUUCCAUAUAAAGUGCAUUGAAUCUAAGAGAAGUUUGAUUCCUUAUGAUUGUUUUGAGAUAUGAAGAUGGUGAUAUUAGAGUCAUGCUAGUGGAGUAGUUGUGGAUUUGAGAGAUACUUGUGUUAAAGUUUGUGAUUCCCAUAGCAUGCACGUAUAGUGAAUCAUUAUGUGAUGAAGUCGGAGCAUGCUUUAUUUAUUGAUUGUCUUCCUUAUGAGCGGUGGUCGGGGACGAACGGUGGUCUUGUCCUACCAAUCUAUCCCCCUAGGAGCAUGCAUGUAGUACUUCAUUUCGAUAACUAAUAGACUUUUUCAAUAAGUAUGUGAGUUCUUUAUGACUAAUGUUGAGUCCAUGGAUUAUACGCACUCUCACCCUUCCGCCAUUGCUAGCCUCUCUAGUACCGAGCAACUUUCGCCGGUACCAUACAGCCACCAUAACCUUCCCCAAAACAGCCACCAUACCUACCUAUUAUGGCAUUUCCAUAGCCAUUCUGAGAUAUAUUGCUAUGCAACUUUCCACCGUUCCGUUUAUUAUGACAUGCUUCAUCAUUGUCAUAUUGCUUUGCAUGAUCAUGUAGUUGACAUUAUAUUUGUGGAAAAGCCACCUUUCAUAAUUCUUUCAUACAUGUCACUCUUGAUUCAUUGCACAUCCUGGUACACCGCCGGAGGCAUUCAUAUAGAGUCAUAUUUUGUUCCAAGUAUCGAGUUGUAAUUCUUGAGUUGUAAGUAAAUAAAAGUGUGAUGAUCAUCAGUAUUAGAGCAUUGUCCCAGUGAGGAAUGGAUGAUGGAGGUUAUGAUUCCCCCACAAGUCGGGAUAAGACUCCGGACGAAAAAAGGGGCCAAAAAAAGAGAGAGAAGGCCCAAACAAAAAAAAACAAAAAAAUGAGAGAAAAAGAGAGAAGGGGCAAUUCUACUAUCCUUUUACCACACUUGUGCUUCAAAGUAGCACCAUGAUCUUCAUGAUAGAGAGUCUCUUAUGUUGUCACUUUCAUAUACUAGUGGGAAUUUUUUAUUAUAGAACUUGGCUCGUAUAUUCCAAUGAUGGGCUUCCUCAAAUUGCCCUAGGUCUUCGUGAGCAAGCGAGUUGGAUGCACACCCACUUAGUUUCUUUUUGAGAUUUAACACACUUAUAGCUCUAGUGCAUCUGUUGCAUGGCAAUCCCUACUCACUCACAUUGAUAUCUAUUGAUGGGCAUCUCCAUAGCCCGUUGAUAUGCCUAGUUGAUGUGAGACUAUCUUCUCCAUUUUGUCUUCUCCACAACCACCACUCUAUUCCACCUAUAGUGUUAUGUCCAUGGCUCACGCUCAUGUAUUGCGUGAAAGUUGAAAAAGUUUGAGAACAUCCAAAAGUAUGAAACAAUUGCUUGGCUUGUCAUCGGGGUUGUGCAUGAAUUAAAUAUUUUGUGUGAUGAAGAUAGAGCAUAGCCAGACUAUAUGAUUUUGUAGGGAUAGCUUUCUUUGGCCAUGUUAUUUUGAGAAGAGAUGAUUGCUUUAUUAGUAUGCUUGAAGUAUUAUUGUUUUUAUGACAACAUUAAACUUUUGUUUUGAAUCUUAUGGAUCUGAAUAUUCUUGCCACAACAGAGAAGAUUACAUUGAUAAAUAUGUUAGGUAGCAUUCCACAUCAAAAAUUCUGUUUUUAUCAUUUACCUACUCAAGGACGAGCAGAAAUUAAGCUUGGGGAUGAUGAUACGUCUCCAACGUAUCUAUAAUUUUUUAUGUAUUCAUGCCAUGUUUAUAAUAUUUCUACAUGAUUUUGGUAUGAUUUGGUUAGAACUAAUCCAGACUGACACUAUUUUUAGCAAAACUACAGUGGUGUUGUUUUUUGUGCAGAAAUAAAAGUUCUCGGAAUGCGCUGAAAAUCAACGGAGAUUUUUUUGGAAAAUAUAAAAAAUACUGGAACAAACAUUUACCGGAGGGGAGUCCCAUGGGGCCCACGAGGGUGGAGGGCACCCCUACCCCCCUGGGGCGCGCCCAUGUGCCUCGUGGACUCCAUGGGUCCCCUGACUUGUUCUUGACGCCAACCUCUCCUAUAAAUACAGAAACCUCCAGAAAAUAACCUAGAUCGGGAGUUCCGUCGUCGCAUGCCUCUGUAGCCACCAAAAACCAAUCGAGACCCUGUUCCGGCACCCUGCCGGAGGGGAUCCAUCACCGGUGGCCAUCUUCAUCAUCCCGGCGCUCUCCAUGAGCAUGAACAUGAACAGGAACAAAUCCUACGCAAGUGUCACUCUGAAUCUUAUGGAGGACACCACGCUGGAGAUAGAACUGCACACAAGGUACUACAAUCUGGUUUUUAUUGGCCUACUCUCUUCAAAGAUGCUCGUAUGUUUGUCUUAUCUUGUGAUGAAUGUCAAAGAAUAGGUAACAUUAGUAGACGUCAAGAAAUGCCUAUGAGUUAUUAUCUUGUUAUUGAACUGUUUGAUGUUUGGGGAUUUGAUUAUAUGGGACCUUUUCCUACCUCCAAUGGUUAUACACAUAUUUUAGUUGCUGUUGAUUACGUUACUAAGUGGCUAGAAGCUAUUCCAACUAGUAGUGCUGAUCAUAACACUUCUAUUAAAAUGCUUAAAGAAGUUAUUUUUCCGAGGUUUGGAGUCCCUAGAUAUCUUAUGACUGAUGGUGGUUCACACUUUAUUCAUGGUGCUUUCCGUAAGAUGCUCGCUAAGUAUGAUGUCAAUCAUAGAAUAGCAUCUCCUUAUCACCCGCAGUCUAGUGGUCAAGUAGAGUUGAGAAAUAGAGAGCUCAAAUUAAUUUUGCAAAAGACUGUGAAUAGAUCUAGAAAGAAUUGGUCCAGAAAACUUGAUGAUGCGUUAUGGGCCUAUAGAACUGCAUACAAAAAUCCUAUGGCUAUGUCUCCAUAUAAGAUGGUUUAUGGAAAAGCAUGUCAUUUACCUCUUGAACUUGAACAUAAAGCAUAUUGGGCUAUUAAAGAGCUCAAUUAUGACUUCAAACUUGCCGGUGAGAAGAGGUUGUUUGAUAUUAGCUCACUUGAUGAAUGGAGAACCCAAGCAUAUGAGAAUGCCAAGCUUUUCAAAGAAAAAGUCAAACGCUGGCAUGAUAAGAGGAUACAAAAGCGUGAGUUUAACGUAGGAGAUUAUGUGUUAUUAUUCAACUCUCAUUUAAGAUUUUUUGCAGGAAAACUUCUCUCAAAAUGGGAAGGUCCCUACGUUAUCGAGGAGGACUAUCGUUCUGGUGCUAUAAAAAUCAACAACUUCGAAGGCACAAAUCCGAGGGUGGUUAACGGUCAAAGAAUUAAACAUUAUAUUUCAGGUAAUCCUAUCAAUGUUGAAACUAAUAUUAUUGAAACCAUAACCCCCGAGGAAUACAUAAGAGACACUUUCCAGAACGUCCCAGACUCCGAAAAGGCAUAGGUACGUGGUACGGUAAGUAAACUGACUCCAAAACAACUCUAAUGGCAUUUUUUUAUCAGUUUUGGAUUAUUUAAGAAAUUUAGGAAGAAGGAAGUAGUCCGAAAGGGACAUGGGGCUCCCAUGAGAGAGGAGGCCGCCCCCCCUGUAGGGCGCGCCCCCUGUCUCGUGAGCACCUCGUGUGCCUCCCGGACUCCGUUUUCUUGUAUGUUACGUAUUUUGGUCGGUAAAAAUUCAUUAUAUAUACUCCCGAAGGCUUUGACCACCGUAUCACGCAAAUAUCUUCUGUUUUCGUUUCGAGCUGUUUCCAUUGCAGAUUUAGAGCACCAUGACUUCCCCCUCCUCCAACAACGAAGACAAGGAUGCUUGGCUAAUGAAGAUAGAGCUGAAAAGAGAUGAACCAGAAGAGAUCAACAAGGAUGAAGGGAUCAAGAAGGCCAUGGAGGUCCAAGCUCCGGUGGUGAAAGAAAAAGACAUCCCUCAACCUUUACCUAACCUUUUUGAAAGUGCAACUAUUCCUAGGUGGUUUUGGUAAUUCAUAACAACAUAUAGCUCAUUGAGCUAAUACUAUUCCAAGAUAAUUAUUUCAGGAAAGCUCAAUGAAUGGCAUGGCAUGGAUGAUGAAAGUGGAUCCCUCAAAAUAUCAAGGACAAAGGAUUGGCUCAAGCUCAAAAGCUCAAGACUCUUCAUUUUACAUUUUAGUGAUCCAAGAUCACAUUGAGUCUAUAGGAAAAGCCAAUACUAUCAAGGAGGGAUGAGGUGUUGCUUAAUGAGCCUCUUGCUUCAUGUGCUUAGUGAUAUGCUCCAAAUACCCUCGACUACUUUCUCACAUCCUCAUAUGACCCAAACCUAAAGUCAAAAUCGAUCACAUCGAUUCUUUCUAUCCGGCACCACCGAGUUCAAAUGUCAUAGCCACUGCCACAAACCCUAGGCAAAUCGGUCUCACCGAUAGGGAUCUCGGUCUCACCGAGAUGGGAUUGUAAUCUCUCUGUUUCCCUUCGUAACAUUUCGGUCUAACCGAAGUGAGUGAUCGGUCCCACCGAGAUUGCAAUGUAAACUCUCUGUUUCCCUUUCGUAACAUUUUGGUCUCACCGAAAAGAGCGAAUCGGUCCCACCGAGUUUACCUGACAAACUCUCUGGUUAGCUAAUUACCAAAAUCGGUCUCACCGAGUUUGUGUAAUCGGUCUCACCGAGAUUACGUUAUGCCCUAACCCUAACCAUAUCGGUCUUACCGAGUUGCAUGUCAGUCCCACCGAAAAUCCUAACGGACACUAGGUUUACUAAAUCGGUCUGACCGAGUUUGUUAAUUCGGUCCCACCGAGAUUGGUAAAUUGUGUGUAACGGUUAGAUUUUGUGUGGAGGCUAUAUAUACCCCUCCACCUCCUCUUCAUUCGUGGAGAGAGCCAUCAGAACAAACCUACACUUCCAACUUACCAGUUCUGAGAGAGAACCACCUACUCAUGUGUUGAGGCCAAGAUAUUCCAUUCCUACAUAUGAAUCUUGAUCUCUAGCCUUCCCCAAGUUGCUUUCUACUCAAUUCUUCUUUCCACCAGAUCCAAAUCCUAUGAGAGAGAGUUGAGUGUUGGGGAGACUAUCAUUUGAAGAACAAGAGCAAGGAGUUCAUCAUCAACACACCAUUUGUUACUUCUUGGAGAGUGGUGUCUCCUAGAUUGGCUAGGUGUCACUUGGGAGCCUCCGACAAGAUUGUGGAGUUGAACCAAGGAGUUUGUAAGGGCAAGGAGAUCGCCUAAUUCAUGAAGAUCUACCGCUAGUGAGGCAAGUCCUUCAUGGGCGAAGGCCAUGGUGGGAUAGACAAGGUUGCUUCUUCGUGGACCCUUCGUGGGUGGAACCCUCUAUGGACUCGCGCAACCGUUACCCUUCGUGGGUUGAAGUCUCCAUCAACGUGGAUGUACGAUAGCACCACCUAUCGGAACCACGGCAAAAACAUCCGUGUCUCCAACUGCAUUUGAAUCCUCCAAACCCUUCCCUUUACUUUCUUGCAAGUUUCAUGCUUUAAUUUCCGCUGGCUAUAUACUCUUUGCAUGCUUGCUUGAAUUGCGUGAUGAUUGCUUGACUUGUCCAAAGUUGCUAAAAUCUGCCAAACUCUAAAACUAGGAAAAUGUUAAGUUUUUAAUUGGUCAAGUAGUCUAAUCACCCCCCUCUAGACAUACUCCAAGGUCCUACAAGUGGUAUCAGAGCUUUGGUAUCCAUUUGCUUUGAUUUCCAUAGGUUUUGGUGGUCAUAGCCUUGGUUUCACAACCUAGGAGAGUAUGGCGUCUAGCGAGGGAAAUUAUCACCGUAGAGGUCCUUACUUCGAUGGAACUAAUUUUGCUAGUUGGAAGCAUAAGAUGAAAAUGCAUAUUCUCGGACAUAACCCCGCCGUUUGGGCUAUUGUUUGUAUUGGCUUGCAAGGUGAAUUCUUUGAUGGGAGAGAACCAAACCGUGAAGCGAGUGCGGAUGAAUUGAAGAUGCUGCAAUACAACACUCAAGCUUGUGAUAUCCUCUUCAAUGGUUUAUGCCCCGAAGAAUUCAACAAAAUCAGCCGUCUUGAGAAUGCAAAGGAAAUUUGGGACACUCUGGUUGAUAUGCAUGAAGGUACCAACUCCGUCAAGGAAUCCAAGUUGGAUGUGCUCCAAAGUCAGCUUGACAAGUUCAAAAUGAAGGAUGGUGAAGGUGUCGCUGAAAUGUACUCUAGGCUUGCUCUUAUCACAAAAGAGAUUGCCUGCUUAGGGAGUGAAGAGAUGACCGACAGAUUCAUCAUCAAGAAGAUCCUAAGAGCAUUGGAUGGAAAAUAUGAUACCGUGUGCACAUUGAUUCAAAUGAUGCCCAAUUACAAGAAUCUCAAGCCAACGGAAGUCAUUGGUAGAAUUGUUGCUCAUGAGAUGUCACUCAAGGAUAAGGAGGAACUUCACAACAAGUCAAGUGGUUCUUACAAAGCCUCAUGUGAAGCCCCCACAUCAUCAAGUGAGAAACAAACCUUCAAUGAAGAAUUGAGCUUAAUGGUGAAGAAUUUCAACAAAUUCUACAAGAGUAGAAGCAAAGAAAGAAGCUCUAAGUCAAGGUCCUACAAUGACAAGAGUUCUUCCAGUCGAGAGCGCAAUUGCUACAAUUGUGGGAGACCCGGACACUAUUCCAAUGAGUGUACGACACCCUACAAAAGAAGAGAAGAUUCUCCUAAAAGAAGAAGUAGAAGAGAAGAAUCACCGCCAAGAGAGAGGAGGAGUAGAGAUGAUCGUUAUGAACGAAGAACCUCCCGGAGAAGCAAAGAUUCGGAAAGGAAGGACAAGUCAUCAAAGAGCUACACAAAACAAAUACAUCAAGCUCAUGUUGGCGAAUGGGUAUCCGGUUCCGACUUUGAACAUCACUCCGAGAGAAGCUAUCACUCCGACUCUGAACAUACUCAAGAUGAAGGUGUUGCCGGUCUAGCACUUGUGUCAACCAACUCCUACGACAUAUUUGACUCACCAAAUGAAGGAAUUGGAAGAUGCUUCAUGGCUAAAGGCCCUAAGGUAACUCAUCCCGAGUAUGUUGAUUUUAAUAGUGAUGAAGAUGACUUGCUAGGUGAUGAUGAUUUACUUAUUGACAACUCUAGUGAUGAAUACUAUGAUGGAACGUCAAUUAAUCAUGCUAAACAAGAUAAAACGAAUGACAAUGAUAAGGAGAAGAUUGAGCUUCUAACUAAAGAACUAAACAUUCUUAAGUUAGCUCAUGAAACUAUCUUCGAAAAUCAUUGAGAACUUUUAAGGGCUCAUGAGAAGUUACGCUUUGAAAAGCUCAAUCUUGAGCAAGAGCAUGAGUUCUUAAAGGCAAUCAAUGAUGAUCUUCACAAGAAAAGUUCUUCUUAUAUUGCCAAGCGUUUACUCUUAUCUACUUACGUGCCUCAAGUCAAGUCUAGUAACAAGAACAAGAAAGAUUCUUCCUCUAGUAGUAACAAUAACAAUGCUAAAUCCAAUAUUGUUGCUUUUAGUAGUUCUCUUGAUUCCACUAAUGAUUCUCUUAGCCAAGUUACACUUGAGCAAGAAAAUAGCUUAUUGAAGGGAAUUAUAGAGAAAGGUGUAUACAAGAGCCUUGCUGGGAGUAAGCAAUUCGAGGAAAUUGUGCGCAAGGAAGGAAGGCACCGGAAGAAUCAAGAUGUUGGUUUUGAACGAAAGUUCAAUGUCAAUGGAGUUGAGUGGGAAGAAGAUCAAUACCCCAAGAUGAAGUUUGUUCCUCAACAAGAGAAGUAUGAUCCUACUUCCUUCAAGGGGACACAAGCACAAGAUGAUCUUCCACCACAAGACCACAAGGAUAAAGGCAAGGACAAGCUUCAAGAGGAGAUUGAUGCAUUUGAAGAAGCACCUAAGGCCUUGGUCAAGUGGGUUCCCAGGACUACGUCAAGUUCUACUUCAUCAAGCACAACUACUACACCAAGGAUUCCCAUCAAGAUGAUGUGGAUCCCGAAGAAGAAGAGCUAGAGAGUUCUUGAGGGUGACUCCACCAACAUUCUUCACUCAUAUCAUUAUGGCAAGGACAAGUGCAAUCAACUUCCACAUCUUGCACUAGUUCAAGGAGUCACAAACCCUCAUGUUAGUAAGGCAAGGGACAAGGUAACCUAAUGUUUUCAUGGACAUCAUAUUGUGUGUGCAUCACUCUAUGUCUAUGGAUAUUCUUGUUUGUUCCUUGUGGGACUAACCCGUGUAGGUAUUGAAAGUACAACUCACUCCAAAGGAUUGCUCCAAAAGAUCUACAUCAACAUUGAGCAUCCACAUCUUCAACACCUACAUGAACUCAUCAUCGACAAAACCCAAGGUUAGUUCAUCCCUCUAAGGGGGGAUCUCACAUCUAGGGGGAGCUUAACUCUAAAGAAUUGAGUCAAAGCAACUCUAAUGGUGUGAACACAUCAAUGCAUUAUGUAAAAGUGGUAACCCCACUUGAGCUUAAACGAUGAGUAUGACCUAUGAUCAAAUGUUCUCAUUUGACUCCUAAGUCAAUAUACUCAUAUAUAGAUGACCUAGUCAUCGGCAAUUGUUUGAUAGAUGCUAGAAUUGGUUGUGCAUGCUUUGCCACAUAUUUCAUUUGUCAUUUUAUUGUGUGAGAAUGUUGGUUGCAUAUUUUACUCAAUCAAGGACAUCCACUUGUUGUUUUGAUUGAUUGGAUUCUUUUUCUUUGGCCAAGUGGAUGGACAAGAAUGCCUAAGAACCUUCUCUAGCUAUCUAUGCUUUUCUCGUCUCAAACUCUAUUCAUGCUACAUCACAAAAUUUGAUCAAGUCAGAUUCGAACCACUCUGUGUGAGGAGCACUUGGAGUCCCCGAUUCGUCAUAGUUCUUUGUGAUUUUCGGUCUGACCAAUUCCUCCAUUUCGGUCCUACCGAGAUCACUAAGUCGAUCUAGGUUUUCAAUCUCGAUGCAACCGAUUUGAACUUUUCGGUCACACCGAGUUGCUGUAACUAUUAACAGUUAUGCAUCUCAGUGCCACCGAGUUGUUCCCCUUGGUCACACCGAUAGUGUCGGGCUAUAUAUACUCACGGGCAAAUUUUGGAAAACUUUCUCCGGAACUCCUCGCCCGCGCAUAGCUCGCUCUACCUACUAGGUCUACGGAUCGUCGACUUCGUCGCAGCCGCCUCCUGUCGCUGGUCUCCGCCGCCGUCAACGGAUUUCUUCUCCGCCGUUGCCGCCGUAGCGAGUUCACCGCCGAACUAGGGUAUGAACUCGAUCACAGUGCUAUCCUCAUCUAAUUCUCAGCACAUUGUGUUCGUAAUGCAUCUUGCCAUGAUUGAAACACUCCUAUCCAGUCAAUGCGAUCCUUAGAAUAGAUGUGAUUCGAAAAUUUAGGGUUAGGUUUCCGCUGAAACCAUCUCGAACCCACCGAGUUGAAAAACUCGGUCCCACCGACUUGGCUAACGCCAUUGCACUAGUAAGUCUCGGUCUGACCGAGAAUUACAAAUCGAUGUGACCGAUUUUAGAACUUUGUGAAACCAUGGCAGUCUCGGUGCCACCGAACUAUGACUCCGUCUGACCGAGUUCACUAGUUUAGGUUCCAAAACUGCUUCUGUAUCACCAAGUUUGAAAAUCGAUAGAUCCGAAAUGCUUUCUGUGGAAACUAAAACUAAGUUUUUUUUGAAUCAUUCUUUUGCAAAAAUCUCUGCAUUUUGUGAUGCUCCUCCACUCUAUCUCAUCUAUAACUAUUCACAGGGUCGGUAGUCAGUGUGUGUAGUAUGUCAGACCAAAGUGAUAGUCAGAACAAGUUAGCAGAGCAGAUUCACAUGAGUGAGGGCACUAGUCCCUCUAGCAGCUCAGAUGAGGGGAGCAGAAGCACUCCCAGCAAUUUGCCCAAAGCAGCCACAAGAGCAAGAAGGAAGAGAACCUCAGACUCUGAGGAUGAGGAUUAUGUGGCUAUUGAAGAUGAGGCUACUUCCAAGAAGGUAGUGCUCAAGAAAGUGCCCAGUUCAACUGCAGUUAAGCCAGGCAUGAAGAUCAAAAGGCCAGCAGGAAGACAGCCAAUGUCCAAAGCCAGAGGAUCAACUCAAGUACCUGAAAAGCCUAGUCCCAAAGAGCCAGCUGCAGAAGGAAAGAAAAGGAAGGAAAGGGUCAAGAAGACCAUGGCCAGAGUUGUUGGUCAACCUUCCAUGAUGGAAGAGGGAGAAGAGUUUGCUGAACCAGCACCCAAGGCACAAAAGCUGAUGGGUGAUGCUAUAAAGUCAGGGGUUGCAACAUCAAAGCCCAAAGAAGCACCCAAAGCUGCCUCCAAGCCCAAGAUUGCACCAAAGAGAAAUACCAGGAGUAUACCAGCAACUGAGAAGAACAAGGCCCCAAUGCCUGAGGUUACUGCUGAGGAAGAUGAAGAAGGGCAGAUCUUAAGGAAGCUCAAACCCAAGAUCCCAGACCACAAUGAUGCUCAUCCUGUGGCUGAGAAUAGGAAGAUCGGAAGAGAUCUAGGGUUGAGGCUAUGGAGAGAGUCAGAUCCAUAUGCCACCAGGAGAAGGACUGUUGUUGAUUACAGGUUCCAUACCAAGGAGUAGCAGGACUUCUAUGAGACAAUCUUGUUGGACAAGAAGCCCAUAGUGUGUGAUAUGAGGUGGGUCGACUAGACCUACAUGAAGGAAAAUGAGGAACACUAUCCUGGAGUGCAAGACAGUUUCAUUGCUUGUGGAGUUGCAGAUUUUGUUGGGCAGAAACUCACCAACUGGAAUGAUGAAUUCAUUAUGCAAUUCUACUCCACAGCACAUUUCUAUCCAGAUGGCAGGAUAGUUUGGAUGUCUGAAGGAACGAGAUACCAGUCAACCAUUGAGGAAUGGGCAAGUCUGAUCAAUGCCCCAGAGGAGAGUGAAGAUGACUUGGAUAUUUAUGCCAAGAAGAAAAUGGAUCAUAACUCAAUGUCACAUAUGUACAAGGAGAUCCCGGAUGAAGCACUUGAGAUUUUCAAGUUUGGAUCAGUUCAUUUUCUUCUGUCAGGGCUGCCUACGAUCAACCAGAUCUUAAGGCACGCUCUUUUGCCCAAAUCAGGUGAUCACAACAUGAUUAGAGGGCAUGCAAUUAACUUGCUACAUGUAUUUGAUGUGCCCCAGAAAUUCAAGGUCAUGAGCCUUAUGGUUGAAACUAUCAAGAGGACUGCAGCACCAGGAGAGAAGUUGUGGAUAUGCCCCACAGAUUCAGGAGUUGAUUAACUCAAAGAUGGGCACAUGAAAAUAUCAGUUGGAUAAAGAACGUUUUGCUCUCUAUCCAGACUUUGAGGACAAUCAAGUUGUCAUGAAUGAGAAUGAACCAUCAUCAGUGCAAGCUCAAGCGAAGAAGGAGAAAGCAAGGAAAGAGAAGGCUGCCAAGAUGCCAACUCAAGAGGAGGCAUCUGAGUAUUUCUUGAAGAACAAGCAGGAGCAGCUUGGUUACUUGAUAGCAUCAACACCGAGGAUUGAGAAGGGGUUCGCCACCCUAACUCAAACCAGGAGAGCCUGGAAAGAAUCAUGGAACAAAAAUUCUAUGAUCUUGAUGUCAAAGUAACUGAGAUUAAGUCAGUUGUGGAACAGCUUCAGGAUGACAUCCAGGAGAGGAAGGGCAAGACAACCACUGAUGUAUUUGCCAGAGUGCCUAGAGCUCAGAGGUCAGCUGCAGUGCCUGUGACAGAUACCAGAGCCACAUCAUCUGCACCAGCUACAGCUCCUACAGCUCAAGUGCAACCAGCUCCAGCACCAACUCCUCCAGCUCCAUCUACAUUGACUGAAGCCUUCAUUCUUGGAGUUAUCCGGACACCACCACCACCUGAAGACCAAGCCUAAGAGACGAUCUAGCACUAUGCAUUUUCUAUGAACUUUUUGGUAACUUGUUGCCAAAGGGGGAGAAAAAUGUAUAGAUCAUAGGCUUCGAGAGAGAUAUUUGCUAUUUUUUGUUCUCUCUUGUCUUCUUGGUUAAACUUGUUUGCUUUUGAUUGCUUGAGAUACUAUGCAAUUACCUGUGAGACAUUGAUGAUCAUGUGUUUGAUACACUUAUGCAUGUUUGAUGAUAUUAUCUUACCUAUCCUUAUAUGAUCAUUCACUUUGCUUGGUGAUGAGUGCAUGUAUUCAAUCCUUAUUAUUUUGAGCGCUCCACCAAGAUGUAUGUGACAUGGAAGAGUAACCCAUGAGCCUAAUUCCUUGUGCAUUUGCAGUCCAAAGCAAAUCUUAAAAUAUGCACAAAUUUAGGGGGAGCUCUUGCUUAUCACAUACUUCUCAAAGCGACGAUGUUUUUCAAUCUUAUUAUCAUUUGUCGAAGCUUUGAUCUAUAUGUUGUCAUCAAUUACCAAAAAGGGGGAGACUGAAAGUGCAACUAUCCCUAGGUGGUUUUGGUAAUUCAUAACAACAUAUAGCUCAUUGAGCUAAUACUAUUCCAAGACAAUUAUUUCAGGAAAGCUCAAUGAAUGGCAUGGCAUGGAUGAUGAAAGUGGAUCCCUCAAAAUAUCAAGGACAAAGGAUUGGCUCAAGCUCAAAAGCUCAAGACUCUUCAUUUUACAUUUUAGUGAUCCAAGAUCACAUUGAGUCUAUAGGAAAAGCCAAUACUAUCAAGGAGGGAUGAGGUGUUGCUUAAUGAGCCUCUUGCUUCAUGUGCUUAGUGAUAUGCUCCAAAUACCCUCAACUACUUUCUCACAUCCUCAUAUGACCCAAACCUAAAGUCAAAAUCAGUCACACCUAUUCUUUCUAUCCGGCGCCACCGAGUUCAAAUGUCAUAGCCACUGCCACAAACCCUAGGCAAAUCGGUCUCACCAAUAGGGAUCUCGGUCUCACCGAGAUGGGAUUGUAAUCUCUCUGUUUCCCUUUGUAAUAUUUCGGUCUAACCGAAGUGAGCGAUCGGUCCCACCGAGAUUGCAAUGUAAACUCUCUGUUUCCCUUUCGUAACAUUUUGGUCUCACCGAAAAGAGCGAAUCGGUCCCACCGAGUUUACCUGACCAACUCUCUGGUUAGCUAAUUACCAAAAUCGGUCUCACCGAGUUUGUGUAAUCGGUCUCACCGAGAUUACGUUAUGCCCUAACCCUAACCAUAUCGGUCUUACUGAGUUGCAUGUCAGUCCCACCGAAAAUCCUAAUGGUCACUAGGUUUACUAAAUCGGUCUGACCGAGUUUGUUAAUUCGGUCCCAUUGAGAUUGGUAAAUUGUGUGUAACGGUUAGAUUUUGUGUGGAGGCUAUAUAUACCCCUCCACCUCCUAUUCAUUCGUGGAGAGAGCCAUCAUAACAAACCUACACUUCCAACUUACCAGUUCUGAGAGAGAACCACCUACUCAUGUGUUGAGGCCAAUAUAUUCCAUUCCUACCAUAUGAAUCUUGAUCUCUAGCCUUCCCCAAGUUGCUUUCCACUCAAUUCUUCUUUCCACCAGAUCCAAAUCCUAUGAGAGAGAGUUGAGUGUUGGGGAGACUAUCAUUUGAAGCACAAGAGCAAGGAGUUCAUCAUCAAUGCACCAUUUGUUACUUCUUGGAGAGUGGUGUCUCCUAGAUUGGCUAGGUGUCACUUGGGAGCCUCCGACAAGAUUGUUGGAGUUGAACCAAGGAGUUUGUAAGGGCAAGGAGAUCGCCUACUUCAUGAAGAUCUACCGCUAGUGAGGCAAGUCCUUCGUGGGCGACGGCGAUGGUGGGAUAGACAAGGUUGCUUCUUCGUGGACCCUUCAUGGGUGGAGCCCUCCGUGGACUCGCGCAACCGUUACCCUUCGUGGGUUGAAGUCUCCAUAAAUGUGGAUGUACGAUAUCACCACCUAUCGGGACCACGACAAAAACAUCCGUGUCUCCAACUGCAUUUAAAUCCUCCAAACCCUUCCCUUUACUUUCUUGCAAGUUGCAUGCUUUAAUUUCCGCUGGCUAUAUACUCUUUGCAUGCUUGCUUGAAUUGCGUGAUGAUUGCUUGACUUGUCCAAAGUUGCUAAAAUCUGCCAAACUCUAAAACUGGGAAAAGGUUAAGUUUUUAAUUGGUCAAGUAGUCUAAUCACCCCCCAUCUAGACAUACUUCAAGGUCCUACACUUUUCACUCCAACAGAGAUUGAAGCUUUCAAGACGAUUGAGUUAGCCCGCAUAUAGAACAAGUAUCUCACACAAGAGAAUAUUUUGUUGAAGGAUCAUAUUGAUGGGCUCAAGGGCAUUAUCCGCAAGUUGGAGGAGCUUUUACGCUUGAUGUGCGAUUAUCCACCGUCAUCACCACCUCCGAGGAAAUAAUCACAUGGGUAUGGGCACUCCCCUUGGCAAUUGCCAAGCUUGGGGGAGGUGCCCCGGUAUCGUAUCACCAUCACACUCCUAUCUUUACACCUUUAUUUAGUUCGAUCUUUUUAGUAGUAUCUUGAUCUAGUAGAUUGAAGUUUUGAUAUCAAGUAGUUUUGAGCUUUGCAUUGUGAUCUCUUUAUGUAAGAGAGUCCGUGUGCUAUCUAUAGUAAAGAUUAGUGUUGAGUCAAGGGCUUUGCUAUGUUGCUGUGAUCUUGAGAAAGUAGAAAGAACAAAAGAGUUCAUAUUGAUCUUAUGGAUAGUGAUAACUUCACACAUAGAAAGUAUGAGGCAUAAAAAUUGUUGAGAGUUGAUGAACGUAGCCUUGGUCAUCAUUGCAAUUAAUAGGAAGUGAUAAGGAAAGAGGGGUUCACAUAGAGAUAUAUUAUCUUGGACAUCUUUUAUGAUGGUGAGGCACUCAUUAAGUAUGACAUGCUAAAAGAGUUGAUGUUGGACAAGGAAGACAACGUAAUGGUUUAUGUUUUCCGACAUCUCAGUUAAAGUAUAUUGUCAUUGACCUUCCAAACAUGUUGAGCUUGCCUUUCCCCCUCUUGCUAGCCAAAUUCCUUGCACCAAGUAGAGAUACUACUUGUGCUUCCAAAUAUCCUCAAACCCAGUUUUGCCAUGAGAGUCCACCAUACCUACCUAUGGAUUGAGUAAGAUCCUUCAAGUAAGUUGUCAUCGGUGCAAGCAAUAAAAAAAUGCUCUCUAAAUAUGUAUGACUUAUUAGUGCAGAGAAAAUAAGCUUUGUACGAACUUGUUGUGGAAGUAAUAAAAGCGACGGAUUGCAUAAUAAAGGUCCACAUACAAGGGGCAAUACAAAGUGACGUUCUUUUGCAUUAAGAUUUUGUGCAUCAACCCUAAACGCGCAUGACAACCUCUGCUUCCCUCUGCGAAGGGCCUAUCUUUUACUUUAUGUUUUUACUUUAUGCUUGAGUCAAGGUGAUCCUCACCUUUCCCCCUUUUCAUUUUAUCCUUUGGCAAGAUCCUCGUGUUUGAAAGAUCAUGAUACAUAUAUCCAAUUAGAUGUAAGUUGUCAUAGGCUAUUAUUAUUGACAUCACCUAAAGGUGAAUACGUUGGGAGGCAACACAAUAAGCCCCUAUCUUUCUCAGUGUCCGGCUAAAACUCUAUAACCACAAGUAUUGCGUGAGUGUUAGCAAUUAUGGGAGACUGCGAGAUAGUUGAGCAUGUGAGCUUGUUGAAAAGCUCUAUUAUUGACUCUUUCUGAUGUUAUGAUAAAUUGCAAUUGCUUCAAUGACCGAGAUUACAGUUUGUUAGUUCCCAAUGAAGUUUAUGAACCAUACUUUACAUUGUGAAUUGCUUAUUACUUGAGCAUAGGAAAUCAUAUGACAAAAUCUAUAUAUGUUACUGUUAUUAGAAUGAUCAUGAUUCCGUCAUGUCCGUAUUUUAUUUUUAUCAACACCUCUAUCUCUAAACAUGUGGACAUAUUUUUCGAUUUCGGCUUCCGCUUGAGGACAAGCGAGGUCUAAGCUUGGGGGAGUUGAUACGUCCAUUUUGCAUCAUGCUUUUAUAUCAAUAUUUAUUGCAUUAUGGAUUGUCAUUACACAUUAUAUCUCAAUACUUAUGGCUAUUCUCUCUUAUUUUAUAAGGUUUACCAUGAAGAGGGAGAAUGCUGGCAGCUAGAAUUCUGGCUGGAAAAGGAGCAAACAUUGGAAACCUAUUCUGCACAACUCCAAAAGUCCUGAAACUCCACGAAACAACUUUUUAGAUUUAUUAAGAAUUUAUGAGCGAAAGAAAUAGGCCAGGGGGCCCACACCCUGUCCAAGAGACAGGGGGCGCCCCCCCUAUAGGGUGCGGUCCCCUAUCUCCUGGGCCCCCUGGUGGGCCUCCGGCGUCCAUCUUCUGCUAUAUCAUCACCCUUACCCUGGAAAAAAUUGUGGGCAAGCUUACGGGACGAAACUCCGCCGCCACGAGGCGGAACCUUGGCGGAAUCAAUCUAGGGCUCUGGCGGAGCUGUUCUGCCGGGGACACUUCCCUACGGGAGGGGGAAAUCAUCACCAACAUCAUCACCAAUGAUCCUCUCAUCGAGAGGGGGUCAAUCUCCAUCAACAUCUCACCAGCACCAUCUCCUCUCAAAACCCUAGUUCAUCUCUUGUAUCCAAUCUUGUAUCAAAACCACAAAUUGAUACCUGUGGGUUGCUAGUAGUGUUGAUUACUCCUUGUAGUUGAUGCUAAUUGGUUUACUUGGUGGAAGAUCAUAUGUUCAGAUCCUUUAUGCAUAUUAUUAAUCCUCUGAUUAUGAACACGAAUAUGCUUUGUGAGUAGUUACGUUUGUUCCUGAGGACAUGGAUUAAGUCUUGCUAUUAGUAGUCAUGUGAAUUUGGUAUUCGUUCGAUAUUUUGAUGAGAUGUAUGUUGUCUUUCCUCUAGUGGUGUUAUGUGAACAUCGACUACAUGACACUUCACCAUUAUUUGGGCCUAGAGGAAAGCAUAGGGAAGUAAUAAGUAGAUGAUGGGUUGCUAGAGUGACAGAAGCUUAAACCCUAGUUUAUGUGUUGCUUCCUUAGGGGUUGAUAUCGGCCCAUAUGUUUAAUGUUGUGGUUAGGUUUACCUUAAUACUCCUUUUUGUAGUUGUGGAUGCUUGCAAUAGGGGUUAAUCAUAAGUGGGAUGCUUGUCCAAGUUAGGGCAGUACCCAAGUGUCGGUCCACCCACAUAUCAAGUUAUCAAAGUACUGAACGUGAAUCUUAUGAACGUGAUGAAAACUAGGUUGACGAUAAUUCCCAAUGUGUCCUCGGGAGAUCCUUCCUCAUUAUUAGAAUUUGUUCAGGCUUAUCCUUUGCUACAUAAAGGAUUGGGCCACCUUGCUGCACUUUAUUUACUUUAUUUACUUUUUGCUCGUUACUAUUUAUCUUAUCACAAAAUUAUCUAUCACCUACUAUUUCAGUACUUGCAGAGAAAACCUUACUGAAAACCGCUUAUCAUUUCCUUCUGCUCCUCGUUGGGUUCGACACUCUUACUUAUCGAAAGUACUACGAUAGAUCCCCUACACUUGUGGGUCAUCAUGUAGGAAUCACUGGAACUGAUUUCUGUGAUGAACUACUUUCCAACAAGGGAGAAGGUACAAUUACCUCAUCAAGUUCUACUUUCCUCCCACUCACUUCUUUCGAGAGAAACUCCUUCUCUAGAAAGGAUCCGUUCUUAGCAACAAAGAUUUUGCCUUCGGAUCUGUGAUAGAAGGUGUACCCAACGGUUUCCUUUGGGUAUCCUAUGAAGACGCACUUCUCUGAUUUGGGUUCGAACUUACCAGGUUGAAGUUUUUUCACAUAAGCAUCGCAGCCCCAAACUUUAAGAAACGACAACUUUCAUUUCUUGCCAAACCACAGUUCAUAAGGCGUCGUCUCAACGGAUUUUCAAGGUGCCCUAUUUAAAGUGAAUGCAGUCGUCUCUAAAGCAUAACCCCAAAACGAUAGCAGUAAAUCAGUAAGAGACAUCAUAGAUCUCACCAUAUCCAAUAAAGUAUGGUUACGAUGUUCGGAGACACCAUUACACUGUGGUAUUCUAGGUGGCGUUAGUUGUGAAACUAUCCCAUGUUAUUUCAAAUGAAGACUAAACUCGUAACUCAAAUAUUCUCCUCCAUGAUCAGAUCGUAGAAACUUUAUUUUCUUGUUACAAUGAUUUUUCACUUCACUCUGAAAUUGUAACGACCAAAUCUUGAAGGAUUUGAGUCUCUGUGCUUACCGUGCUAGUCCCUGGAUCGAACUCGCUAGCACACACAGUAUAGAUGAAUACCAGAAUAGCAAGUGCAUCAUUUAUUGCAACGUAUGAUCCAGAAUGUAUAAAAUAAAACAAUCUGCAUAGCACUUGGCUAGCUUUAUUCAAUCAAACAGCGGAAAUGUAGCAGCAAAUAACGAUGAGUCCCAUCAUAGCCCACUGGCGAUGCUGAGUGCAGACUCGCGACCCUAACGGUACCUUACUCUUCGUCUGAAUAUCCUGCAACAUGAGACGUUGCAGCCAUAUAGGUCAAUACUUUGAAUGUAUUGGCAAGUUACACAGGAGUAAUAAUAGCAGACCUACAUGUAUAUGCAUAGUACAACAAAGGAAGGCUUGAGGGUUUAUUUUUGCAUAAAGCUGAUUUUAUCCUAAUAACUACCUAAUAGUCAAAUAAUUUAUUUAGUUCUUUUAUUACUACAAUUAAAUACACAAGGUUGAGUUGGGAAAAUCAACUCCAACCUACCCUUUUAUUAAGUUGCCCACAAAUAUUAUUAAGUGUCACAUCUGUCAAGAUCAUCCAACAACUAUAAUGGCAUAGUGGCUCAAAUUUACCCAUAACCGGGGGCAUGGCUAAUCAUGAUUAGUUUUAAUACUCUGCAGAGUUUAGUACGCUUUACCCACUGGACCUAAUCCGAAGAUUGAGACGAAGUCUUUCAGAAGAGGUUCCCUUAACCACCUGACGGCCACAUCCCACCUACAUAAGCUACAUCUGUCGACACUGUCUGGGCAAGGGUUCCAACAACUGAUUAACUAAGCCAGAGCCCAUAUAGCCAGUGGCCGCACAUGGAAGCUACUAGUCACUAAGUCUGUCUGAUCUUUUUGAACCUGGGCGGCAUUCCACUUAGGGUGCACUCUCAUGGGCGCAAGGCCUUAGAAAAGGUGCAAGACCCCAUGAUGCUUUCCCUCAACACCAAGCAAUACCACUUCCGCCCAGAGGUGAGUUAAAUCCUAAGUUACUACUCAAUUGUUAUAUAUAUAUAUAUAAUCCUCACAUACACUCAAUGUAUACACGAACCACCCCCGUCUACAAAGCAUAGCAAACUACAACUACCAUGAUUUGCAAAAGAUGGGAAGAUAGCUCAACAUCAUAGCAAAAAUAAUAUAGUAAUCCUAUACAUGCAUAUAUUCAUAGUGUGAUAUAACUACAUGCAUAGAAAAUAAUAGGUAAAGGAUGAUCAACAUGUAACUUGCCUUGGUUCUGGUUCAGAAGGUCACACUCCUGACAAUAGUUCGCGUCGCACUCCGGACAAUCUACAUGUUUCACACAAUUCAACAAAUCAAUCACCGGAACACGAAAAGAAUCAAAACAAAACCAACAGCAAGAAAAACAAUUUUAAAACUCAACAACAGAAGCUUAACAGCAUCUAAAUUGCACUACGGUCACAACACAAAAAGAAUCACUCGAUUCCGAUAAACGGUUUAAGAGUUACGGUCUCUGGAAGGUUUAAUUCAAAUUCGAACGAAUUCAAAUUUGAACAGUGCAAACAUGUGCAAAGUUGGUACUGUGAUAAUGUGCUGACUUUUGUGAGUGCAUAGGAAAAAUAAUUACCUAAUUUGGACUUAUACACUAAAAGAUAUAGCUAAUUGAAUUUUGGAUGAAAAUCUGAAAAUAAAACAGAAGAAAACUCUGUUCUCGGAAAUACUGUAGAGGUUACUGUGGCGUUUACUGUAGCGGUGCCAAGUGUCAACGCGUGAUUUGUUGGAAAAUUUGCAUGCGCGCGUGCUCACCAUGUACAGAGGAAAACGACGGCGGUGGCUCGGGCGGUGGCGCUCCUCCGGCGACUCUCCGGCGAUGGGGAAGUGACGGGCGGGUGCGGUGUCGAGCGGCGGAGGCGGCGGUGACGUCAAACGGCGACGGGGCGUCCUCUACUGAGGGCGGCGAGGAUGUGAACGGCGGCUGCUCCGGUGCGUCGGCUCGGCUUGCUCCUCUCCCUUUGCUGCGUUUUCGGCAACACAAAGACGUCAGGUGAGGGCGGCUUCGAGCGGGGAAACAAGUGAAGCAGACAAUGUGGCUGGAGAUGCUCUUACGGCGACGGAACGGAGCGACGAACGGCGGCGGUCUCGAGUUCCUCCGGCGAGAUCCGUUUUGCCCUAUGGCUACGCGUGGACGAGUGGCGAAGGGGAGAAGGCUGCGGUAGGGUUCGUCGAGGGUUUUUGCCCGCAUACAAGGUCUCGAGCGCGCGCGGGGUCGACCAGGGGCGCGGGAAGAUCCGGCUCGGCCUCGGCGUGCGUGCGCACGGUGUCCGGCUCGGUGGAGGGGACGAACAGGGGCGCGGGUCGGGCGAUGCGGGUCGGGCACGGGCGGCGCUGCUGCGUUUUCCUUUUUUUUGUUUUAAACCAAAAAACUACAGCAGCAAAACUAAAAAUAAAUAAAAUAAAAUACACAAUAUAAAUUCUAAAUAAAAAUACCUAGACACACAAUAAAAAUUGCUCUACAGCUAUAAACUACAGGAACACUAGUUCCAACUCUAAUGCAAUUUUGUAAAAUAAUUUUUGAUGCAAUAGGCCACUCAAACAGCAACAAAACAGUCAAAUAAAAUACUUUGGUGACUAAUAAAAAUACCAGAACAUAACAGAUGAACUGGAAAUAAUAUUCUUGACAUUAUGAACAUUUUUAAACAAGGGAGAAGUCAUGUUAUCUCCACUCCAAUAAAUUGCCCUUAGUUGCAUAAUGAAAAGAAUAUUGCAGAAGAGCAAAUAAUGCAUGGAAUAUAUGAUAUGCAUAUGUAUGAUCUAAUAACAUCCUAAUUUAGGAAAAUUGGGAUGUUAUAGAAAUUCUUUAAACUUUUCAAAUGUUUCAGACUUAUGCUUCAUUAAGUAGAUAUAACCAUAUCUGCUCAAACCAUCUGUGAAGGUAAGAAAAUAACGAUACCCGCCACGAGCCUCAACACUAAUUGGACCGCAUACAUCGGUAUGUAUUAUUUCCAAUAAGUCAGUAGCUCGUUGUUCUGGAGAACGGAGUUUUAGUCAUCUUACCCAUAAGGCACGGUUUGCAAGCACCAAGUGAUUCAUAAUCAAGUGAUUCCAAAAGUCCAUCAGCAUGGAGUUUCUUCAUGUGCUUUACACUGAUAUGACCCAAACGGCAGUGCCACAAAUACGUUGCACUAUCAUUAUCAACUUUGCAUAUUUUGCUUCAAUAUUAUGAAUAUGGGUAUCAUCACUAUCGAGAUUCAAUAAAAAUAGACCACUCAUCAAGGGUGCAUGACCAUAAAAGAUAUUACUCAUAUAAAUAGAGCAACCAUUAUUCUCUGAUUUAUAUGAAUAACCGUCUCGCAUCAAACAAGAUUGCUACCUCUUGAGCACUGCGUUGGUUUUCCCUUGAAGAGGAAAGGGUGACGCAGCAAAGUAGUGUAAGUAUUUCCCUCGGUUUUGAGGACCAAGGUAUCAAUCCAGUAGGAGGCUCCAUGCAAGUCCCUCGUACCUACACAAAAAACAAGAACCUCGCAACCAACGCGAUAAAGGGGUUGUCAAUCCCUUCACGGUCACUUGCGAAAGUGAGAUCCGAUAGAGAUAAUAAGAUCAGAUAAAUAUUUUUCAUAUUUUUAUGAUAUAGAUUGAAAAGUAAAGAUGGAAAAAUAAAGUAGAUUGGAAACUUAUAUGAUGGAAAAUAGACCCGGGGGCCAUAGGUUUCACUAGUGGCUUCUCUCAAGAUAGCAAAAGUAUUACAGUGGGUGAACAAAUUACUGUCGAGCAAUUGAUAGAAAAGUGCAUAGUUAUGAGAAUAUCUAGGCAUGGUCAUGUAUAUAGGUAUCAUGUCCGCAACAAGUAGAUCAAAACGAUUCUGCAUCUACUACUAUUACUCCACACAUCGACCGCUAUCCAACAUGCAUCUGGAGUAUUAAGUUCAUAAGAACAGUGUAACACAUUAGGCAAGAUGACAUGACGUAGAGGGAUAAACUCAAGCAAUAUGAUAUAAACCCCAUCUUUUUAUCCUCGAUGGCUGUCAUGCCCAAUAUGCGACCCUAUCCAAAAGGAACUCGAAGGUCCCACCAAGGAUAGACCCGCAUAUUGAAACGCUUUUGCAAGGUGGAUAUCAUUACAUCAACAUUACAUAAUAGAUGGGGAUACAUACAAAAGGCAUACAGUGCCACACGAAUACAACAUCAUCUUACAUAAGAUCAACAUCCGACUAUGGAUGAAACACAAACAGAAACUCAAACGACACCCACCCUGCUAGCCCAGGCUGCCGACCUGGAACCUAUCCCCUGAUCGAAGAAGAAGCCAAAGAAGAACUCCAAAACAAGCAAACAUCGCUCUCGCGUCAUGAUCAUCGCGAAACCUGCACCUGCAACUGUUGUUGUAGUAAUCUGUGAGCCACGAGGACUCAGCAAUCCCAUUACCAUGGGUAUCAAGACUAGCAAAGCUUAAUGGGAAAGGAAUGGGUAAAGUGGUGAGGUAGCAGCAGCGACUAAGCAUAUAUGGUGGCUAACAUACGCAAAUAAGAGCGAGAAGAGGAGCAAAAGGAACGGUCGUCAACUAGUAAUGAUCAAGAGGUGAUCCUGAACUCCUACUUACGUCAAACAUAACCCAAAACCGUGUUCACUUCCCAGACUCCGCCGAGAAGAGACCAUCACGGCUACACACACGGUUGAUGCAUUUUAAUUCGGAUCUGGUGUCAAGUUAUCUACAACCAUACAUUAACAAAUUCCCAUCUGCCCAUAACCGCGGGCACGGCUUUUGAAAGAUAAUACCCUGCAGGGGUGUCCCAACUUAGCCCAUGAUAAGCUCUCGCGAUCAACGAAGGAUAUACCUUCUCCCAGGAAGACCCGAUCAGACUCAGAAUCCCGGUUUACAAGACAUUUUGACAAUGGUAAAACAAGACCAGCAAAGCUGCUCGAUGUGCCGACAAAUCCCGAUAGGAGCUGCACAUAUCUCGUUCUUAGGGCAACACCGGAUGAGACUAGCUACGAGUAAAACCAACCCUCAAGUUGCCCCGAGGUGGCCCCGCAGGCAGCUCAGUUCGGACCAACACUUGAAGGAGCACUGGCCCGGGGGGCUAAAAUAAAGAUGACCCUCGGGCUCCGGAAACCCAAGGGAAAAAGGGCUAGGUGAGGCAAAUGGUAAAACCAAGGUUGGGCCUUGCUGGAGGAGUUUUAUCCAAAGCGAACUGUCAAGGGGGUCCCAUAAAUCACCCAAUCGCGUAAGGAACGCAAAAUCCGGGAACAUAACACCAGUAUGACGGAAACUAGGGCGGCAAGAGUGGAACAAAACACCAGGCAUAAGGCCGAGUCUUCCACCCUUUACCAAGUAUAUAGAUGCAUUAAUAAUAUAAGAGAUAUUGUGAUAUCCCAACAUAAUCCUGUCCAUCAUGGGGCAAUCUUCACCUUCACCUGCAACUAACAACGCUAUAAGAGGGGCUGAGCAAAGCGGUAACAUAGCCAAGCAAUGGUUUGCUAGGAAGGGGAAAAAGGUUAGAGGCUGACAUGGCAAAUUUGGGAGGCUUGAAGAGCAAGUGAUAGGUAGCGCAGCAAAGCGAUAGAACGAAGCAACUAUCAUAGCAAUGAUAGUAGUGAGAUCCAGGGUAGCGGUCAUCUUGCCUGAGAUCCCUCUAGGAAGAAGAACGAGUCCAUGAAGAAGACGAACGGGAGUAGUCGAACGAAUCCUCACAAUCGCAACAUUACCGAAACUAAGAAGCAACACCGGAAAGAAACAAACAACAUGGUAAAUGCACAAGCAUAAACAUGGCAUGAUGCACAAACAAGUAUGAUGCAUGUCCGGUUUAAUGAGGCAUGGCAUGGCAAAGUGCAACAAACAAUACUACAAGUUAAGUGGAGCUCAAUAUGCAACGAGUUGCAUAUUGACAAAACACCACAUUGACAUAUUUAGUUUAAUCUCCUUUAAGCUACCAAACAAUAUUAAAUGUUGUUAAACAUGGCAAGGGGUGAAGCAUAUGAAAAACUAACUAUUUAGGCAAGUUUAAAUGAGGCCGGAACAACUAACAACAAUUCCGGAAAAACCUCAUAUGCAUAUUUAUGAAUUCGGUACUAUUCUGCCCUAAACCAUAUUUUAAUGUUGUUAAAUAGGAAAAUAAGGUCCACCAUGUUAAACUAGGCAUUUUUCCACCCCAUUUACAUAUAAAGUUUAUUAAAAACCGAGUUACGGUUAAUUAGUUAUGAAAUAAAUCAUUUUAACAUGGCAUUUAAGCAAAUUAAAUGCAAACAUCAUUUUAAACAUUUUUAACAUAGAUGAAAGUGGCAUAUUAUUAAUCUACACAAAAUUCUAAGCAUUUUACAUGUUGAAAUCAUUUUAAUAUGAUGCACGGUUGAGGAGUUAUUAUAUGCAUGAACAACAGGGGGUUUUCUGCAAUUAUGAAAAUCCUGGGAUAAUUAGACAAAUUAGCAGCGCAGGAAAAAAAUACACAUGGGCUGAAUCUGGAGCACUCUUGGGCUGAACAGAGAGGAUGGGCUAUGUGGGGAGCUCACCAUGGGCUUUGGCCCGGUUCAGUGGAGAGGGAGGCUGGAAGGGCGAUGGGCCUUGGCGCUGGAGGGGAGGCAGCCCAGGCGCGCGGUUGAGCGAGGCGCGGUCAACGCUCGAGCGAUCGCCCGAUGCAGGAUGUGGCUCGAAGCAGAGCAGCGGCGGGGUGGAAUUUGGCGACGGCGGGGCAACUCCAGCAGGGUGAAGAUGGGGCGGCAGCAGAUCCGGGCGUGGGGAGGAAGGCAUGGGCGCGCGGCGCCGGGGUGCUGCUGGCGAGGACCGGCGUCGGGGAGCUCGAGGACGACAUCGUCCGGGCGCAGGAGGCGAGGAUGGCCGGCGCAAACUCCUCGGGGCUCCCUGUUGCAUGAACAGAGGGAGCGGGUGAGAGAGGGAGGAGAGAAGGAACAGGAAGGGAGAGGCAUGGGCGCAGGGUCCUGCUGAAGGUGGUCGCCUGCAACGUCGAGGCAGAGGCGAGGAAGAUGGUGGAGGCCGAGCGCGUUGGAGGACUGGAUCUCGGGCACGAGGACGAGAUGGAUCGAGGAAGGCAAGGGGCCUGCUGGAUGAGCUCCGUCUUGAGGAGCUCCUGCUCGGGCACGAGCGUGGAGACGCGGGGCUGCGGCCAGAGGAGGUUGGUCGGGCACGGAAAUGGAGGCGGGGGUUCGAUUGGGUGGAGAUGGAAUCCAAGGUGGGAGGAGGUUGUGGGAUCGAGGGAGCGGGAUCCUGAGAGGAUUUUGUGGAGUGGCGGCGGGAUGGGACAUCUCCCUAGAAGUUAGGGUUUGCCCAUAUUUGGACUAGGGGUCUUAAUAUAGGGAAAAGAAGAGGUUUUUUGGAUCAUCCAAUUAAAAUCGAACGGUCGAUAUAAAUGGAUUAGGGGAGUCCAACAAAUAAACGCAGAUAUUUUAUAGAUGUUUGGGGAUGAUCCGGAUCCAAUGGUGACGACAUACCGGUUCGGGUUCGGGCAAGUUUUUCGGAUGCACGGAAGAGGGGGUCGGUGGUUGUGCAGAGAGGUUAGGCGGUUUGACAAGAGGGAAUCGAAAACCCGGUCGGUCUCAGAACGGCCAACAAACGCAACGGAGAGAUGCGAGGAGCGGCAACUAUGAGCGGAUGCAAAUUUUAAGAAAACAUGCAGAUGCAAUGCGCAUGAUGCUAUGAGAUGAAAUGCAAGACAAGAACAAAAUGCAAAACAACAGACAAAAACCCAACCAUGGGGGAAAUAACAUAUCACAUCUCCGGAAAAGGCUAGAGUUGGAGUUGCGAAUAUGGAAAGUUGUAUCUGGGGCGUUACAAUGGCAACAAUACAAUACGUGCCUUGCUGCCCCUGCUGUCACUGGGAAAGGACACCGCAAGAUUGAACCCAAAGCUAAGCACUUAUCCCAUUGCAAGAAAGAUCAAUCUAGUAGGCCAAACCAAACUGAUAAUUCGAAGAGACUUGCAAAGAUAACCAAUCAUACAUAAAAGAAUUCAGAGGAGAUUCAAAUAUUUCUCAUAGAUAAACUUGAUCAUAAACCCACAAUUCAUCGGAUCUCGACAAACACACCGCAAAAAGAGUUACAUCAAAUAGUUCUCCAAGAAGAACGAGGAGAACAUUGUAUUGAGAUUCAAAGAGAGAGAAGAAGCCAUCUAGCUAAUAACUAUGGACCCGAAGGUCUGUGGUAAACUACUCACAACUCAUCGGAGAGGCUUUGGGUUUGAUGUAGAAGCCCUCCGUGAUCGAUUCCCCCUCGGUCGGAGCACCGGAAAAGGCUCCAAGAUGGGAUCUCACGGGUACAGAUGGUUGCGGCAGUGGAAAUAGGUUUUCGUGGUGCUCCUGGAUGUUUUCGGGGUACGUUGAUAUAUAUAGGCGAAGGAAGUCGGUCAGGGGAGCCACGAGGGUGGGGGGCACGCCCACCCCCCUAGGGCAUGCCCUGGACCCUCGUGACCGCCUCGUUUACUUCUUGAUGUCCACUCCAAGUCUCCUGGAUUGCGUUUGUUCCAAAAAUAUCUCUCCCGAAGGUUUCAUUCCGUUUGGACUCCGUUCGAUAUUCCUUUUCUUCAAAACACCUAAAUAGGCAAAAAACAACAAUUUGGGUUGGGCCUUCGGUUAAUAGGUUAGUCCCAAAAAUGAUAUAAAAGUGUAUUGUAAAGCCCAUAAACAUCCAAAACAGGUAAUAUAAUAGCAUGGAACAAUAAAAAAUUAUAGAUAUGUUGGAGACGUAUCAAGCAUCCCCAAGCUUAAUUCCUGCUCGUCCUCGAGUAGGUAAAUGAUAAAAACAGAAUUUUUGAUGUGGAAUGCUACCUAGCAUAAUUCUCAAUGUAAUUUUCUUUAUUGUGGCACGAAUGUUCAGAUCCAAAUGAUUCAAGAUAAAAGUUCAUAUUGACAUAAAAAAUAGUAAUACUUCAAGCAUACUAACAAAUAAUCACAUCUUAUCAAAAUAGCAUAGCCAAAGAAAGCUUAUCCCUACAAAAUCAUAAGUUAGGCCAUGCUUCAUUUUCGUCACACAAAAUACUCCCAUCAUGCACAACCCCGACUUCAGCCAAGCAAUUGGUUCAUACUUUUUAACGCGCUUCAGCUUUUUAACUCUCACGCAAUACAUGAGCGUAAGCCAUGGAUAUAGCACUAUGAGUGGAAAAGGAUAUGAUGAUGGAGGUUGUGUGGAGAAGACAAAAAAGGAGAAAGUCUCAUAUUGAUGAGGCUAAUCAACGGGCUAUGGAGAUGCCCGUCAAUUGAUGUCAACAUGAGGAUUAGGGAUUGCCAUGCAACGGAUGCACUAGAGCUAUAAAUGUAUGAAAGCUCAACAAAAGAAACUAAGUGGGUCUGCAUCCAACUUGCUUGCUCACGAAGACCUAGGGCAUUUUUGAGGAAGCCCAUCAUUGGAAUAUACAAGCCAAGUUCUAUAAUGAAAAAUUCCCACUAGUAUAUGAAAGUGAAAACAUAGGAGACUCUCUAUCAUGAAGAUCAUGGUGCUAUUUUGAAGCACAAGUGUUGAAAAAGGAUAGUAACAUUCUCCCUUCUCUCUUUUUCUCUCUCUCUUUUAUUUUUUUAUUUUGGUGGGCUUCUUUGGCCUCUUUUUUUAUUUGGGCUUCUUUGGCCUCAUUUAUUUUUCAUAAAGUCUGGAGUCUCAUUCCGACUUGUGGGGGAAUCAUAGUCUCCGUCAUCCUUUCCUCACUUGGGACAAUGCUCUACUAAUGAAGAUCAACACACUUUUAUUGAUUUACAACUCAAGAAUUACAACUCAAUGCUUAGAACAAAAUAUGACUAUGUGAAUGCCUCCGGCGGUGUACCGGGAUAUGCAAUGAAUCAAGAGCGACAUGUAUGAAAGAAUUAUGAACGUGGCUUUGCCACAAAUAUGAUGUCAGCUACAUGAUCAUGCAAAAGCAAUAUGCCAAUGAUGGAGCGUGCCAUAAUAAAUGGAACGAUGGAAAGUUGCAUGGCAAUAUAUCUCGGAAAGGCUAUGGAAAUGCCAUAAUAGGUAGGUACGGUGGCUGUUUUGAGGAAGAUAUAAGGAGGUUUAUGUGUAAUAGAGUGUAUCGUAUCACGGGGUUUGGAUGCACUGGCGAAGUUUGCACCAAACCUCAAGAUGAGAAAGGGCAAUGCACGGUACCGUAGAGGCUAGCAAUGAUGGAAGGGUAAGAGUGCGUAUAAUCCAUGGACUCCAUUAGUCAUAAAGAACUCAUAUACUUAUUGCAAAAGUUUAUUAGCCCUCGAAGCAAAGUACUACUACACAUGCUCCUAGGGGAAGGGUUGGUAGGAGUUAACCAUCGCGCGAUCCCGACCUCCACACAUAAGGAACACAAUCAAAGAGCACCCCAUGGUACAAAUUUGUUACACAAAUUUUACCAUACGUGCAUGCUACGGGACUUGCCAACUUUAACACAAGUAUUUCUCAAUUUCAUAAUUACCCAACUAGCAUGACUCUAACAUUACCACCUCUAUAUCUCAAAACAAUUAUCAAGUAUCAAAUUGAUUAUAGUAUUCAAUGCACUUUCUAUGAUAGUUUUUAUUAUAUCCAACUUGGAUGCCCAUCAUAUUAGGACCAAUUUUAUAACCAUAGCAAAUACCAUGCUAUUCUCAAAUACUCUCAAAAUAAUAUAAGUGAAGCAUGAGAGAUCAAUAAUUUCUACAAAAUAAAACCACCGCCGUGCUCUAAAAAGAUAUAAGUGAAGCACUAGAGCAAAAUUGUCUAGCUCGAAAGAUAUAAGUGAAGCACAUAGAGUAUUCUAAUAAAUUUCGAAUCAUGUGUGUCUCUCCCAAAAGGUGUGUACAGCAAGGAUGAUUAUGGUAAAAUAAAAAGCAAAGACUCAUAUCAUACAAGAUGCUCCAAGAAAAACACAUACCAUGUGGUGAAUAAAAAUAUAGCUCCAAGUAAAGUUAUCGAUGGAUGAAGACGAAAGAGGGGAUGCCUUCCAGGGCAUCCCCAAGCUUAGGCUUUUUGUUGUCCUUGAAUUAUGUUGGGGUGCCAUGGGAAUCCCCAAGCUUAGGCUCUUGCCACUCCCUAUUCCAUAGUCCAUCAAAUCUUUACCCAAAACUUGAAAACUUCACAACACAAAACUCAACAGAAAAUCUCAUGAGCUCCGUUAAUGCAAGAAAGCAAACCACCACUUUAACGUACUAUAAUGAUCUCAUUAUUUAUUUAUAUUUGUGUUAAACCUACUGUAUUCCAACUUCUCUAUGGUUCAUACCCCCUGAUACUAGCCAUAGAUUCAUCAAAAUAAGCAAACAACACACAAAAAUAGAACAGUCUGUAGUAAUCUAUAACUUUUGAAUACUUCUGGAACCCUAAGAAUCCUACUAAAAUAGGAAGUCCUAGUAAAUUUUUCUAUUAAUCUACUGAAAAAAGAAUCAACUGAAAAUCACGUUUCUGUGAUUUAUUAAAAUUAUUCUCGUGCGUGCAAAAGUUUCUGUUUUUCAGCAAGAUCAAAUUAACUAUCACCCAAGAUGAUCCUAUAGGUUCUACUUGGCACAAACACUAAUUAAAACAUAAAACCACAUCUAAACAGAAGCUAGAUGAAUUAUUUAUUACUAAACAGUAACAAAAAUCAAGGAACAAAAAUAAAAUUGGGUUGCCUCCACACAAGCGCUAUCGUUUAACGCCCUAGCUAGGCAUAAAAGCGAGAAUACAUCUAAGUAUUGCCAUCUUUGGUAUUCAAUACAUAAGUGGCUCUCAUAAUAGAUUCAUAUGGUAAUUUGAUUUUCUUCCUAGGAAGGUGUUCCAUGCCUUUCCUUAAUGAAAUUGGAAUAUAAUAUUUCCUUCCUUCAUAUCAAUAAUUGCACCAAUCGUUCUAAGGAAAGGUCUACCAAGAAUAAUAGGACAUGAAAAAUUGCAAUCUAUAUCAAGAACGAUGAAAUCUACGGGCACAUAAUUUCUAUUUGCAACAAUAAGAACAUCAUUAAUCCUUCACAUAGGUUUCUUAAUAGUGGAAUCCGCGGGGUGCAAGUUUAAAGAGCAAUCAUCAAAUUCACAGAAACCUAGCACAUCACAUAAAGUUUUUGGAAUCGUGGAAACACUAGCACCCAAAUCAUAGAAAGCAUAGCAUUCAUGAUCUUUAAUUUUAAUUUUAAUAGUAGGUUCCCAGUCAUCAUAAAGUUUUCUAGGGAUAGAAACUUCUAACUCAAGUUUUAUUUCAUAAGAUUGCAUCAAAGCAUCAACGAUAUGUUUGGUAAAAGCUUUAUUUUGACUGUAAGCAUGAGGAGAAUUCAACACGGAUUGCAACAAGGAAAUACAAUAUACUAAAGAACAAUUAUCAUAAUUAAAUUCCUUGAAAUCCAAAAUAGUGAGUUCAUUGCUAUGUAAAGUUUUGACCUCUCCAAUCCCACUUUUACCAAAUUUUGCAUCAAGAUCUAAAAACUCUGAAUCAUUGGGACGCCUUUUAACUAAAGUUGACUCAUCUCCAGUCCCAUUAUUAUCAAGAUUCAUAUUGCAAAACAAAGAUUUAAUAGGGGACACAACAAUAACUUUUAGAUCUUCAUCAUUAUUAUCAUGGAAACUAGAAGAACACGCUUUUACAAAGCAAUCUUUCUUAGCACACAUCCUAGCGGUUCUUUCUUUGCACUCAUCAAUGGAAAUUCUCAUGGCUUUGAGAGACUCAUUGAUAUCAUGCUUAGGUGGAAUAGAUCUAAGUUUCAAAGAAUCAACAUCAAGAGAAAAUCUAUCCACGUUCCUAGCCAAUUCAUCAAUCUUAGGCAAUUUUUCUUCAAGCAAAGCAUUGAAAUUCUUUUGAGAAAUCAUAAACUCUUUAACACUAAUCUCAAAAUCAGAGGGCAUCUUAUUAAAAUUUCAAUAAGAGUUGUUGUAGGAAUUACCAUAAUUAUUAGAGGAAUUACUAGGAAACGGUCUAGGAUUAAAGUUUCCUCUAUACUCGUUGUUACCAAAAUUAUUCCUCCAAAUUCACACCCAUAGAUUCGUUGUUAUUCUCAAUCAAAGUAGACAAAGGCAUAUCAUUAGGAUCAAUAGGAGCACUCUUAUUAGCAAACAAUUUCAUAAGUUCAUCCAUCUUUCCACUCAAAACAUUAAUUUCUUCUAUCGCAUGAACCUUUUUACUAGUAGAUCUUUUGGUGUGCCAUUGAGAAUAAUUAACCAUAAUAUUAUCUAGGAGUUCAGUAGCUUCUCCUAAAGUGAUUCCCAUAAAAGUGCCUCCCGCGGCCGAAUCUAAAAGAUUUCUAGAAGCAAAAUUCAAUCCAGCAUAAAUUUUUUUGUAUAAUCAUCCAUAAAUUUAAUCCAUGAGUAGGGCAAUUGCAAAUCAUUAAUUUCAUCCUCUCCCAAGAUUGUGCAACAUGUUCAUGAUCAAGUUGCUUAAAAUUCAUAAUAUCGUUUCUAAGAGAGUUGAUCUUAGCGGGAGGAAAAUACUUAGAGAUAAAAUCAUCUUUGCACUUAUUCCAUGAAUCAAUACUAUUUUUAGGCAAAGACGAAAAACCAAGUUUUAGCACGAUCUCUAAGCGAAAACGGAAAUAACUUCAAUUUAACAAUAUCAUUAUCCAUGUCUUUCUUCUUUUGCAUAUCACACAAAUCAACAAAGUUGUUUAGAUAAGUAGCGGCAUCUUCACUAGGAAGGCUUGAGAAUUGAUCUUUCAUGACAAGAUUCAACAAAGCAGCAUUAAUUUUACAAGAUUCAACAUCGGUAAGAGGAGGAAUUGGAGUGCUAAGGAAAUCAUUAUUGUUGGUAUUGGAAAAUUCACACAAUUUAGUAUUAUCUUGAGCCAUCGUGACAAGCAAUCCAACACACAAGCACACAAGAGGCAAGCAAAAAAGAGGCGAACGGAAAAGAGAGGGCGAAUAAAACGGCAAGGGUGAAGUGGGGGAGAGGAAAACGAGAGGCAAAUGGCAAAUAAUGUAAUGUGAGGGAGAAGAGUUUGUGAUGGGUACUUGGUAUGUCUUGACUUGAGCGAAGACCUCCCCGGCAACGGCGCCAGAAAUCCUUCUUGCUACCUCUUGAGAACUGCGUUGGUUUUCCCUUGAAGAGGAAAGGGUGAUGCAGCAAAGUAGCGUAAGUAUUUCACUCAGUUUUGAGAACCAAGGAAUCAAUCCAGUAGGAGGCUCCACGCAAGUCCCUCGUACCUACACAAACAAACAAGAACCUCGCAACCAACAGGAUAAAGGGGUUGGCAAUCCCUUCACGGCCACUUGCGAAAGUGAGAUCUGAUAGAGAUAAUAAGAUCAGAUAAAUAUUUUUGGUAUUUUUAUGAUAUAGAUUGAAAAGUAAAGAUUGCAAAAUAAAGUAGAUUGGAAACUUAUAUGAUGGAAAAUAGACCCGGGGGCCAUAGGUUUCACUAGUGGCUUCUCUCAAGAUAGCAUAAAUAUUACGGUGGGUGAACAAAUUACUAUCGAGCAAUUGAUAGAAAAGUGCAUAGUUAUGAGAAUAUGUAGGCAUGAUCAUGUAUAUAGGCAUCAUGUCUGCAACAAGUAGAUCGAAACGAUUCUACAUCUACUACUAUUACUCCACGCAUCGACCGCUAUCCAGCAUGCAUCUGGAGUAUUAAGUUCAUAAGAACAGAGUAACGCAUUAUGCAAGAUGACAUGAUGUAGAGGGAUAAACUCAAGCAAUAUGAUAUAAACCCCAUCUUUUUAUCCUCGAUGGCAAUAAUACAAUACGUGCCUUGCUGCCCCUGCUGUCACUGGGAAAGGACACCGCAAGAUUGAACCCAAAGCUAAGCACUUCUCCCAUUGCAAGAAAGAUCAAUCUAGUAGGCCAAACCAAACUGAUAAUUCGAAGAGACUUGCAAAGAUAACCAAUCAUACAUAAAACAAUUCAGAGAAGAUUCAAAUAUUUCUCAUAGAUAAACUUGAUCAUAAACCCACAAUUCAUCGGAUCUCGACAAACACACCGCAAAAAGAGUUACAUCAAAUAGAUCUCCAAGAAGAUCGAGGAGAACAUUGUAUUGAGAUUCAAAGAGAGAGAAGAAGCCAUCUAACUAAUAACUAUGGACCCGAAGGUCUGUGGUAAACUACUCACAACUCAUCGAAGAGGCUUUGGCAUUGAUGUAGAAGCCCUCCGUGAUCGAUUCCCCCUCCUGCGGAGCACCGAAAAAGGCUCCAAGAUAGGAUCUCACGGGUACAGAAGGUUGAGGCGGUGGAAAUAGGUUUUCGUGGUGCUCCUGGAUGUUUUCAGGGUACGUUGAUAUAUAUAGGCGAAGGAAGUCGGUCAGGGGAGCCACGAGGGGCGCACGAGGGUGGGGGCGCGCCCACCUCCCUAGGGCACGCCCUGGACCCUCAUGGCCGCCUCGUUUACUUCUUCAUGUCCACUCCAAGUCUCCUGGAUUGCGAUUGUUCCAAAAAUAUCUCUCUCGAAGGUUUCAUUCCGUUUGGACUCCGUUUGAUAUUCCUUUUCUUUGAAACACUGAAAUAGGAAAAAAAACAGCAAUUUGGCCUGGGCCUCCGCUUAAUAGGUUAGUCCCAAAAAUGAUAUAAAGUGUAUAGUAAAGCCCAUAAACAUCCAAAAUAGGUAAUAUAAUAGCAAUGAACAAUAAAAAAUUAUAGAUACGUUGGAGACAUAUCAAAGAUCUAGGUAUAAUGUUCAUGCUCAACGCUUGCACCAAAUAAUAAUUAUUCAGGUCUAAAACUAAUCCCGAUGGUAGAUGUAGAGGUGGCAUGCCGACGGCGAUCACAUCGACCUUGGAAACAAUUUCCACAUGCAUCGUCACCUCAUCCUUAGCCAAUCUUCGUUUAAUCCGUAGCCCCUGUUUUGAGUUGCAAAUAUGAGCAACAGAACCAGUAUCAAAUACCCAGGCGCUACUACGAGCAUUAGUAAGGUACACAUCAAUAACAUGUAUAUCAAAUAUACCUUUCACUUUGCCAUCCUUCUUAUCCGCAAAAUACUUGGGGCAUUUCCGUUUCGAGUGACCAGUCCCUUUGCAGUAGAAGCACUCAGUUUCACGCUUAGGUCCAGACUUGGGUUUCUUCUCUUGAGCAGCAACCUUUUUGCCGUUCUUAUUGAAGUUCCCCUUCUUCCCUUUGCCCUUUUUCUUGAAACUAGUGGUCUUGUUGACCAUCAACACUUGAUGCCCCUUCUUGAUUUCUACCUCCGCAGCCUUUAGCAUCGCGAAGAGCUCGAUAAUAGUCUUGUUCAUCCCUUGCAUAUUAUAGUUCAUCAUGACGCCUUUAUAGAUUGGUUGCAGUGAUUGAAGAACCCUGUCAAUGACACUAUCAUCAGGAAGAUUAACUCCCAGCUGAGUCAAGUGGUUAUGGUACUUAGACAUUCUGAGUAUGUGUUCACUGACAGAACUAUUCUCCUCCAUUUUGCAGAUGUAGAACUUGUUGGAGACUUCAUAUCUCUCAACUCGGGCAUUUUCUUGAAAUAUUAACUUCAACUCUUGGAACAUCUCAUAUGCUCCAUGAUGUUCAAAACGUCUUUGAAGUCCUGAUUCUAAGCUGUAAAGCAUGGCACACUAAACUAUCGAGUAGUCAUCAACACGCGCCUGUCAGGCAUUCACAAUGUCUACAGUUGCUGGCGCCGGGUGGUACACCUAAUGGUGCUUCCAGGAUGUAAUUCUUUUGUGUAACAAUGAGGAUAAUCCUCAAGUUACGAACCCAGUCCAUGUAGUUGCUGCUAUCAUCAUUCAACUUAGCUUUCUCUAGGAACGCAUUAAAAUUCAAAGGAACGGUAGCACAGGCCAUUGAUCUACAAUAACAUAGACAUGCAAAAUUACUAUCAAGACUAAGUUCAUGAUAAAUUAAAGUUCAAUUAAUCAUAUUACUUAAGAACUCUCACUUAGAUAGACAUCCCUCUAGUCGUCUAAAUGAUCACGUGAUCCAAAUCAACUAAACCAUGUCCAAUCAUCACGUGAGAUGGAGUAGUUUUCAAUGGUGAACAUCACUAUGUUGAUCAUAUCUACUUUAUGAUUCACGUUCGACCUUUCGGUCUCAGUAUUCUAAGGCCAUAUCUGCAUAUGCUAGGCUCGUCAAGUUUAACCCGAGUAUUCUGCGUGUGCAAAGCUGGCUUGCACCCGUUGUAUGUGAACAUAGAGCUUAUCACACCCGAUCAUCACGUGGUGUCUCGGCACGACGAACUGUAGCAACGGUGCAUACUUAGGGAGAACACUUAUACCUUGAAAUUUAGUAAGGGAUCAUCCUAUAAUGCUACUGCCGUACUAAGCAAAAUAAGAUGCAUAAAAGAUAAACAUCACAUGCAAUCAAAAUAUGUGACAUGAUAUGGCCAUCAUCAUCUUGUGCUCAUGAUCUCCAACACCGAAGCAUCGUCAUGAUCUCCAUCGUCACCGGCGCGACACCUUGAUCUCCACCGUAGCAUCGUUGUCGUCUCACCAACUGUUGUUACUACGACUAUCGCUACCGCUCAGUGAUAAAGUAAAACAAUUACAUGGCGAUUGCAUUGCAUAAAAUAAAGAGACAACCAUAUGGCUCCUGCCAGUUGCCGAUAACUUUGUUACAAAACAUGAUCAUCUCAUACAAUAAUUUAUAUCACAUCAUGCCUUGACCAUAUCACAUCACAGCAAGCCCUGCAAAAACAAGUUAGAUGUCCUCUACUUUGUUGCUGCAAGUUUUAUGUGGCUGCUACGGGCUUCUAGCAAGAACCGCUCUUACCUACGCAUCAAAACCACAACGAUUUUUUGUCAAGUGUGCUGUUUUAACCUUCAACAAGGACAGGAUGUAGUCAAACUCGAUUCAACUAAAGUUGGAGAAACAGACACCUGCCAGCCACCUAUGUGCAAAAGCACGUCGGUAGAACCAGUCUCAUGAACGUGGUCAUGUAAUAUCGGUCCGGGCCGCUUCAUCCAACAAUACCGCUGAAUCAAAGUAAGAUGUUGGUGGUAAGCAGUAUGACUAUUAUCGCCCACAACUCUUUGUGUUCUACUCGUGCAUAUAACAUCAACGCAUAGACCUGGCUCAGAUGCCACUGUUGGGGAACGCGGUAAUUUCAAAAAAAAUUAUAUGAUCACGCUAGAUCUAACUAGGUGAUGCAUAGCAACGAGACGGGAGAGUGUGUCCACGUACCCUCGUAGACCGAAAGUGGAACUGUUAGUUAACGCGGUUGAUGUAGUCGAAUGUCUUCGCGAUCCAAGUACCGACCGUAUGGCACCUCCGUGUUUAGCACACGUUUAACUUGAUGAUGUCCCUCGUACUCUUGAUCUAGUUGAGGCCGAGGGAGAGUUUCGUCAGCAUGACAGCAUGGCGACGGUGAUGAUGAAGUUACCGGUGCAGGGCUUCGCCUAAGCACUACGAUGAUAUGACCGAGGUGUGUAACUGUGGAGGGGGCACCGCACACGGCUAAAACAUCAACUUGUGUGUCCUAGGGUGCCCCUGCACCCAUAUAUAAAGGAGCAAGGGGGAGGCCGGCCGGCCCUCCUAGGGCGCGCCCCACAAGGGGAGCCCUACUACGAAUACUAGUCCUAGUAGGAUUCCACCAAGAGGGAGAGAGGGAGAAGGAAGGAGAGGGAGAGGGAGAAGGAAAGGGGGGUGUCGCCCCCCCUUCCCUAGUCCAAUUCGGACCCAAGGGGGAGGGGGUGUGGCCUGCCCUGGCCGCCCCUCUCCACCAAGGCCCAUGUUGCCCAUUUGUUCCCUCGGGGGGUUCCUGUAACCCUCCGGCACUCUGGUUUUAUCCAAAACUUCUCUGGAACACCUCUGGUGUCUGAAUAUAGCCGUCCAAUAUAUCAAUCUUUAUGCCUCAACCAUUUCAAGACUCCUCGUCAUGUCCGUGAUCUCAUCUGGGACUUCGAACAAACUUCGGUCAUCAAAACACAUAUCUCAUAAUACAAAUCAUCAUCGAACGUUAAGCGUGUGGACCCUACGGGUUCGAGAACUAUGUAGACAUAACUGAGACACAUCUCCGAUAAAUAACCAAUAGCAGAACCUGGAUGCUCAUAUUGGGUCCUACAUAUUCUACAAAGGUCUUUAUCGGUCACCGCAUAAUAACACACAUUGUUCCCUUUGUCAUCGGUAUGUUACUUGCCCGAGAUUCGGUCGUCGGUAUCAUCAUACCUAGUUAAAUCUCGUUACUGGCAAGUCUCUUUACUCAUUCCGUAAUACUUCAUCCCACAACUAACUCAUUAGUCACAAUGCUUGCAAGGCGUAUAGUGAUGAGCAUUACCAAGAGGGCCCAGAGAUACCUCUCCGAAACACGGAGUAACAAAUCCUAAUCUCGAUCUAUGCCAACCCAACAAACACCUUAGGAGACACCUUUAUAGCAUCUUUAUAAUCACCCAUUUAUGUUUGUGACGUUUGAUAGAACACAAGGUGUUCCUCCGGUAUUCGGGAGUUGCAUAAUCUCAUAGUCUGAGGAACAUGUAUAAGUCAUGAAGAAAGCAGUAGCAAUGAAACUCUAACGAUCAUAAUGCUAAGCUAACAGAUGGGUCAUGUCCAUCACAUAUCACAUUAUUCUCCUAAUGAUGUGAUCCCGUUCAUCAAAUGACAACACAUGUCUAUGGUUAGGAAACAUAACCAUCUUUUGAUAAACGAGCUAGUCAAGAAGAGGCAUACUAGGGACAAUAUGUUUUGUCUAUGUAUUCACACAUGUACUAAGUUUCCGGUUAAUACAAUUCAAGCAUGAAUAAUAAACUUUUAUCAUGAAAUAAGGAAAUAAAUAAUAAAUUUAUUAUUGCCUCUAGGGCAUAUUUCCUUCAAUAUGAUCAAAUUAUGUUAUCCUUGUUGAGAGAACUUGCACUAGUGAAAGUAUGAACCCUAGGCCUUGUUUUGAAGCAUUGCAAUACCGUUUACGCUCACUUUUAUCGCUUGCUACCUUGCUGUCUUUAUAUUUUCAGGUUACAAGAACCCAUAUCUACCAUCCAUAUUGCACUUGUAUCACCAUCUCUUUGCCGAACUAGUGCACCUAUACAACUUACCAUUGUAUUGGGUGUGUUGGGGACACAAGAGACUCUUUGUUAUUUGGUUGCAGGGUUGUUCGAGAGAGACCAUCUUCAUCCUACGCCUCCCACGGAUUGAUAAACCUUAGGUCAUCCACUUCAAGGAAAUUUGCUACUUUCCUACAAACCUCUCCACUUGGAGGCCCAUCAACGUCUACAAGAAGAAGGCUGCGUAGUAGACAUCAAGCAGCAGUUCACCAUGCAUGCCGUGGUGGACACCCAUAGAAGGUUCACGGAGCUCUCAGUGAUGUACACCAACAACCCGGUCUGGGUGGAGCACUCUGGUGUCUACUAUGCAACAUUCUUCUUGUAGACAUUGUUGGGCCUCCAAGUGCAAAGGUUUGUAGGACAGUAGCAAAUUUCCCUCAAGUGGAUGACCUAAGGUUUAUCAAUCCAUGGGAGGCGUAGGAUGAAGAUGGUCUCUCUCAAACAACCCUGCAACCAAAUAACAAAGAGUCUCUUGUGUCCCCAACACACUCAAUACAAUGGUAAAUUGUAGGUGCACUAGUUCGGCGAAGAGAUGGUGAUACAAGUGCAAUACGGAUGGUAGAUAUAGGUUUUUGCAAUAUGAAAAUAUCAAAAUAGCAAGGUAGCAAGUAACAAAAGUGAGCAAAAAUGGUAUUGCAAGGUUUCAAAACAAGGCCUAGGGUUCAUACUUUCACUAGUGCAAGUUCUCUCAACAAUGAUAACAUAAUUGGAUCACAUAAAAAUCCCUCAACGUGCAACAAAGAGUCAUUCCAAAGUCACUAAUAGCGGAGAACAAACAAAGAGAUUAUUGUAGGGUACGAAACCACCUCAAAGUUAUUCUUUCCGAUCAAUCCAUUUGGCUAUUCCUAUAAGUGUCACAAACAACCCUAGAGUUCAUAGUAAAAUAACACCUUCAGACACAUAUCAAUCAAAACCCUAAUGUCACCUAGAUACUCCAAUGUCACCUCAAGUAUCCGCGGGUUUGAUUAUACGAUAUGCAUCACACAAUCUCAGAUUCAUCUAUUCAAACCCACACAAAGAACUUCAAAGAGUGCCUCAAAGUUUCUACCGGAGAGUCAAGACGAAAACGUGUGCCAACCCCUAUGCAUAAGUUCACAAGGUCACUGAACCCGCAAGUUGAUCACCAAAACAUACAUCAAGUGGAUCAUGUGAAUAUCCCAUUGUCACCACAGAUAAGCACAUGCCAGACAUACAUCUAGUGUUCUCAAAUCCUUAAAGACUCAAUCCGAUAAGAUAAAUUCAAAGGGAAAACUCAAUCCAGUACAAGAAGGUAGAGGGGGAGAAACAUCAUAAGAUCCAACUAUAAUAGCAAAGCUCGCGGUAGAUCAAGAUCGUGCCAUAUCAAGAACACGAGGGAGAGAGAUCAAACACAUAGCUACUGGUACAUACCCUUAGCCCCGAGGGUGAACUACUCCCUCCUCGUCAUGGAGAGGGUCGAGAUGAUGAAGAUGGCCACUAGUGAUGAUUCCCCCCUCCGCCAGGGUGCCGGAACAGGGUCCCGAUUGAUUUUUGGUGGCUACGGAGGCUUGCGGCGGCAGAAAUCCUGAUCUUGGUUCUAUUCUGGAAGUUUGGGGAUAUAUAAGAGGUGUUGGCGUCGGGAACAAGUCAGGGGGGUCCACGAGGAAGCCACGAGAUAGGGUGCGCACCUAGGGGGUAGGGUGCGCACCUAGGGGGUAGGGUGCGCCCUCCACCCUUGUGGUGGCCUCGGGACUCUUCUGGUCCAUCUCCGAUGCUCUGUGGGCUUCUUCUAGUCUAAAAACAAUCUCCGGGAAUUUUCACGUCAAUUGGACUCCGUUUGGUAUUCCUUUUCUACGAUACUCAAAAACAGACAAAAAACAGAAACUGGCACUAGGCUCUAGGUUAAUAGGUUAGUCCCAAAAAUAAUAUGAAAUAGCAUAUUAAUGCAUAAAACAUCCAAGAGGGAUAAUAUAAUAGCAUGGAACAAUAAAAAAUUAUAUAUACUUUGGAGACGCAUCACACUCCAUCCACAUCAUGGAGUUGUUGCUUGCUGAGGAGAAGUACAAGGUGGUCGGGUUCGACUUCGAGUACACCCGCGCUCGUGCUGGGUCUCAUCCCAAGGUCGCUGUCGCCCAGAUGUGCGUGCGCGAUCACGUCCUCGUCUACCACUACUGCCUGGCCACAAGGCCUUGCGAGCGUUUCGCCAGUUUUGUCAACAGCCCCCACUACAUGUUCGCCACGGUUGACAUCACCAACGAUGUAAAGGUGCUCAAGAAUUCGGGCAUCGCCUUCCUGAAUCUUGUCGACAUCCAGGGCCAAUACAAGAUCUGGGGCAGCAACGAGCAUGAGAAGGACUCACUGUUUUACCUCGCCGAGGCCAUCAUCGAUCCCUACUAUAGAGACAUGAAGGAUUCCUGCAAUAAGGACAAGCGUGCCUGGCACUCGGCCUGGAUGGAGAAACUCGACAAAGCCAUGUCGUGUACGUGGCCAAGGAGGUGUACACGAGCUACGAUAUGUAUAGGCGGAUCAUUGACAUGAGGAAGUGCCUCCUUCCCCAAAACGACCACGGAUCUAGCCGGAAGCAAAGCAAUGGCAAGCGUCAUCUCAACAAGAGGUAGAUGAUUAGAUGAUCGUUUCUCCUAGUUUAGUAUGCAUGUAAUUGCUUACUUUGGUGUGCGGAAAUGUUGUGUGUGUAGUCACUUGUGUAAUUGUAUGCUUAAUUUGGUUUUUCAAUGCUGUCUUUUUAAGUAUUUAUGUUGAUGCUCGCUAGACCGAGCGUAGAUGUUGUGCGAACAUAGCAAAUCAUAUCACACAUGGACUAAACAAUAGAACUCGUCGGUGAUGAUUUCAUCAAUCACUGACAAUUGUAUACCAACAAUCUUUGCUCACAACACACACGGCUUGUUAACAGGAAUCGUCUGUGUUGUUAUCGGUCUUCCCACACAUUUCCGAUUACAGACAUGUUUGCCGCGUAUCACACACAUCUUGCUAAGUUGAACCGUUUCUGUUGUCUUUCUUAAUCGAAAACAGUUCAUUCAAGUGAACCGUAUGCCGUAUAUCACACACACCUUGAUAUGGCUAAUCGUUUCUGUUGCUUUCCCUAAUAGCAAACAGUUUAUUGGAGCAAACUGUAUGCCGUAUAUCACACACACAUUGAUAUGGCUGUCCGUUUAUAUUGUUUUGUCUAAUCACAAACAAUUCGUAUGGAUCAAUCGUAUGCCCAACAUCGCACACACAACUAAAAUCUGAACCGUGUUUGAUGUAUCCGCCAUCGCAAACGUUUUACAUAUUUUUUGACGUUUUUUUUACAUCAGUGUUUGCGAUUAAUGCAUCGCACACAGUUUCGUCAAAGGGUCUCUGAUCGCAGUGGCGCGUUAGCAACAUUCCUGUAGUAGUGUUACUCCAAUAUCAAACACGAAGGUCUGUCUGGACGUAAGAUCAUCCAAGAGCAGUGGCACCAGCCCAAUCCCACAUCAUGAACUGCCAAGUUUUGGUGGUCUAGACACUCGACUAUUGGCGAAAAGAGAGUGUAUCGCUGCACUCUGAGAUGAAGUUGAUAUCUUGAGGAAGCAAAAACAUAGUCAAAUGCUCACUAAAAACCUUAAAAUUUGCAGGAAUUCGGAAUGAAGCAAGCUAAGAUUGACUGCAUUGUUAAGCAUUUGAUGGACAAACCCAAUGGAAAUUGCAUUUCUUAAAUCAUAGGUGAAAUGGUUGUUUCCAUUGUUAAUGACCUUUGUGUUCAUGUAAUAGAUGGAAACCAUUUGUUUUUAAGAUUAUGUAAAGAUUGAUUAGUCUUUAUGAGAUAAUUUAUUUUGUUAGCUAGGCCAUCAUAAGAUAUAUGCCAGUCAACAUGAAUGCAACAUUUGGCCAAAUGGGCCGAAAGAGCUAGUGCACAAACGAGCUGAAAGCGCCACAUACUGUUAUUACACCAAAAUGUUCCAUGGAUCACAAACGAGCCAAAAAAUACGACCAUAUAAAUGGGCACAAAGAGAGCAACAAGCCAUAAAUUGAUCCUUUGUUUUUCUUUAACAGACACCUAGGGGAGGAAUCCCCGCCCGAAUUUCACCUCAUUCAAAUAAAAAUUGAUCCAUUUUAUAAGGGAAUCAUGAUAAAAAACCCUAAACAGGUUGACCAUGUUUAUGAGGAAAACUAGGCUGAAAAAUGUUAGAAGUAACAAGGGUUAAAAGGAGCCCAGAAAAAGGCACGACCUAGCUAGCAAAUAGAAGGAACAUCACCAUGAGAGACAUAAGUAGAUCCUUUGUCAAACCCUAGCGAAUGCAUUUUCACGCCUUUACCCUCAUGCCCUUUCUACAAUUGUAUUAGUCUCACAAGUCACAUAUCUGGCAUGAUGAUUUCCUGUCGGUUCUUUGGAACUGCCUUACCGUUGUUGCCUUGAGAGAAUUGGAUGUCGUGUUUUCACUAUUGUUGGUUUAUGUCCCCAAUGAUGCCAUUGAUGAAAAGUUUCUCACCCGCAAGGUUGUCUUCUCAUCAAAAAAUGCAUACAGCUUACUCACGUAUGAGGAUGAGGAGGAACCCAACACUGCACUCAUUCGGAACUCAAAGGUUCCGAUCAACAUCCAAAUCUUUGGUUGCUUCUUUUCAAAGAUAGCAUUAAGCCCAAGGCCAGCCUCUUCCACAAGAACAUCGCUCAAACAAUUGUUCCCCGGGUGUCAAGCUCGCUGGCAAGACGUGCUACAUAUAUUCAUCCUCUGCAUGGACGUCGCUCUAAUUUGGUAGAACCUAGGACUCCUUGCACCCUUCUCCAUCGACCAAGGGAUGUCCAAACGCUGCCGAGGCUCGAUGCCGAUCUCUUGCCACCCAUGGCGCUCUCCAUUGUAUGGAUAAUUGGGGACUCUCAACGCCCUGGUCUUCCGCAAUGUAGUACACUCUCCCGUUGUAACUAUUAGAAACAUCGUCUUUGACUUCACUCUUUAGUCUUUAUUAUUUAAGGAUGCUACUCAAAAGAUGCAUGCCACCACAACAUUACCUUCUCGUGCUCUAGCACUCUAUUGCAACGCUGGCCACCGAGUGGCUUAGUAAUGCAUUUUGGGAGCCUCUCAUCUGGUGAUUGUUGAAAAAAGUUAACUCAUAUUUUGUAAAACAAAUCAAGAUUAGAGUUAAAGCUUAAAAUCAAGGGAGUCUUACAUAUUUGGAUGAACUGAGUUACCUAGGUCCAAUAUGGCAAUAUGUACGGAUGUCCCCCUAUCCAACGUGUCAUGGCUCAACACCAUCAGCUGGCUGGUCAGAUGGCGUUGUGCAACUUUUGGACUUAGAUGACACACUUGCUACACUUUGAGGACCUGAAUACCGACUUUCAUAGUUCAAGGACCUACAUGACAUCCUUGAAAAUGUUUGAGGACCUAUGAAGCACUUCACUCUAUAUUUCUACUAGGGUACACUUGCCUACCAGCAUCGAAAGAUCUGGCACAUUAGAUCAAGUUGGAGCAAUGGUUAAUAUUCAUUUGUCCCUACCAUAAAAGAGCUUUUUGAGUACAGCAUGCAAGUUGAGGGACGCGAACGUUUGGUUCCACCCAGGAAUUGGAUUUUUUUUUCUUUACAAAAACAGUCGCCAAUAAAAACCCAACGUUGCAAACAAACAAAAAUAUUGUUAUUUACUCCAAGACACUAUUCACACUAUUUUAACCAAAUAUUUGCUUUUUUCGCCCUGAAGUCGACGCGGGGUUUUCGUUGGCGUUAACUUAAGAACUUUUUUUAUAAUUAUUAAUUUUUUCCAAAGUAUUUCCCGCAAGUUGAGUUACUACUCAUUGGCCAUGCAAAGAUGAGGCACCCUUGUUGACGCCUAGAAUCACUCCGGCACUAUCCGAGCCAUCUUCCCUGAUGGAAGGGCUGUCAAGAUGUUGUGCAAGCACGCUUGCAACACUUGCGACUUAUUUGGUAGCAGGAAAAUUUGUGAAGUUGUCAGUUUAAAUCUAUGAUAACAAAAAGAAAAGCUUUCUGCAUUCAAGAAUGAAGAGAGAAUAGAAGAACUGAUUUGACGCCAAUAUUAACACAGAAAUUGCACGCUGUACUAUUGUGCCAUAAUUAUUAAUAGUAAUUUACAUGCUAACUGAAAGCUGCCGACAGACACAAUGAAACCAAAGACCAAACCGUGAACACUAAACAAAGAGCAUAGAUGCACAUCUCACGACUAGCAAACACGAUUAUUACGCGAGGGAAGUUUUCUACUUUUGGCUUGUGCUUCUCAAGCACCAAAUCUUAAAACAGAGAGACACACGAUAAAUAAGAGGCAAUCUACUCGUCCAUUCUCAUGAUGCAGCGCAGGCCCUCCCCCUUGAGCAUGAGGUCGAACGCCGUGUUGAUCUGCGAGAAAGGCACGCUGUGGGUGAUGAACUUCUCCAGGUCCAGCUCCUUCCUCAUGUACAUCUCCACGACUUCCGGGAGGUCGGUCCGCGGCUUGUAGUUGCCGAAGAAGGUGCCCUUCAGGGUCCUCUCAUUGAGCAAGUUCAUCGGGCUUGUCUUGAACACCGCCUCCUUGUGCGGGACGCCCACCAGCACCGCCACGCCCCAACCCUGCAUCCAGCAGAUUUCAACAUUCAGUCUAAACACUAAAAAUAGCUUGCAAAUAAUUAUCAUUGGAGUAGAGACUAUAUAUAGGUAUAUUGAGAGCUACGUACAUCAUGGACACAUUCGAAGGCGGCGAUCAUGGCGUCGAUGUGGCCAGUACACUCAACCGCACGGUCGACGCCGCCAUUGGUCAUCUCGACAAGCACCUGGAGAGCAACAUUGCACAUUGAGUUUUUGGCACAGGAUUGUGCAUGUCAUGAAGAACGAACAAAGGUGAAAAUAUGUGUUGAGGGAGAUGGAAAGAACUCUUGCACUGGCUUGGUGUGGUCCUUUGGGUUCACAAAGUCGGUGCAUCCAAAUUUCUUAGCUGAAAAAUUAUGUACAGGAUGUUCAGUGUCCCAUCCAACAAUAUUUACCAAGAUAUCCUUGUUUUGCCUGAGGCAAAUCGUACCUUGUUCGUAUUUUGCAGGGUUCAAAUCCACACCAAUGAUCCUUGAUGCCCCAGACAUCUUGGCCCCUUCCAUGGCCUGAUCAUGUGAGGAGCACACAGUAAUUAGUCACACAAUUCUCUCCAGCCUGCAAAAAUAUGUCGUAGAUAAAAAACAUCUUGGAACGUCACUUACAGCAAGGCCUACAGCUCCAAGACCGAAUAUGGCCACCGUCGAACCCUUUUUCGGUUUCGCGACAUUAAGGGUAGCACCAAGUCCUGCAGAAAAAUGACAAUUUAGCUAGUAAUGGAGGUACCCUGAACAUUGCGUUUCAUUUGGAAACAAUGGCAUGAGGAGCCAUCUCUUACCAGUUGAGAUGCCACAGCUGAGAACACAAACUUUGUCAAGGGGCGCCUCGGGGUUGAUCUUGGCGAGGCAACCAACAUGGAUCACAGUGUACUCACUGAAGGUGGAGGUCCCGACAAAGUGGAAGAUGGGUUUCCCGUUGAUGGUGAAGCCUGACUGCCCAUCCCCGAUCAUCACGCCACGAUCCACGUUGAUCCUGAGGAGGUCACAAAGGUUGCUCUCCUCUGACUUGCAGUGGGCACAGUCUUUGCACUCGCCGGUGAAGACCGGGAGUACAUGGUCGCCCGGCACGAGCUCGGUCACACCCUCUCCGACACUUUCAACAAUGCUGCAACAAGAAGCAAGUUAGUAAACAGAUUUAGCAGAAAAGAUAAACUACGAAAACAAACAUAAUACUCAUCAUUCAAUAAAAUGCAGAAAAGGUCCACUUUAAUAAAAUUGACAACUGCCGGAAUCUUUGAUUAUAAACUUGGUAAAUAUAUAAUUAAUGAGGAGGUCGGCAACUGACAGAACAUGGAAAAUUAACAGUCCAAAACCAUAUGAUUGUCCAAAGCACUUUACAGUGUGAGCUUGUGUCAUGGAUGACGUUAAAACAUGAUUCUUCAUAUGUUUUAUCCCAUGGCAAUAAGAUAUGGACACUUUCUGUAUGUAGGUAUCGAUCUAAUACCAUUGACAGAAAAGAGUUCAGGAAUCAGGAUGACUAUAAUUAGAAGCUAGUGUGAAUAGAUAAUGAUCAGUGUUGUGUCGUGAUUCUUCAUAUGCUUUAUCCCAUGGCAAUAAAAUACGGGCACUUGCUGUAUAUAGUUAUCAAUCUAGUAGCACUGACAGCUCAGGAUUUAGUAGUAUGACUGUAACUAGAAGCCAAUAUGAAUAAACUAUGAUUUAGGAUUCAAGAUUCCUCAGCUGAAACAGAAUAAGACAGAGACAGAGAGGAUGCAUACCCUCCAGCUUCAUGGCCCAAGAUCCUAGGGAAAACCGGAGUUUGCCCCUGCACAAACAAACCCAAGCAGAACAUGGCAAGUUAAUCAUCUAUCCAUUGAUCCACGUGUCUUUCACCAUACCCGUCUCGACUACGAGAUGCAAUUGUGUAUUUGUGUGGAUACCUUGGCUUCCCAGAAGUAGACGUCGGUGUGGCAGAGGGCGGUGUAGAGGAUCUUGACGCGCACCUCCAUGGCCUGCGGCGGCGCCACCUCCACCUCCUCGAUCGACAGCGGCUUCCCGGCCUCCCAUGCCACCGCCGCUGCAGUCACCCAAGAACCAAACCAAUUAGAUCAACAAUUCCAGAGCUUCAAAAUCAGACAAGACUGACUGCUAUGUCAGGAACAGACCUUUGCACUUGAUCACCUUCCCGGCGGUCGCCAUCCCUGUCCCUGUCGGUCGCAAGCUCCAAGAACUCGAAGAGAAAGAAGAUCGCUGUCUCUGCUUUGCAGUUCGAUGGUUGUAGAUUUUGGUGAGGAAGGAAGGCGAGGCGAGCCCUGUAUAUAUACUCCUGGUGCUGGAGGAAUCGGCGAGUAAUUAAGGGUAUGCUUGGAGUGCAAGCGGGGAAAGAAGUUGGACUGUUUUUCUUGGACAAGGCGGCCGAAACAGGGGUGUCCAGCCUCCGUUCGCCUGCCUGCGGCGCUGCGCGCGUCUCCGCUGGUUUCAAACCUCGUCCCCGUGUGGUAUAUGUGGAAACCAUGGCGACGUGACCAAGGGGCUAGAGAUCAACGGCAGCCGAAACAGAGUAAAAAACCCUGGGAUGAGGCCAGAGAGGGCUGACUUGGUGACGGAAAACCAGGGCGACCGAGAAAACCAGCUGCGAGAACAACAGCGUCCUCCCCGCUCUGCAACGGUCCACGACCCGACGCAUCGUCGUUUUGCUAGAAAUAAUACUAUACGUAGUAGGCAGCUGAAAAGUCCAUGGUUCUCUGCAUCUGCCGGAUCAGGGCAAUAGGGCAUGCAUGCUGGAUUGCUGGCCGUCGGCUUUCACAGUUUCAGUGUUUCCUCGGAGAGAUUCAGUACGUAGUCUGUAUCGGAUGGCUGACCUGCCUGUCGGUUUUCAGUUCUAUUGUUCUCUCCAGAAGAUUCAGAAGUCUAUAUAGAAUGUGAAUCUUUACUUUUCCUACAAUAAUGUGAAUCUUUUACUAUCCCUAAAAAAUGUGAAUCUUUUAGUCCAACAAAGAACUCCCACCGUUUCUAAAAAUAAGUCUUUUUAGAUAUUCUAACAUGAACUGCAUACGAAACAAAAUGAGUGAAUGUACACUCUAAAAUACGUGUAUAUUCGUUUAUAUGUAGUCUAUGUUCAAAUCUCAAAAAGACGAAUAUUUAGGAACGGGGGAGUAGCAUGACCAGCAGAAAUCAGCUAUACUACUCGUCGAGCUUUAUGUUUUUGCCGCUCGCACCCUGACAAACAAACCACUGAUUUUUUUUAUAAAGAGUAGUAAUAUAUUGAUACCAAUUACAUUUAAACUCUACAACAAACAUGAUAUCUGGAGCUAGUUGUGAUAUCGAGGAUUCACGUAUCUAAAAACAAAAACAAAAAACGACUUGAAAAGGUCAAGGUGACGUGAAUAACUCGUUGCAACACAACAUCAACAACUAUCACUGUCAUAGGCAACAUCAAGAGUACGAGAAGGUCCCCAACAUUGACGCCUUCAAAACGGUAAUGGCGCUUAAACCUCAUUCUCGCCGGAUCCAACAAUACAAGUCAGAUCAUUGAUUUUCAUCCAACGGAGAAAGUCCUAGCAAACUCCAGAUCAUGCCUUCAACAAGGGAGCUCAUGCCACUACUGUCAAAUACAACCAAUGAAGGUCAAACCUCGGAUUUUUAUCCCGAAAAUCAAUGACUGGUACUCAAAGAGCACCAUAAAAAAUGAAACCUACAGAGUUGCCACCACCAACUUAACAAGAAGAAGUCUCGCUACAAUGUCCGAAUUAGCACCAAAACCGCGGACCAGGAUGGACUCGACACAUCGGGCAAUUGCUGAGAAGCCAUAUCUACCUGGGCCAAUAUGUAGCACACCCUGAUCAUCCAUCCCCGAAAGACAAAAGAUACCUGUUGGAGUUCAUCUACUGUGUUGGCGGGAAGCAAAGGCUAGGUUCAAUUGGUUUAGUUUGGUCAGUAGUACUGUUACCGAGCACGUCGUCAGAACUGGACAUGGCCAGUAGCUCCUCAACAAUGUGAAUCUGAACUGUUGGGGGACAAGUGUGAUACUUGCCCUAUCUAUCCCCACACUUGAAGCACAAACCUCGCGCACGGUAGUAAGCCUGUAGUGCGCUGAGUUUACUGGAAUCAGUGUUGCAGUCUCCCAUCGCCCCUCAUCCCGCUCCUCUCCCCUGCCGCCGCUACAGGGAGUGACCGGGCGAAGCCCGGCCAGCGGCUACGGCGGCAGGGCUCCUUCGCCCCCCGAUGCGUGGAUUCGAUGCGGGACGGAUCUGACGGGCAAGGGCGUCACGAUGCGGAAGGUCGUGAUGGUGCGAUCCAUCUUUCUAGCAGCUACGACGGGAGGCGGGUGACCCAGAUGUGGCCUCCGGUGGUGGGGCGUGCUGGGUCUUGGCGGCGGCGGCGAUCUGGCCCAGAUCCGUGGUCCCAAGCACUAGGCGGCGCGGGCUGCGAUCGGCAACGACAACUGGCUGGUGAUGUCUUCUGGGCAGUAGUGGCCGACGUCAAUGGUGGAUCUGGGCGGUGGCGGUCCUCGUGUUUCGGUGGCUGCGUGUGUCUACUCGGCGAGGCACCACGCGGUUCCAGUCAGCUACUGGGGCCAGAUGGCGCGAUUGCCGGUGAAAAUCUCGUCGACUUUGGUCUUACGGACGAUGGCGGUGUCAUUGACGUCAUUUCCUUGUUGAGGCAUCGUCGUUGCAGGCAACGUUAUCUCCCCUAGGCUGCUCCAGGGGAAACCCUCGAUCCGGGUCUUCCCGGAUCGGACUAUGACGCUUCGAUGUUGUUCUCCCUUCUGGGGGCAUCGUUUUGGAGCAGGUGCUGACUGAAAGGGCACAGCGAUGGAAUGGGGUUUUAUCUUUUUUUAGAACAAAGACGCUAGGUGCUUCCGGCUUUAAAUUAAUAAAGCCCACAUCAUAGGCAGCGUACCAACAGAUCCAAACCAUACACACACAGACGGCCUCAGGCCACACACGAGGGAAGUCAUAGGGUUCAAGGCAGACCGCGAGCAAGAGUUACAUGGCUCGAGGGCCAAAUACUGGGCACGCAGGCUCGCAAACGAACAAAAGGGCCACUCCUUUAAGAAGUGGCAGUUGGUUCCCUAGCCAUCAUGCACACCUGGCGGAGACAGUUUUAACUGUGCUACAUCCUCUCAGCAUCCUUGCGCCUCGCCAACGGAUUCCACUACUGCAGAAACAGAUUGCAUUUGUAGAUAACAUUAGCCGAGUGGGUCGGGAAGAUCCCCUCAAUAGCUAGUUUGUUCCUAGUUAACCAGCGCGCCCAGAAUAGUGCCCCAACACAGCUCCACAGAACUCGUUUUCCACUACCCUGGACCGAGUCUAGAAUGGCCACUAAAUCACCGGUGGACCGCGGGUCCCAUGGCACUCCCGCCGUGGUCCAAACAACGUUCCAAGCGAACCUAGAUAGCAGGCAUCAAAAAAAGACGUGAUUUGCGUCCUCGACUACAUUGCAGACCGUAGAUGUGCAUGUCAUCGGCCCCUGCCGUUUUGCUACAUUUUCGAACCUGGGCAAUCUGUUGCGAAACAGUUGCCACAUAAACACUUUGAUUUUGAGAGGGAUGCGUGCCUUCCAGAGGCCCUUAACCACCGGCUGGGCCGCCCCUUGGCAAAGCUUGUGGUAAAGCUAUUUGACCGUAAACUUGGCGGGCGAGGUGAGCUCCCAGGUCACCGAGUCGGCUGCAACAGACAACGAGGUCGAGCUGAUGAGAUCAAGCAUCACCACAUAAUUCGCUCGCUCUUGGUCAUUGAGCUCGCGGUGGAAGUGAACCACCAGGGGGACGAGGCUAAGUCCAAGGCUACGGUCAUGUUCGGGUCUACAGCGAUCGCGUACAAGUCCUGGAAUUCCGACCAGAGAGGUUGGGAGCCAACCCAAAAGUCUAGCCAGAACCUGGCCGAUCAGCCAUCUCCAAUGGCAUACUUUGCCCCUGUUGCAAAGGCUGGUUUGACAGUUUGGAGGUCGUUCCAGAAAGGUGAGACUCUUGCUACACCUUCGAAAAAAUUCCCAUUCGGGAAGUACUUUGUACAUAGAAGGUCCACCCCCAAGCCCGUUGCCCCUUGUGAUAUUUUACAAAUCCACUUGCACAGGAGUGCAAUUUUUAGAAUUCUAGUGUUGGUGAUCCCGAGGCCCCCCAAGGCCUUGGGACGGCAUACCGCCGCCCACUUCACCAUGUGGUACUUGCGCUUCGGGCCCGUACAUUCCAAAAAGAAACACGACCAAGGUGUGUCCAUUUUGGCGCGAACUCCUUCAGCCAGCAGAAAGAGACCCAUCACAAACAUAGGCAGGGAGGACAGGCUCGAGUUCAUGAGCACUAGCCUAGCUCUGGAGGAGAGGAAUUUGCCACGCCAAGGGCACACCUUUCCCCCAAUCUUGGCACAGAGCGGAGCCCAAUCAUCGAUCGUUAGGAGUUUACUAAGGGCAGGCCUAAAUACGUGAAGGGGAACUUGCCAAGUUUACAGUUGAGCAAGUCCGCGAUGCGCCUGCCCUCCUCCGCGUCCAAUCCCAUGGACAAAACUUCACACUUUUGGAAGUUGAUCUUCAUCCCGGAGAUGAGCUCGAAAUUAAGGACGAGGGCUUUGAUAGUGGCCACACUGUGGAGGUUCGGUUGGAACAGCAGUAACGUGUCGUCAGCGUACUGCAGGUGGGAGAUCCCCCCUGGGAUGAGGUGACUAACCACACCUUUGAUGUGGCCGACCUCUGUGGCUUUCCGCAGCAUAGACGCCAGUGCGUCGACUAUGAAGUUGAAUAGGAUCGGGGACAUUGGGUCGCCCUGACGGAGUCUGUGCCUGCUCCGGAAGAAGUGCCCUACUUCUCAGUUGACCUAGAUUGUUGUCUGGCCCCCGGGACCAACUGCAUCACUCGAUGAACCCAAACAGUCGAGAAACCCUGACUAAGGAGAACUUGACACAGGAAAUCCCAAUUAACCCAGUCGUAAGCCUGUUCGAAGUCCAUUUUUAGUAAGAUAGCCGGUUCAUUUGUACGUUUGAGCUCGUGAAUAAUUUCCUGUAGAGCCAGAGGGCCCUCCAGGAUGUGGCGGACGCGGAUGAAAGCAGAUUGCGAACGACUAAUUGUGCAUUGAGCGAUCGGGACGAGGCACGUAGUGCACACUUUGGCACAGAUCUUGAAAGGCACGUUGAUAAGCGCGAUGGCUCUAUACUCGUGAAUGUUAUCCACCCCCGCCACUUUGGGGAUAAGCGAUAAAACGCCGUAGUUGAGCCUAGAGAUGUCUAUUGUACCGUGCAUAAAGCCGUUACACACCUCAAAAAUGGGUCCGCAGAGCAAUGGCCAGAAAUGUUUGAACAUUACAACCGGCCACCCGUCCGACCCGGUGCAGUGUCCGACUUCAUGCUCAUGAGCGCAUCGUUGAUCUCCUUGGGGAGAAACACAAGUCCCAGCUCCGCGUUUUCGUUGUCAAGGACUAACUACGAGGGCAUCCAGACGUCUGUGCGCAGACUAGCCCUCUGGUCCUUGCUUGCCCCCAUCAGUUGGAUAUAGAACUCGUAAACAUGGUUCAUUAUAUCCACUUGGCGCAAUAGCAACCCAUGUUCUGAUUGCAGCCUAAGGAUCGCACAUUUCCGGCGUCUUCCAUUAGCAUAGGCAUGGAAGUACUUGGUGUUGGCAUCCCCUUUAAGAGUCCACUUGAGGCCACCCCGACACCUCCAGUAUUCCACCUCGACACGAAGCAGCGCUUCAACUUUUCCUUCCAGGGCGUAGCGGUGCACCCAUUCUUGCUCUGAGAAGGGCCUCUCAUCAGCCUGGGCAUCGAGCCACGCGAUUUCGUCGAUUAAAUUGCUCUGAGUAACUUGUCAUCUCGCCCUUGGUUUGCGCCCCAUCCCUUGAGGCUCGAAUGGAGGCGCCCCCCUGCCGCAUUCUAGAACUCCAUAGGGCCAUGUUGUGGGCCUAUUUGUUGCACGCUUCUCAACCAUUUUCCCCUAAACAUGGUGUCAAAUUCUGGUAUCUCAAACCAGGCCGUCUCAAAACAUAAACGAGGGCUGCAGUCGGAUCCGGUCCUCCCCUGAGGACAAGAUCAGGGUCCGUGAUCGAACCCUAUGCGCGUUUCCGCGAUGAUCGAGCGAAGAGGAUAAAGCACCUCCUAGCCGGGUGAAAUGAACACCUGAUCCAACACUGAACGCACCGGGGUGAGUUGCUUGUUCAUCCAGGUGUACCUAGCACCGGUCCUAGCCACUUCCUGAAGAGCCAUGGACGCAAUUGCGUUGUUGAACCUAGCCACUCGGGGCGAGUUGAUGAUAUUGUUGUUUUUGUCCGCUCCCGAGCGAAUCAAAUUGAAGUCACCCCCUACCAUCACAGGGAUCAGGGCUGCGGAGAUCGCGAGCACCUUGGCUUGGAUGACCAUGUCACGCCCAAUAUGCGAUACUAUCCUAAAGAGACUCGAAGGUCCCACCAAGGAUAGAACCCCAUAUUGAGACGCUUUUGCAAGGUGGAUAUCAUUACAUCAACAUUACAUAAUAGAUGGGGAUACAUACCAGAGGCAUACAAUGCAACAAGAAUACAACAACACAUCAUACAUAAGAUCAACAUCCGACUACGGAUGAAACACAAACAGAAACUCAAACGACAUCCACCUUGCUAACCCAGGAUGCCGACCUGGAACCUAUCCCCUGAUCGAAGAAGAAGCAGAAGAAGAACUCCAAGACAAGCAAACAACGCUCUCGCGUCAUGAUCAUCGCAUAACCUGUACCUGCAACUGUUGUUGUAGUAAUCUGUGAGCCACGAGGACUCAGCAAUCCCAUUACCAUGGGUAUCAAGACUAGCAAAGCUUAAUGGGAAAGGAAGGGGUAAAGUGGUGAGGUUGCAGCAGCGACUAAGCAUGAUAUGGUGGCUAACAUACGCCAAUAAGAGCGAGAAGAGAAGCAAAUGGAACGUUUGUGAAGCUAGCAAUGAUCAAGAAGUGAUCCUGAACUCCUACUUACUUCAAACAUAACCCAAAACCAUGUUCACUUCCCGGACUCCGCCGAAAAGAGACCAUCACGGCUACACACGCGGUUGAUGCAUUUUAAUUCGGAUCUGGUGUCAAGUUCUCUACAACCGGAUAUUAACAAAUUCCCAUCUGCCGCAUAACCGCGGGCACGGCUUUCGAAAGUUUAAACCCUGCAGGGGUGUCCCAACUUAGCCCAUCACAAGCUCUCACGGUCAACGAAGGAUAUUCCUUCUCCCAGGAAGACCCGAUCAGACUCGGAAUCCCGGUUACAAGACAUUUCGACAAUGGUAAAACAAGACCAGCAAAGCCGCCCGAUGUGCCGACAAAUCCCGAUAGGAGUCGCACGUACCUCGUUCUCAGGGCACACCGGAUAAGUCAAGCUACGAGUGAAACCAGACCUCAAGUUUCCCCGAGGUGGCCCCGCAGGCUGCUCGGUUCGGACCAACACUCGAAGGAGCACUGGCCCGGGGGGGUUAAAAUAAAGAUGACCCUUGAGUCUGCAGAACCCAAGGGAAAAAGGCUUAGGUCGCAAAUGUUAAAACCAAGGUUGGACCUUGCUGGAGGAGUUUUAUUCAAAGCGAACUGUCAAGGGGGUCCCAUAAAUCACCCAACCGUGUAAGGAACACAAAAUCAAGGAACAUAACACCGGUAUGACGGAAACUAGGGGCGGCAAGAGUGGAACAAAACAUGAGGCAUAAGGCCGAGCCUUCCACCCUUUACCAAGUAUAUAGAUGCAUUAAUUAAAUAAGAGAUAUUGUGAUAUCCCAACAUAAUCCUGUCCAUCAUGGAGCAAUCUUCAACUUCUCCUGCAGCUACCAAUGCUAUAAGAGGGGCUGAGCAAAAGCGGUAACAUAGCCAAGCGACGGUUUGCUAGGAAGGGUGAAAAAUGUUAGAGGCUGACAUGGCAAUUUGGGAGGCUUGAAGAGUAAAUGAUAGGUAGCGCAGCAUAGCGAUAGAACAAAGCAACUAGCAUAGCAAUGAUAGUAGUGAGAUCCAGGGUAGCGGUCAUCUUGCCUGAAAUCCCGCAAGGAAGAAGAACGAGUCCAUGAAGAAGAUGAAGCCACGAAGAUGAACCAAGCGUAGACGAACGAAUCCUCACGAUCGCAAUGAAACAGGAAGUAACGAGAAGGAGCACAACCAGAAAGAAGCAAACAACAAGGUAAACACACAACACAUAGACAAGACAUGAAGCGCAACCAAGCAUGAUGCAUGACAAAGCUAUAUGAGGCUACUCAUGGCAAGAGAUGAUGCAUACAAGAGCAACACAUCAAAGCAAGUUUAAAUGAGGCCGGAAACCACAUAGAACUAAUCCGGUAAGUCCUCAUAUGCAAAUUUUGAAAUUGGUCCAGAUCUUAAUAAACCUUAUGUUCAAGUUGUUAAACAGCAAGUUAAAAUGUACCAAGUUGAUCUACACAAGAUUCUAGUCAAGUUACAUAUAAAGUUCAUUUAAUUCGGAGCUACGACCUAGAAGAUAUGAGCAAAACAAGUUAACCAUGACAUUGAUGCAAAAUGCAUUCAAACAUCAAGCAAACACUCUCAAAACAUGGAUGCAACAUGAUAAGAUAAAACUAUAUGCAAUUCUCAGCAAAUUUCAUGUAGAGCAUGCUCAAAACGGAGCAACGGUGCAACACAUACACUCCAAACAAGAUAUAACAACAAUUUGUCCAAAACAGCAACUAGGCAUCUUACGAGCAUCAUCAAGAUAUGCUACAGCACCCCAACAUGGAAACAAAAGGCAUGAACAUGAUGUACAAAUGAAGCUUAAUAAAACAUGAACACUGAGCUAUCUCCAGAAAUCAUUAGAACAUGCUCAAAACGACAUGACAAGAUUGCAUGUAAUAAUAGUUUCAGACUUUGCAGAAAUAACAUCAGGUUGCAAUGUUUAGAGCUAUCAAACAAUAUGCUACAGGAACUUAACAUAGCAAAAUAAGGCAUGGCAUAAAUCUACUAAACUCAUAGAACAAAAGACCCUUACUGAACAUGAGCCAAAAAGGAACAGAAGAUAUGAUGGCACCCAUGUAAACAUGGCAAGUGAUAUGACAGAUUCAGAAUAAUAGUACAUGGCAGGAACAACGAUAAGUAGGCAUGUUGGUCAGCUUGUAUAGCUCACCAAAGAGCAAUACAUGACAUGAAAAGGUGACCAACAGUAAGAUGACAUAUUUAUGAAGCUAAUUAUGGCAAGAGCAAGUUCAUAGGGUGCAUGGAUCACUAGCAAAACACAUGGCAAAACUGAACUUCAUGUUAAUAGGCUGACAGCAACAUUAUUUAGCAAUUUGAGAACAAGAUUACAACAUGCUACAGCGUGCUAUAAAUGCAACCAGGUACAUGGAUGGAUAUAAAAUGACAUGUAUAACAAAACAUCCUUAGUGAACAUCUCUAGAUUAUGCAUAGAAUGACUUGUAGCAGCAGGUUUACAUAGCAUCAUAAUAUAGCAGAUUCAGCCUAGCAAAAUAGUAACAACAAGUACCCUACUUCGCGAGCUAGAUGCACUCACUACAAGACUCAAAAAAAUACAUGGAUUGCACGUCUAUAAAGAUGGCAUGAUUUAGCUCAAAACACAUGUAGACAUCAUGAUCAUAGGAUGCACACACAAAAUGCAAUGAAAAUGACAAAACAACAAGUUCUGUUAACAGACAGCAGUUAACAUCAUAUAGCACUCUUGCAACGAUGAUAAUGGCAUCAAGAUGGACUCAACAAAGCAUGGAACAAUGGAACGCAAAGAAGAGCAUCUCACAAUGAACAUUUCCAUAUAUCAUAUGCACAAAACGGAGCUAUGGUCAUGGAGAUAUGGCAUAAUGAACAGGGCAUGAAAAUGUCAAAAUAUCAGGGACUUAGCAGAAAUCACCACCUCGAGGGCAGAAGUCAACGGCGGCGCGAGAAGCGAGGAUGGCCGGAGAAGGGGCCGUGGACGGGCGCACGCGGCGGAUCUGGGCCGGAUCUCGCCGUAUCCGGCCAGAUCCCGGCUCGGGGAGGCGGGGAAGGACGCNNNNNNNNNNNNNNNNNNNNNNNNNNNNNNNNNNNNNNNNNNNNNNNNNNNNNNNNNNNNNNNNNNNNNNNNNNNNNNNNNNNNNNNNNNNNNNNNNNNNNNNNNNNNNNNNNNNNNNNNNNNNNNNNNNNNNNNNNNNNNNNNNNNNNNNNNNNNNNNNNNNNNNNNNNNNNNNNNNNNNNNNNNNNNNNNNNNNNNNNNNNNNNNNNNNNNNNNNNNNNNNNNNNNNNNNNNNNNNNNNNNNNNNNNNNNNNNNNNNNNNNNNNNNNNNNNNNNNNNNNNNNNNNNNNNNNNNNNNNNNNNNNNNNNNNNNNNNNNNNNNNNNNNNNNNNNNNNNNNNNNNNNNNNNNNNNNNNNNNNNNNNNNNNNNNNNNNNNNNNNNNGGCUGCGGCAACGGGUGGCUCGGGCCCGGGCGGGCCCCGCAAGGGCUGAGCGGGCCGGCGGCACGCAGCGGUGAAGGACGCCACGAGAGGCGACGUGGCGGCAUGGGAUUCGCUGCGGCGGGCGGCGCGGACGUGUCCGGCGGGAUUGGACAUGUCCGUCGGCGAGAGGAGGAAGAAGCUAGGGUUUCAUCUGGGAAUUUCGGGGGAGGUGGCCUAUUUAUAGAUAGAGGGAGCUAGGAGACUCCAAAUGAGGAGCGGUUUUCGCCCACACGAUCGUGAUCGAACGACCGAGAGCAUGGAGGGAGUUUGGAUGGGCUCAUGGGCUGCCGUGAAGAGGGGCUGGGCUGCAAAGAGAGAGGGGUUUCAGGCUACGCGGUUAACCGUUGGGGCAUCAAACGACCUCCAAAUGGAACGAAAUUUGACGGGCGGUCUACCGGUGCUAUACCAAGGCCACUCGACAAACCUCGGUCUGUUUCGAGAACGAUUUUAACCCGCUCACGAAAACAAGGUCUGGACUCCGAACGGACAACGGAGAGGACCGGGGGAACCCGAACGGAUGCAAGUUUUGAAAAACAUGCAGAUGAAAUGUAGAUGGUGACAUGGAAAAGUGCAACACACAAGCAAAUAACAUGGCAACAACAACGAAUAACUGGAGGACAUCUGGCGCAUCGAAUCCGUGGCGUUACAACUCUCCUCCACUAACAAGAGAUCUCGUCCCGAGAUCUUAGGAACGAGACGGAAGAGAAAGAGGAAGAGGUGAAGUAAGAACACAAGAGAAAAGGUGAACCAAGUCAAGAGCACUAGGGUAGAAAACAGGAAUGACGAGUAUGACGAGAAUCAAAUGCUCAUGGAAACAAGAUGGACUCUGAAAGCACUCCGGUUAGAACAAGAUAGAAAAGGAAUGAAAAAAAGAAUUUGGGCAGCACUCCACCUGAAAAUGGGAGGAAUAGAACAUGAACUUCACCCAAUGAGAUGGCACUUGACGAGAUGACCAAUGCCAUGCCUCCGGAAGAAUUGAAAGAAUGGAAUGAAAAGAACUUAGAAAGAAGGAUUGAAUGGAGUUGUUGAGAAAAUCAACAACGAAAGAAUAAGCUUGUUGUGGACUUAUCAAAAACAACUCAAAACUUGAGGUGAAAUUAUAGCACAACCAAUGUCUGAAUAGCUGAGAGGAAUGAAGAAAUGCAAAACUCCACUUCAAAAGAAAUACGGAGAAUUAAUUGCACUUAGAGACGCGAGAAGAAAAGAUAUUUGAACUCCACCAACAAAAUCUUGAUGAAAACUUGAAGAAUGAAUUAAAUCAUGAAGAACAACCAUGAAGAACUCCGGUGACAAAAGGAUGAUGAGAUAGAAAGAAGGAAAAAAGAAUAAGAUGAGCCUUACGGUGAUUUAGAUGGAGGUUCCGACGAAAUGGCCGAGUAAUUUGAACUCCAGGAAAAGAAAAGAUGAAAACACUUGGAACUAGAAUUUAUUCCUCACGAACAAACUCCAAAGAAAAGGGAUUACUAGACGAUGAUAAAAUAAGAAUAAGAAUUACGUUAUGCUUAUCCUCAUCCAAUUUAAUGGGUAACGAGCGGAUUUGGCAUGCAACUUAUUCCUCUUGAAAAGGAUUGAGAAAUGACAUAUCGCAAACUUGAGAAGGUCUUCAUGAACCACCGGUAGGAUUUGGAAGAACGAAUGAAUUAAUAUGAUAAUCAAGGAAAAAGGAAUCUGAAGGAACCACCGAAAGAAUUAGAAAAAUGACUGAUGAAAGAGAAUGAAUCACCGGGAAGAAUUAGAAGAACCAAUAAGCUAGAGGGGAUUUAUAUGCAAAAGGACAAAGAGAUCAGAGCUGAUAAAGAAUACUUGACAGAUGCACCGGGAUAACUGGAUAACGGUAGCCGAAAUGUGACGACGAAGAAUUCUUCUAGUACGAUGGCCUCCGGUGAAAAGAAACGGGAAAACAACUUCUGACAUACUCCGGAUGGGUAAGAAAAGAAUAUCUGACAAACGGAAUAAUUUGAGAGGAUAAUAUGAAGCUUGAACCACGAAUCUUCGGGAGAACGGGCAAGAUUGAGAGGAAAACUCUUCUUCGGUCUUCAAAUGACGACGAGAAACACCACGAAAAUUACUAAGAUACCCCGGUAGAAUGAAAACCAAAAAGGUUGAGCCAACAAUGAAAUGAUUUGAAAUCGAUCUUGGAAGGGCAUCUGACUGAUGAAAUUCAUUCUUAUGUCAGACUCCGAAAAGAAUUAGGAAUGGCUCCGAAAUAAUUAGAAGAGUCAGGUAAGAUCCUGGGAAAAGACCUAUGGGUUAGGGCCCACUAAAAUAGAACACCGUUGGAAAGGGAUGCUGAACAGAUAGGUGAAGCACCGGAACAAUUAAAAUAUUUGAAUGAGGUGACAACCACGAAUUAAUUGUAACACAGACGAAUCUCCUGAGAUGUCUUGAACACUCCAGAAGGAUAAACUGGCGAGAGGCGAACGAGCGGGGAAAGCACUUGAUCCAAGGAAAAGAAUAUGAUCAAACGAAAACUUGAAUUGAGUCCACCAGAAAAGAGAUGAAGAAUGUCAAACAAAAGAGAAUUCACCGGUUGAAAUAAUUGAGGGAAGAUUGAAGAGGCUCCACACAAAUGAAAUAGCUUCUCGAAUAAAGGCUUGGACUCUGGGAAGAAAAGGGGUGGGAGGGCAGGAAAAACACAGGCAACUAGAACCACGAAUAAUUGAAUAGAGAAGCGCCGGUUGAAAUGAUUGAGGAGAGAGUGCAAAAACUUUGCAUGAGUGGGAUGGAUACUCGAUUACGGACUCCGGCUUCAAGAAAAAAAGGGGUGGGCGGAUGGGAAAAGAAGACAACUAAGGGCAGAGAAACAACUUCGUUGAGAGCAAACUGAGGAUUGAACUUGGCAAAGACGAAGAGACUCGAGUCAAUUUGACGAGAAAUGCACCGUAUGAAAAGAGAUGAGAACCAACGAACGAAAACUAACCGCGUGAUCCUAAAGAAAAAAUUUGAAGGCGAAGAGGAGUAAUUCAAAACACCUACGUCAAGAUUCCUUACCAGAGCUACGAAGGGGCUGAGGAGUAAAAAGAAUUCCUACUCUCCGAUAUAACUAGACUCAGAAAUAGUUUUCUUCUAGAAUCAACAACGACCAAACUACACGAUCAAUCAAGGGGGCUCCUAUGGUCGGUCGAGGCUCUGAUACCAACUUGUCACGCCCAAUAUGUGAUACUAUCCUAAAGAGACUCGAAGGUCCCACCAAGGAUAGAACCGCAUAUUGAGACGCUUUUGCAAGGUGGAUAUCAUUAUAUCAACAUUACAUAAUAGAUGGGGAUACAUACCAGAGGCAUACAAUGCCACAAGAAUACAACAACACAUCAUACAUAAGAUCAACAUCCGACUACGGAUGAAACACAAAUAGAAACUCAAACGACAUCCACCCUGCUAACCCAGGCUGCCGACCUGGGACCUAUCCCCUGAUCGAAGAAGAAGCAGAACAAGAACUCCAAGACAGGCAAACAACGCUCUCGCGUCAUGAUCAUCGCAUAACCUGUACUUGCAACAGUUGUUGUAGUAAUUUGUGAGCCACGAGGACUCAGCAAUCCCAUUACCAUGGGUAUCAAGACUAGCAAAGCUUAAUGGGAAAGGAAGGGGUAAAGUGGUGAGGUUGCAGCAUCGACUAAGCAUGAUAUGGUGGCUAACAUACGCCAAUAAGAGCGAGAAGAGAAGCAAAUGGAACGUUCGUGAAGCUAGCAAUGAUCAAGAAGUGAUCCUGAACUCCUACUUACGUCAAACAUAAUCCAAAACCGUGUUCACUUCCCGGACUCCGCCGAAAAGAGACCAUCACGUCUACGCACGUGGUUGAUGCAUUUUAAUUCGGAUCUGGUGUCAAGUUCUCUAUAACCGGAUAUUAACAAAUUCCCAUCUGCCGCAUAACCGCGGGCACGGUUUUCGAAAGUUUAAACCCUACAGGCGUGUCCCAACUUAGCCCAUCACAAGCUCUCACGGUCUACGAAGGAUAUUCCUUCUCCCAGGAAGACCCGAUCUGACUCGGAAUCCCGGUUACAAGACAUUUUGACAAUGGUAAAACAAGACCAGCAAAGCCGCCCGAUGUGCCGACAAAUCCCGGUAGGAGUCGCAUGUACCUCGUUCUCAGGGCACACCGGAUAAGUCAAGCUACGAGUGAAACCAGACCUCAAGUUUCCCCAAGGUGGCCCCGCAGGCUGCUCGGUUCGGACCAACACUCGAAGGAGCACUGGCCCCGGGGGGGGGGGGGUUAAAAUAAAGAUGACCCUUGAGUUUGCAGAACCCAAGGGAAAAAGGCUUAGGUGGCAAAUGUUAAAACCAAGGUUGGGCCUUGCUGGAGGAAUUUAUUCAAAGCGAACUGUCAAGGGGGUCCCAUAAAUCACCCAACCGUGUAAGGAACGCAAAAUCAAGGAACAUAACACCGGUAUGACGGAAACUAGGGGCGGCAAGAGUGGAACAAAACACGAGGCAUAAGGCCGAGCCUUCCAUCCUUUACCAAGUAUAUAGAUGCAUUAAUUAAAUAAGAGAUAUUGUGAUAUCCCAACAUAAUCCUGUCCAUCAUGGAGCAAUCUUCAACUUCACCUGCAGCUACCAAUGCUAUAAGAGGGGCUGAGCAAAAGUGGUAACAUAGCCAAGCGAUGGUUUGCUAGGAAGGGUGAAAAAGGUUCGAGGCUGACAUGGCAAUUUGGGAGGCUUGAAGAGUAAAUGAUAGGUAGCGCAGCAUAGCGAUAGAACGAAGCAAAUAGCAUAGCAAUGAUAGUAGUGAGAUCCAGGGUAGUGGUCAUCUUGCCUGAAAUCCCGCAAGGAAGAAGAACAAGUCCAUGAAGAAUAUGAAGCCACGAAGACGAACCAAGCGUAGACGAACGAAUCCUCACGAUCGCAACGAAACAGGAAGUAACAAGAAGGAGCACAACCGGAAAGAAGCAAACAACAAGGUAAACAGACAACACAUAGACAAGACAUGAAGCGCAACCAAGCAUGAUGCAUGACAAAGCUAGAUGAGGCUACUCAUGGCAAGAGAUGAUGCAUACAAGAGCAACACAUCAAAGCAAGUUUAAACGAGGUCGGAAACCACAUAGAACUAAUCCGGUAAGUCCUCAUAUGCAAAUUUCGAAAUUGGUCCAGAUCUUAAUAAACCUUAUGUUCAAGUUGUUAAACAGCAAGUUAAAAUGUACCAAGUUGAUCUACACAAGAUUCUAGUCAAGUUACAUAUAAAGUUCAUUUAAUUCGGAGCUACGGCCUAGAAGAUAUGAGCAAAACAAGUUAACCAUGACAUUGAAGCAAAAUGCAUUCAAAUAUCAAGCAAACACUCUCAAAACAUGGAUGCAACAUGAUAAGAUAAAACUAUAUGCAAUUCUAAGCAAGUUUCAUAUAGAGCAUGCUCAAAAUGGAGCAACGGUGCAACACAUACACUUCAAACAAGAUAUAACAACAAUUUGUCCAAAACAGCAACUAGGCAUCUUACGAGCAUCAUGAAGAUAUGCUACAGCACCCCAACAUGGAAACAAAAGGCAUGAACAUAAUGUACAAAUGAAGCUUAAUAAAACAUGAACACUGAGCUAUCUCCAGAAAUCAUUAGAACAUGCUCAAAAUGACAUGGCAAGAUUGCAUAUAAUAACAGUUUCAGACUUUGCAGAAAUAACAUCAGGUUGCAAUGUUUAGAGCUAUCAAACAAUAUGCUACAGGAACUGAACAUAGCAAAAUAAGGCAUGGCAUAAAUCUACUAAACUCAUAGAACAAAAGACCCUUACUUAACAUGAGCCAAAAAGGAACAGAAGAUAUGAUGGCACCCAUGUAAACAUGGCAAGUUAUAUGACAGAUUCAGAAUAAUAGUACAUGGCAGGAACAAUGAUAAGUAGGCAUGUUGGUCAGCUUGUACAGCUCACCAUAGAGCAAUACAUGGCAUGAAAACGUGACCAACAGUAAGAUGAAAUAUUUAUGAAGCUAAUCAUGGCAAGAGCAAGUUCAUAGGGUGCAUGGAUCACUAGCAAAACACAUGGCAAAACUGAACUUCAUGUUAAUAGGCUGACAACAACAUCAUUUAGCAAUUUGAGAACAAGAUUACAACAUACUAUAGCAUGGUAUAAAUGCAACCAGGUACAUGGAUGGAUAUAGAAUGAUAUGUAUUACAAAACAUCCUUAGUGAACAUCUCUAGAUUAUGCAUAGAAUGACUUGUAGCAGCAGGUUUACAUAGCAUCAUAAUAUAGCAGAUUCAGCCUAGCAAAACAAUAACAACAAGUACCCUACUUCGCGAGCUUGCUGGACUCACUACAAGACUCAAAAAAAUACACGGAUUGCUCCUCUGUAAAGAUGGCAUGAUGUAGCUCAAAACACAUGUAGACAUCAUGCUCAUAGGAUGUACACACAAAAUGCAAUGAAAAUGACAAAACAACAAGUUCUGUUAACAGACAGCAGUUAACAUCAUAUAGCACUCUUGCUACGAUGAUAAUAGCAUCAUGAUGGACACAAACAAGCAUGGGACAAUGGAACAAUGUGAAGAGCAUCUCACAAUGAACAUUUCGAUAUAUCAUAUGCACAAAACGGAGCUAUGGUCAUGGAGAUAUGGUAUAAUGAACAGGGCAUGAAAAUGUCAAAAUAUCAGAGACUUAGCAGAAAUCACCACCUCGAGGGCAAAAGUCAACAGCGGCGCGAGAAGCGAGGAUGGCCGGAGAAGGGGUCGGGGACGGGCGCACGUGGCGGAUCCAGGUCGGAUCUCGCCGGAUCCGGCCAGAUCCCGGCGCGGGGACGCGAGGAAGGACGCGGCGCGGGGCGGCAACCUCGGGGGCGGGGCGCNNNNNNNNNNNNNNNNNNNNNNNNNNNNNNNNNNNNNNNNNNNNNNNNNNNNNNNNNNNNNNNNNNNNNNNNNNNNNNNNNNNNNNNNNNNNNNNNNNNNNNNNNNNNNNNNNNNNNNNNNNNNNNNNNNNNNNNNNNNNNNNNNNNNNNNNNNNNNNNNNNNNNNNNNNNNNNNNNNNNNNNNNNNNNNNNNNNNNNNNNNNNNNNNNNNNNNNNNNNNNNNNNNNNNNNNNNNNNNNNNNNNNNNNNNNNNNNNNNNNNNNNNNNNNNNNNNNNNNNNNNNNNNNNNNNNNNNNNNNNNNNNNNNNNNNNNNNNNNNNNNNNNNNNNNNNNNNNNNNNNNNNNNNNNNNNNNNNNNNNNNNNNNNNNNNNNNNNNNNNNNNNNNNNNNNNNNNNNNNGUGAAGGACGCCACGAGAGGUGACAUGGCGGCAUGGGAUUCGCUGCGGCGGGCGGCGCGGACGUGUCCGGCGGGAUUGGACAUGUCCGUCGGCGAGAGGAGGAAGAAGCUAGGGUUUCAUCCGGGAAUUUCGGGGGAGGUGGCCUAUUUAUAGAUAGAGGGAGCUUGGAGACUCCAAAUGAGGAGCGGUUUUCGCCCACACGAUCGUGAUCGAACGACCGAGAGCAUGGAGGGGGUUUGGAUGGGCUCAUGGGCUGCCGUGAAGAGGGGCUGGGCUGCAAAGAGAGAGGGGUUUCAGGCUACGCGGUUAACCGUUGGGGCAUCAAACGACCUUCAAAUGGAAUGAAAUUUGACAGGCGGUCUACCGGUGCUAUACCAAGGGCACUCGGAAAACCUCGGUCCAUUCCGAGAACGCUUUUAACCCUCUCACGAAAACAAGGUCUGAGAGGGGCGACGGGCAUGCGCGAGAGGUCUGGACUCCGAACGGACAACGGAGAGGACCGGGGGAACACGGACAGAUGCAAGUUUUGAAAAACAUGCAGAUGAAAUGUAGAUGAUGACAUGGUAAAGUGCAACAUGCAAGCAAAUAACAUGGCAACAACGACGAAUAACUGGAGGACAUCUGGCGCAUCGAAUCCGGGGCCUUACAGACCACUAGCUUCCUUAAGGAAGCGCGAACUUGAAUAUUUGCAACGAUGAAGAAGGAACCAACUUCCAAGGCAAGCACCUCGUAAAUGGAUAAGUUAAAAUCUAAAAGCAUGCCACCCGAAUGCCCUAUCGCAGGAGCAUGGUUCCACGCGAAGCGUUCUAGGUGGUCAACAGAAGGUAGCUCAUGAUGAUGGAAAUCUGCUUUGAUCAUUUCCUGAAGCCCUACAAUAUCGACGUCCUCUUUCCUGAUGUACUCCUUAAGUUGGGUGCGACGCCCCGCGUGACCGAAGCCACGUAUAUUCCAGAACAUAGCCUGCAUCUAGAUUCUGCGGUUUCGCAAACGAACACCUCGAGAGGUGAUCGCCUUGGCCACGUGCCUCACCUUGCCACGGCAAGGCGAGGGAGGAUAAGCAACCCCUGUUGACGUUUCCUCGUCGGGCCAGACCGCGAGCGCAUCCAAGGCCCCUGCCUCGGAUGCCAACUAGUUCGCGUGUUUCGCAGCCACCGCUGCCAUCUGUCUACGCCAAUUCCUUGGCACGGAUCAGCGAGAUCAACUCUCUAGUCCUGCCAACUGGUUUGCGUGUUUCGCAGCCGCCGCUGCCAGCUGCCUGCGCCAAUUUCUUGGCACGGAUCAGCGAGAUCAACUCUCUAGUCCCUCACACUCCCAACGGGUCCACUCCAAUAUCUCCCAAAACCUCACUCAAGUGAUCAUCGAAAAAGGAAUCAAGAACCAUGAAGCGAGGAGGAGGGGGAUUACUUGAGAUCUCCAUAUUGUUCUGGGCUUGGAGGAGUUAAGCACGCUGGAGAGAUCGCAUGCUCUCCUUGGAGCCCUUAGUGCGGGAGCUCAUCCUCACCGGUGCUACCGGCACGGCCUUGGAGCGCUUGGCCUUGGAGAUGGGCACCGUCUUGGUGGCCUCCUGCAGGAGCAGGUCGAUGAGGGGGGGGGGUGCUGGGGGCCGCCAACGCCAUGACCGUCUGGCACAGAGUGGCUGGUGCUCCCAGCGGCUCCGCAGGCUGAACCACCUCUGCACUCACCUUGCGCACCGCCACCUUCUUAGCUUGCCGCACCCCGCUGGCCUUGUUGUUGUUGUGCCCGCCCUGGACCAGGGAGUGCGAUGAUUGGAGCUGCGAGGUGUCCAUGGACAGGACUAGAGGGGUACGUGUGCCCUCCAGCACGACCACGUCCUCCAAGUCCAAGGGCCCCUUGUCCACCGAACGCACUGGAAGGGAGGUCACCGAGCCGAGGUUGGAGCCGUAUUGGUUGGGGAUUGACACCUCCAACCCAUUGGAUAGCCCGUCCUGCACCGCCUCAGCCGCAUGAGCCGCUUGCUGAGGAGGGAUCGCAGCCACUCCCCUGUCCAAGAUGCCAAGCUUUUCCCAAGCCGCAGUGUCAAUGGAAUCGUCCUCCAUACUAGCAUCUUGAUCCUUGUCCCCGUCCCGCCCCUGGUCGCCCUAAUCUGUACCCUUGCCAUUGUUGUGAGGAGGAGGAGGAAGGGCGGGAGCCCCCUGACGAGGUGGGUCGAGCUCCGGCUCCACUCUGAUGUUGAAGCCUGCACCAUUGAACCAGAUCUGCACCAUGCCCCGCAGGUUGGAAGGGUUGCGGCAGGCGAAGCGCAUGCGGACUGGCCCCAGGCGGAUCAGCAACUCCUCAUCGACCAAGAGAGGCCUGUCGAGCAUCAUAGUUGCCGCCAUGAGCCGGUCCGUCCACCGCUGCUUGGGCGGCACCCCCCGCAGCUUGACCCAAACAUCUGGCAGAGCCUCUUCCUUUGGCUCAUCGAGGACGGCGUCACGGAUGUCGGCCGUGAUGUUAUUGAUGGAAAGGUAAAGCUUGCCGAUGCAUGUGGCCAUCCGCAGCAUGGCCGGGUUCGGGAACACCACAGAGAAAGUGUCGCCAACGAGCUGGGUCACCUGCCAGUCCCAGGACCCCUCAAACAAGUGCGGCAACUCCACCUCCAUAAUGGCCUUUGAGAGCAAGCCCGGGGCCGCGGACAGAACAGCCGCGUUGGCCCCGAGCAAGUUGUUGGGGAACGUAGUAAUUUCUAAAAAUUUCCUACGCACACUCAAGAUCAUGGUGAUGCAUAGCAACGAGAGGGGAGAGUGUGUCCACGUACCCUCGUAGACCGAAAGCGGAAGCGUUAUGACAACGCGGUUGAUGUAGUCGUAUGUCUUCACGAUCCGACCGAUCCAAGCGCCGAACAUACGGCACCUCCGAGUUCAGCACACGUUCAGCUCGAUGACGAUCCCCGGACUCCGAUCCAGCAGGGUGUCGGGGAUGAGUUCCGUCAGCACGACAGCGUGGUGACGAUGAUGAUGUUCUACCGACGCAGGGCUUCGCCUAAGCACCACAACGAUAUGACCGAGGUGGAAUAUGGUGGAGGGGGGCACCGCACACGGCUAAGGAACGAUCACGAAGAUCAACUUGUGUGUCUAGAGGUGCCCCCCUGCCCCCGUAUAUAAAGGAGGGAGGGAGAGGUGCGUCCGGCCCCCUAGGGGUGCGCCUGGAGGAGUCCUACUCCCACCGGGAGUAGGACUCCCCUCUUGCCUUGGUGGAGAAGGAAAGGGGGGAGGGGAAAGAGGAAAGGGGGGCGCCUCCCCCUUCCUUGUCCUAUUCGGACUAGGGGGAGAGGGGGCGCGCGGCCUGCCGUGGUCGGCCCUUCCUCUUCUCCCUCAUGGCCCAUGUAGGCCCAUUAACCCCCGGGGGGGUUCCGGUAACCCCCCGGUACUCCGAAAAAAUCCCGAUUUCUCCCGGAACGAUUCCGUUAUCCCAAUAUAGGCUUCCAAUAUAUCAAUCUUUAUGUCUCGACCAUUUUGUGACUCCUCAUCAUGUCCGUGAUCACAUCCGGGAAUCCGAACAACCUUCAGUACAUCAAAACAUAUAAACUCAUAAUGAAAUUGUCAUCGUAACUUUAAGCGUGCGGACCCUAAAGGUUCGAGAACUAUGUAGACAUGACCUAGAACUAUUUCCGGUCAAUAACUAAUAGCGGAACCUGGAUGCUCAUAUUGGCUCCUACAUAUUCUACGAAGAUCUUUAUCGGUCAAACCGCAUAACAACAUACGUUGUUCCCUUUGUCAUCGGUAUGUUACUUGCCCGAGGUUCGAUCGCCGGUAUCCAAUACCUAGUUCAAUCUCAUUACCGGCAAGUCUCUUUACUCGUUACGUAAUGCAUCAUUCCGUAACCAACUCAUUGGCCACAUUGCUUGCAAGGCUUAUAGUGAUGUGCAUUACCGAGAGGGCCGAGAGAUACCUCUCCGACAAUCGGAGUGACAAAACCUAAUCUUGAAAUACGCCAACUCAACAUCUACCUUUGGAGACACCUGUAGAGCUCCUUUAUAAUCACCCAGUUACAUUGUGACGUUUGGUAGCACACAAAGUGUUUCUUCGGUAAACGGGAGUUGCAUAAUCUCAUAGUUGUAGGAACUUUGUAUAAGUUAUGAAGAAAGCAAUAGCAACAUACUAAACGAUCAAGUUCUAGGCUAACGGAAUGGGUCAAGUCAAUCACAUCAUUCUCCUAAUGAUGUGAUCUCUUUAAUCAAAUGACAACACAUGCCUAUGGUUAGGAAACAUAACCAUCUUUGAUUAAUGAGCUAGUCAAGUAGAGGCAUACUAGUGACAUUAAGUUUGUCUAUGUAUUCACACAUGUAUCAUGUUUCCGGUUAAUACAAUUCUAGCAUGAAUAAUAAACAUUUAUCAUGAUAUAGGAAAUAAACAAUAACUUUAUUAUUGCCUCUAGGGCAUAUUUCCUUCAGUCUCCCACUUGCACUAGAGUCAAUAAUCUAGAUUACACAGUAAUGAUUCUAACACCCAUGGAGUCUUGGUGCUGAUCAUGUUUUGCUCGUGGAAGAGGCUUAGUCAACGGGUCUGCUACAUUCAGAUCCGUAUGUAUCUUGCAAAUCUCUAUGUCUCCCACCUGGACUUGGUCCCGGAUGGAAUUGAAACUUCUCUUGAUGUGCUUGGUACUCUUGUGAAAUCUGGAUUCCUUUGCGAAGGCAAUUGCACCAGUAUUUUCACAGAAGAUCUUCAUUGGUCCCGAUGCACUAGGUAUGACACCUAGAUCGGAAAUGAACUCCUUCAUCUAGACUCCUUCAUUUGCUGCUUCCGAAGCAGCUAUGUACUCCGCUUCGCAUGUAGAUCCCGCCACAACGCUUUGUUUAGAACUGCACCAACUUACAGCUCCACCUUUAAUAAAAACACGUAUCCGGUUUGCGAUUUAGAAUCGUCCGGAUCAGUGUCAAAGCUUGCAUCGACGUAACCAUUUACGACUAGCUCUUUGUCACCUCCAUAAAUGAGAAACAUAUCCUUAGUCCCUUUCAGGUAUUUCAGGAUGUUCUUGACCGUUGUCCAGUGAUCCACUCCUGGAUUACUUUGGUACCUCCCUGCUAAACUUAUUGCUAAGCAUACAUCAGGUCUGGUACACAGCAUUGCAUACAUGAUAGAGCCUAUGGCUGAAGCAUAGGAAACAUCUUUCAUUUUUUUCUCUAUCUUCUGCUAUGGUCGGGAAUUGAGUCUGACUCAACUUCACACCCUGUAAUACAGGCAAGAACCCUUUCUUUGCCUGAUCCAUUUUGAACUUUUUCAAAACUUUAUCAAGGUAUGUGCUUUCUGAAAGUCCAAUUAAACGUCUUGCUCUAUCUCUAUAGAUCUUGAUGCCCAAUAUGUAAGCAGGUUCACCGAGGUCUUUCAUUGAAAAACUUUUAUUCAAGUAUCCCUUUAUGCUAUCCAGAAAUUCUAUAUCAUUUCCAAUUAACAAUAUGUCAUCUACAUAUAAUAUCAGAAAUGCUACAGAGCUCCCACUCACUUUCUUGUAAAUACAGGCUUCUCCAAAAGUCUAUAUAAAACUAUAUGCUUUGAUCACACUAUCAAAGCAUUUAUUCCAACUCCGAGAUGCUUGCACCAGUCCAUAAAUGGAUCGCUGGAGCUUGCACACUUUGUUAGCACCUUUUGGAUCAACAAAACCUUCCGGUUGCAUCAUAUACAACUCUUCUUCCAGAAAUCCAUUCAGGAAUGCAGUUUUUACAUCCAUUUGCCAAAUUUCAUAAUCAUAAAAUGCGGCAAUUGCUAACAUGAUUCGGACAGACUUAAGCAUCGCUACGGGUGAGAAAGUCUCAUCGUAGUCAACCCCUUGAACUUGUCGAAAACCUUUUGCAACAAGUCGAGCUUUGUAGACAGUCAUAUUACCAUCAGCGUCAGUCUUCUUCUUAAAAAUCUAUUUAUUCUCAAUAGCUUGCCGAUCAUUGGGCAAGUCAACCAAAAUCCAUACUUUGUUCUCAUACAUGGAUCAUAUCUCAGAUUUCAUGGCUUCAAGCCAUUUUGCGGAAUCUGGGCUCAUCAUCACUUCCUCAUAGUUCGCAGGUUCGCCAUGGUCAAGUAACAUGACUUUCAGAACAGGAUUACCGUACCACUCUGGUGCGGAUCUUACUCUGGUAGACCUACGAGUAUUAGUAGAAACUUGAUCUAAAGAUUCAUGAUCAAUAUCAUUAGCUUCGUCACUAAUUGGUGUAGUUGUCACAGGAACCGGUUCUUGUGAUGAACUACUUUCCAAUAAGGGAGCAGGUACAAUUACCUCAUCAAGUUCUACUUUCCUCCCACUCACUUCUUUUGAGAGAAACUCCUUCUCUAGAAAGGAUCCGAAUUUAGCAACGAAAAUCUUGCCCUCAGAUCUGUGAUAGAAGGUGUACCCAAUUGUCUCUUUUGGGUAUCCUAUGAAGACACAUUUCUCUGAUUUGGGUUCGAGCUUAUCUGGUUGAAGUUUUUUCACAUAAGCAUCACAACCCCAAACUUUAAGAAACGACAACUUUGGUUUCUUGCCAAACCACAGUUCAUAAGGCGUCGUCUCAACGGAUUUUGAUGGUGCCCUAUUUAACGUGAAUGUGGCCGUCUCUAAAGCAUAACCCCAAAACGAUAGCGGUAAAUUAGUAAGAGACAUCAUAGAUCGUACCAUAUCCAGUAAAGUACGAUUACGACGUUCGGACACACCAUUUCAUUGUGGUGUUCCGGGUGGCGUGAGUUGCGAAACUAUUCCGCAUUGUUUCAAAUGUAAACCAAACUCGUAACUCAAAUAUUCUCCUCCACGAUCAGAUCGUAGAAAUUUUAUUUUCUUGUUACGAUGAUUUUCCACUUCACUCUGAAAUUCUUUGAACUUUUCAAAUGUUUCAGAUUUGUGUUUCAUCAAGUAGAUAUACCCAUAUCUGCUCAAAUCAUGUGUGAAGGUGAGAAAAUAACGAUACCCGCCAUGAGCCUCAAUAUUCAUUGGACCACAUACAUCAGUAUGUAUGAUUUCCAACAAACUAGUUGCUCGCUCCAUAGUUCCGGAGAACCGCGUUUUAGUCAUCUUGCCCAUGAGGCACGGUUCGCAAGUACCAAGUGAUUCAUAAUCAAGUGAUUCUAAAAGUCCAUCAGUAUGGAGUUUCUUCAUGCGCUUUACACCGAUAUGACCUAAACGGCAGUGCCACAAAUAAGUUGCACUAUCAUUAUUAACCCUGCAUCUUUUGGCUUCAACAUUAUGAAUAUGUGUAUCACUACUAUCGAGAUUUAGUAAAAAUAGACCACUCUGUAAGUGUGCAUGACCAUAAAAGAUAUUACUCAUAUAAAUAGAACAACCAUUAUUCUCUAAUUUAAAUGAAUAACCGCCUCGCAUCAAACAAGAUCCAGAUAUAAUGUUCAUGCUCAACGCUGGCACAAAAUAACAAUUAUUUAGGUAUAAAACUAAUCCCGAUGGUAGAUGUAGAGGUAGCGUGCCGACCGCGAUCACAUCGACUUUGGAACCAUUUCCCACGCGCAUCGUCACCUCGUCCUUAGCCAAUCUUCGCCUAUUCCGUAGUCCCUAUUUCGAGUUGUAAAUAUUAGCAACAGAACCAGUAUCAAAUACCCAGGUGCUACUAUGAGCAUUAGUAAGGUACACAUCAAUAACAUGUAUAUCACAUAUACCUUUGUUCACUUUGCCAUCCUUUUUAUCCGCCAAAUACUUGGGGCAAUUCCGCUUCCAGUGUCCAGUCUGCUUGCAGUAGAAGCACUCAGUCUCAGGCUUAGGUCCAGACUUGGGUUUCUUCUCUUGAGCAGCAACUUGUUUGCUGUUCUUCUUGAAGUUCCCCUUCUUCUUCCCUUUGCCCUUUUUCUUGAAACUGGUGGUCUUAUUGACCAUCAACACUUGAUGCUCCUUCUUGAUUUCUACCUCCGCAGCCUUUAGCAUUGCAAAGAGCUCGGGUAUAGUCUUGUCCAUCCCUUGCAUAUUAUAGUUCAUCACGAAGCUCUUGUAGCUUGGUGGCAGUGAUUGAAGAAUUCUGUCAAUGACACUAUCAUCAGGAAGAUUAACUCCCAGUUGAAUCAAGUGAUUAUUAUACCCAGACAUUUUGAGUAUGUGUUCACUGACAGAACUAUUCUCCUCCAUCUUACAGCUAUAGAACUUAUUGGAGACUUCAUAUCUCUCAAUCUGGGCAUUUGCUUGAAAUAUUAAUUUCAACUCCUGGAACAUCUCAUAUGCUCCAUGAUGUUCAAAACGUCAUUGAAGAUCCGAUUCUAAACCGUAAAGCAUGGCACACUAAACUAUCGAGUAGUCAUCAGCUUUGCUUUGCCAGACGUUCUUAACGUCAUCAGUUGCAUCUGCAGUAGGCCUGGCACCCAGCGGUGCUUCCAGGACGUAAUUCUUCUGUGCAGCAAUGAGGAUAAUCGUCAGGUUACAGACCCAGUCCAUGUAAUUGCUACCAUCAUCUUUCAACUUAGCUUUCUCAAGGAACGCAUUAAAAUUCAAUGGAACAAUAGCAUGAGCCAUCUAUCUACAACAAACAUAGACAAGCAAAAAUACAAUCAGGUACUAAGUUCAUGAUAAAUUUAAGUUCAAUUAAUCAUAUUACUUAAGAACUCCCACUUAGACAGACAUCUCUCUAGUCAUCUAAGUGAUCACGUGAUCCAAAUCAACUAAACCAUGUCCGAUCAUCACGUGAGAUGGAGUAGUUUUCAAUCAACAUCACUAUGUUGAUCAUAUCUACUAUAUGAUUCACGCUCGACCUUUCGGUCUCUGUGUUCCGAGGCCAUAUCUGUAUAUGCUAGGCUCGUCAAGUUUAACCUGAGUAUUUCGCGUGUGCAACUGUUUUGCACCCAUUGUAUUUGAACGUAGAGCCUAUCACACCCGAUCAUCACGUGGUGUCUCAGCACGAAGAACUUUCACAACAGUGCAUACUCAGGGAGAACACUUCUUGAAAAUUUAGUGAGAGAUCAUCUUAAAAUGCUACCGUCAAACAAAGCAAGAUAAGAUGCAUAAAGGAUAAACAUCACAUGCAAUCAAUAUAAGUGAUAUGAUAUGGCCAUCAUCAUCUUGUGCUUGUGAUCUCCAUCUCCGAAGCACCAUCGUGAUCACCAUCAUCACCGGCGCGACACCUUGAUCUCCAUCGUAGCAUCGUUGUUGUUACGCCAUCUAUUUCUUCUAUGACUAUCGCUACCGCUUAGUGAUAAAGUAAAGCAAUUACAGGGCGUUUGCAUUUCAUACAAUAAAGCGACAACCAUAUGGCUCCUGCCAGUUGCCGAUAACUUCGGUUACAAAACAUGAUCAUCUCAUACAAUAAAAUAUAGCAUCACGUCUUGACCAUAUCACAUCACAACAUGCCCUGCAAAAACAAGUUAGACGUCCUCUACUUUGUUGUUUGCAAAUUUUACGUGGCUGCUACGGGCUGAGCAAGAACCGUUCUUACCUACGCAUCAAAACCACAACGAUAGUUCGUCAAGUUAGUGCUGUUUUAACCUUCGCAAGGAACGAGCGUAGCCACACUUAGUUCAACUACAGUUGGAGAAACAGACACCCGCUAGUCACCUGUGUGCGAAGCACGACGGUAAAACCAGUCUCGCGUAAGCGUACGCGUAAUGUCGGUCCGGGCCGCUUCAUCCAACAAUACCGCUGAACCAAAGUAUGACAUGCUGGUAAGCAGUAUGACUUGUAUCGCCCACAACUCACUUGUGUUCUACUCGUGCAUAUAACAUCAACGAUAAAAUCUUGGCUCGGAUGCCACUGUUGGGGAACGUAGUAAUUUCAAAAAAAUUCCUACGCACACUCAAGAUCAUGGUGAUGCAUAGCAACGAGAGGGGAGAGUGUGUCCACGUACCCUCGUAGACCGAAAGCGGAAGCGUUAUGACAACGCGGUUGAUGUAGUCGUACGUCUUCACGAUCCGACCGAUCCAAGCACCGAACGUACGGCACCUCUGAGUUCAGCACAUGUUCAGCUCGAUGACGAUCCCCGGACUCCGAUCCAGCAGGGUGUCGGGGAUGAGUUCCGUCAGCACGACGGUGUGGUGACGAUGAUGAUGUUCUACCGGCGCAGGGCUUCGCCUAAGCACCGCAACGAUAUGACCGAGGUGGAAUAUGGUGGAGGGGGGCACCACACACGGCUAAGGAACGAUCACGAAGAUCAACUUGUGUGUCUAGAGGUGCCCCCUGCCCUCGUAUAUAAAGGAGGGAGGGGAAGGUGCGGCCGGGCCCCUAGGGGUGCGUCUGGAGGAGUCCUACUCCCACCGGGAGUAGGACUCCCCUCUUGCCUUGGUGGAGAAGGAAAGGGGGGAGGGGAAAGAGGAAAGGGGAGCGCCCCCCCUCCUUGUCCUAUUCGGACUAGGGGGAGAGGGGGCGCGCGGCCUGCCCUGGCCGGCCCUUCCUCUUCUCCCUCAUGGCCCAUGUAGGCCCAUUAACCCCCGGGGGGGUUCCGGUAACCCCCCGGUACUCCGGAAAAAUCCCGAUUUCUCCCGGAACGAUUCCGUUAUCCAAAUAUAGGCUUCCAAUAUAUCAAUCUUUAUGUCUCAACCAUUUCGAGACUCCUCGUCAUGUCCGUGAUCACAUCCGGGAAUCGGAAUAACCUUCGAUACAUCAAAACAUAUAAAAUCAUAAUGAAACUGUCAUCAUAACUUUAAGCAUGCGGACCCUACGGGUUCGAGAACUAUGUAGACAUGACCUAGAACUGUUUCCGGUCAAUAACCAAUAGCGGAACCUGGAUGCUCAUAUUGGCUCCUACAUAUUCUACGAAGAUCUUUAUCGGUCAAACCGCAUAACAACAUACGUUGUUCCCUUUGUCAUCGGUAUGUUACUUGCCCGAGGUUCGAUCGUCGGUAUCCAAUACCUAGUUCAAUCUCGUUACCGGCAAGUCUCUUUACUCGUUACGUAAUGCAUCAUUCCGUAACCAACUCAUUGGCCACAUUGCUUGCAAGGCUUAUAGUGAUGUGCAUUAUCAAGAGAGCCUAGAGAUACCUCUCCGACAAUCGGAGUGACAAAACCUAAUCUUGAAAUACGCCAACUCAACAUCUACCUUUGGAGACACCUGUAGAGCUCCUUUAUAAUCACUCAGUUACGUUGUGACGUUUGGUAGCACACAAAGUGUUCCUCCGAUAAAUGGGAGUUGCAUAAUCUCAUAGUUGUAGGAACUUUGUAUAAGUUAUGAAGAAAGCAAUAGCAACAUACUAAACGAUCAAGUGCUAGGCUAACGGAAUGGGUCAAGUCAAUCACAUCAUUCUCCUAAUGAUGUGAUCUCUUUAAUCAAAUGACAACACAUGUCUAUGGUUAGGAAACAUAACCAUCUUUGAUUAAUGAGCUAGUCAAGUAGAGGCAUACUAGUGACAUUAAGUUUGUCUAUGUAUUCACACAUGUAUCAUGUUUCCGGUUAAUACAAUUCUAGCAUGAAUAAUAAACAUUUAUCAUGAUAUGAGGAAAUAAAUAAUAACUUUAUUAUUGCCUCUAGGGCAUAUUUCCUUCACAAGUCCUGCGGCUCCUCCUUCGAGUCUUUAGCGUACUGCAGGCAGUAGAACCCCUCCCUGGAGAUGACGUGUCCCAUGGUUUGGAGCAGUAGGGGCUUCCCGCGGGUGGAGCAGUGGGCAGAUGUGUGGCCCUCCUGGGUGCACACCACAUACAAUAGCUUGAAGGAGCAGUUGUUUUGGAAGUGACCGGAGCGGCCGCACUUGAUGCACUCCGGGUCGUCCGCCUCCUCGACGGGGAUAGGCUCUACCGUCGUGCCCUUGGAAGAGGAAGGCGCUGAGGGUUGCUACGGGGCGGGUAGGUUGGAGCCACCGCCCCCGCUGACUUGAACUUCUGCUUCUUCGCAUAUGGAUCUCGAACGCGGUCGCCGCUGUGGGGAAGCGGCAGCCCCUUGUGCUUGAGUUCGAGGCCACGCUUCUUGUGCUCCCCCUUCUUCUUCUUUUUCCUCUCCUGUUCCUUGAGCCACCAAGAAGGCGGUGGCCCCCAACCUCCCUCCUCGCCGACGCGCUCCGUCCCCUGCGCCAUGGGUUGACGGCGCCGCUCGCGGUCCCGCGACCGCUCCACCGCCGGCUCUUGGGAUCCCAUGGGCCACUUGUCCGCACGGCGAUCAGCCUUGGAGCCCAUUGCCACCACCUCAGCAAAGGAGCACACGAAGGAUGGAGGGGGAGGGGGAAAGAGGGUGCUAGCGGAUCGGCCGAAACGCCACACCUCAGGUCUGGUGGCAGGAAACUUAAAGAGGCGUCUAGGGUUCCCCGGCGCAGCCACAACCACUUAUAUGGCUUGGCGAGCGGGCCUGGGCCGGGCUGCACCAAGGCGCUCGCAGGCCCCAGCCCAAGGUCGCGGCCCACCUGCCCGACCUAGCCCACCGGCCCUGGAGACUUCUCCUCCCCAACCCUAGGAGCAGGAGCCCGAGGAUCCGCCGGCGCCGCCGCCACCGCGGACCGAGCCAACUCCGGCGGGAUCUUCCUUGGGCUGGCGAGAAGAAGAAGGUCGGCGCUCGUCUCUGGACAUAGCGUCCCACUCCGGGCUGCCCACGCCGGAGCAGCACGAGGUGCAAUCCGUGACAGCGACCUAGCCAGCCUGGGCCCGCAGCCGCCGAGCGCGAACGCGCGCCGCCGUCCGGCCUUGAAGGAGCCCCCGAGCUCCUUCGCCCGCGCCACGAAGUCGCCGACGGAGCACGAAGCCCUGUCGCGCUCCAAAUCAACCACUGCAUCGCACAUCUCCUCCUCCUCAUCCGAACACUCACUGGCUAGGGCCCAGAAUCUGCUCCCCGACCAGCCACCCGCGCGCGAUGGCCGUGGACUCUGCUCCUUGCCCGGCGAAAGGCGGAACUGCCACGUCGCCGGCCGGACCUUAGUCCACGUGCCCCGCUAGGCGGAGACGACCGCGGCGUGGCCGCACGGGGUGGAGGCGCUCGCGGUGUCGCCGCCCGAGUCGCCCUGGUCGCACGGCCGUACAAGAGCCGUUGGAGCCAUCUUGUAGUCUCUUAUGGGAUUUCAUCUUCCCCAUCGAUGACGACAGAUCUCGGCAGCGUGGAGCAAUGGAGUCUCAGCGUCCGAUGCGAGUUGACGGACUCGCGCAGGAGGACGGUGCUGUCUGGCGUCGUGGUGGCGUCGACGGCAGGCCUGGCAAGAUUGUUGCACCAAUUCUUGUUCUGAAGAGAUGGAUAGGUGGAAGACGACAGUGGUCGCCUCUGAGAGUGCGCCGGACCGGUGUGUGCACCAGACCCGGCAAUCUAACUUGGUUGGGGCCUUCAGCUUUAGAUGUUAGGCUUUUUGUGCGAAGUCUGUUUGGUAUUCGGUUUGGAUUUUUGGCACCCCUUCAUCAAGUGGAUAGGAGUAGCGACAAAUGUUGCCGAGAUGAUGGCUUCAGAAUUAUGGAUGCAUUACUUUGUAAGAUCUUUGUAAAUAAUUAAUAAAAUGGCUGAAUGCAUCGGCCAGAUGCAGAGGCCUAGGGUCAUCCUCCUUUUCUAAGAAAAGAAAAAAGAACAUGGCAUUCUGCAAACAAAAAGAAGACCGCAAAACAUCGGAAGUGGUCUGCAACAUGCAACGGAGCCGCCGAUAUUCGUUUCGAGAAAAGGAAGAUGCCGAUUUGAACUCAGAAACUGCAGACUAUUACUCCUCUGUCCCAAGUAUCAAAAACGUUCUUAUAUUAUGGGACGAAGAGAAUAUUACUUUCGAAAAUGUUUUUGUACACUCAUAAGGGAUGGCGGCACACUUGAAAUAUUAAACCCAUUAAGCUACUCGUGAAGGGCGCCACGUGUCGCAAGCUGGUUGGCCCGGCAAGAAAUUUUUUGGAACUUUUUUAGAUGAAGGUGUGGAUUAUUUUUUAAAUGUAUUUUUUCUUUUUAGAUGGAGGUGAGGACCUCUAGUAUUCUUUUAAAUGAAGGGUUAUGCAAAGUGGCACUCCAUGAUACGCUGUGGUGAUAAUUAUUUUUCUUUUUCUACUUUUUUUUAUAAGGUGAGGAUUUUUUUGUGAGAUGUUUUUUUAUACGGAGGCGAGAACACUAUGUAUUUUUUUAAAUGAAAACAUGCACACAACUUUUUCUCAAGCGGGGCCACAGGGUGGCGCCCCAAAGACCAAACCGUGAGCACAAAACACAUACAUGUUCGUUCUUACGACUAUACAUUAUUACUCGAGGGAAGUCCUUAUAAUUUUCUUCUUCUUCUGUUUAAAGCAGCGAGGGUGUGACGAAGAAGCUCGAUCUACUCGUCCAUCCUCAUGACGCAGCGAAGUCCCUCUCCCUUGAGCAUGAGGUCGAACGCCGUGUUGAUCUGCGAGAAAGGCACGCUGUGUGUGAUGAACUUCUCCACGUCCAGCUCCUUUCUCAUGUACAUCUCCACGAC